GCAUGGGUACUUGUUAUAGCCAUAAUAUUUUCUGAGUACUGAAUGAUCAUGUUUCUUUCAACAGCGAUGGAAGUUUGUCAGAUGAUGAACUGGAAAAUGAGGGUUUCAGGAAAUGUGAGUGUGUGAUUCAGUAGAUUGUUUUCGUCUGCCAUUUGAAACGAUGGAUAGCUGCAGCUUUUCUGCUAGGAUAUGCUUACACUGGGGCUUAAAGUUAAACAAACAAAGAAUGAUCCUGUGUGUAUUUCCUGUUAGCUAGCUUGCACGGUAGGGUUGCAGUUUUGAUGCCCGCUGUAUCAUAUCAUGAUUUGACCCAUUUAUUUAUUUUUGCCAACUUUUCCUUCCUCUGUGUUCGCAUGCUCCAGGUUGUAACAUAUAAGGCUGCUAGUGUUUUCAGUUCCAGGGAUGUUGAUUCCUGCCUUUUCUUUUUUGGAAGCCGCUACAUAGCGGCGCCGCAUGGGCGUCUUCCGAUGCGGCGGUUUACCUUACUAGUAACCAUGCACGUGCAUGCGAACGUGUAACCAUAGGACCGAAGAAUGCAUUUUUUCACGAUCUUUACUUCAUGUUUUCACUAAAAAAUGCGUAUUGACAGUUGUAUUGCCUUGUAUACAUGUAGCCCAUUCCCUGUCUCAAUGGCCAAGUAGAUACGGUUAUUAGAGAUGACAAAACCCUGAUUUUUCUUAUAAAUAUUGAAUAAAAAAUAAUAAUUAUGAACUACACACGCUUUUGAACCGGCACUAUGGUUGACAUACAUAUAUACAACUUCUCAAUAUAUUUAAAUUUAAAAUGAUUUAAUUUAGAAAGUCUCUGAUAUGAAUUUAGCAUAGUGCAGAAAAUAUACACAUGAAACAUUUUAUUUAUUUGUAAACCACAAUGUCAUAGUUUACAUCGAAAUUAUCAGCUUUCUUUUCUUGCAAGGUAUAAAUACUAUAGUAGCAGUAUAUAUAUACAUGUUUGAUGAUUGUUUCUUCUUCCAAAUCAGCAUCUCCCAUUCUUCACAACCUACUAUACAAUGGAAAAGAGUCAGUAAGAAGUUCUAGAAAUAAAAAAGAUACUCCAAAUUCACGAAAGAGUUCAUAACAAAAACACUCUAGAAAAGAAAGAUCAACAAGCCCUUGUGCUUUCUGGAAUAGACUGGAUAGACUGGAUAAAGUAAUAUCUUGUGCUUUCUGGAAUAAUGUCUUGGGUCAAAAUAAUUGAUGCACACAUAUCGCACAAGUCUAUAUAUUGAUGUCAUCAUGAGAUUUUACUGAAAUAUUUGAAGCCAAUUGCAUGUACAAUAUCAAUAGGGGAAAUCCAUGACCUAUGUGCAGAAACAACAUUUGGUAGUUGCAGAAGUUAGAUCAUUCAGAGCUUUUAUUCUAGCAUGCUAACUGAUAGGUCUUGCACACGGAAUUUAGUCACAACAACAUUCAUUCCAUACAAAUGUCGUUAAGUAUUACUGUAUUAAGAACUAUAGAAAUGUAUUUUAAGACAUCAGGAUCAGAAACUAUACCUGGGAUGCAGAUUUGUUAGGUGACGCCUCCACGGCGAAAUCAUAGUCUCACACUCUCGCUACUUCCCAUAAGAUCCAUAAUUCAGCAAGGACUUCAGUCUGUUAGUUGUGGCCUCAAAGCCUAUGAACAUAUCUACUAACAAUUAACUAAAUUCAUGUUAACAAAAGAAAGUUACCCCAAACAAAUGUGUAGCCGUCUUACAUCUCUCUCAACAGAACUGAAGUGCACAUGUUUCGUCUCUAGCAAAAUAUCUUCCUUGUUGUAUUUGUUCCAUUCUGGACUUCGUCGGUUUCAAAGGUACGAACAAAACAACUGUAAAAAAAUAAUGGCGGCACAAAUGAUGAUUCACCAUCUACAUAUUAUAAAGAAAAAACGAAGGAGAGACAGUGGCGACAUGUCGGAUGCGGGAUGUGGCCAACUUGGAUAAGUCAUCAUGCAACCAUGGGGCAUGGUUAGACAGCAAGCCCAGGGGCCGGUGCCAUCGAUCGGGCAGCCUAUCAGUGAUAGCGACUUACUUCCAUGUUAGGUCGUCCGUUUCACACAUCUGGAUGCAAGGAGCACCGCUAUUGGGUGGUUGAAUGUAGGGAUCGAUGGCGUCCUACGUAAAGUGAGGCCCGGAUGUAAUCUUAAAUAAAUCCAUCUGCACGUCAACUAAAAUCAGUUCCCAAAAAGAUAAAUCAAAGUUUAGAUAGAAUAAACAAAUACUGAAAUAGACUGGUCGCACCGAAACUUGCUAUGAACAAAAAACAUUAAGAGACUUUCUUGAUAAGGUAAUAAUGGUGUAGAACAAGAUAGAGAUAUUGCACGUCCUAGCUUGAACAACCAAUUCUUACCAGAUCUAAAUACCCUUUUGAUAAUCAACUAAACCUAGGAACAACAACUAAAGGAUAUUUGGCCACUAAUAAAUACAAACUAAAAAUCUAAUAAAUGAGUACAUGACAAGGUGUAACCUUGAAGAAGAUGCUAAAUCAGAUGUGAAACAACGCCCUGUAUCCUCUGUACAACACAAAAAUUCUGUAAUAGUCACGUAGAUAAAAUAUCAAACACUUGGUGUGCAAAAACAAAUAUCGUUAACCAUCAGUUUCUGCAUAUUCAUAAGGAUAUAUAAGUUCAAUCAGUCUCUACUUCCGAUCAUCUGAUAAUCCCUGUGAUAUGAAUGGUUGAACUCUUUACCUUGCCACAGUAGUUCCAGAUGAGCAAAUAGUUAGCAGUGGCUUCAUGCUUUCAUGCCUGUCACUCAGCUAGUCAUACUUAAAGAUAUAAAUUGUAGAUAAAGUGCAUCCCAUUCCACUCGAUUGUCAUCCUUGUCCCUGAAAUUGUACAUAAACAAACCGACCAUUUYYAGAUUWCUACCAAUUAGUUACUUCUAUCUAGUCACCUCCUUCCUUCGUAUUCUAAAAGAACUCGCACUUAUAUUUAGUUAUAAGUNNNNNNNNNNNNNNNNNNNNNNNNNNNNNNNNNNNNNNNNNNNNNNNNNNNNNNNNNNNNNNNNNNNNNNNNNNNNNNNNNNNNNNNNNNNNNNNNNNNNCGUUGGGAGCAGGUUAUUUGUGUUUNUGCAGGUCAACUUUGUGAUAACUCCUUCAACUGGAUCGAUACCUUGGUUCUCAAAAACUGUAGGGAAAUACUUUCCACCGUUGUGCUACAUCACCUUUCCGCUUCGAGGGAACACCAACGCAAGGCUCCAAGGCCACGGGGAAAUCCUUUGCAUAUUUUCCUAGGAAGUCCCUAAAGGCGUAGCCAUAGCAGAAGGAUUCCUCGUGCCGUUGCUAAGGAGAAUAAGGACAAGAACUAGUCUCCCGUCAGCACGUUGUUUCUGGCGCUGUUGGAAGGUCUUUUGUUGCAGUAGCAAUGAGCAUCUCCACAGCUCAUUGAUAUGCCUAGUUAAUGUGAUCAUCUUCUCCUUGUUUGUCUUGCAACCUCCACCACACUCCACACCACUUAUAGUGCUAAAAACCAUGGCUCACGCUCAUGUAUUGUGUGAGACUUGAAAAGGUUUGAGAAAGUAAAGGUGUGAAAACAAUUACUUGGCCAAUACCGGGGUUGUGCAUGAUUUAAAUUCGUUCUGCAAUGAUGAUAGAGCAUAGCCAGACUAUAUGCUUUUGUAGGGAUAACUUUAUUUUGGCCUUGUUAUUUUGAAAGUUCAUGAUUACCUUGCUAGUUUUCUUGAAGUAUUAUUGUUUCCACAUCAGUAGCAAACUAUUGUUUUGAAUCUAAUGGAUCUGAACAUUCACGUCACAUAAGAGGAGUUACAAAGGACAUCUAUGCUAGGUAGCAUGAAAGCAUCAAAAUUCAUUCUUUAUCACUUCCCUACUCGAGGAUGAGCAGGAGUUAAGCUUGGGGAUGCUUGAUACGUCUCAAACGUAUCUAUAAUUUUUUAUGGUUUCAUGCUGUUAUCUUGUCAUCUUUGGAUGUUUUAUGUACCUUUUAUAUCUUUUUUUGGGACUAACUUAUUAAUUCAGUGCCAAGUGCCAGUUCCUGUUUUUUUGUGUGUUUUUGGCUCUUUUCAUAUCUGAUUUUUAGAACGGAGUCCAAACGGAAUAAAAUCCCCGGAAUAAUUUUUUUCCCGAACGGAAGAAGAUUAGGGGGCAUGAGGGCCAAGGCAGGAGAUCUACAGGGGGCCCACAAGCCCUGUAGCCGCCACUAGGGGGGGCGGCGGCUACCAGGCUUGUGGCCUCCCUGGCGCCCCCCUGACCUAGCUCCUUCGCCUAUAUAUUCCCUAAAAUACAAGAAAAAAUAGGGGAAUCCACGAAAACACUUUUCCGCCGCCGCAAGCUUCCGUUUCCGCAAGAUCUCAUCUGGAGACCCUACCCGCCGCCCUGCCGGAGGGGACUUUGGAGUUGGAGGGCUUCUACAUCAACACCAUCACCCCUCAAAUGACUCGUGAGUAGUUCACUUCAGACCUACGGGUCCGUAGUUAGUAGCUAGAUGGCUUCUUCUCUCUCUUGGAUCUUCAAUACAAAGUUCUCCAUGAUCUUCAUGGAGAUCUAUCCGAUGUAAUCCUCUUUGUCUGUGUGUUUGUCGAGAUCCAUUGAAUUGUGGAUUUGUGAUUAGAUUAUCUAUGAUAUAUAUUUGAGUCUUUGUUGAUUUCUUAUAUGCAUGAUUUGAUAUCCUUGUAAGUCUCUCUGAGUCUUGGGUUUUGUUUGGCCAACUAGAUCUAUGAUUCUUGCAAUGGGAGAAGUGCUUGGUUUUGGGUUCAUACCGUGUGGUGACCUUUCCCAGUGACAGAAGGGGCAGCAAGGCACGCAUUGUGUUGUUGCCAUCRAGRGUAACAAGAUGGGCUUUUAUCGUAGAUAUGAUAUUGUCCAUCUACAUCAUGUCAUCUUGCUUAAGGCGUUACUCUGUUCUUUUGGACUUAAUACACUAGAUGCAUGCUGGAUAGCGGUCGACGUGUGGAGUAAUAGUAGUAGAUGCAGAAAGUAUCGGUCUACUUGUUUUGGACGUGAUGCCUAUAGAUAUAAUCAUUGCCAUAGAUGACGUCACGACUUUGCGCGGUUCUAUCAAUUGCUCAACAGUAAUUUGUUCACCCACCGUCUACUUGCUUUCAUGAGAGAAGGCACUAGUGAACACUAUGGCCCCCGGGUCUAUUCACACCUAUCGUUUCCACUUUCUCUUUUACUUUGCUUUGUUACUUUGUUGCUUUCAGUUCUCACUUGGCAAACAAUAUAUAAGGGAUUGACAACCCCUUCAUAGCAUUGGGAGCAAGCUCUUUGUGUUUGUUCAGGUACUUGUGAUAUUCCUUCAUUGGAUCGAUACCUUGGUUCUCAAAACUGAGGGAAAUACUUACCGCCGCUGUGCUACAUCACCCUUUCUGCUUCGAGGGAACACCAAUGCAAGGCUCCAAGGCCAGGGGGGAAAUCCUUUGCAUAUUUUCCUAGGAAGUCCCUAAAGGCGUAGCCGUAGCAGAAGGAUUCCUGGUGGCGUUGCUGAGGAGUAUCAAGACAAGAACAGUCUCCCGUCAGCACAUGUUUCUGGCGCCGUUGGAAGGUCUUUUGUUGCAGUAGCAGGUACCACCCUCCAAAAGGUAAUAGAUGUGGUAGAACAAUGAACUCCUUGCUCUUGUGCUUCUAAAGAUAGUCUCCUCAACACUCAAUCACUUUUUCUCAGAUUUGAAUGGGGUAGGAGAGAUUGAUCUUGUGGAAAACAACUUGGGGAGGCUAGAAAUCAAGGUUCAAAUGGUUGGAAUGGAAUCUCUUGAUCUCAACACAUGAGUAGGUGGCUCUCUCUUAGAAAAAUGGAUCUGGCAAGUGUAAGUGUGUUUUGAGUGCUUCCUUUACGAAUGAGAGGAGGUGGAGCGGUAUAUAUGGGCAUACCCCAAAAUCCAACCGUUACAACAUUAUUUCCCAACUCUGUGACACCGACAUGAAUCUCGAUGGUACCGAGUUGCACUAAAUGUGGAAACUUUUGAAUUCUCGGUGAGACCAAUAUAGGGAUCUCGGUGGUACCGAUACGAUGACCUACCUGGUUUCCAAAUCUCGGUGAGACAGAUUUCAAACUCAGAAAUUCCGAUUUGUGAAAUCUCCUCAACAGAAAGUUGAUCACGGAAUCUCGGUGGCACCGAUAGGAAUGUUGGUUGCACCGAAAUGGUAAGGUUUGGCAUAGGUUUUGUCAAGUGUAAAAUCGGUAGGGCCGAAUGGAAACUGUUGGCGGCAUCGAUUUUGCUGGUUUGUGUUUGGACAGAGAUAUUUUGUGGGAGAAUGGACGAGUAUUUUUCGUGGCUAUCUCUAAGCACUUGAGCAACCAAUUCAUCAUAAUACCUCAUUCCCUUUUAAUAGUAUUUGCUUUCCUAUGGACUCAGAGUGAUUUCUCACAAAGUAAAAUGAAGAGUCUUCUUCCUUAAAGCUUGAGCCAAUCCUAUUCCUUCCUUGCAUCAAGGGGCAUCUCCUCAGAAUCCUAUAUCCAAAGCAUCUUUGAAAUUUUCUGAAAUAUACUUGAAUAAACUCAUUAUUCCAAUGAUGCAUAUGUUGUGAUUAAUUACCAAAACCACCUUAGGGGGCAAUUGUGCUUUCAGUCUCCCCCUUUUUGGUAAUUGAUGACAACAUAUAGAUCAAAGCUUCGACAAAAGGUAUAAUCAAUGAAUAGCAUCGACGCUUUGAGAAGUUUGUGAAAAGCAGGAGCUCCCCCUAAAUUUGUGCAUUAUUUUGAAUUUGCAUUUGAAUGCAAAUGAACAAUCGAUUCAGAUCAUGUGUUACCGAUACGUCCAAAAUGCAUCACUAUUUUGUAUCAUAAUUUGUCUCUAUACAUUGAUAUAUUUCACAUUAUGAUGAUGUACUUAUAGUGUUUUGGCUUAUUUUACACAGUUUACAACUUUCCGGUGCCGAAACAGCAGACGUAGGAUUCCGUGGAGAAAAUAGCACGAAGAGUUACCAUAUCAGAACAUCUCCAACUGCGCUGAAAAUUUGAGGGAAGGAGUUUCCUAACAAACCCCGAAGACAUGCCGAAAAAGGGCCGGAGGGGGGCCACCCCUAGGCCGCGCCCAGAGGUCGCCUGGGUGGUGGGUCCCGCCUCCAGCUCUCUCCUUUGUCCUAUAUGAUCCUCUUUACCUAAAAGUUACAGGGAUAGAAUAGUUUUCGCAGUUCCGCCGCCGCUCUGCGGCGGAAAUCUACAAAGAAGAAAAGACCUUUUCAGCGGGCAGAUUCCGCCGAUGAGAACUCCUCUCGGAAGGGGAGAUCGUCCUCAUCGUCAUCACCAUCGUCACGGGCAUCAUCGAGAUCAUCAUCACCAUCAUCACCAUCACCAUCUCCAUCUCCAUCUUCAUCCCAUCCUCACUUCACCAUUNNNNNNNNNNNNNNNNNNNNNNNNNNNNNNNNNNNNNNNNNNNNNNNNNNNNNNNNNNNNNNNNNNNNNNNNNNNNNNNNNNNNNNNNNNNNNNNNNNNNAUAGGCGCAAGANCUAGGGCAGGGGGGCGGCUAGGGAGGCCGACAAGCCUGCCACCGCCGCCUCCCUCGGUGGCGGGAGUGGGGGCGUUGUGGGCUCCCUCGUAGCCCUCCUGGCUUGGCCCACACGCCCCCUGAUCUUCUUCCGUUCAGGAAAAAUCAUUUCGGGGAUUUUAUUCCGUUUGGACUCCGUUCCAAAAUCAGAUCUGAAAAAGAGACCAAAAACACACAAAAAACAGGAACUGGCACUUGGCACUGAAUUAAUAAGUUAGUCCCAAAAAAGAUAUAAAAGGUACAUAAAACAUCCAAAGAUGACAAGAUAACAGCAUGAAACCAUCAAAAAUUAUAGAUACGUUUGAUACGUAUCAAGCAUCCCCAAGCUUAACUCCUGCUCGUCCUCGAGUAGGGAAGUGAUAAAGAAUGAAUUUUUGAUCCUUUCAUGCUACCUAGCAUAGAUGUCCUUUGUAACUCCUCUUAUGUGACGUGAAUGUUCAGAUCCAUUAGAUUCAAAACAAUAGUUUGCUAUUGACAUGGAAACAAUAAUUAUUANNNNNNNNNNNNNNNNNNNNNNNNNNNNNNNNNNNNNNNNNNNNNNNNNNNNNNNNNNNNNNNNNNNNNNNNNNNNNNNNNNNNNNNNNNNNNNNNNNNNCACCAGGAAUCCUUCUGCUACGGCUACGCCUUUAGGGACUUCCUAGGAAAAUAUGCAAAGGAUUUCCCCAUGGCCUUGGAGCCUUGCGUUGGUGUUCCCUCGAAGCGGAAAGGGUGAUGUAGCGCAGCGGUGGUAAGUAUUUCCCUCAGUUUUGAGAACCAAGGUAUAAGAAAUCAGCAAAGACUCAAAUAUAUAUCAUAGAUAAUCUGAUAACAAAUCCACAAUUCAUCGGAUCUCGACAAACACACCGCCAAAUAAGAUUACAUCGGAUAGAUCUCCAUGAAGAUCAUGGAGAACUUUGUAUUGAAGAUCCAAGAGAGAGAAGAAGCCAUCUAGCUACUAACUACGGACCCGUAGGUCUGAUGGCGAUGAUGAUGAUGAAGAAGCCCUCCACUCCAAAGUCCCCUCCGGGAGGGCGCCGCGAAGGGUAUCCAGAUGAGAUCUCGCGGAAACGGAAGCUUGCGGCGGCGGAAAAGUAUUUUCGUGGAUCCCCUGAUUUUUUUCUGAUUUUUUAGGGAAUAUAUAGGUGCAAGAUCUAGGUCAGGGGGCGCGAGGGAGGCCACAAGCCUGCCCACCGCCGCCUCCCCCUGGUGGCGGAGUGGGCGCUUAUGGGCUCCCUGUAGCCCUCCUGGCUUGGCCCACAAGCCCCUGAUCUUCUUUCGUUCGGGAAAAAAUCAUUUCGGGGAUUUUAUUCCGUUUGGACUCCGUUCCAAAAUCAGAUCUGGAAAGAGCCAAAAACACAGAAAAAACAGGAACUGGCACUUGGCACUUGAUUAAUAAGUUAGUCCCAAAAAAGAUAUAAAAGGUACAUAAAACAUCCAAAGAUGACAAGAUAACAGCAUGAAACCAUCAAAAAUUAUAGAUACGUUUGAGACGUAUCACACAUCAAUAGAUAUCAAUGUGAAUGAGUAGGGAUUGCCAUACAAAUGAUGCACUAGAGCUAAGACUAUGUGAAAGCUCUUAAAGAAAACUUGUGGGUGUGCAUCCAACUUGCUUGCUCACGAAGACCUAAGGAGAAUUUGAGGAAGCCUAUCAUUCAAAUAUACAAGCCAAGUUAUGUAAUGAAAAUUUCCCACUAGCUAUAUGGUGGUGACAAACCGAGGGACUCUCAAUCAUGAAGAUCAUGAUGCUUAAUAUGCACAAGUGUGGAAGGAUAGUAGCAUUGUCCCUUCUAUCUUUUUCUCUCAUCAUUUUUUUGGUGGGCUCUUUGGGCUCNNNNNNNNNNNNNNNNNNNNNNNNNNNNNNNNNNNNNNNNNNNNNNNNNNNNNNNNNNNNNNNNNNNNNNNNNNNNNNNNNNNNNNNNNNNNNNNNNNNNAGAGCAAAAUCAACUAGCUCAAAAGAUAUAAGUGAAGCACAUGUGAGCUGAAUUCUCUACCAAAGGAUAUAAGCAUGUCUCUCUCUCUAGGUGUGCAGCUAGGAUGAUUGUGACACAGCAAAAAAUAAAAGACUCCUACGAUACAAGACGCUCCAAGCAAAACACAUAACAUGUGAUGAAUAAAAAUAUAGCCCCAAGUAACGUUACCGAUGGAUUGAAGACGAAAGAGGGGAUACCUUCCCGGGGCAUCCCCAAGCUUGAGCUCUUGCCACUCUUUAUCUUUCCGUCCAUAAGAACUUCAGCCAAAACUUGAAAACUUCACAACACGAAACUUAAACAUAAACUCGUGAUAACAUUAGUAUAAGAAAGCAAACCACCACUUCCUUAGGUACUGUAGAAAACUUAAAUUCUACUUAUGUUGAUGUUGGGUUACUGUAUUUUCAAUCUUGCAUGGCUAAUACCCCCCGAUACUAUCCAUAGUUUCAUCAAAAUAAGCAACCAACACAACAAAAAUAGAAUAUGUUAACAGCAGACCAGUCUAUAGCAAUUUGUAUACUUCGUAUACUUCUGGUACUUCAAAAAUUCUGAACAAUUAUGACAGUCUGAAGAAUUUGCGUAGCAAUCAGCAGCAAAAAGAAUCGACUCAAAAGCUCUUACAGAAAAAAAUGAAAAUUAUUUUCGUGAGCAGAAAGUUUCUGUCUUUUCCAGCAUGACCAAACGAUCAUCCCCAAGACUAAUCAUAACGGUUUUGCUUGGCACAAACGCAAAAAGAAACACAAAAACACAGUCAUAACAGAAUUAUGAAAGUGUGGAAAACACAAAACACAAAGAAAAAGGAUAGAUUCGUUGGGUUGCCUCCCAACAAGUGCUUUUGUUUAACGCCCUUAGCUAGGCAAAAGGUGAUGGAAUCACGUAUAGUCAUCUUUGGUGCUCAAACCAUAAGUAGUGUGAUCAUUUAUCAUCUUAAGAUCUUUAUCUUUAUAGAAUGACUCACCACUAGCUUUAGGAACAAAAACAGACUUGACGGUCUUUUUUAGAGUGAGAUUUGGAAUAUUUUGCACAGCGGCAAAAGCGGAACCCAAGUUGGUUAUGACAUCUUCUAGUUUGCCAAUUCUAGAAAAAUCAUUAACUAUAAGUUCCUUCUCCCUAAAAAAUUUCAGAACAUCUCCCACUUUGGAUCUGUACUGAGUAAUUUGAUUGUGGAUCUUUCUAUCCAAACCCUCAAUAAGUUCAAUUGUGGCAAUUUUGUUUACAAUAUCGUCAAGCCUUUGCAUCACGUGUUCCAAGCUUAAGGUAGUUCCAUUAACCAUGAGGAGGGGUGAGCCUACCAAAUUCAUGAUAGCUCCAUAGGAGUCAACGGUAUGGCUCCCCAAAAAAUUCCCGCCUACAAUGGUAUAAGGAUAUACCUAUUCCAAGGAGAAAUUACAACAUAAAAACUGCGAAGAAGAAAGGUAAUGGAUUGCUUGCGAGUAGAUCUACUUUGAGCAUUGCAAAUCCUGUACCAAGCAUCCUUUAAAUUUUCUUCCUCAUUCUGCCUAAAAUUGAGAACUUCAUUCUCAGGGGUAUCGUUUGGAGUGAUGGGUCUAGCCAUUGAUGGACAAUCUCACACACAAACGAGCAGGAAGAGAGAGUGAAACGGGAAAAAGAAAACGGCAAAGGAGAAAGGCAAAAAGGCAAAAGGCAAAAGAAAACAGCAAAGGUGAAAGGCAAAUGAAACGGCAAAUGUGAAGUGGGGGAGAGGAAAAUGAGAGGCAACUGGCAAAAAAAGUAAAUACAAGAGAUGAGUUUGUGAGACCUACUUGGAUAGAUCUCUCCUUCCCCGGCRACGGAGCCMGAAUAACUUCCUUGCUACCUAACAACAAAAGAACUCCUACGAGCUANAACAACNNNNNNNNNNNNNNNNNNNNNNNNNNNNNNNNNNNNNNNNNNNNNNNNNNNNNNNNNNNNNNNNNNNNNNNNNNNNNNNNNNNNNNNNNNNNNNNNNNNNUUUUCAGAUCUAGAUUUUUACGAACGGAGUUCCAAAACGGAAGAAAAAACCCUGAAAAUGAUUUUUUUUCCCGGACGGAAGAAGAUCAGGGGGGCCUUUGGGCCAGGCCAGGUGGGCUCCAGGGAGCCCCACAAGCCCCCCACUCCGCCACCAGGGGGGAGGCGGCGGGUGGGGCAGGCUUUGUGGCCCUCCCUUAGCCCGCCCCCCUGACCUAGAUCUUUGGCCUAUAAAUUCCCAAAUAUUCCRCAAAAAAAUCAGGGGAGCCUCGAAAAUAUUUUUCCGCCGCCGCAAGCUUCCGUUUCCGCGAGAUCUCAUCUGGAGACCCUUCCCGUGCGCCUUGCCGGAGGGGAAUUUGGAGGGGGAGGGCUUCUUCAUCAUCAUCAUCGCCCCUUCCAAUGACUUGUGAGUAGUUCACUUCAGACCUACGGGUCCGUAGUUAGUAGCUAGAUGGCUUCUUCUCUCUCUUGGAUCUUCAAUACAAAGUUCUCCAUGAUCUUCAUGGAGAUCUAUCCGAUGUAAUCUUCUUUGGCGGUGUGUUUGUCGAGAUCCGAUGAAUUGUGGAUUUGUGAUCAGAUUAUCUAUGAUAUAUAUUUGAGUCUUUGUUGAUUUCUUAUAUGCAUGAUUUGAUAUCCUUGUAAGUCUCUCCGAGUCUUGGGUUUUGUUUGGCCAACAAGAUCUAUGAUUCUUGCAAUGGGAGAAGUGCUUGGUUUUGGAUUCUACCAUGUGGUGACCUUUCCCGGUGACAUUAGGGAUAGCAAGGCACACAGGGGAGUAGKUGCCAUCAAGGGUAAAAAGAUGGGGUUUUUAUCAUUGGUUUGAGAUUAUCCCUCUACAUCAUGUCAUCUUGCUUAAGGCGUUACUCUGUUAUUAUGGACUUAAUACACUAGAUGCAUGCUGGAUAGCGGUCGACGUGUGNNNNNNNNNNNNNNNNNNNNNNNNNNNNNNNNNNNNNNNNNNNNNNNNNNNNNNNNNNNNNNNNNNNNNNNNNNNNNNNNNNNNNNNNNNNNNNNNNNNNUAUGAUUAAUUGAACUAAUUGUCAUGAACAUAGUCUAAUGGUCUUUGCAAAUUACGAUGUAGCUUGCGCUAUAGCUCUACUGUUUUUAUAUGUUCCUAGAGAAAAUUUAGUUGAAAGUUGAUAGUAGCAAACUUUGAAGGGGAUUGUCCUCGUUGCUGCGCAGAAGGCUUAUGUCCUUAAUGCACCACUCGGUGUGCUGCACCUCGAGCAUCGCCUAUGGAUGCUUUGAACAUCCGACAUACACGUUUCUGAUGACUACACGAUAGUUCAGUGCAAAAUACUUAAUGGCUUAGAAGCAAGGCAUCGAAGACGUUUUGAAACGUCACGGAACAUAAGUGAUGUUCUAAAGAGAUGAAAUUGUGAAGAACCAAGGUAUCAAUCCGGUGRAGGARURUCACAAGUACCUGAACAAACACAAAGAGCUUGCUCCCAACGCUAUGAAGGGGUUGUCAAUCCCUUAUAGAUUGUUUGCCAAGUGAGAACUGAAAGCAACAAGGUAACAAAGCAAAGUAAAAGCGAAAGUGGAAACGAUAGGUGUGAAUAGACCCGGGGGCCGUAGUGUUCACUAGUGGCUUCUCUCAUGACAACAAGUAGACGGUGGGUGAACAAAUUACUGUCGAGCAAUUGAUAGAACCGUGCAAAUUCGUGACGUCAUCUAUGGCAAUGAUUAUAUCUAUAGGCAUCACGUCCAAAACAAGUAGACCAAUACUUUCUGCAUUUACUACUAUUACUCCACACAUCGACCGCUAUGCAGCAUGCAUCUAGUGUAUUAAGUCCAAAAGAACAGAGUACCGCCUUAAGCAAGAUGACAUGAUGUAGAUGGACAAUCUCAUAUCUAUGAUAAAAGCCCAACUUGUUACAAUUGAUGGCAACAACGCGAUGCGUGCCUUGCUGCCCNNNNNNNNNNNNNNNNNNNNNNNNNNNNNNNNNNNNNNNNNNNNNNNNNNNNNNNNNNNNNNNNNNNNNNNNNNNNNNNNNNNNNNNNNNNNNNNNNNNNUUGCUCCACAUGCCGUGAAGUUGUCANAGAAUGCCUCAUGCACCAUCGAUGANGCAAGAGNNNGCGGANUCAACCACGCCHAGUAUGCCUUGAUGACGAUCCGAUAUGACACAUAUUUCCCUCUCAAACGGUAAUACUUUGGUUCUCAAAAUAUGCAAGAACCAUUCCCAGUUAACAUUGUUCUCUGCCUCAACCAAAGCAAAAGCCAAAGGCAUCAACCGGUUAUUGGCAUCACUUGCUAUUGCAACCAACAAAGUGCCCUUGAAUUGUCCGGUCAAAAACGUGCCAUCGAUGGAGAUGACAGGACGACAGUGCUGGAAGGCCCUCACACAUUGCUCAAAUGCCAAAAAAUGCACGACCAAAUACGCGAACCCUAUUUCCAUUCUUAAUCCUUGCAACCAUUUGAACCUUGAUUUCUAGCCUCCCAAGUUGUUUCCACAAGAUCAAUCUCUCCUACCCAUUCAAAUCUGAGAAAAAAAGUGAUUGAGUGUUGAGGAGACUAUCUUAGAAGCAACAAGAGCAAGGAGUUCAUUGUUCUACCACAUNNNNNNNNNNNNNNNNNNNNNNNNNNNNNNNNNNNNNNNNNNNNNNNNNNNNNNNNNNNNNNNNNNNNNNNNNNNNNNNNNNNNNNNNNNNNNNNNNNNNUUUUAUGUAUUGUGAGUAGUUCCGUUAGUUCUUGAGGACAGUAGGGAAGGAAGUCUAGAUGCUAGUAGUCAUAUGAUGUUGAAGUAAUAUGAGUUGAAUUAUUAUUUAAUUUAUGGAGUUAUUCUUCUAGUGGUGUUAUGUGAACGUCGACUACAUAACACUUCGCCUUUUUUAAGGACCUAGGGGAAUGCAUUGUGUAUAAAGAAGGCUUAUGGUGGGUUGCCGGAGUGACAGAAACCUGAACCCCAGUUCACAUACUUUUGCAUGAGGGAGUAUUGGAUCCUAAAUCUUAUUGCUAUGGUUAGGCUUUGCCUUAAUUUCUCUCUUGUAUUUGCGGAUGCUUGCAAGAGGGAUUAAUCAUAAGAGUGUACUUGUCUUAGCCUAGACGGUGCACUAGUAAAGAUCCUCCCACAUAACACUUACCAAUACAAAACAUAGUACUAGACGGAAUAUCUUGAAAGCACUUGACUAUAUCUCCCAUGUGUCCUCAGGAACGCCUUAGUCUUUAUAAGUUUAGUCCCUGGGCUUAUCCUUUGUGUUCAAAAUGAUUGGGCCACUUGCUGCACCUCGGAACCAUUUACUUUCCUUGCAUUUAUUUCCUUGUUGCUAUUACUAGAAAACCCAUAAAAAGUACCUUUCAGUACUUGAAGUUAUUCCUUGCUCAAGAUCACUUGUCAGUACCUUAUGCUCCUCGUGGGUUCGACACUCUACUCAUCGAAAAGGCUACGAUAGAUCCCCUAAACUUGUGGGUCAUCAGUUACUCUUCCAUGUCACAUACAACUUGGUGGUGUGCAUAAAUGAUAUGAAUGAAUAGUAAUGCACAUAGCACCAAACGUGAUGUGGAUGAUCAACAUGUAGAUAGGUGAUGUUUGCUGUGUAUCCCUGGCAAUAGUGCCAGAAAUACUUCUGCUACUGCACAAAAGACCUUCCAACGACGCGAGAGAUAGGCCCGUCGACGGGAGAAUACUUGGCUUGAUCUUUCUGUUGCGGCUACGCCUUAAGGGACUUCCUAGGAAAGUAUGCAAAGGAUUUCCCCCGUGGCCUUGGAGCUUUGCGUUGGUGUUCCCUCAAAGCGGAAAGGGUGAUGUAGCACAGCGACGGUAAGUAUUUCCCUCAGUUUGAGAACCAAGGUAUCAAUCCGGCAGAAGAGUAUCUCAAGAUCCUGCACAAACACAAAAGCUUGCACCCAACGCUAUGAAGGGGUUGUCAAUCCCUUAUAGAUUGUUUGCCAAGUGAGAACUGAAAGCAACAAAGUAACAAAGCAAAGUAAAAGCGGAGUUGUAAACGAUGGAUGUGAAUAGACCCCGGGGCCGUAGUGUUUACUAGUGGUUUCUCUCGUGAAAGCAAGUAAACGGUGGGUGAACAAACUACUGUCGAGCAAUUGAUAGAACUUUGCAGAGUCAUGACAAUAUCUAUGCAAUGAUUAUUUCUAUAGGCAUCACGUCCGAAACAAGUAGACCGAUACUGUCUGCAUCUACUACUAUUACUCCACACGUCAACCGCUAUCCAACAUGCAUCUAGUGUAUUAAGUCCAUAAGAACAGAGUAACACCUUAAGCAAGAUGACAUGAUGUAGAGGGAUAAUCUCAAACCAAUGAUAAAACCCCCAUAUUUUUACCCUUGAUGGCAACUUCUUGAUGUGUGCCUUGCUUCCCUUACUGUCACUGGGAAAGGUCACCACAUGGCAGAACCCACAACCAAGCACUUCUCCCAUUGCAAGAAUCAUAGACCUAGUUGGCCAAACAAAACCCAGACUCGAAGAGACUUACAAGGAUAUCAAAUCAUGCAUAUAAGAAAUCAGCAAAGACUCAAACAUANAUCAUAGAUAUCUUAUCGACAAGUCCANAUUCAUUGAUCUCGACAAACUACCGACCGUACCCAAAAAGUAAACGGAAUUUAACCGAACUUACGGGAAACUUAAGGGAACUUCUUACCNNNNNNNNNNNNNNNNNNNNNNNNNNNNNNNNNNNNNNNNNNNNNNNNNNNNNNNNNNNNNNNNNNNNNNNNNNNNNNNNNNNNNNNNNNNNNNNNNNNNAUUACGAACGAUAAUCGAACCUAACCCGUGGGUCUAACAAGGUUACCGGUASRUMGUAAUKAKGUUUUAAUUUUUCUAAACUGGACGUAAGAAGUAGUAGGAAGACCCGAGUCGCUGCAAGCAAUCGACCCGACCCUUGGGGGCUACACUAUUCACAUCAAAAUUUCUAAAGUCCCAGGUUGCUACACGCAAGACAACCCAGCACUUGGGGGCUACAACACUCAGUUGUUUCACAGAUCAUGAGGUUCAAAUUGAAGACCCGACCCAUCACACAAUGAUGAGCCGACCCUUGGAGGCUGCACCAAUUAAAGCUUUAUAAAGAAUAAGACAACUACAAGUUCAACGUUGUUGUAGGCAAGACAACCCGACACUUGGGGAUACAUGGUCAAAUAUAUUAACCGGGGGUGAUCUGCGCCGGCGCGCCGGCCUAGAUUUUCGGCCGGCCGCGCGCGGGUCACAGGAUCCAUCAACCCGCGUCGUCCGCNCCGUAGGAUCCGCAUGCAACAUUUUCCUUCUUAUGCAGCAAAAUUUCGAUGCUAUGCAACAAUUUUUUUCAACGGUUGCNNNNNNNNNNNNNNNNNNNNNNNNNNNNNNNNNNNNNNNNNNNNNNNNNNNNNNNNNNNNNNNNNNNNNNNNNNNNNNNNNNNNNNNNNNNNNNNNNNNNAGGUCAUCCUAUAUAUCAAUCUUCGUUUCCGGAACUGGUYCGGAAAYGAAGAUUGAUAUAUAGGAUGACCUCAUUUGGUUACCGGAAGGUUUUCGUGCAUUACCGRAAAAGUUUCGGGCUCAUCGGUAGUGUACUGGGAGUGCCGGGAGGGGUGCCGGGGGACCAUCAGGAGGGGGUGUCACGCCCCCAAGGGGUCUCAUGGGCUAUGGGAAGAGAUAAACCAGCCCCUAGUGGGCUGGAAUAAGUUCCCACUAAGGCCCAUAAGGUUUGAGAAGGAAAAAACACAAGGUGGAAAGAGUUUCCAAGUGGAAGGUGGAAUCCUACUCCAGGUAGGAUUGGAGUAGGACUCCUCCCACCUCCAAUUUCUGCCAAAUAGAGUUCAUCAACUCUCAAAAGUAUUUUCAAUGCGUCCAUAGAAGAAAACUACUACAAAAUAGACGAUUUGGCUAAGAGCGUUAGAUAGGAUGUCUUGUGGUUAUUGAUGUCUUUAGAAAGUUAGAUGCGNNNNNNNNNNNNNNNNNNNNNNNNNNNNNNNNNNNNNNNNNNNNNNNNNNNNNNNNNNNNNNNNNNNNNNNNNNNNNNNNNNNNNNNNNNNNNNNNNNNNGUUAUAUCAUCGGUGAUUGGUAUAAGCUAGAAGAACUGUGAAUGGCUUCAAGUCUAACAACAGUUGCAUAAGUCUCACCGUAGUCUAUACCUUCGACUUGUGUGUAUCAAAACUAGAUCACACUAAAACUUUAUUCUACUAUAUCAAGAUAUGACCAAAAGGAUCAAACGAAUAAAAAUGAAGAAAGUAAAAGGUGUGAUGGUGAUACGAUACUAGGGCACCUCCCCCCAAGCUUGGCACAAGCCAAGGGGAGUGCCCAUACCCAUGUGUUUAGUUGUCUUUCUUCGGAGAUCGGUGAUGUUGGAGUUGUUGGUGAGGUUGACGGCUUGUCCUCCGUCUUUCAAGGCAUGGGCUCACYGUAUCGUAAAAAAGAUGAACGAGUCUCCGGGAUCCUAAUAUCCUGCGUCCAAACUCAUUCUCUUAAAUUUGUAUUCAUUACCUCGACGGGUUUUUGGGUUUUUGCUAGGUCAUAGAUUCUGGGCUUGGAGAUGUCUCGUAUUUUCUUGUAAAAGUCUUUAGGAGACGUUGCCUUNNNNNNNNNNNNNNNNNNNNNNNNNNNNNNNNNNNNNNNNNNNNNNNNNNNNNNNNNNNNNNNNNNNNNNNNNNNNNNNNNNNNNNNNNNNNNNNNNNNNCUAGGCGCGUAGGCAUGACGCUAANGCGAGUACUACAUGUCAGUUGGUCGGAGUACGGGAAAAUACUCUGACGACUACUUCCGGGUGUGUGGUUACUACCGGACCGGCGAUAACGACGGGAAAAUUUCCACGUUCGAUAUGCUAUGGACGCGUGACACACGAACGGGCAAGAGUAUUCGGGUUCAUUAUCGUUUUUGUGAUCAACUUUUAUGUAAGUAAACKUUUCAAUCCGAGCUAUAAAUUAUGUUAUAUGAUUUUUCAAACUUUUCAUAAUAUUCUGAUUUUUUUUAUUAAUUUAUUAAAUCAAAUUUCGAACAGUGUCAUAACUUUUUAUACCGGAACAGACCUAGCCACACAGGCUGACUAGUGGGCCCAGUCAACUGUUGACUCAACUAUUAACUGGUCAGCUGGUCUAGUGGGACCCACAUAUCAUAGGCACACAGGGAGUAGGUAUANCNGGUUNUANCAUNGNUGCNUCUGCAGUGAGGUAGCGAGAAGUANGGACUAGAGACNNNNNNNNNNNNNNNNNNNNNNNNNNNNNNNNNNNNNNNNNNNNNNNNNNNNNNNNNNNNNNNNNNNNNNNNNNNNNNNNNNNNNNNNNNNNNNNNNNNNUCUCCGACUCAGCGUCUAGUACCAAGGUAUCGAUCCAGUGAAGGAGUAUCACAAGUGCCUGCACAAACACAAAUAACCUAGCUCCCAACGAUAUGAAGGGGUUGUCAAUCCCUUAUUGAUUGUUUGCAAAGUGAGAAACUGAAAGCAGCAAAGUAACAAAGCAAAGUAAAAGCAAAGGUGUAAACGAUAGAUGUGAAUAGACCCGGGGGCCGUAGUGUUUACUAGUGGCUUCUCUCAUGAAAGCAAGUAGACGGUGGGUGAACAAAUUACUGUCGAUCAAUUGAUAGAGUCGCGGAAAGUCGUGACGAUAUCUAUGGCAAUGAUUAUAUUUAUAGGCAUCACGUCCAAAACAAGUAGACCGAUACUUUCUGCAUCUAGUACUAUUACUCCACACGUCGACCGCUAUCCAACAUGCAUCUAGUGUAUUAAGUCCAAAAGAACGGACUAACGCCUUAAGCAAGAUGACAUGAUGUAGAUGGACAAUCUCAUAUCAAUGACAGAGCCUACCUUGUUACCCUUGAUGGCAACUACUCCCCUGUGUGCCUUGCUGCCCCUACUGUCAGUGGGAAAGGUCACCACAUGGUAAGAACCCAAAACCAAGCACUUCUCCCAUUGCAAGAAUCAUAGAUCUAGUUGGCCAAACAAAACCCAAGACUCGGAGAGGCUUACAAGGAUAUCAAAUCAUGCAUAUAAGAAAUCAACAAAUACUCAAAUAUAUAUCAUAGAUAAUCUCAUCACAAAUCCACAAUUCAUCAGAUCUCGACAAACACACCGCCAAACAAGAUUACAUCGGAUAGAUCUCCAUGAAGAUCAUGGAGAACUUUGUAUUGAAGAUCCAAGAGAGAGAAGAAGUCAUCUAGCUACUAACUACGGACCCGUAGGUCUGAAGUGAACUACUCACGAGUCAUUCGAGGGGCGAUGAUGAUGAUGAAGCCCUCCAACUCCAAAGUCUCCUCCGGCAAGGCACCAGGGGAWMGGCCAUAUGAGAUCUCGCGGAAACGGAAUUUUGCGGCGGCGCAAAAGUAUUUUCGUGGAUCCCUUGAUUUUUUUUUCUGCUUUUUAUGGAAUAUAUAGNNNNNNNNNNNNNNNNNNNNNNNNNNNNNNNNNNNNNNNNNNNNNNNNNNNNNNNNNNNNNNNNNNNNNNNNNNNNNNNNNNNNNNNNNNNNNNNNNNNNGAUCAUGGUGUCACNCCGGUGACGAUGAUGAUCAUGCGAUGCCUGAAGAUGGAGAUCGAAAGAGCAAAGAKGMKAAKGAGCYAGGURWGGGGGCGCCAGGGAGGCCACAAGCCUGGUAGCCGCCGCCCCCCUGUUGGCGGCUACACGGCUUGUGGGCCCCGUGUAGCUCUCCUGUCUUCGGCCCUCAAGCCCCCUGAUCUUCUUCUGUUCGGGAAAAAUCUAUUCCGGGGAUUUUAUUCCGUUUGGACUCCGUUCCAAAAUCAGAUCUGAGAAGAGCCAACUACAGAGAAAAACAGGAAGUGGCACUUGGCACUGAAUUAAUAAGUUAGUCCCAAAAAAGAUAUAAAGGGUACAUAAAACAUCCAAAGAUGACAAGAUAACAGCAUGAAACCAUCCUUGUCCCUCUUGGGCGCCUUACCCCUCCUUAUAUAGGUGAAGGGGUAUGUUUACAUGUAGAGUCCUACUAGGAGUAGGACUAGGGUUAGUCUCUCUAGAAUCAUAAUCAGGUCUUGUUUCCUUUGUUGNNNNNNNNNNNNNNNNNNNNNNNNNNNNNNNNNNNNNNNNNNNNNNNNNNNNNNNNNNNNNNNNNNNNNNNNNNNNNNNNNNNNNNNNNNNNNNNNNNNNUGGUCAUAGGAACAAAUACUUGACACGCAGAAAACAGUGGCAACAAAAUGACACGAUCAACAUGCUACGUCUAUUAGUUUGGGUCUAGUCCAUCACAUGAUUCUCCUAAUGAUGUGAUCCCGUUAUCAAGUAACAACACUUGCCUAUGGCCAGGAAACCUUGACCAUCUUUGAUCAACGAGCUAGUCAACUAGAGGCUUACUAGGGACAAUGUUUUGCUAUGUAUCCACACAAGUAUUGUGUUUCCAAUCAAUACAAUUAUAGCAUGGAUAAUAAACGAUUAUCAUGAACAAAGAAUAUAUAAUAAUAACUAAUUAUUAUUGCCUCUAGGGCAUAUUUCCAACAGUCUCCCACUUGCACUAGAGUCAAUAAUCUAGUUCACAUCACCAUGUGAUUUCAACGAAUCCAACACCCAUAUAGUUCUGGGGUCUGAUCACGUCUUGCUAUUGAGAGAGGUUUUAGUCAACGGUUCUGAAACUUUUAUCCGUGCGUUCUUUACAAAUCUUUAUGUCAUCUUAUAGAUGCUGCUACUACGUGCUAUUCGAAAAUGCUCCAAAUAUCUACUCUACUAUACGAAUCCGUUUUACUACUCAUAGUUAUUCGGAUUAGGGUCAAAGCUUGCAUCGACGUAACCCUUUACGACGAACUCUUUAACCACCUCCAUAAUCGAGAAAUAUACCUUAGUCCAUUAGUUACUAAGGAUAAAUUUGACGCUGCUAGUGUAUUCAUUCAUGGAUCACUCUCUGUACCUCUCAAAANNNNNNNNNNNNNNNNNNNNNNNNNNNNNNNNNNNNNNNNNNNNNNNNNNNNNNNNNNNNNNNNNNNNNNNNNNNNNNNNNNNNNNNNNNNNNNNNNNNNAUGAUAAUCGUCUAUUGUUCAUGCUAUAAUUGUAUUAACAGGAAACAGUAAUACAUGUGUGAAUAAAUAGAUCACAAUGUGUCCCUAGCAAGCCUCUAGUUGGCUAGCUCGUUAGUCAAUAGAUGAUCAUGGUUUCCUGAUCAUGGGCAUUAGAUGUCAUUGAUAACGGGAUCACAUCAUUGGGAGAAUGAUGUGAUGGACAAGACCCAAUCCUAAGCCUAGCACUAGAUCGUAUUGUUCGUAUGCUAAUGCUUUUCUAAUGUCAAGUAUCUUUUCCUUCGACCGUGAGAUUGUACAACUCCCGGAUACCGUAGGAGUGCUUUGGGUGUAUCAAACGUCACAACGUAAGUGGGUGACUAUAAAGGUGCACGUACGGGUACCUCCGAAAGUGUCUGUUGGGUUGGUACGAAUCGAGAUCGGGAUUUGUCACUCCGUGUGGACGGAGAGGUAUCACGUGGGCCCACUCAGUAGAACAUCAUCAUGAGCUCAAUGUGACUAAGGAGUUAGUCACACGAUGACGUGCUACGGAACGNNNNNNNNNNNNNNNNNNNNNNNNNNNNNNNNNNNNNNNNNNNNNNNNNNNNNNNNNNNNNNNNNNNNNNNNNNNNNNNNNNNNNNNNNNNNNNNNNNNNAAGCUUGGAGACGUGCUCCCCGAUGUCCUUGGCGUCUAGCUUGUGCUUAUGGGUAAACUCCGCGAUCAUCAUGUGAUUGGCAUUGAGUCCUCGUUCCACCGUCCCUUGGCACUUGAAAACUUGUUGCUCCAUUGUUUCGAGCCUUGUCUCCAUGCUUCCGGUCUUCUUUGGACCCUCAACAUCACGGAUGUGCAGCACCCCCUCAUGCAUCUUAAUGGUUUGAGGGUGUUGCAGCACCUCCCCAAGGUAGGGGUUGAUGACCUUCUCGAAGAACUUGUCCUUCGAAGCACUUGAAGACGUCAUGUUGAUCUAAAUCUGUUGCAUAAAUAGCUCAAAACAAAAACAAGAGAUAUUGUCGUGAUACAAAGGUCAAAACCUUCGGGGGGGUUAUAUAAUGAAUUUUUACCGACACGAAAGAGUAUACCACAAGAAAAUAGAGUCUGGAGGGCGGGGUGUCCACAAGCCACAGGGGCACGCCCAGGGGGUAGAGCGCGCCCCUCGAUUGUCGCCUCAUCAUGCACUUUUCAGACUCCUUUAAAUUUUCCUAAUUUUUUAAAUAUUCCAAAACUGAUAAAAAUUUACAUUGGAAAAGUUUUGGAAUCGGUUUGCUUACCGUAACACAUACCUAUUCCUUUUCGGAGUCUAAAACAUUGUGAUAGGUCUCCCUAAUGUACUCCUCCGGAAUUAUGGUAUUGAUAAUAUUGGUUUCAACAUUUAUGGGAGUACCUGAGAUAUAAUGUUUGAUUUUUUCCCAUUUACCACCUUCGGAUUCAGUGGUAGCGUAGUUUCUUUGAGCACUGUCUAGAGUUUUACUAGCAUAAUGGAUAACAUUUAAUUUCUUAUCAACUAUUUGUCCUAGAACAACACCAACAUGAUAAUCACUAGCAUCACACAUAAAUUCAAAGGGUAGGUUCCAAUCAGGUGGUUGAACAACAGGUGUAUUGAUCAAGGCUCUCUUAAGAAUUUGAAAUGCUUCUACACAAUCAUCAUCAAAAAUGAAUGGAACAUCGUUUUGCAAAAGAUUAGUGAGAGGCCUAGAAAUCUUAGAGAAGUCUUUAAUAAACCUCCUAUAGAAACUAGCAUGACCAAGGAAACUUCUUAUACCUUAGAUAUCUGUAGGACACGGCAUUUUUUCAAUAGCAUCAACUUUAGCUUUAUCAACUUCAAUACCUCUUUCGGAGAUUUUGUGCCCCAAGACAAUGCCUUCAUUAACCAUAAAGUGGCACUUCUCCCAAUUCUCGACAAGAUUAAUUUCUUCACAUCUCUGCAAAACUCGAUCAAGGUUGCCCAAGCAAUCAUGAAAACAAGUUCUGUAAACGGAAAAAUCAUCCAUGAAAACCUCAACAAUCUUUUCAUAAAAGUCAAAGAAUAUGGCCAUCGUACAUUUUUGAAAGGUAGCAGGUGCAUUGCAUAAACCAAAAGGCAUACGUCUAUAAGCAAAGGUACCGAAAGGGCAAGUAAAAGUGGUCCUCUCUUGAUCCUCUUUUGACACAGGUAUUUGAGAGAAACUAGAAUAACCGUCUAGAAAGCAAAAAUGUGUAUGUUUGGAUGGUCUUUCUAGAAUUUUAUCAAUAAAAGGUAGAGGGUAAUGAUCUUUCCUGGUAGCUUUAUUUAAUUUCCUAGAAUCAAUUACCAUUCGAUAUCCUGUAACAAUCCUGUGAGGGAUCAAUUCAUUUUUAUCAUUAGGAACUACGGUAAUACCUCCCUUUUUAGGGUCACAAUGAACGGGACUAACCCAUCUACUAUCAGCAAUAAGAUAAAUUGUACCUGCCUCCAGAAGCUUUAGUAUUUCAUUUCUUACCACUUCCUUCAUUUUAGGAUUUAACCGUCGUUGGUGAUCAACAACUGGUUUAGCAUCAGGCUCCAUAUUGUUUUUUUGCUGACAUAGAGUGGGACUAAUGCCCUUAAGAUCAUCUAGAGUAUAUCCAAUAGCAGCACGGUGCUUCCUCAAAGUUUUCAAUAAUCUCUUUUCUUCAUGCUGUGGAAGGUUAGCACUAAUAAUAACAUGAUAUAUAUCCUUGUUAUCAAGAUAAGCAUACUUCAGAGUAUCAAGUAAUUGUUUAAGCUCAAACACGGGAUCACCCUUGGGUGGAGGAGGAUCCCCAAGUAUUUCAACAGGCAGGUUGUGUUUCAAAAUAGGUUGUUGAUCAAACAAUAUCUUAUCUAUUUCAUUCCUUCCAUUCAUAUGUAUAUCAUUUUCAUGGUAUAGCAAAUAUUGUUCUAAGGGAUCAGUAGGAGGCACAGCGAUAGAAGCGAGACCAAUAAUUUCAUCUUUACUAGGCAAUUCUUUCUCAUGGGGUUGUCUACAAAAUUUAGAGAAAAUUAACUCAUGAGACACAUCCCCAAAGCUUACAGUGACAGUUUCUUUCUCACAAUCAAUCUUAGCAUUAAUAGUAUUCAAGAAGGUUCUACCAAAUAUAAUGGGACAAAAAUCAUCUUGUGGGGAACCAAGAACAAGAAAAUCAGUAGGAUACUUUAUUUUCCCACACAAAACUUCAACAUCUCUAACAAUCCCAAUUGGUGCAAUAGUAUCUCUAUUGGCAAGCUUAAUGGUAACAUCAAUUUAUUCUAAUUCAGUUGGUGCAAUAUCAUUCAUAAUUUCUUGGUAUAAGGUAAAAGGAAUUGCACUCACACUAGCACCCACAUCACAUAAGUCAUGAUAAAAAUGAUAUCCUAUUUUAACAGAAACAACAGGCACGCCAACAAUAGGUCUAUGUUUACCUUUAGUAUCAGGUCUAGCAACUCCACUAGGUUCAUCAUAGAAAUGAAUAACAUGUUCAUCAAUAUUAUCAACCAAGAGAUCUUUAACCAUAUAAAUACUAGGUUCAACUUUAAUUUAUUCAGGAGGCAUAUGUGUUCUAGCACAACUCUUACGAACCACAGUUGAAGCCUUAGCAUCUUCCUUUAUUCUAACAGGAAAGGGUGGUUUCUCAAUAUAAGCAGUAGGAAUAACAGGAUCAGUAUUAUAAAUAAUAAUUUAUUCUUCAACUUUAAUAGGUUCAACUACUUUAACUUCAAUGGGAGGAUGAUAUUUAAACCACUUCUCCUUGGGGAGAUCAACAUGAGCAGCAAAAGAUUCACAGAAAGAAGCUACUAUCUCAGAGUCAAGUCCAUAUUUAGUGCUAAUAUCAUGAAAAGCAUCGGUGUCUAUAAAGGAUUUAACACAAUCAAACUUAAGGCUUAUACCUGACUCAUUACCUUCAUCGAGUUACCAAUCUUCAGAGUUGUGUUUAAUUCUUUCCAAUAAGUCCAUUUUUGAAUUCAAUAUCUUUCUUCAUAAAAGAACCAACACAAGAAGUAUCGAGCAUGGAUUGAUCAUUAUGAAAGAGCUGAGCAUAAACUUUUUGAAUAAUAAUUUCUCUCGGGAGCUCAUGAUUGGGGCAUGAAUAUAACAUUGAAUUAAGACUCUACCAAGCUUGAGCGAUUCUUUCUCCUUUGGGAGGACAAAAAUUAUAAAUAUAAUUCAGAUCACGAUGAACCAGAUGCAUAGGAUAAAACUUGUGAUGAAAUUCCAAUUUGAAUCGGUUGUAGUUCCAUGAUCCAAUAUCAUCACAUAGCCUAUACCACGUCAAUGCCUUAUCCUUCAAAGAUAAAGGAAAUACCUUCUUCUUGACAUCAUCCUCGGGCAGACCUGCAAGCUUAAAUAAUCCACAAACUUCAUCCACAUAGAUUAGAUGCAAAUCAGGAUGUAGUCUUCCAUCUCGUGCAUAAGGACUAGCUAGCAGUUUUUCUAUCAUACCCGAAGGAAUUUCAUAAUAAAUAUUUUCAGUAGGUGCAGUGGGUUGAGGAGCAUCUCUUUGUUCUUCCGGUCAGGGUGAAGAACCCCAAACAAGCACCUCAAAGAAUUAUUUUCCAUAGUAACGAGUGACAACAAAUUUCAACACAAUAUAUAAAUUUUUCCUUAGCAAUUUCCACUCACCAAAGGCGCUUCACUCCCCGGCAACGGUGCCAGAAAAGAGUCUUGAUGACCCACAAGUAUAGGUGAUCUAUCGUAGUCCUUUCGAUAAGUAAGAGUGUCGAACCCAAUGAGGAACACAAGGAAAUGACAAGCGGUUUUCGGUAAGGUAUUCUCUGCAAGCACUGAAAUUAUCGGUAAUAGAUAGUUUUGUGAUAAGGUAAUUCGUAAUGGGUAGCAAGUAACAAAUGUAAAAAAGGUGCAGCAGGGUCGCCCAAUCCUUUUUAUAGCAAAGGAAAAGCCUGGACAAACUCUUAUAUAAAGCAAGGCGCUCGCGAGGACACAUGGGAAUUUCUGUCAAGCUAGUUUUCAUCAUGCUCAUAUGAUUCGCGUUCGUUACUUUGAUAAUUUGAUAUGUGGGUGGACCGAUGAUUGGGUGCUUCCCUUACAUGGACAAACAUUCCACUUAUGAUUAACAUCUCUCACAAGCAUCCGCAAAUACGAAAGAAUAAUUAAGAUAAAUCAAACCAUAGCAUGAAACAUAUGGAUCCAAAUCAACCCCUUACGAAGCAACACAUAAACUAGGGUUUAAGCUUCUGUCACUCUAGCAACCCAUCAUCUACUUAUUACUUCCCAAUGUCUUCUCCUAGGCCCAAAUAAUGGUGAAGUGUCAUGUAGUUGACGUUCACAUAACACCACUAGGGGAGAGACAACAUACAUGUCAUCAAAAUAUCGAAUGAAUACCAAAUUCACAUGAUUACUUAUAACAAGACUUAUCCCAUGUCCUCGAACAAACAUAAUUACUCAUAAAGCAUAUUCAUGUUCAUAAUCAGAGGAGUAUUAAUGAUCAUUAAGGAUCUGAACAUAUGAUCUUCCACCAAGUAAACCAACUAGAAUCAAUUACAAGGAGUAAUCAACACUACUAGCAAGCCAAAUGUACCAAUCUGAAGUUUUGAGACAAAGAUCGGAUACAAGAGAUGAACUAGGGUUUGGAGAGGAGAUGGUGCUGAUGACAAUGUUGAUGGAGAUUGCCCCCCUCUCGGUGAGAGGAUCGUUGGUGAUGACGAUGGCUUCGAUUUCCCCCUCCGGGAGGGAAGUUUCCCUCGCAGAACAGCUUCGCCGGAGCCCUAGAUUGGUUCUGCCCAUGUUUCGCCUCGAGACGGCAGCACUUUGCCUCGAAAAUUCUGAUAUGAUUUUUCCCAGGUCAAAACCCUUCAUAUAGAAUAAGAUGGGCACUGGAGGCCUGCCAGGGGGCCCACAAGCCUGUAGGGCGCGCCUAGGGGGUAGGGCGCGCCCCUUGGCUUGUGGCCACCUGGUGGGUCCCCUGAUGUAUUUCUUUCGCCCAAUAUUUUUUGUAUAUUCCAAACUAAUUCUCCAUAAAUUAUCAGGACUUUUAGAGUUGUGCAGAAUAGAUCUAUCAGAUUUGCUCCUUUUCCGGUCCAGAAUUCCAGCUGUCAGCAUUCUCCCUCUCCAUGUAAACCUUGUAAAAUAAGAGAGAAAAGGCAUAAGUAUUGUACCACAAUGUGUAUUAAUAGCCCAUAAUGCAAUAAAUAUCGAUAUAAAAGCAUGAUGCAAAAUGGACGUAUCAGUACGUCGUCGAGAACUCAUGUGAGAUACCUUCUUCGUCAACAAAAGUAUCCACAUUCGUGUUCUUGAACUCCGUUUUGUUGUCUCUCCGAACCUUCUUGAUCUUCACUUCAAACUGAUUGUGAGCUUUCCGAGCAAAGUUCUUGAAGAUCUUUUGUACCUGCGACUUAUCAUCAAGAAAGAUCACCCACGUAAAUCUGGAAAAAUCAUCAACAAUGACUAAACCAUAAGAAUUUCCAUCGAGACUCCUGUAAGCAUUGGGACCAAAGAGAUCCAUGUGAAGCAGCUCGAGUGGUCUUCUAGUAGUCAUGAUGUUCUUCACGGGAUGACUUCCACCAACUUGAUUUCCUGCUUGACAAGCACUACAAAGUCUAUCUUUGUCAAAGAUAACAUCUUUAACACCGAGAAUAUGAUCACCUUUGAUAAGUUUGUCAAGAUUACGCAUACCAACAUGUCCUAACCUUCUAUGCCAUAACUAGCCUUGAAGAUCUUGCGAUAAGACAUGUACGAGUUUUGGAUAUCUUAGAGAAAUCAACAAUGUAUAGAUCACCUCUAUGGAAUCCAGUAAAGACAAUGUUAUGAUUGUCGCUAUGAAACACUCGACAGUCAACUUUCGUAAAUAGCACAUUGAAACCGAAGUCUGUUAGUCUAGAUACAAAAAGAAGAUUGUAGCCAAGGGAUUCAACAAGCAUGACAUUUUGAAUGGAACUAUCAUGAUGUACGACCACCUUACCAAGACCAAGCACCUUACCCUUGGAGCUAUCUCGAAAAGUCACAUACAUUCGAGGUCCACGGUUUGGUGUAAUUUCAUGGAACAUGUCUUUAUCUCUGGUCAUGUGAUUGGUACAUCCACUAUCCAGAACCCACUCCUUUCCACAUGCCAUGUAGUCUCUAAGGUUCGCCAUAAGACGAAGGUUCCUCAUGGUCUUCUCAUACUCGAUGUAUAAGUUCUCAUCUUCAUCAUAGUAUCCAUGCUCCACAUAAUCAUCACCGGAUGAAGUUCCCUCAUAAAUAAGAGUUUCAUCAGAAUUUUGACUAUGAAAAUGUUCAUGUUUAUGCAUUCGAAUGGCUUCAACAAUGAUAUUGUUAAUAGUAAUGACAUAUCCUUUGGCAUGCAUGAGGUCAUGAAACUCAAAUAGACGUUUAUCAAAAUUAUGAUCGAUUGGCUUCAUUUUGUGAAAAGCAAUGCAUUUGUGGACAAUGAUAUCAAGAUUUUUCAAGCAAUAAUUUGGAUAUCUUUUAUGUUUUUCCACAAGGUAUGAGCACACUCAAAGUUUUGCAACUGAUUAAGCACAUUUCUUGGUAAUCCUCUAAUGAUUAGAUUGACAGUGUUAAGAUUACCAAGCAUAUCAAUUUCAUCAUCAUGAGAAGGAUGUAUGGGGUCAAUGGGAGGCGCAUAGGGGUAUUCAACAUACUUGCGCAAAUGGAACUCAUCAAAUAUAUCAAGGAUUUCAUCUUUUCAUUGUCUAAAAUACUCCCCACCAAGAAUAGGCACUCUACAACUAAAAAUCCCGGAACUAGUCACACUCAUCUUCCUCCAACGGUGAUUAAACCAAGGUUUUGGAGACCUUGCCUGGGUACCAAUUAUAGGUUCCAUAGAAGAUGUGUAUAGAGAGGGGUGAAUAGACUACUUGUCUAGAUAAAAUUCCUAGCUUAACCCAAUUUCAAGGAAGGCUGAAAUCCAGCAGUUCUAACAAGUCUAGUACACCCUACACAUGCUAGUCAACAUAUAUGACAGCGGAAAAGUAAAUACUUUGCACACGUAAAGUAGUAAAGUUUAGGAGAUCAAACGCAAAGAGGUUGACACAACAUUUUUUGGCAUGGUUCCGAUAGGUGGCGCUAUCGUACGUUCAUAUUAGUGGAGACUUCAACCCAUGGAAGGUAACAACUGCAAGAAUCCAUGGAGGGAUCCACCCACAAGGGGUCCACGAAGAAGCGGCCUUGUCUAUUCCACCACGACAUUCACCAACGAAGGACUAGCCUUACUCAGAGUAGAUCUUCACGAAGUAGGCGAUCUCCUUGCCCUAACAAACAUCUUGGUUCAACUCCACAACAUGAAGUAGGAGGCUCCCAAGCGACACCUAACCAAUCUAGGAGGCACCACCGUCCAAAAGGUAAUAGAUGUGGUAGAUCAAUGAACUCCUUGCUCUUAUGCUUCUAAAGAUAGUCUCCUCAACACAAAAUCACUCUCUCGCAGAAUAGGUGUCGGGGGUAUACCCCGCGGUGUAACCCGGCUUGAAGUAUGACCCGGCAGGCGACUAAGACAAACGAUAAAAACUCAACGGCCUAGAAGGCGGCUCAUGGGAGGGCCGAUUCACAGACAAGGCCCAAGGAAAGGAAGGACUCCCUCACAAAGGAAACAAGACCCUGAUUAUGAUUCUAGAGAGACUAACCCUAGUCCUACUCCUAGUAGGACUCUACAUGUAAACAUACCCCUUUCACCUAUAUAAGGAGGGGUAAGGCGCCCCAAGAGGGACAAGUUCAAGUCAUUAGAGAUAGAUAGAUUAGACACCCUCGAGAUUAGAGGUAGCGAUUCCACACCCUUGUAAUCGAGAUCAUCAUCUUCAUCAAUGAAAGACAAGCAAGACGUAGGCUUUUACCUCCAUCGAAGGGGCCAAACCUAGGUAAACUCGUGUCUCUCGAUUCCGACCAACCCCUCUUAAGCCGUCACAUAGAUGCGAUGGCUCCACACCUAAGUCCUUGUACGAGGACAUAUGUCGUGAUAAAACCACGACAUUUAACGCCCAUUGUGGGGCCGUGCAUGUUCAUGUUGUGUUCUUAAUGGAGCCUUAUAAGGAUCAGGAGGCUCAAGAUCGGUCGUUUGAGGAAGAGCUGCCAUCAAGGAAUCUUCAUUGAUGACUACUUUGAUCUAAUCUAUGAUCGAGACCGGAAUAAAAUUUUGUGGUGCCGUCAAUACACGACAUCGAGCGAUCUGCACAAAAUACUGGUGAUCCGCCAUCCGCACGGUGGCCCUGUUCACAUCUUCGCGCUACGGCUGGUUGUAAUGGAUAGUAUCAUAUACUAGUAUCAUGCAUAUGAUAGUAGUCUAUGAUACCACAUCCGUAAUGUAUAGUAUCAUAUGUUAGUAUUAUAGAGUAGUUCAUUUAUUGUCAUGCAAGACACAUACUCCCUUCGUCUUGGUUUAUAAGUCAUCUUAGGUUGUGCACCGUAACCAAGACGGAGAGGAAAACAAGAGAAAUUAAUGUUAACUUGUUAAUUAAUACCAUUGCAUGCAAUGAAUUGACCAAUGCAUGUCGUGCUAGUUAGUCUUAAGUCAUUAAAAACAUAAACGGCCCACGUCUCUUAUUGGUUGAUUCCUUUAUUCAAGUAAAAAAUAAAAAACGAGGUGAAAGUUAAUGCAUCGUGCCUUAGUGUUUUGGAAUUAUCUGAUUUUCGUAAAAUGACUUAUAAACCGAAACGGAGGGAGUAGUAGCACAUCAUUUAAUAUGAUACGGUAUCAUGAUAUGAUACUCAACUCUUUCUUUCUUCAUUUAAUUCUAUGUCACCUCAUUGAGAUUGCCUAGUUGGCAUACAUGAUACUAUCUAUGAUACUCCUAUUACGGGCAAUCUAGUGGAAACACGAGGGAUCAACUAGAUCCUCCAGAUUAUGUCGCUCCAUCGCACACCGUUAUGCAACAAGCUGUCAGAUCUGCCGGUUGAAGGAACGAGUUUCAAAGUACAUGCACGGCUGCUACAAAUCCACGGAAUUUGCUCAUGCAUUGGAAUCAAGCAGCGCAUAGGCAAAAAGCUCCAAAUUGCAGCCGGCAAUUAUGUAUGUCGCAAAUCUACUAUUGCAGCGCAGCCGACGUCGGUGAAAAAGCAAAGAUUAGUAAAGACUAAAGAAGGUCGGGCUCGAAGAAACAAAUCGCAGGCCAGCAGGUUGCAUGUGAUGCAAAAAAAGAACUCUUUUAUUGUUCUGACCUUAAUCUAAAACUAUAGUAUAAAAUGAACGAUGUAUAAAACUAUUUCACGAUCUGACCUUUUUUAGAAACGUCACAACCCGUGAUGUUGCUACUGCAUGUAGAAACGUCAGUCUACCAUGACGUUUCUGCUUCACAUUCACACACCUAACUAGCUCCCAUUGUAGGCAAACGCCGUGGAUCAUGGUGUUGCUGGUCAAAUGCCAUGUACGAUGGUCAAGACAAUGAUUUCUGGAGCGGCUGCAUGCAGCCUGCUGCCCGUGGCACCCCUGUUGGCUGCAUGUACCAUGGCGUUUGGGUCUUGCCGUCGUGGGAUCAACUGCCUUCCCGUGCGACGGAUCUGACAGCAAGGGCCAUGUUUAGCACAGUGUCGCCUGUGUCGCCUGUGUUAGCGAUAACUCAUUUUGUUUCUUCUGCAUCCAAACAGACCACAUCGCCAACGGCACGAGGCUUCAACUCCUUUGGCUAAAAAAACAAUCAGCGGUUCUUUUUUUUCCUUUUUCUUGUUUCAUUCCGUUCACGUGAGGUCCCACGCGAUCCCUUGGAUCGAUCAGCUACGAAGUUUCUUCAGCCUACGAGUAAUUACACUAGUCUGGACGCUAGAGAUACUCUAUCAUCAGAUUCAGAAAAGGACGAAAAGUUGGCCUUGCGCGUGGCGUGCCGGAGUGAAUCAUCUAUUCACGCGCAAAAUUGUUUCUUGUGAGUGAUGCACUGGCAUGGGAUUCCCGUGGAUGGCGCCUUCUGCAUGCAGCCAACAGGAACGCCACGGACAGCGAUGCCUGCUGCCUGCUGCAUGCGACCUGGGUACACUACGUUUGACCAGCAACGUCAUGAUUCACAACGUUUGCAGCCUGGGUAGUAAUGCCAAAAUCAAUGGCGUUUCUAUAAGGCUGCAACGCGAACUAGUUAGACGUUUUAAUAUGGAACAGAAACGUCAAUAUAGACUGUUGUUUUUAUGUAGAGCAGCAACGUCACGGGCUCUAACGUUUUUAAAAGGGUCAAAUCAUAAAAUAGAUCCGUACAUAGUUUAUUUUGUCAUGUACUUUCAGAUUAAGGUCGAAUAGUAGUAAAAAAGUCUAAAAAGGGACACGAAAAGAGUUCGGGUACAAUGGAGAAACAAACGUAGAUCCUUUCUUGUCUCUUCGGCAGAUGCCAAACAUCAGCCAGCGAAACAGACCAUCACCGGGCACUAGUAGUACUACUGAAUUUAGUUGAGAGCCUCUGUUUUGCGUGAGAUCUAAUUUAGUACAGCACGUUUUUUCCCUUGUAUCUUGAGAAACAAAGAAAAUACUAGUUGAGGCAGCCACCUCUCUGUACAAGCGCAACACCCAAGGUCAUCAAUCAAAAGGUAAAAGUAGUACUUCCUGGUUUAGAAGGCGUGCAUGCAAAUUCUCUAGGACCUAGGUGGUUAUUGAUUGAUUGUGAAAUGAGUUAAAAAAUAACAUUCACACUACGCAUGCAUAUAGAACUAGUACAACGGAGUACUAAGAGCAUCUCCAACAGUCCGUAUGUUCAAUCGUUGGUAUAAGUGUCCACAUCAACAACCAACAGCACAUCAUACAAGCUUUUCAAUAAAGUGUAUGUUAAUCGUAUGUAAAAUAACUAAACGGGUCCACUAAACAUGAAAGAAAUAACCAUGCUUGCCUCGGAGCUUGUGCGUGAACCGUUGCUUCAAGUUCAUACGAUCUCAUUCUCUCUCUUCUUUUAUUAUGCGCCAUGUCAUCAAAAUCAUUUAUGUGGCAAUUUUACCAACGAUGAUCAUACAACCAUUGGAGAUGCCCUAAUUAGGUAACGUGCCUUAAUCUUUGUUUAUUUUGAAAACGCACGCAAUUCUAACUGUGCCUUCUAAACCCUAUCGGAGGAAGUACUACCUUCAUUUUUAUAUAGAAGGUCACUAUUAGAAUUAUAAUUUACAUAUAUACAAUAGCAAUAACACUAAUCGAUGUAAUAUUAAUAAUGUUUACCUCAUACUUUCUCCGACACGAUUUAGAAGGCACAGUUAAAGUUGCGUGCGUUUCCAAAAAGACAAAGAUUAAAACACGUUGCAUUUACUCCUAGCAGCUAAUUAGUACUCGGUUGUACUACUUCUAUAUGCAUGCGUAGUGUGAAUAUUAUUUUUUAACUCAUUUCAUAGCCAAUCAAUAACCACCUAGGUUCUAGAGAAUUUGCAUGCACGUCUUCUAAACCGUGACGGAGAGAGUACUACAGUAGCAAAAAAGAAUAUUAGUUAUCCCUUGCAUGCAUGCAGGAGUACAUACUAAUUUACACCGUAAAUAAGGAGACCAGUUCUGCAACAUUGACUUAGAAAACAUUAAUUUUUGACUUGAUACGUGUAAUGUGAAUUUGUAGCUUUGUAUAUAAAAAUGGAGAGAGUACUGCUGGUACGAGCUUGGAGAAUAUCUGGACAGAAUUCAUGGACUCACGUACUGCACAAUUAUUUUUGACGCCCUCCGCCUGUGGCACGCUCCGUCUCCGACAACCGCAAGGCCCCGCCUCCGAGUUCCAAUCGCCCCUCAUCUCCUUGGACUAAAACGAGAUCGAGCCCCGCCGCAGCUGCCCUGUCUGCUGAGUUCCGGGAUAUCCCUCGGAGUAUCGUUGGCAAAAAGAAAAGGAGGAGAUGAAGGCGGAUGAAUACCAGGGAUUAAGGCGGAUGAGUACUCGUCUCCGCCUGACCGUCCUGCUGUACAGGCCGUGGUCCUCAUCUGAGAGCUGGAAGAAAAGGUUAUGCACCAUCAUCCCUCUGCAUCGCUGCACUCUCCUGCCCGAGCACGCGCCCUGCACCAGCGCUCGUCUGCGCCUAUGCGCACCUGUGCACGCCUCGUCCGUUCCCGCCUUUGCUGUCACUGCGCUCUCAGUAGGCACCCCAUCUCCGCACUUCCAGCACCGCAGCUCGCCUCGCCCCAUGGUCGGCUGCGAGUCACCUCGCCUCGGCGGAUCCAUCUCAAAACACCGCCGCGCAUCAGUACUCGCCACGGCCGUUUCCGUGCCUCCACCUUGCUACACCGCGCCGGCCGGCUGCCGCUCGUCUCGCCUCCACAGGAAGAUUUACAGUACGGUGUCUUAUUGGUAAAAAAACAAGGAACCACGUGGGUGCUAUUAUUACACCAGAAAUAGGCAAAAUUGACAAAAAUGACCCCUGGGUCGAAAGAACUCACGGAUUGACCCCUCGGGGAAAUAAUUCACCGGCCUGAUCCUUUUGUGUGGCGCCCGACACCUAGGCGCCACACUGUACUGUGUGACGCCUAGAGGUUCGGCGCCACACCCCCGACCACGUGGCAUGUAGGGGCCCACCCCCAGGCAGUGUGACGNNNNNNNNNNNNNNNNNNNNNNNNNNNNNNNNNNNNNNNNNNNNNNNNNNNNNNNNNNNNNNNNNNNNNNNNNNNNNNNNNNNNNNNNNNNNNNNNNNNNACGCUUUAAUACCUUCGUGAAAGCUUCAGCCUCCUUUGCCGUGAACCCUUCCACAUCAACUUCUUCAUCGGGACCCUCAUCGUCAGACUAAGAGGCAUACCCACGUGAGUACGGAAUGGAAUGGUCCAUUGUCUCUUGCAAAUUAUAUUUGUCCAAAUCACCAAGAUUGUUGUCAUGAAGAACAUUACCAUCAUCAUAGUGCUCAUAAUUAGCCUCUACCAAUGGUUCAUGUUCAAUCUUGACCUCUUCGUUAGCCUCAUACACACAAGAAAGAGGUUCAAUGUUGGCCUCUUCGUUGAUGGUUGCAGGAAUAGCUUCAACAAUCGAAGAGGCAACCCGGUUCAAAUCCAACAAGUUAGGAACAUUUGUUUUCAUGGCAAAUAACUCUAGAGCCUUGUCUAGUGAUUCGGCCACCGUAUCCUUGUAUGCAAGCCAACGUUGCUCCGAGUUGACACGCAUGGUCUUCCAACGAAUGUGCAUUCCGAAUCCCACAUUAUGCCUACCAGCAAACUCAAGUACAUCACUAGGGUCCAUCCAAUUCAAAUCCUUUCGGGCUUGUUCCAACAAUUCACCAUAGCUAGGACACAAAUCGAACACCAUGUCCAGCUCAUCCGGGUCCGGAUCAAUAUUGCCUUUUAAAAAGGCAUUCUUGUCCACGUGAUGAACAUAAACACAUGUUCUUCCCAUACCUAAACAACAAAACAUAGAACCUUUUUUAUGAGCAAUCAUACAAUUACAAUAACCAUAGCCUAACUUCCAAAUAACCCUAACCCCAUCAUAACCCUAACACAACCAAACAUCCCUAACCCUAGCCUAACCAUAGCCUAACCCUAAAACAAUCAUAAUGCACACAUCCAAACAACCCUAAUCCUAACCCCAUCAUACCCCUUAUCCUAACAUACAAACAAAACCAACAAUAUCAUAUACAUCCCACAUUUCAUGAAAAACUAGGGUUUCCUNNNNNNNNNNNNNNNNNNNNNNNNNNNNNNNNNNNNNNNNNNNNNNNNNNNNNNNNNNNNNNNNNNNNNNNNNNNNNNNNNNNNNNNNNNNNNNNNNNNNNNNNNNNNNNNNNNNNNNNNNNNNNNNNNNNNNNNNNNNNNNNNNNNNNNNNNNNNNNNNNNNNNNNNNNNNNNNNNNNNNNNNNNNNNNNNNNNNNNNNNNNNNNNNNNNNNNNNNNNNNNNNNNNNNNNNNNNNNNNNNNNNNNNNNNNNNNNNNNNNNNNNNNNNNNNNNNNNNNNNNNNNNNNNNNNNNNNNNNNNNGAAAAACUAGGGUUUCCUCAAAUUUGCAAAAAAAAAAGAACACAAAAGAUUUUCCUUUGGAUGAGAAUGAGGGGAGAGGUGGGGAUUAACUUAGGGGAGUGAUUGGACAACAAAUGCCCGGUUCAAACCUUCAGAUUUGGUGAUUUAGAGAAGGAUUNNNNNNNNNNNNNNNNNNNNNNNNNNNNNNNNNNNNNNNNNNNNNNNNNNNNNNNNNNNNNNNNNNNNNNNNNNNNNNNNNNNNNNNNNNNNNNNNNNNNUGGGGAUGCUUGAUACGUAUCAAACGUAUCUAUAAUUUUUGAUGGUUUCAUGCUGUUAUCUUGUCAUCUUUGGAUGUUUUAUGUACCUUUUAUAUCUUUUUUGGGACUAACUUAUUAAUUCAGUGCCAAGUGCCAGUUCCUGUUUUUUGUGUGUUUUUGGCUCUUUUCAUAUCUGAUUUUAGAACGGAGUCCAAACGGAAUAAAAUCCCCGGAAUAAUUUUUUUCCCGAACGGAAGAAGAUUAGGGGGCAUGAGGGCCAAGGCAGGAGAUCUACAGGGGGCCCACAAGCCCUGUAGCCGCCACUAGGGGGGCGGCGGCUACCAGGCUUGUGGCCUCCCUGGCGCCCCCCUGACCUAGCUCCUUCGCCUAUAUAUUCCCUAAAAUACAGAAAAAAUAGGGGAAUCCACGAAAACACUUUUCCGCCGCCGCAAGCUUCCGUUUCCGCAAGAUCUCAUCUGGAGACCCUACCCGCCGCCCUGCCGGAGGGGACUUUGGAGUUGGAGGGCUUCUACAUCAACACCAUCACCCCUCAAAUGACUCGUGAGUAGUUNNNNNNNNNNNNNNNNNNNNNNNNNNNNNNNNNNNNNNNNNNNNNNNNNNNNNNNNNNNNNNNNNNNNNNNNNNNNNNNNNNNNNNNNNNNNNNNNNNNNUUGUGAAUAUUGUCUAUUUCUUCCACCUUUUCAAAAAAAAUUGUCCCAUUUUCCUACCGAAGUGCUGCCGAAAUUUUCCGUGAAUUCUUGCUUCUUUCCCAUAUCAUUACUCAUCUCUUUGCAACUUUCAAGGAUCGUUGGUUUCACUCGUUUGUCAAAGAAGCGACGAAGUUCUUACCUCUUGUUCUUUCUCAUCCUCUCCCCCUUUCAUUCUUGGAUCUCGGGGCGAGAUCCUCUUGUAGUGUAGGAGAGUUGUGACAGCCUAAGACCGACAUUCCAGAAGAUUCCCCUUUCUAUUCGUUUUCGUCGUGUGGGUAUUUUCAUUUGUCACAUCAUCAUCGCAUCAUCGGCAUCUCGUUGCCGCCAGUUUUCAAACUUGCAUCCGUUGUUAGUUGCCGGUUCACGUCGUUGUCCAUUCUGAGCCCGACCUCACACGCACGCGCCCGCGGCAUCGUCGAAAUCUUGUUUUAAAAGUGUGUUUAAACUUUCUCUGAUCGGGGUGACACUUGGCAUGCGGUCAUAAUUAGUUAUAGCUAGGCCGCCUGUCGAUUUUCGUCGCGAUCGGAGUUUGUUUGAUACCCGAACCGUUAAACCUAUAGCGGCACUAUAGUCGGUCAAACGUGAGGCGUUUCGGUAUUUUAAACUCUCUCGCCGGGUUGCCUGUUUUUCGCUCUCAUCUCCGCCAAGCCCCACUACACAGUGCACCGACCUGCGCGCAACCUAGCCCGAAAGCCUCCCGAAACCCGAACCCGGUGGUCGUAACCGUUGGGUCCGGAUCAACCCCAUUAUACCGCAAAUCUUCACCGGUUUGUCCAUUGGACUCACUAACCUAGUUAUUUCUUAAUCGGAGGGUCCAAAACCCCUAAUCCUAGCUAACCUACUAUAUAUAGACGUUCCCUAGUCUAUUUUUGGAAAACCCUAAAAUCUAGGAGAUGUGUCCCGUCGCCGCCGCCACCUUCCUUGUUUUCCUCCUCCCACCAACCAGGCGCCAGAUCCCUCAUCUCUCCUGCCCCGCGUCUCUCUGUGUGUUUCUACUCGAGCAGGAGGUCGUCCUCCAGGCCAUCGCCGCACCUCCAGGAACAGCACCAGGACGUCGGAGCCGCGGCCUCCUCUGCUGGUGCCCGUGCCGUAGCGGCAGCACGGCCCGAGCGCAACGCACAGAAGAACCAUGGUCGCCUUGACCAAUAGCUCUGCCCCGAGCGGCGCUCCUCUGCGUCCGAGGUGCAGCUCCAUCGCCAAUCCAGGUCGCCCCAUUCCCUGCUCCUUCUUCCUCCCUCCUCAUCAUCUUGCUCCCCCUGCUUUCCCUCUGACUCUCUCUCCCCUCGUUCACCUCUCUCCCCUCUCUUCCCUGCAGGUCCGCAGCACCAUGGAGGCGAGCUCCUCCGGAACGCGCCAGAUCCGCUGGGAAUGGAGUCCCUUGCCCUAGAUCCGGCCAUCCCAGCAUGCGUAGACCUCAUGCUCGGCGUCGGGCUGGCAAGUGGUCGCUGCUCCCGUGCCAUGGCAGCACGUCUCUGUUUCCUUGCAAGCUGUGUAACUGAAUCCUUAUCAUGUUUCCUAGAUCCGUUCUGGUUCAAACAGCAUAAUGAAGGUCACCACUCUAUUUUUCUAACAAGAGCACCUUAGCCUAGUUGUUGUCUGCGCUGGAUCGAUCCAAGGGAUCCUGGGAUUGAAUCCCAGCUUUGCCCCAUUAUUCGUUUCCCUUCUUAUUAAUUUUUUUUGCUGCACUAGGAUUUCAGAGAAAGCAUCGAUUUUCAAACACCGUACCUUUUAGACCGUGCACCGAAUCCAGACAAGUUAUAUAUGAAACUUGACUAGAAUUUCGCGUAGAAUCCGUUUUUGCAACAUGCAUAAUUGUUUGACGUAGUUUGAGACGCCAUAUGCAUAGAGUUACGUACUGUCCAAUAGGAUCUGUUCCGUAGUUUAUUUUCCGCGCGUGUUCGAAUUACUCGAAUGCCUUAGGUAGAAUGUCCAUGUUUUAGGAACCACUUUUCCAUGUAUUUUAGAGUAGACGUUGAUAUUUUUGCGUGUAGGGAUUGCCGCUAGUUUAUUUUCCCGUAUAUAGCUUAUUUUCCCGCAUUAAUGUGUGGCUUUAUUUUGUCUUGCAACCCCACAUAUUUUUAUAUGUUUCCGGGGUUGAAAAAUCCCAUGGAUUUUUCUGUGCAAUUAGUUUUAACUUUUGAGCAAGUUAGUUCACGCGAUAUUUUGCUAUGUUGCCCUCUUGUCCUUUUCGUAGGAUUUAUUCCGUGCUUCGUUUGAAGGAGGUGUCAACUAGAGAGUUGCCCUUUGAUGUUUACUCUAGCCCCUGGUAUUUUUGGUUGAAAUAUAAAUGCAUGUUUAGGUGUGGUUUGCUUGCUCUCAAGUUGCUAGAAAUAGUGCUGAUUUAGAGGAGCUGAAAUAUUUCUAAGUCUGGAAUCUGUUAUUAUUUUGUUGCUGUCUUGUCUUGCUUCUAUCUUGUGAUCUGUAGCUCUUUUUGAGGUUGGUCCAAUGGAGUUAGUUUUAGCCCUUGUGUUUCUCUAGCAUGCUGUGAAUUUUCAUGCCAUUUGGAGUCCCGUAGCUUAUGGUUUUGCUGCUGUCAAUAUGGCUUCAGAUCGAAAACUGCACUUUCAUGAGGUGUUAUUUUCACUAAGUCUGAAAUAGUGUGUGAGAAGCCAUUUUGAGACUUCUUUUCCUGGUGAUCCCUGAUGCCAUGCUAGAUGUUGUUAGUUGUUUGUUGUAGUGCUUCUUGCCCUCUUUCGUGUCGUGUCUUGGUUGAGUAUAUCGGAGUUGUGUAGCUCGUAGUUGUGCGGUGUAGAAAAUGCUAUUUAAUUUAAUGCACCUAUGUGAUAACAUGGGUUCCUUGUUAUAUCACCCUAUUAAUGCUAUUUAAUUUAAUGCACCUAUAUUGUUGGUAAAAGGUGGAAGGCUCGGCCUUUCUAGCUUGGUAUUUUGUUCCACCUUUGCCCCCUUAGUUUCGGCUACCGGUGUUAUGUUCCAUAAUUGAGCGCUCCUAACACGAUCGGGGUUGUGAUGGGGACCCCCUUGAAAAUUUGUUUUAGAUUAAAGCUGGUCUGGCAAGGCCCAACAUUGGUACUACAUUUGCCUAAUCACCUAAUAAAAUUGCAUAGGGACUUUCCGGACCCCGAGGAUAAUUUAAUCAACCCCCGGGCCAGUGCUUCUCAUGAGUGUUGGUCCAAAACAUAGCAGCUUAUUAACGCUACCCGGGGCAACUCGGCAUUUGGCGUGGUAACCAUCGCUCAUCCGUCGUGUCCUGAGAACGAGAUACGCGGCUCCUAUCGAGAUCGUCGACACGUCGGGCGGCCUUGCUCGAUUAGUUUUUAGCGUUGACGAGAUAUCUUGUGCAUCGGGAUUCUAGUGAUGCUUUGGGUAAUCUCAGAGUUGAGGUUUUCCACUAGGGAAUCCGACGAGAUCGCGAGCUUCGUGGUUGAGGAUUUCUAUGCGGCUUGUGGUAAUCUGUGAUGGACUAGUUGGAGCACCCCUGCAGGGUUAAAUCUUUUCGGAAAGCCGUGCCCGCGGUUAUGUGGUAACGUGGAAACUUUGUUUAACACUGGUUCUAGAUAACUUGAAGUAACUUAAUUAAAACAUGACAACUGUGUGCGUAAUCGUGACUGUCUCUUUCGUGAGUUCGUACUCCGAUCGAGGACACGGUGGGGUUGUGCCUGGCCUAGGUAGGUGUUCAGGAUCAUUCAUUUGAUCAUCAGUAGUUCACGUACGCUAUGCGUAGAUCUUCCCCCUCUUAUUUCUUGUACUCGUAAGUUUAGCCACCAAAUAUAUGCUUAGCCGCUGCAGCAACCUCACCACUUAACCAUGCCUCACCCAUUAAGCUUUGCUAGUCUUGAUACCUUUGGAAAUGAGAUUGUUGAGUCCCUUGUGGCUCACAGAUUACUACAACACCAGUUGCAGGUACAGGUAAAGGUUACUCGACGCGAGCGUGUUGAUUGAUCAUUUGGAGUUGCUUUUGCUUCUUCUUCUUCAUCGAUCUAGGAUGGGUUCCAGGCCGGCAGCCUGGGAUAGCAAGGAUGGACGUCGUUCUUCUUUUCUCGUUUGUUUUCGUCCGUAAUCGGACCCUGCUCUUCUUCAUGAUGAUUAUGUAUUGUACUGAUGUGACUCUGAUGUAGCUUGUGGCGAGUGUAAGCCAAUUCUAUAUAUCUCUUCUUUUCAGUACAUGUACUUGUAACGAUAUCCAUUCUUGCGACACGACGAUAUGCGCUUCUAUCCCUGACGAGGCCCUCGUGCCAAAUUGAGGAUAGGGUCGCAUCUUGGGCGUGACAACGCGGUACUAGAGAGGCUAGCAAUGGUGGAAGGUGAAAGUGCAUCUAUACCAUGGACUCACAUUAGUCAUGAAGAACUCACAUACUUGUUGGGAAAGUUUUAAUUAGUAAUCGAAACAAAGUGCUAAACGCAUACUCCUAGGGGAAGGGUUGGUAGGUGUAACCAUCGCGCGAUCCCGACCGCAACACAAAGGAUGACAAUCAAUAGAUCAAUUAUGCUCCGACUUCCUAACAUAGAGGUUCACCAUACGUGCAUGUUACAGGAAUCACUAACUUCAACACAAGUAUUUCUAGAUUCACAACACCCUACUAACAUAACUCUUAAUAUUACCAAAUCCACGUCUCAAAACUAAUUGAGAGGAAUCAACACUUCUCUUUCUACUCAAUGCACAUGAAGAUGGAGGUUUUUGUAUCCUCUUUGGGUACCUAUCACCUUUGGUACUACUUUCAUAGCACAAGCCAACUACCAAGUCAUGCACCGCCGUGCUCUAAAAGAUCUAAGUGAAGCACAUAGAGCAAAAUGGUCUAGCUCAAAAGAUAUAAGUGAAGCACGAUGAGCAUUCUAGCAAAAUCACGAUGAGUGCAUGUCUCUCUCAAAAUGUGUGCAGCAAGUAUGAUUGUGACACAACAAAAAGAAAGACUCCUACGAUACAAGAUGCUCCAAGCAAAACACAUAUCAUGUGGUGAAUAAAAAUAUAGCUCCAGGUAAUGUUAUCGAUGGAUUGAAGACGAAAGAGGGGGAUGCCUUCCCGGGGCAUCCCCAAGCUUAGGCUUUUUGGUGUCCUUGCCUAUCCCCUGUGUGCCUUGGGCAUCCCCAAGCUUGAUCUCUUUCCACUCUUUAUCCCUUUGUCCAUGAGAACAUCACCCAAAACUUGAAAACUUCACAACACAAAACUUAAACACAAACUCGUGAUAUCAUUAGCGCAAGAAAACAAACUACCACCUCUUUAGGUACUGUAGCUAUCUUGAUUUCUAUUUAUAUUGGUGUUAGAUUACUGUAUUCUCACUUUUCCAUGGCUAGUACCCCCUGAUACUAUCCAUAGUUUCAUCAAAACAAGCAACCAACUCAACAAAAACAGAAUCUGUCAAAAACAGACCAGUCUGUAGCAAUCUGUAUACUUUCUAUACUUAUCAUACCUCAAAAAUUCUGAAAAAUUACGACUGCCUGGGAAAAAGGCAUAUCAACCAGCAGCAAAAAGAAUCAACUCAAAAUCUCUUUCUGAAUAAAAAUUAAAAAUAAUCUCGUGAGCGAAAAGUUUCUGUCUUUUUCCAGCAGGAUUAAACAACCAUCAUCAAGACUAGUCAUAAAGGUUUUGCUUGGCUCGAACACAAAAAGAAACACAAAAGACACUAUCAUAACAGAAUUAUGAUGGUGUGGACGCAACAAAACAGAAAUAAAUGUUGGGGAACAUCGCAUGGGAAACAAAAAAAAAUCCUACGCGCACGAAAACCUAUCAUGGUGAUGUCCAUCUACGAGAGGGGAUUUCCGAUCUACGUACCCUUGUAGAUCGCACAGAAGAAGCGUUAAGAAACGCAGUUGAUGUAGUGGAACAUCCUCACAUCCCUCGAUCCUCCCCGCGAACCGUCCUACGAACCGUCCCGCGAUCCGUCCCACGAUCUAGUGCCGAACGGACGGCACCUCCGCGUUCAGCACACGUACAGAUCGACGAUGAUCUCGGCCUUCUUGAUCCAGCAAGAGAGACGGAGAGGUAGAUGAGUUCUCCGGCAGCGUGACGGCGCUCCGGAGGUUGGUGGUGAUCUAAUCUCAGCAGGGCUCCGCCCGAGCUCUGCAGAAACGCGAUCUAGAGGUAAAAUCGUGGAUGUAUGUGGUCGGGCUGCCUUUGAAAAGUUGUCUCAAAUCAGCCCUAAUAGCUCCAUAUAUAUAGGAGGAGGGUGGGGAGGCUUGCCUUGAGGCUCAAGGAGCCCCAAGGGCUGCGCCACCAAGGAGGAGUUGGAGUCCUCCUCCAAUCCUAGUCCAACUAGGAUUGGAAGGAGGAGUCCUUCUCUUCCUUCCCACCUUUCCCCUUUUUUUCUUUCUCUUCUUUUCGUUUUUUCUUUAUCUCUUGCGCAAGACAGCCUUGGGCUGACCCCACCUACUUGGUGCGCCACCCCCAAGGUCCUUGGGCCCUCCCGGGUGGGUGGCCCCCCCUCCCGGUGAAGAUCCGGAACCCAUUCGUCAUUCCCGGUACAUUACCGGUAACUCCGAAAACCUUCCGGUAAUCAAAUGAAGUCAUCCUAUAUAUCAAUCUUCGUUUCCGGACCAUUCCGGAAACCCUCGUGACGUUCGUGAUCUCAUCCGGGACUCCGAACAACAUUCCGUAACCAACCAUAUAACUCAAAUACGCAUAAAACAACGUCGAACCUUAAGUGUGCAGACCCUGCGGGUUCGAGAACUAUGUAGACAUGACCCGAGUGACUCCUCGGUCAAUAUCCAAUAGCGGGACCUGGAUGCCCAUAUUGGAUCCUACAUAUUCUACGAAGAUCUUAUCGUUUGAACCUUAGUGCCAAGGAUUCAUAUAAUCCCGUAUGUCAUUCCCUUUGUCCUUCGGUAUGUUACUUGCCCGAGAUUUGAUCGUCAGUAUCCGCAUACCUAUUUCAAUCUCGUUUACCGGCAAGUCUCUUUACUCGUUUCCAUAAUACAAGAUCCCGUGGCUUAACUAAGUCACAUUGCUUGCAAGGCUUGUGUGUGAUGUUGUAUUACCGAGUGGGCCCCCGGAGAUACCUCUCCAUCACACGGRGUGACAAAUCUCAGUCUUGAUCCAAUACUAACUCAACGAACACCUUCGGAGAUACCUGUAGAGCAUCUUUAUAGUCACCCAGUUACGUUGCGACGUUUGAUACACACAAAGUAUUCCUCUGGUGUUAGUGAGUUAUAUGAUCUCAUGGUCAUAGGAACAAAUACUUGACACGCAGAAAAACAGUAGCAACAAAAUGACACGAUCAACAUGCUACGUCUAUUAGUUUGGGUCUAGUCCAUCACUUGAUUCUCCUAAUGACGCGAUCCAGUUAUCAAGCAACAACGCCUUGUUCAUAAUCAGAAGACACUGACUAUCUUUGAUCAACUGGCUAGCCAACUAGAGGCUUGCUAGGGACAGUGUUUUGUCUAUGUAACCACACAUGUAAAUGAAUCUUCAUUCAAUACAAUUAUAGCAUGGAUAAUAAACGAUUAUCUUGAUACAGGAAUUAUAAUAAUAACUAUAUUUAUUAUUGCCUCUAGGGCAUAAUUCCAACAAGUUCCAAUUAGGUGGUUGAACAAUAGGUGCAGUUAAUAAAGCCCUUUUAAGUGUUUCGAAGGCUUCCUCGUAGUCAUCGUUAAAAACAAAGGAAUAUCCUUUUGCAAGAGAUUGGUAAGAGGCCUAGAAAUCAAAAACAAAAGGAAUAUCCUAAGCGAGCCAGCCCGGCCAGGCUCCUGCCCGCAUGUGCCGAGGCCACGUGCCCCACAUCCAUCGCCCCUGGGACUGGGAGAUAUCCCAGCACCCCACGUAGCAGCACGAGCCAGCUCCCAGCGAGCGCUCUUGUGCCCCAUCGCACCACGUGCACCACGAGCCAGCAAUGCCCAGCUCCACCGAGCCCAGGCUCUGCCCGCGUUGACCAGGCGAGAGCUUCGCCCCAUUGCCGAGCGAGGCCAGCAUCCAGGAGGCCCCAUCGCCCCCAGCCGACAGGAGGGUCCCGCACCCCUUGCCUCGUUUCCCCUGUCCCGAGCCAGACUCCCGCAGCUCCUAGCCUCCCGAGACCGAGUCUGGCCAGGACUCCUCCUCCUCGCGAGUAGAAAAGUCCAGGAGCCGACCCUCUCGUGAUUAUUUCCUUGUCCCAAUUCCUUUCUGCUGGUUUUCGAUCUGAGCCAGACCCCAUCUCGCCUAGAUCGCAGAGGAGCCGCCCCUCACCGCGCCGAUGCCGAAGCCGCCAUCGCCGGAGCACCUCACCAUCCACCGGAGUUCGCGAAGCCGUUCACCGGAGUUUGCGCACGUCACCGGAGUUUGUCCGACCGCCACCGGAGAAGCACCAUCGGAGGCACCACACCGAGACGGUUCCGUUUUCCCCCGCUGUCCGUGGUGAGAACGCACGCACGAGCCGUUUCAUCAAACCCCGAUGAACAGCUUUAGGACGAAAUUUAAUCUGUUUUUCAUCUGUUUUUAAUUCUGUCAGAUUCUCGGUAUAAUUUUGAAACGCGUUUAUCUUUUUACUCGUAACUCCGAUUCAGGAAAUUCUUUUUCCCGUGAUCUCGUAUUGAUGAGUAGAACAUGUUAGAACCAGUAGUUUUCAGUUUUACGAAAAUUAAUUUUUUUUGUUAAAUCAGAUUUAUUUUAGACGUACCGGAGGCCAUAUUUUGCAAACCGUUCAUCCGGUUUAGUUGAUUCUUUUUGCGUUGUCAUCAUAUCAGCAUGUCGAUGAUUUUAUGCCUGCUGCCAUGCUAUUUAUGCUUUGGUUUUAAACAAGUUGUCUUAUUGCUGAUGGUUUUAUUUGGUGUUAUGUGAUUGUGGUGAUUGAUUGGUGUGAUUGUUUGCAACGUGUAGAUUGUGCGGAGUGCGACACAAACUAUUGUCAGGAGUGUGACUUUCUGAACCAGAAUCAAGGCAAGUUACAUGUUGAUCAUCCUUUUACCUAUUAUUUUUCUAUGCAUGUAGUAUUAUACCACCCUAUGAAAAUUAUGCAUGUAUAGGAAGAUUAUUAUUGCUAUGCUAUUGAGCUAUAUCCCCUCGUCAUUGAAGAUUGUGUUAGAUAUAUUUUGCUAUGCUAUGUAGAUGGGGAUUGGUUUCUGUAUUCAUUGAGUUUAUGGUAGGAUUACUACAAAAUAAAUUGAGUAGUAAUUCAGGAUAUAAUACACCUCUGGGCGGAUAUGGUAUUGCUGGGUGGUUUCAAGAACAUCAUGGUUUCUACCCUCUGAAUGUAAGUGGAAUGCCGCCCAGGUUCAAAAAGAUCAAACAGACUUAGUGACUAGUAGCUUCCUUGUGCGACCACUGGCUAUUAUGGGCUCUGGCUUAGUUGAUCAGUCGUGGAAACCUUACCCGGAUGUGCCAGCUGAUGUAGCUAUGAUAGGUGGGAUGGGCCUCCUGUGGGACUAGGUGACUGCUUCUGAAAGACUUCAUCUCAAUCUUCGGGUUGGGUCCAGUGGGUACAGCGUACUAACCUCUGCAGAGUGUAUAAACUAAUCAUGAUUAGCCGUGUCCCCGGUUAUGGACAAUUUUGAGCAGCUAGGCCAUUACAGUUGUUGGAUGAUCUUGACAGAUGACACACUUAAUAAAAUUUGAUGGGAAACUUAAUAAUGGUGAUAGGUUGGAGUUGGAGAUGCCAAUUCAACCAUAUGUGAGUUAUUGUUAGCAAACAAAUUAAAAGUUGACUAUUAGGUAGUUAUGAGGAUAAAAUCAACUUUCUGCAAAAUAACCAUCAACCUUUCUCUUGUUAUACUAUGCAUAUACAUGUAGGUCUGUUAUAUUUCUUUUCCUGUGUAACUUGCCAAUACAUUCAAAGUAUUGACCUAUAUGGCUGCAACGUAUCAUGUUGCAGGAUAUUCAGACGAGGAGUAAGGUACCGUUAGGGUCGCGAGUCUUCACUCAACAUCGCCAGUGGGCUAUGAUGGGACUCAUCGUUAUUAUUCUGCUACUUUUCUGCUGUUUAUUAGAAUAAAGCUAGCUAAGUGCUAUGCAGAUUGUUAUAUUUUAUAAAUUCUGGAUCAUACGUUAUUAUAAAUGAUGCACUUGCUAUAUCUGGUUUUCAUCUAUACUGUGUGCUAGCGAGUCGAUCCAGGGACUAGCACAAUAAAGCACAGAGACUCAAAUCCUUCGAGGUUUGGUCGUUACAAAAGGCAUACGUCUAUAAGAAAAGGUACCGAAAGGAUAGGUGAAAGUGGUUUUCUCCUAAUCAGAUUGUGCAACUAGUAUUUGGGAGAAACCAGAAUAAUCGUCUAGAAAGCAGAAGUGUGUGUGUGUUUGGACAGCCUUUCUAGCAUUUGGUUGAUAAAAGGCAAAGGGUAAUGAUCUUUCCUAGUGGCUUUAUUCAACUUCCUAAAAUCAAUCACCAUCCUAUAGCCAGUAAUAAUCCUCCGUGGGAUCAAUUCAUCCUUAUCAUUAGGGACAACGGUAAUGCCUCCCUUCUUAGGAACGCAAUGCACCAGACUCACCCAAUCGCUAUGAGCAACAGGAUAGAUAAUACCCGCUUCCAGAAGCUUUAGUAUUUCUUUUCUCACUACUUCUUUCAUCUUAGGAUUUAAUCUCCUUUGAUGAUCAGCAACUGGUUUGAAAUCAGGAUCAGUUUUAAUCUUGUGCUGGCAUAGGGUAGGACUAAUGCCCUUAAGAUCAUCACGAGUAUAUCCAAUAGCAACACGGUGCUUCCUCAGAGUUUUUAGUAACUUAUUUUCUUCAUGCUCUGAGAGGCUAGCACUAAUUAUAACAGGAUAUAUCUCUUUUUCAUCAAGAUAGGCAUACUUAAGAGUAUCAGGCAACUGUUUAAUCUCGAACACAGGAUCACCCUUUGGUGGGGGAGGAUCCCCAAGCAGUUCAACAGGCAAGUUAUUCUUAAGGAUAGGAUAUUGUUCUAAGACAACUCUAUCUAUUUCAUCCCUUUCAUCCAUAUGCAUAUCAUUUUCAUGCUCAAGCAAGUAUUGCUCUAAGGGAUCAGUAGGAGGUACGACAAUAGAAGCUAAGGCAAUAGUUUCAUCCUUACUAGGCAACUCUUUUUCAUGAGGUUGUCUACCAAACUUGGAGAAAUUGAACUCAUGUGACACACCUUCAAAGCCAAAAAGUGACAGUUUGCUUCUCACAAUCAAUAUGAGCAUUGACGGUAUUGAGAAAAGGUCUACCAAAUAUUUCGGGACAANNNNNNNNNNNNNNNNNNNNNNNNNNNNNNNNNNNNNNNNNNNNNNNNNNNNNNNNNNNNNNNNNNNNNNNNNNNNNNNNNNNNNNNNNNNNNNNNNNNNAUACAACUUUGCUAGAAAAAUAUUUUGUGUGUUUGCUAGUUUAACUAUGUCGACUUGUCAUAUUUACUAACAAUUACCAAAAAAAGAUUUUUGUGGUCGUUGAUUUUAAAUAUGCUGAGUUGUCAUAUAUUUACACGUUAUUGUUUUAAAAAUGUUGUUUGUGCUUGCUCGUUCGAUUAUGUCGAGAUGUCAUAUUUAUACGCAAUUGUCAAAUAAUAUGACGAUUAAGUUAUUUUUUAUCAGACAAGUAAGUACUUACUAAUAUGACAAGUACGUACAACAAAUGUGGUAAGUAUGAGAAAAAAAAAAGUUGUCGAAACAUGUCGACAUGGGAUCUAGUUUUAAAGAUUUCGUCGAAACAAAGUCAACGACGAAAACGGAUCAUCGAUCGAAUUAACGGUUUUAAAGAUAAAACUUUUUGAAUUUCGAUCAUUUAAAACGAAUCUGCAUGCAUGCAUGACGAAAAGUGUGCAAGCCGUCGCACGCUAAUAACAAUAUACGACGCAGUUAGUUAGAUUUUCCCUUCUUUUUUAGCUUUGCUCCUCACAUGUUAAGCGGAGGCUUGUUUCGGUAUAUUCACGUCCGUAUGUGGCAUGUAUGGGCUGUAGGUAGACGUACACAGCCGUCACAUCCCUCCGUCUUGGACCUGGCCCAUUUUUUUUUGAAACAUAAAAAAAAAUAGAUGCUUCAGGGAUGGCAAAAUUGACCUCUGGGGGCGAAAGAACUCACAAAGUGAACCUGAAGAGAAAAAAAUUCACCCAGCUGACCCUUUCGUGUGGCGUCCGACACCUAGACGCCACACUACACUGUGUGACGCCUAAGACGUCGGCGCCAUACGCGUGUCCACGCUGGCGUAGCUGGCCCCAUCCCCAGGCAGUGCGACGCCUAAGUCUCAGGCGUUGCACCCUCUAUAGUGUGGCGCGAGCGCUUAGGCGCCACACUAUGACUUAUCCAGCCACGGGCCAGUCCCCUCCCUCACCCCCUCCUCAUUCCCCUUCACUUCACAACUCGUGUUCAAGUCUUUCCCUUCCUCAAAUCCCUCUUCAAGUCAGCACAUCUGAAGGUUUGGACCGGACAUUUGUUGUCCAAUCCCUCCCUAAGGUAAUCCCUUCGAUCCCCUCCUUCUCAUUCAAACAAAAAUCUCUUUUGGUCACUUUGUUGCAAAUUUAAGGAAACCCUAGUUUUUCAUGAAAUGUGGGAUGUACAUGAUAUUGUUGUAUUUGUUUGUAUGUUAGGAUAAGGGGUAUGAUGGGGUUAGGAUUAGGGUUGUUUGGAUGUUUGCAUUAUGGUUGUAUUAGAGUUAGGCUAGGGUUAGGGUUAGGGUUAUGGAUGUUUGAAAGGUAGGAAUAUAGUUUAUUUUUAUUAAGUAGAUAUUGUAGUAUUUGGAUGAUUGCUUAUAGUAAAUAUUGUAUGUUGUGUUAUUUAGGGAUGGGAAGAACAUCAUAUAGACAAGGAUGCCUUUUAAAAAUGCAAUAUUGAUCCGGACCCGGAUGAGCUUGACAUGGUGUUCGAUUUCUGUCCUAGCUAUGUUGAAUUAUUGGAACAAGUCCGAAAGGAUUUGAAUUGGAUGGACCCUAGUGAUGUAGUUGAAUUUGAUGGUAGGCAUAAUGUGGGAUUCAGAAUGCACAUUCGUUGGAACACCAUGCGUGUCAACUCCGAGCAACGUUGGCUUGCAUACAAGGAUACGGUGGCCGAAUCACUAGACAAGGCUCUAGAGUUAUUUGCCAUCAAAACAAAUGUUCCCAACUUGCACUUGGAUUUGAACCGGGUUGCCUCUCCGAUUGGUGAAGCAAGUCCUUCACGCAUCAACGAAGAGGCCAACAUUGAACCUCUUUCAGCACAACAAUCGAGUAUCCAACAUGAACCAUUGCUAGAGGAUAAUGAUGAGCACGAUGAUGAUGAGAAUGAUGGUACUGUUCUCCAUGACAACAGCCUUGGUGAUUUGGACAAAUAUAAUUUGCAAGAGACAAUGGACCAUUCUAUUCCGUACUCACGUGGCUAUGCAUCCGAGUCGGACGAUGAGGGUCCCGAUGAAGAAGUUGAUGAGGAAGAGUUCACGUCAAAGGAGGCUGAAGCUUUCACGAAGGUAUUAGGGCGGGAUUACCGGACACCAUUGUUCGAGGAUAUUAGCCUUGCGGAUGAAGCCGUGGUUGACGGAGGCGGAGGCAUAUUGUUUGGAGUUAGGCCACCUUCUCAUCGGGACAAACAUGAGAAGAAUAUUAUUUUGCUGGGGUCAAAGUUUCAAACAUUCCUUGAACUGAAGAUGUGGUUGGAUGAAUAUUCUGCUACGCAUUAUAGGCCACACAAAGUUGUUCAUUCAAACAUGAAGCUGCGUUACACGGUUGCAUGUGAGGAUUCAGGGUGUCCUUGGAUUGUCUGUGCAAGACCAUGGAAAGGAGGGCCAGGAUGGAACAUUGUCAGUUGUAUGCCUCACACGUGUUGAGGCAAGAGGGUUGAUGGCAAGCUUUUGUCGCAAAACCAUAGACAAGUCACCUCUGAGUUCAUCGCUUAUAGGCUUUCCAACUCCAUCUCCUCUCUUCCUACAAUGCAUAGAAAACGUACAAGACCUUGUGAAAGCCCUCUUUCACUACAAGGUGAAAUAUGGGAAGGCAUGGAAAGCGAAGCAAGCCGUAUUCAAGAUGUUGUAUGGUCAUUGGGAGCAAGCAUACAACCGACUACCUAGGUUGUUGGGAGCUAUUGCCACCACUAAACCAGGCAUGGUUCAUGUGGUCGAGCCGUAUGGGGAGAAAACAAGGAUUCACAAUGGAAAGAGGGUCCGCGUAUUUGGCCGUGCAUUUUGGGCAUUUGAGCAAUGUGUGAGGGCUUUUCAGCACUGUCGGCCGGUCAUCUCAAUCGAUGGCACGUUCUUGACCGGACAAUUCAAGGACACUUUGUUGGUUGCAAUAGCAAGUGAUGCCAAUAACCGGUUGAUGCCUUUGAAUCUUAUAUAUUGUGUUAUAUUGAACUCCACUAGUAUGUAUAUGUGCUACAGUUUUCAGCAUGCCAGAAGGUGUGGCGCCUGAGCCCUAGGCGUUGCACAUGUCACCAGAGUAACAGAACAUUGACACUUCAGAUGCGAGUAGGUUGAACAUGUGUGGCGCCUAAGCCUUGGGCGCCCCACAUGUGAAAUUGCUGGCAGUAAAAAUGCCAGUAGGUUGAACAUGUGCAACGCCCAAGGCUUAGGCGCCACACAUGUUAAACCUACUGCCAUCUCUUGUUUUCCACAACACUUGUGCACAUUGAUUCACAUCAUUCCAUAUAGAUAUUCACAACACUUCUGCACAUUGAUGCACAUCAAUUCACACAACUUAAAAUACUCAUAUAGACACAAUUCAUAGCAUUAAAACACAAAUAGUGUAAAUGGUUCACAACACCCACAAAUAGUGCAGAUGGUUCACAACACCCACAAAUAGUGCAAAUGGUUCACAGCAACCACAAAUAGUGCAAAUGGCCACAAAGUACAAAUGGUUCACCCAACUACUUGAGGCCUCGUCCCCUCUUAGAAGCUAGCUUCUUCUCACAACAGGCUCCGGUUCAUCCAACUCAUCGUCAUCGUCAUCGUCAUCCUCAUCGCCCAUACUUCUCAUCCUUGACAGACGCGAGCCCCCGGCGACCGGGUUCUUUCCUUUGUUCGCAUAAUCAUCCGAUGAGUACCACUUAAAUUCCUUCCUAGGCUUCAACAUGUAAGCGGAGCGUUGGAAAGCCUUCAACAUCAUUUCGUCCUCAACCUAUUAUGCGAAAACGAUAUCGUCAUACAUAUGAAGGUUGAAAGUGCACAAUGUAUGAUGGCUAUGCAUACCUCUGGAGUGUCAACAUCAUCCUCUAAAUGAGCUCCCGAGGUAAUGUCACCAUCGUCCAUACGAGCUCCCGAAGAAGUUGAAUCGUCCAGAGUAUUUCUUUCGGAUGAACCGGAUCUCGAAGGUUCGGAAUAUUCAGGGUCACGGCAACCUAAAAUGUUGGAUAGGCGCCGCAACUUCUUGCCCUGUUUCUGUUAGAUUGAAUGAUAAAUGAGAUAUAUAAGGUACCGUAUGUUGCAUUCGUCGACAAAAUCUGAAUAAUGACACAACACCUUCAUGAAAAGUCGAAGUGCAGAUUCUCCCUUUUUUCCUCCAGGUGUCUUGUCUAGAAUAGCUUCGGUUGCAUCAGCUUGUUUCUUGAUCUCUUUGCGCUAUGACACAAGAAAAUUACAUGUAAGGCAAGUGCAUAUUGUUGGAAAUAUGCCCUAGAGGCAACAAUAAAAUGAUUAUUAACAUAUUUCCUUGUUCAUGAUAAUCGUCUAUUGUUCAUGCUAUAAUUGUAUUAACAGGAAACAGUAAUACAUGUGUGAAUAAAUAGAUCACAAUGUGUCCCUAGCAAGCCUCUAGUUGGCUAGCUCGUUAGUCAAUAGAUGAUCAUGGUUUCCUGAUCAUGGGCAUUAGAUGUCAUUGAUAACGGGAUCACAUCAUUGGGAGAAUGAUGUGAUGGACAAGACCCAAUCCUAAGCCUAGCACUAGAUCGUAUUGUUCGUAUGCUAAUGCUUUUCUAAUGUCAAGUAUAUUUUCCUUCGACCGUGAGAUUGUACAACUCCCGGAUACCGUAGGAGUGCUUUGGGUGUAUCAAACGUCACAACGUAACUGGAUGACUAUAAAGGUGCACUACGGGUACCUCCGAAAGUGUCUGUUGGGUUGGUACGAAUCGAGAUCGGGAUUUGUCACUCCGUGUGACGGAGAGGUAUCUCUGGGCCCACUCAGUAGGACAUCAUCAUGAGCUCAAUGUGACUAAGGAGUUAGUCACACGAUGACGUGCUACGGAACGAGUAAAGAGACUUACCGGUAACGAGAUUGAACAAGGUAUAGGUAUACCGACGAUCGAAUCUCAGGCAAGUUCUAUACCGACAGACAAAGGGAAUCGUAUACGGGAUUGAUUGAAUCCUUGACAUCGUGGUUCAUCCGAUGAGAUCAUCGUGGAGCAAGUGGGAUCCACCAUGGGUAUCCAGACCCCGCUGAUGGUUAUUGGCCAGAGAGGUGUCUCGGUCAUGUCUUCCUAUCUCCCGAACCCGUAGGGUCUACACACUUAAGGUUCGAUGACGCUAGGGUUAUAGGGAAUUGUUAUACGAGGUUACCGAAAGUUGUUCGGAGUCCCGGAUGAGAUCCCGGACGUCACGAGGAGCUCCGGAAUGAUCGGGAGAUAAGGUGGGCCAAGUGGGGGUGGGAACCAGCCCCUAGAUGGGCUGGUGCGCCUCNNNNNNNNNNNNNNNNNNNNNNNNNNNNNNNNNNNNNNNNNNNNNNNNNNNNNNNNNNNNNNNNNNNNNNNNNNNNNNNNNNNNNNNNNNNNNNNNNNNNUUAAACCCUACCCCAAGUUGAAGAGAGAGUCAUUGCCUAUAAUGAUCAUGUGGGUUCCCAGUAGCUUACAAUUUGAGAAAACCCAACCUUUCCCUGUUAGGAUAAAGGAUCAUUCUAAAGCUUCAACUGUCAUACGUAGAGGCUAUAUUAGAACACCUACACCCCCUGAGCAAAUUAGAGUUGAACCAAGCAUUGCUAUUAUCAAAGAUCUUCUGUCUGAAGAAGUUGAGGGACAUAAUAUUCACUUCUGUGAAGAUGCUGCUAGAAUUGCUAAACCUCACGCUAGAGACAAACAUAGGCCUGUUGUUGGCAUGCCUAUGGUUUCUGUUAAGACUAGCAAAAGGGCUCGUGUGUUGCAAGGGGAGAAAAAAAUACCACACGCUUUUAAUCUUUUUAUAAUCAUUUUGAUUUAUUAAAAUAAUAAGCUAACUAACUAAUGUAGUCAGUCCUAUCCUAUUUUGCUGAGAAAUCAACCCGUCCAUUGUUAAUUCCACCAUGAUGAGAAAUUGAGCGGAACAAGCAAAGCAAAACAAAGAGGCUACGUGAAUUGAUCAAUGGACUGUUAUCUUAUUUCACUCAUGGGGUAGAGAAUGUGGGAUCAGAUGACAAACUGAAGGUGGUGUUCCAUUCUCUGUCUCUACAACAAUGCAAUCUUACAUUCAAUACAUUCAUUCAUGAGCAAACAAAUCCCCACAAAACAAAAUUUCUUGCCGGUGCUUGGCACACGGUUGGAGGCAUGGGGAGGGGAUCUCACCAGAUGAUGAGUUCCUGUCGGAGGAGGGGAUACGAUGAGGGGAGCAAGGGUUAGGCGCCUUUAUCUGGCCAUAAGGAGUCGUCGUUGUCGCGCCAUAACCUCGGAGUUCUCCGUUUGAGCCAUGGAGGUCCGCCUCCACCUGCAAAUACUUCGCUCCGUCGUGCCUUAUCCGCGCGCCGCCGCCGUUCUGCAUCGAGCAGACGCAUCAUCCCCCGUCACUGUAGCUGCCGCAUUGAUUUGAUCCAGAAGUUGUGCUCGAGUGCCGAAACGGGGGCAGCAAGCGGGCAGAGGUACGACCGCGGAGGCGGGUGGGUUGAGAUCGACAGCAGUGGUCGUUGAGGUCGGCCGCGGCGGCGAGUGGUGUGGCAGGGGCAUCGGCACAGGCCAGGGUGGACCAGGGUCGACGCGAUGCGCUCGAGUGCUGCAACGGGGGCAGUGAGAGGGGAGAGGUACGGCCGCGGAGGCGAGUGGGUUGAGAUCGGCAGUGGUGGCGGUGAAGGUCGGCCGCAGCGGCAAGUGGUGUGGCAGCGGCCUGGGCACAGGCCAGGGUGGCCCAGGGUCGACGGGAGGAGGCGAUGCGUAUGGGUAUUAUUUUUGCAGCGAAUCGUUUUUUCCUUUUGCGUUGCAAAUAAAUGAUGGACCGCGGGUUGAAUAACAAAAAUUACACGGACUUUUUUAUAAAAAUGUCGCGGUGGGUUUUCCGACGGAAGCAAUAGCCGCUUUAUUAUUAGGUAUAGAUAGGAGUUCAUUGUUAUCAUGGCUUAUGUGACAUGGGUGCUAGUGUUAGUGCAAUACCUCAAUCCUUAUACGAUGAAAUCAAAGACGAGAUUGCACCCAUUGAGAUAGAACCUAUAGAUGUCACUAUUCAGCUUGCCAAUAGAGAUACUAUCUGCCCUGUGGGAAUUGUUAGGGAUGUUGAAGUCUUGUGUGGUAAAACGAAGUAUCCUGCUGAUUUCCUCGUUCUUGCUACCGCACAAGAUAGCUUUUGUCCCAUCAUAUUUGGUAGACCUUUUUCUCAAUACCGUCAAUGCUCAUAUUGAUUGUGAGAAGCAAACUGUCACUUUUGGCUUUGAAGGUGUGUCACAUGAGUUCAAUUUCUCCAAGUUUGGUAGACAACCUCAUGAAAAAGAGUUGCCUAGUAAGGAUGAAACUAUUGCCUUAGCUUCUAUUGUCGUACCUCCUACNNNNNNNNNNNNNNNNNNNNNNNNNNNNNNNNNNNNNNNNNNNNNNNNNNNNNNNNNNNNNNNNNNNNNNNNNNNNNNNNNNNNNNNNNNNNNNNNNNNNAACGGGGUAAAAAGUUAAUUUUAGGUAAGGUUACCGGUCCGGAACGGUUUGGUACGUACCAACGACCUAACGGAAAGGUAGUGGGAAUACGUUUCUACCAACCUUAGACAACCGCCUGGCACACCGCAGCGCAACGGGGUGUCUGAACGUCCGUAAUUCGCACUUUAUUAGAUAUGGUACGAUCUAUGAUGUCUCUCACCGACUUACCGCUAUCAUUUUUGGGAUACGCAUUAGAAACUGUUGCAUUCACUUUAAAUAGGGCAUCGUCUAAAUCCGUUGAGACGACACCGUAUGAACUAUGGUUUGGCAAGAAACCUAAGUUGUCGUUUCUUAAAGUUUGGGGCUGCGAUGCUUAUGUGAAGAAACUUCAACCAGAAAAUCUCGAACCCAAAGCGGAGAAAUGCGUAUUCAUAGGAUACCCUAAGGAAACUAUUGGGUAUACCUUCUAUCUUAGAUCCGAAGGCAAAACCUUUGUUGCCAAGAACGGAUCCUUUCUAGAGAAAGAGUUUCUCUCGAAAGAAGUAAGUGGGAGGAAGGUAGAACUUGAUGAGGUAAUUACACCCCCUCUCGAACAGGAUAGUAGCGCAGCGCGGGAAGCUGUUCCUGUGGCGCCUACACCGACUGAAGAGGAAGUUAAUCAUGAUGAUCAUGAAGCUUCGGAUCAAGUUACUACUGAACCGCGAAGGUCCACAAGGGCACGCUCAGCACCAGAGUGGUACGGCAACCCUGUGAUGGAAAUCAUGUUGUUAGACAACGGUGAACCUUCGAACUAUGAAGAAGCAAUGGCGGGCCCGGAUUCCAACAAAUGGCUUGAGGCUAUGAAAUACGAGAUAGGAUCCAUGUAUGAGAACAAAGUAUGGACUUUGGUGGACUUGCCCGAUGACCGGCGAGCCAUAGAAAAUAAAUGGAUCUUCAAGAAGAAGACUGAUGCAAACGGUAAUGUAACCGUUUACAAAGCUCGACUUGUCGCAAAGGGUUUUUCGACAAAUUCAAGGAGUUGACUACGAAGAGACUUUCUCUCCCGUAGCGAAGCUGAAAUCAUUCUGAAUCAUGUUAGCAAUUGCCGCCUUUUAUGAUUAUGAAAUUUGGCAAAUGGACGUCAAAAUAGCGUUCCUUAACGGGAACCUUAAGGAAGAGUUGUAUAUGAUGCAACCAGAAGGUUUAGUCCACCCUAAGGGUGCUAACAAAGUGUGCAAGCUCCAGCGCUCCAUCUAUGGGCUGGUGCAAGCAUCUCGGAGUUGGAACAUUCGCUUUAAUGAGGUGAUUAAAGCGUUUGGGUUCAUACAGGUUUACGGAGAAGCCUGUCUGUACAAGAAAGUGAGUGGGAGCUCUGUAGCUUUCCUCAUACUAUAUGUGGAUGACAUAUUAUUGAUGGGGAAUAAUAUGGAGAUGUUGGAGAGCAUAAAGGCCUAUUUGAACAAGAGUUUUUCAAUGAAGGACCUUGGAGAAGCUGCAUACAUAUUAGGCAUCAAGAUCUAUAGAGAUAGAUCGAGACGCCUCAUAGGUCUUUCGCAAAGUACAUACCUUGACAAGAUAUUGAAGAAGUUCAAUAUGGAAAACUCAAAGAAAGGGUUCUUGCCAGUUUUGCAAGGUAUGAGAUUGAGUAAGACUCAGUCGCCGACCACGGCAGCAGAUAGAGAGAAGAUGAGUUCUGUCCCCUACGCUUCAGCCGUGGGCUCUCUAAUGUAUGCCAUGCUGUGUACCAGACCUGAUAUAAACCUUGCCAUAAGUUUGGUAGGGAGGUACCAAAGUGAUCCAGGCAUGGAACACUGGACAGCGGUCAAGAAUGUCCUUAAGUACCCGAAGAGGACUAAGGAAAUGUUUCUCGUCUAUGGAGGUGACGAAGAGCUCGUCGUAAAGGGUUACGUCGACGCUAGCUUCGACACAGAUGCGGAUGACUCUAAGUCACAAACCGGAUACGUAUAUGUGUUGAAUGGUGGGGCAGUGAGCUGGUGCAGCAGCAAGCAAGAAGUCAUGGCAGCAUCUACAUGUGAAGCGGAGUACAUACCUGCUUCAGAAGCGGCUCAUGAAGGAAUUUGGAUGAAGGAGCUCAUCACCGACCUUGGAGUGGUUCCAAGCGCGUCGGGUCCUAUGACACUCUUCUGUGAUAACACUGGAGCCAUUGCCAUAGCCAAGGAGCCCAGGUUUCACCGGAAGAUGAAGCACAUCAAGCGCCGCUACAAAUCCAUCCAGGACCAUGUCCAGAGUGGAGUGAUAGAUAUUUGUAAAGUACACACGGAUCUGAAUAUUGGAGACCCGAUGACUAAACCUCUUCCACGAGCAAAACAUGAUCAACACCAUAAUGCUAUGGGUGUUCGAUACAUCACAAUGUAACUAGAUUAUUGACUCUAGUGCAAGUGGAAGACUGUUGGAAAUAUGCCCUAGAGGCAAUAAUAAAAUGAUUACUAUCAUAGUUCCUUGUUCAUAAUAAUCGUCUAUUGUUCAUGCUAUAAUUGUAUUAACAGGAAACAGUAAUACAUGUGUGAAUAAAUAGAUCACAAUGUGUCCCUAGCAAGCCUCUAGUUGGCUAGCUCGUUAGUCAAUAGAUAAUCAUGGUUUCCUGAUCAUGGGCAUUAGAUGACAUUGAUAACGGGAUCACAUCAUUGGGAGGAAUGAUGUGAUGGACAAGACCCAAUCCUAAGCCUAGCACUAGAUCGUAUUGUUCGUAUGCUAAUGCUUUUCUAAUGUCAAGUAUCUUUUCCUUCGACCGUGAGAUUGUACAACUCCCGGAUACCGUAGGAGUGCUUUGGGUGUAUCAAACGUCACAACGUAAGUGGGUGACUAUAAAGGUGCACUACGGGUACCUCCGAAAGUGUCUGGUUGGGUUGGUACGAAUCGAGAUCGGGAUUUGUCACUCCGUGUGACGGAGAGGUAUCACGUGGGCCCACUCAGUAGAACAUCAUCAUGAGCUCGMAUKUCUNNNNNNNNNNNNNNNNNNNNNNNNNNNNNNNNNNNNNNNNNNNNNNNNNNNNNNNNNNNNNNNNNNNNNNNNNNNNNNNNNNNNNNNNNNNNNNNNNNNNGAGUAACUGGAGUCGNGUCAUUAGGAGAAUCAAGUGAUGGACUAGACCCAAACUAAUAGACGUAGCAUGUUUGAUCGUGUCAUUUUGUUGCUACUGUUUUUUCUGCGUGUCAAGUAUUUGUUCCUAUGACCAUGAGAUCAUAUAACUCACUAACACCCAGAGGAAUACUUUGUGUGUAUCAAACGUCGCAACGUAACUGGGUGACUAUAAAGAUGCUCUACAGGUAUCUCCGAAGGUGUUCGUUGAGUUAGUAUGGAUCAAGACUGAGAUUUGUCACUCCGUGUGACGGAGAGGUAUCUCGGGGCCCACUCGGUAAUACAACAUCACACACAAGCCUUGCAAGCAAUGUAACUUAGUGUAAGUUGCGGGAUCUUGUAUUACGAAACGAGUAAAGAGACUUGCCGGUAAACGAGAUUGAAAUAGGUAUGCGGAUACUGACGAUCGAAUCUCGGGCAAGUAACAUACCGAAGGACAAAGGGAAUGACAUACGAGAUUAUAUGAAUCCUUGGCACUGAGGUUCAAAUGAUAAGAUCUUCGUAGAAUAUGUAGGAUCCAAUAUGGGCAUCCAGGUCCCGCUAUUGGAUAUUGACCGAGGAGUCUCUCGGGUCAUGUCUACAUAGUUCUCGAACCCGCAGGGUCUGCACACUUAAGGUUCGACGUUGUUUUAUGCGUAUUUGAGUUAUAUGGUUGGUUACGGAAUGUUGUUCGGAGUCACGGAUGAGAUCACGGACGUCACGAGGGUUUCCGGAAUGGUCCGGAAACGAAGAUUGAUAUAUAGGAUGACCUCAUUUGAUUACCGGAAGGUUUUCGGAGUUACCGGAAUGUACCGGGAAUGACGAAUGGGCUCCGGGAGUUCACCGGGGGGGCAACCCACCCCGGGGAAGCCCAUAGGCCUUGGGGGUGGCACACCAGCCCUUAGUGGGCUGGUGGGACAGCCCAAGAAGGCCCUAUGCGCCAUAGGAAGAAAAUCAAAGAGAAAAAAAAGGAGGAGGUGGGAAAGGAAAGAAGGACUCCACCCACCAAACCAAGUAGGACUCGGUUUGGGGGGGGGAGACCUUCCCCCUUGGCUCGGCCGACCCCCUUGGGGCUCCUUGAGCCCCAAGGCAAGGUUCCCCCUCUCCCACCUAUAUAUACGGAGGUUUUAGGGCUGAUUUGAGACGACUUUUCCACGGCAGCCCGACCACAUACCUCCACGGUUUUUCCUCUAGAUCGCGUUUCUGCGGAGCUCGGGCGGAGCCCUGCUGAGACAAGAUCAUCACCAACCUCCGGAGCGCCGUCACGCUGCCGGAGAACUCUUCUACCUCUCUGUCUCUCUUGCUGGAUCAAGAAGGCCGAGAUCAUCGUCGAGCUGUACGUGUGCUGAACGCGGAGGUGCCGUCCGUUCGGCACUAGAUCGUGGGACUGAUCGCGGGACGGUUCGCGGGGCGGAUCGAGGGACGUGAGGACGUUCCACUACAUCAACCGCGUUCACUAACGCUUCUGUUGUACGGUCUACAAGGGUACGUAGAUCACACAUCCCCUCUCGUAGAUGGACAUCACCAUGAUAGGUCUUCGUGCGCGUAGGAAAUUUUUUGUUUCCCAUGCGACGUUCCCCUACAGAACUUGCCUUUUGAGAUCAUGUGUGAUGCUAGUGAUUAUGCUGUUGGUGCUGUUCUAGGGCGGCAUGGACUGCGUGCCACAAUAGUACGGCCCGGAGAGGUGACGCAACAGCGAUGCGCAGGUCGGUACAGCCACAAGGACGGCCUCGGGCGGCGGCAGAGACCGCGUGCCGCGUCACUACAGCCCGCACGGGCGGUGUAGGGGUGGCUCGCGGGGAGAACCACUAGGUGGCGACGCUGCGGCCCGAUGGGGUGAUGCAGCGGCAGCCCGUUGCUCGAUCGGUGGAAGGGCAUGCCGUACUCGGGGACAACCUUUAGAGGACCUGUGGAGGCGCAUGCAGCCGGCUGAUCAGGUUAGUCGCACCAUACGGAUGGAGUCGGUCGCGACGGGCGGGUGAUCAAUCGAUCGCAUGCGAGGUCGAGGGCGCUGCUCAGUGAUGAUGAUGGCGUCGUGGACGAUGAAGUGGGGUGCUCGAGCAGAUCAAGGGGGCUGCGACCGAUGGGGAACAGCGUGCCCAAGGCAGCCGACGCCCGAGCGCAAAACCUCGUGGCAACUGACAAGGGGCGGCGGAGACCCGAGCCAGAAAAUCUCAAGACGACAAGGCCGCCCGAGCCAGGUAGACAUCAAGCCCCAGGCAGCCGGCGAACGAUGGCGAAGACGAUAGGUGAUGUAGGAUCCUGAUUGGACGCGGGCGAUCACGACCGACGCGGAGCAACGGGCGGGCAAACGCGCGAACGACGACCGGGAUAGGGCGCCGUGUCGUGCGAAGCCGCCGGGCUGCAAAAGUGGUCGGGGUUGCGCCAUUGGCAGCGACGACAGGCGCAAGGCGACGGGCAGGCAGUCGCGCGAGCGACAACCACGAUGCGUCACGUGGGGGCGCGAGGCUGCCAGGUCGAAGAAUAGGCCUGGGUCGCGCCAUUGUCGGAGUAGAGGCACGCAAGUGUCGGACGGCGGCGACGGGCGACGCAACCUGAUCUGAGAUCAGAAAACCAAAAAUAAAACGCCAACCAAAGCGUCCGGCGGAAGAAAGAAAAAUUCGGAUCAAGAGAUCGAGAAAAAGACUUUCUAGGGCAGCCGGUCAACACGACCGACGGACGGACCCUAGGUACGGGUGAUGCGGCCCCCGUGGGCGGUCAUGGAGGCUGACCUGCCGAGGGAAACACGGCGGGGGGGGGGGGGGGGAAGCGGCGUGCGACGAUCAGGUCUAGGAACUGGCGGCAAAUACCAUGUAGAGGGGAAUAGAAGGAUUGGUGGAAUGGUUCAUGUAUUGCUUGAACCUCAUGGGCGUAUUUAUAGGAGUACAUGAUCAACCUGGAUACAAGACAAACCAGAAUUAUUCCUAGUCUAUCUUAUGUUUGCUAACUAAUAAUGAUACUCAACGGCCCACACCUUCGAGUUAUUUUUUUAAUGGGACACACCUCCGAGUAUUAGUAGGGUUAAGAGCAUCUCCAAUAGAUGAUGUAUAUUUUGAUGCUUCAAUCCGGUGGUGGUCCAAAUUUGGAGCACCAAAAAGUGCUAUUUACAUCUUCAAAAAAGGCCCAACUUCAACAGAUGGUCCAAAACGGAGAUGUAAAAAACGAGCAAGUCCAACAAAUGGUCCAAAACGAUUACUACUUCAUCUCAACAUAGUUCAACAUCAAAUUCAACAUAUUUUCAUACAUAAAUUCAACUACUAGAUGAGACUACUCCUCGUCGUCGGAGCUGCGGGGAGCGGGAGACGUCAUGCGACAUGGAGCGGAGGCGAACGGAGGCGUGCGGUGCAGGGCGGGGGUCGACGACGGGAGGCCAGACCAAAGGCGGAUGCCCGCCGGGUAGAGGGUAGGGAAGACGUGGUCGGGGCGGAGGCGACCGGAGCGGGGCGGACGGGGUCNNNNNNNNNNNNNNNNNNNNNNNNNNNNNNNNNNNNNNNNNNNNNNNNNNNNNNNNNNNNNNNNNNNNNNNNNNNNNNNNNNNNNNNNNNNNNNNNNNNNGCCGCCGGAGAGGAGGAAGACGUGGUCGGGGCGGAGGCGACCGGAGCGGGGCGGACGGGGUCGGGACUGAGGGAAGGCGGACGGAGGCGGAGGCGACCGAAGAGGAGGCGGGCGGGGGUCGGGCGGAGGCGUCCGGAGCGGGGGCGGACGUGGUCAUGGCGGAGCGGAGGCGGACGUGGCGGGGUGGAAUCGGAGGCGGGGGAUUGGAUCUACGGCGAGGCGACAUCGGUGAGCUGCGGCGAGGCGACGGUGGGCGGGAGGAAGAAGKGGGGGAAGCAAAUGAAGAAUGGUUGGUGGUUGGCGCGCGGCCGCGGUUUUUACAUCUCCUGCCUUUGGAGAUGUAAAUUUGCACCGCGAGGUGUUGAAAUUUACAUCACGAGGAGGCAGAGAUGUAUUUUUUUCAUAUGAACCAUUUGUUGGAGUGUUGUUUUUUUGCUUUAAAAGAUCCAAAAGUUAGUUAUUUUUACAUAUGGGCUCUAUUGGAGAUGCUGUAAAGAGGAUGUCAUUUUUUUGGUACGCGGCUGUAGAUGCUCCACGUAUAGCUGGUCAAACAGGCCGGCCCGCCAUGGGCCAGGCACGACACGACUUAAACGGGCCCGUGCGAGGCACGCAGCACGCCUCGGGCCGUGCCUGGGCCUGGAGGCUGGGCACGUGGGCCGACACGACACGACACGACCCGUUUAUUUUUUAUAUAUUUUUUUUAAUAUAUAUAUACAUAAUAUAUGGUCCAAUAGGUUAAAAAAUAAACCCACGAGACUAAAAUAUACGGUCGAGCGUGCUAAUCGGGCCAACAUGCCGGCUCGUUUAAUAAUCGUGCCGUGCCUAGAGCGCAACCCAUGGACUCACACGACACGACCCGAUUAGUAAAUGUGCCUGUGCCUAGAGGCGACAACCNUGGACUCACACGGCANNNNNNNNNNNNNNNNNNNNNNNNNNNNNNNNNNNNNNNNNNNNNNNNNNNNNNNNNNNNNNNNNNNNNNNNNNNNNNNNNNNNNNNNNNNNNNNNNNNNCGGGAAACGAACGACGGGGGNGGGGGGGGGGGGGGGAAGCGGCGUGCGACGAUCAGGUCUAGGAACUGGCGGCAAAUACCAUGUAGAGGGGAAUAGAAGGAUUGGUGGAAUGGUUCAUGUAUUGCUUGAACCUCAUGGGCGUAUUUAUAGGAGUACAUGAUCAACCUGGAUACAAGACAAACCAGAAUUAUUCCUAGUCUAUCUUAUGUUUGCUAACUAAUAAUGAUACUCAACGGCCCACACCUUCGAGUAUUUUUUUAAUGGGACACACCUCCGAGUAUUAGUAGGGUUAAGAGCAUCUCCAAUAGAUGAUGUAUAUUUUGAUGCUUCAAUCCGGUGGUGGUCCAAAUUUGGAGCACCAAAAAAGUGCUAUUUACAUCUAAGAUGCCUCAGAUGAUAGUGAAGAAUAAAAACCAGUCUCCUCCGUGCCAUGAACUGCGAUCCAAGCAACGCCACGACCCAGCGGCUGCUCCGAGCAAAAGGUCGCCUCCAGCAGUAGGAACGUGAAGUGUGACCAGGCCANNNNNNNNNNNNNNNNNNNNNNNNNNNNNNNNNNNNNNNNNNNNNNNNNNNNNNNNNNNNNNNNNNNNNNNNNNNNNNNNNNNNNNNNNNNNNNNNNNNNAAUUUGUAUACUUCGUAUACUUCUGGUACUUCAAAAAUUCUGAACAAUUAUGACAGUCUGAAGAAUUUGCGUAGCAAUCAGCAGCAAAAAGAAUCGACUCAAAAGCUCUUACARAAAAAAAUGAAAAUUAUUUUCGUGAGCAGAAAGUUUCUGUCUUUUCCAGCAUGACCAAACGAUCAUCCCCAAGACUAAUCAUAACGGUUUUGCUUGGCACAAACGCAAAAAGAAACACAAAAACACAGUCAUAACAGAAUUAUGAAAGUGUGGAAAAACACAAAAACACAAAGAAAAAGGAUAGAUUCGUUGGGUUGCCUCCCAACAAGUGCUUUUGUUUAACGCCCUUACUUUCCACCCCAAGAUCAAACUGCUCUCCGUUGGAUACGGGAGAGUGCAGGUUCGUCCACUCCUACAAAGAACAAAGAUAGCAGAGUCAGUCGGACAAGUAUACAAUCAUUCGACGAAGACAUCAACACAAAUCAAGAAAAGAUAUUACAUACCGGUUUCCGCGGCUUAUUCUCAGUGGAAUNNNNNNNNNNNNNNNNNNNNNNNNNNNNNNNNNNNNNNNNNNNNNNNNNNNNNNNNNNNNNNNNNNNNNNNNNNNNNNNNNNNNNNNNNNNNNNNNNNNNGGCGUGGUAACCAUCGCUCAUCCGUCGUGUCCUGAGAACGAGAUACGCGGCUCCUAUCGAGAUCGUCGACACGUCGGGCGGCCUUGCUCGAUUAGUUUUAGCGUUGACGAGAUAUCUUGUGCAUCGGGAUUCUAGUGAUGCUUUGGGUAAUCUCAGAGUUGAGGUUUUCCACUAGGGAAUCCGACGAGAUCGCGAGCUUCGUGGUUGAGGAUUUCUAUGCGGCUUGUGGUAAUCUGUGAUGGACUAGUUGGAGCACCCCUGCAGGGUUAAAUCUUUUCGGAAAGCCGUGCCCGCGGUUAUGUGGUAACGUGGAAACUUUGUUUAACACUGGUUCUAGAUAACUUGAAGUAACUUAAUUAAAACAUGACAACUGUGUGCGUAAUCGUGACUGUCUCUUUCGUGAGUUCGUACUCCGAUCGAGGACACGGUGGGGUUGUGCCUGGCCUAGGUAGGUGUUCAGGAUCAUUCAUUUGAUCAUCAGUAGUUCACGUACGCUAUGCGUAGAUCCUUCCCCUCUUAUUUCUUGUUACUCGUAAGUUUAGCCACCAAAUAUAUGCUUAGCCGCUGCAGAAUUAAAUGACAUUAGUUCAGAUCUGGACAUAACUGUAAAUUAACAUGUGAGGUNNNNNNNNNNNNNNNNNNNNNNNNNNNNNNNNNNNNNNNNNNNNNNNNNNNNNNNNNNNNNNNNNNNNNNNNNNNNNNNNNNNNNNNNNNNNNNNNNNNNAUACCUACCUACUAUGGCUUUUUCAAAGUCAUUCCGAGAUAUAUUGCCAUGCAACUAUCGGCAUGACUUGUGCCACCACGUCUACAUUUCCAUUGCAUGAUCAUAAGAUAGCUAGCAUGAUGUUUCCAUUAAUGUCUAUGCCAUGCUAGAUCAUUGUCACGGUACACUACCGAAGGCAUUCCAUAUAGAGUCAUCGUUGCUCUAAGUUUUGAGUUGAAAGUGUGAUGAUCAUCAUUGAUGGAGCAUUGUCCCAUGUGAUGGAAUAAAAGAGGCCAAAGAUGCCCACAAAAAAAAAGAGCCCAAAGAGCCCACCAAAAAAAUGAUGAGAGAAAAAGAUAGAAGGGACAAUGCUACUAUCCUUCCACACUUGUGCAUAUUAAGCAUCAUGAUCUUCAUGAUUGAGAGUCCCUCGGUUUGUCACCACCAUAUAGCUAGUGGGAAAUUUUCAUUACAUAACUUGGCUUGUAUAUUUGAAUGAUAGGCUUCCUCAAAUUCUCCUUAGGUCUUCGUGAGCAAGCAAGUUGGAUGCACACCCACAAGUUUUCUUUAAGAGCUUUCACAUAGUCUUAGCUCUAGUGCAUCAUUUGUAUGGCAAUCCCUACUCAUUCACAUUGAUAUCUAUUGAUGUGUGAUACGUCUCAAACGUAUCUAUAAUUUUUGAUGGUUUCAUGCUGUUAUCUUGUNNNNNNNNNNNNNNNNNNNNNNNNNNNNNNNNNNNNNNNNNNNNNNNNNNNNNNNNNNNNNNNNNNNNNNNNNNNNNNNNNNNNNNNNNNNNNNNNNNNNUAAUAAUUAUUGUUUCCAUGUCAAUAGCAAACUAUUGUUUUGAAUCUAAUGGAUCUGAACAUUCACGUCACANNNNNNNNNNGAUCAAAAAUUCAUUCUUUAUCACUUCCCUACUCGAGGACGAGCAGGAGUUAAGCUUGGGGAUGCUUGAUACGUAUCAAACGUAUCUAUAAUUUUUGAUGGUUUCAUGCUGUUAUCUUGUCAUCUUUGGAUGUUUUAUGUACCUUUUAUAUCUUUUUUGGGACUAACUUAUUAAUCAAGUGCCAAGUGCCAGUUCCUGUUUUUUCUGUGUUUUUGGCUCUUUCCUAUCUGAUUUUAGAACGGAGUCCAAACGGAAUAAAAUCCCCGGAAUAAUUUUUUUCCCGAACGGAAGAAGAUUAGGGGGCAUGAGGGCCAAGGCAGGAGAUCUACAGGGGGCCCACAAGCCCUGUAGCCGCCACUAGGGGGGCGGCGGCUACCAGGCUUGUGGNNNNNNNNNNAGAUCUGAUUUUGGAACGGAGUCCAAACGGAAUAAAAUCCCCGAAAUGAUUUUUUCCCGAACGAAAGAAGAUCAGGGGCUUGUGGGCCAAGCCAGGAGGGCUACAGGGAGCCCAUAAGCGCCCACUCCGCCACCAGGGGGAGGCGGCGGUGGGCAGGCUUGUGGCCUCCCUCGCGCCCCCUGACCUAGAUCUUGCACCUAUAUAUUCCCUAAAAAUCAGAAAAAAAUCAGGGGAUCCACGAAAAUACUUUUCCGCCGCCGCAAGCUUCCGUUUCCGCGAGAUCUCAUCUGGAUACCCUUCGCGGCGCCCUCCCGGAGGGGACUUUGGAGUGGAGGGCUUCUUCAUCAUCAUCAUCGCCAUCAGACCUACGGGUCCGUAGUUAGUAGCUAGAUGGCUUCUUCUCUCUCUUGGAUCUUCAAUACAAAGUUCUCCAUGAUCUUCAUGGAGAUCUAUCCGAUGUAAUCUUAUUUGGCGGUGUGUUUGUCGAGAUCCGAUGAAUUGUGGAUUUGUUAUCAGAUUAUCUAUGAUAUAUAUUUGAGUCUUUGCUGAUUUCUUAUACCUUGGUUCUCAAAACUGAGGGAAAUACUUACCACCGCUGCGCUACAUCACCCUUUCCGCUUCGAGGGAACACCAACGCAAGGCUCCAAGGCCAUGGGGAAAUCCUUUGCAUAUUUUCCUAGGAAGUCCCUAAAGGCGUAGCCAUAGCAGAAGGAUUCCUCGUGCCGUUGCUAAGGAGAAUAAGGACAAGAACAGUCUCCCGUCAGCACGUGUUUCUGGCGCUGUUGGAAGGUCUUUUGUUGCAGUAGCAAUGAGCAUCUCCACAGCUCAUUGAUAUGCCUAGUUAAUGUGAUCAUCUUCUCCUUGUUUGUCUUGCAACCUCCACCACACUCCACACCACUUAUAGUGCUAAAACCAUGGCUCACGCUCAUGUAUUGUGUGAGACUUGAAAAGGUUUGAGAAAGUAAAGGUGUGAAAACAAUUACUUGGCCAAUACCGGGGUUGUGCAUGAUUUAAAUUCGUUCUGCAAUGAUGAUAGAGCAUAGCCAGACUAUAUGCUUUUGUAGGGAUAACUUUAUUUUGGCCUUGUUAUUUUGAAAGUUCAUGAUUACCUUGCUAGUUUUCUUGAAGUAUUAUUGUUUCCACAUCAGUAGCAAACUAUUGUUUUGAAUCUAAUGGAUCUGAACAUUCACGUCACAUAAGAGGAGUUACAAAGGACAUCUAUGCUAGGUAGCAUGAAAGCAUCAAAAUUCAUUCUUUAUCACUUCCCUACUCGAGGAUGAGCAGGAGUUAAGCUUGGGGAUGCUUGAUACGUCUCAAACGUAUCUAUAAUUUUUUAUGGUUUCAUGCUGUUAUCUUGUCAUCUUUGGAUGUUUUAUGUACCUUNNNNNNNNNNCCAUUGCUGACGAGAAUCAAGACAAGAACAGUCUCCCGUCAGCACGUGUUUCUGGCGCCGUUGGAAGGUCUUUUGUUGCAGUAGCAGAAGUAUUUCUGGCGCCGUUGCCGGGGAAGAGAGAUCUAUCCAAGUAGGUCUCACAAACUCAUCUCCUGCAUUUAUUUUUUUUGCCAGUUGCCUCUUGUUUUCCUCUCCCCCACUUCACAUUUGCCGUUUUCAUUUGCCUUUUUUCCUUUGCCGUUUUCUUUCGCCCGUUUCACUCUCUCUUCCUGCUCGUUUGUGUGUGAGAUAGUCCAUCAAUGGCUAGACCCACCACUCCAAACGAUACUCCUGAGAAUGAAGUUCUCAAUUUCAGGCAGAAUGAGGAAGAAAAUUUAAAGGACGCUUGGUACAGGAUUUGCAAUGCUCAAAGUAGAUCUACUCGUAAGCAAUCCACUACCGUCCUCCUUCGCAGUUUCUAUGUUGGGAUUUCUCCUUGGAAUAGGUAUAUCCUUGACACCAUUGUAGGCGGGAAUUUUCUGGGGAGCCAUACUGUUGACUCCUAUAGUGCUAUCAUGAAUUUGGUAGGCUCACCCCCGCUCAUGGUUAAUGGAACUACCUUGACCUUGGAACACGUGAUGCAAAGGCUUGACGCUAUUGAAAGCAAAAUUGCCACAGUUGAACUUAUUGAUGGUUUGAAUAGAAAGAUCCAUAAUCAAAUUACUCAGUACGGAUCCAAAGUGGAAUUUUUUUUGAAAAAAUCAAGGGAGAAGGAACUUAUAGUUAGUGAUUCUUCUAGAAUUGGCAUAUUAGAAGAUGUCAUAACCAACUUGGGUUCCGCUUUUGCCGUUGUGCAAAAUACUCCAAAUCUCACUAUCAAAAAGACCGUCAAACCUGUUUUUGUUCCUAAAGCUAGUGGUGAGUCAUCCAAUAAAGAUGAAGAUCUUGAGAUGAUAAAUGAUCACAAUACUUAUGGUUUGAGCACCAAAGAUGACUAUACGUGAUUCCAUCACCUUUCGCCUAGCUAAGGGCGUUAAACAAAAGCGCUUGUUGGGAGGCAACCCAACGAAUCUAUCCUUUUUAUUUCUGUUUUGUGUUUUCCACACUUUCAUAAUUCUGUUAUGAUUGUGUUUUUUGUGUUUCUUUUGUGUUUGUACCAAGCAGAACCGUUAUGAUUAGUCUUGGGGAUGAUCGUUUGGUCAUGCUGGAAAAGACAGAAACUUUCUGCUCACGAAACGAAUUUGCAUUUUUUUCUGUAAGAGCUUUUGAGUUCAUUCUUUUUGAUGAUGAUUGCUACGGAAAUUCUUCAGACUUUCGUAAUGUUUCAGAAUUUUUGAAGUACCAUAGGUAUAAGAAAUAUACAUAUUGCUACAGAUUGGUCUGCUGUUAACAGAUUCUGUUUUUGUUGUGUUGGUUGCUUAUUUUGAUGAAACUAUGGAUAGUAUCGGGGGGUAUUAGCCAUGGAAGAUUUAAAAUACAGUAACCCAACAUCAGCAUAAGUAGAAUUUAAGUUUGCUACAGUACCUAAGGAAGUGGUGGUUUGCUUUCUCAUACUAAUGUUAUCACGAAUUUCUGUUUAAGUUUUGUGUUGUGAAGUUUUCAAGUAUUGGGUGAAGUUCUUAUGGACAAAGAGAUAAAGAGUGGAAAGAGCUCAAGCUUGGGGAUGCCCAAGGCACCCCAAAAGAUUCAAGGAUGCCGUAAAAGCCUAAUCUUGGGGAUGCCCCGGGAAGGCAUCCCCUAUCUCGUCUUCAAUCCAUCGGUAACGUUACUUGGGACUAUAUUUUUAUUCACCACAUGUUAUGUGUUUUUGCUUGGAGUGUCUUGUAUCGUAGGAGUAUUUUAUUUUUGUUGUAUCACAAUCAUCCUUGCUGCACACGUAGAGAGAGAGACAUGCACACACCGUGAUUUUGUCGAGCUUCACUUAUNNNNNNNNNNCACUAUAGAAUACUCAAGCUUGGGGAUUCCCAAGGCACCCCAAGAGAUUCAAGGAUGCCCUAAAAGCCUAAGCUUGGGGAUGCCCCGGGAAGGCAUCCCCUCUCUCGUCUUCAAUCCAUCGGUAACGUUACUUGGGGCUAUAUAUUUAUUCACCACAUGUUAUGUGUUUUUGCUUGGAGCGUCUUGUAUUGUAGGAGUCUUUUAAUUUUGUUGUGUCACAAUCAUCCUUGCUGCACACCUAGAGAGAGAGACAUGCACACACCGUGAUUUUGUCGAGCUUCACUUAUAUCUUUUGGUAGACAAUUCAGCUCACAUGUGCUUCACUUAUAUCUUUUGAGCUAGAUACUUUUGCUCUGUGUGUUUCACUUAUAUCUUUUAGAGCACAACGGUGCGUGGCUUGGUAGUUGAUCUAUGCUUUGAAAGUAGUCUCAAAAGGGGUAGUUGUCCAAAGGGAUACGAAAACUUCCACCUUCAUGUGCAUUGAAUAGUUAGAGAAGUUUGAUUUAUCUCAAUUAGUUAUGAGUUGUGGUUAUGGUAAUAUUGAAGUUAUGUUAGUAAGGUGUUGUGGAUCUAGAAAUACUUGUGUUGAAGUUAGUGAUUCCCGUAGCAUGCACGUAUCGUGAACCUCUAUUGGAUGAAAUCUGAGCAUGAUUAGUCUAUUGAUUGUCAUCGUUUGCGUGGCGGUCGGGAUCGCGCGAUGGUUUAUACCUACCAACCCUUCCCCUAGGAGUAUGUGUUGAAUGCUUUGUUUCAAUUACUAAUAAAACCUUUGCAACAAGUAUAUGAGUUCUUCAUGACUAAUGUUGAGUCCAUGGUUUAGAUGCACUUUCACCUUUCACCAUCACUACCUUCUUAGUGCCGUGCAACUUUCACCGGUGCACAAAACCCACCAUUAGCCUCCCCCAAAACAGCCACCAUACCUACCUACUAUGGCUUUUUCAAAGUCAUUCUGAGAUAUAUUGCCAUGCAACUACCACCAUGACAUGUGCCACCACAUCUACAUUGCCGUUGCAUGAUCAUAAGAUAGCUAGCAUGAUGUUUCCAUUAAUGUCUAUGNNNNNNNNNNNNNNNNNNNNNNNNNNNNNNNNNNNNNNNNNNNNNNNNNNNNNNNNNNNNNNNNNNNNNNNNNNNNNNNNNNNNNNNNNNNNNNNNNNNNUGUGUGGUGACCUUUCCCAGUGACAGUAGGGGCAGCAAGGCACGCAUCGCGUUGUUGCCAUCAAUUGUAACAAGUUGGGCUUUUAUCAUAGAUAUGAGAUUGUCCAUCUACAUCAUGUCAUCUUGCUUAAGGCGGUACUCUGUUCUUUUGGACUUAAUACACUAGAUGCAUGCUGCAUAGCGGUCGAUGUGUGGAGUAAUAGUAGUAAAUGCAGAAAGUAUUGGUCUACUUGUUUUGGACGUGAUGCCUAUAGAUAUAAUCAUUGCCAUAGAUGACGUCACGAAUUUGCACGGUUCUAUCAAUUGCUCGACAGUAAUUUGUUCACCCACCGUCUACUUGUUGUCAUGAGAGAAGCCACUAGUGAACACUACGGCCCCCGGGUCUAUUCACACCUAUCGUUUCCACUUUCGCUUUUACUUUGCUUUGUUACCUUGUUGCUUUCAGUUCUCACUUGGCAAACAAUCUAUAAGGGAUUGACAACCCCUUCAUAGCGUUGGGAGCAAGCUCUUUGUGUUUGUUCAGGUACUUGUGAUAUUCCUUCACUGGAUCGAUACCUUGGUUCUCAAAACCGAGGGAAAUACUUACCGCCGCUAUGCUACAUCACCCUUUCCGCUUUGAGGGAACACCAACGCAAGGCUCCAAGGCCACGGGGGAAAUCCUUUUCAUAUUUGCCUAGGAAGUCCCUAAAGGCUUAGCCGUAGCAGAAGGAUUCCUGGUGCCGUUGCUGAGGAGUAUCAAGACAAGAAUAGUCUCCCGUCAGCACGUGUUUCUAGCACCGUUGGAAGGUCUUUUGUUGUAGUAGCAGAAGUAUUUCUGGCUCCGUUGCCGGGGAAGGAGAGAUCUAUCCAAGUAGGUCUCACAAACUCAUCUCUUGUAUUUACUUUUUUUGCCAGUUGCCUCUCAUUUUCCUCUCCCCCACUUCACAUUUGCCGUUUCAUUUGCCUUUCACCUUUGCUGUUUUCUUUUGCCUUUUGCCUUUUUGCCUUUCUCCUUUGCCGUUUUCUUUUUCCCGUUUCACUCUCUCUUCCUGCUCGUUUGUGUGUGAGAUUGUCCAUCAAUGGCUAGACCCAUCACUCCAAACGAUACCCCUGAGAAUGAAGUUCUCAAUUUUAGGCAGAAUGAGGAAGAAAAUUUAAAGGAUGCUUGGUACAGGAUUUGCAAUGCUCAAAGUAGAUCUACUCGCAAGCAAUCCAUUACCUUUCUUCUUCGCAGUUUUUAUGUUGUAAUUUCUCCUUGGAAUAGGUAUAUCCUUAUACCAUUGUAGGCGGGAAUUUUUUGGGGAGCCAUACCGUUGACUCCUAUGGAGCUAUCAUGAAUUUGGUAGGCUCACCCCUCCUCAUGGUUAAUGGAACUACCUUAAGCUUGGAACACGUGAUGCAAAGGCUUGACGAUAUUGUAAACAAAAUUGCCACAAUUGAACUUAUUGAGGGUUUGGAUAGAAAGAUCCACAAUCAAAUUACUCAGUACAGAUCCAAAGUGGGAGAUGUUCUGAAAUUUUUUAGGGAGAAGGAACUUAUAGUUAAUGAUUUUUCUAGAAUUGGCAAACUAGAAGAUGUCAUAACCAACUUGGGUUCCGCUUUUGCCGCUGUGCAAAAUAUUCCAAAUCUCACUCUAAAAAAGACCGUCAAGUCUGUUUUUGUUCCUAAAGCUAGUGGUGAGUCAUUCUAUAAAGAUAAAGAUCUUAAGAUGAUAAAUGAUCACACUACUUAUGGUUUGAGCACCAAAGAUGACUAUACGUGAUUCCAUCACCUUUUGCCUAGCUAAGGGCGUUAAACAAAAGCACUUGUUGGGAGGCAACCCAACGAAUCUAUCCUUUUUCUUUGUGUUUUGUGUUUUCCACACUUUCAUAAUUCUGUUAUGACUGUGUUUUUGUGUUUCUUUUUGCGUUUGUGCCAAGCAAAACCGUUAUGAUUAGUCUUGGGGAUGAUCGUUUGGUCAUGCUGGAAAAGACAGAAACUUUCUGCUCACGAAAAUAAUUUUCAUUUUUUUCUGUAAGAGCUUUUGAGUCGAUUCUUUUUGCUGCUGAUUGCUACGCAAAUUCUUCAGACUGUCAUAAUUGUUCAGAAUUUUUGAAGUACCAGAAGUAUACGAAGUAUACAAAUUGCUAUAGACUGGUCUGCUGUUAACAUAUUCUAUUUUUGUUGUGUUGGUUGCUUAUUUUGAUGAAACUAUGGAUAGUAUCGGGGGGUAUUAGCCAUGCAAGAUUGAAAAUACAGUAACCCAACAUCAACAUAAGUAGAAUUUAAGUUUUCUACAGUACCUAAGGAAGUGGUGGUUUGCUUUCUUAUACUAAUGUUAUCACGAGUUUAUGUUUAAGUUUCGUGUUGUGAAGUUUUCAAGUUUUGGCUGAAGUUCUUAUGGACGGAAAGAUAAAGAGUGGCAAGAGCUCAAGCUUGGGGAUGCCCCGGGAAGGUAUCCCCUCUUUCGUCUUCAAUCCAUCGGUAACGUUACUUGGGGCUAUAUUUUUAUUCAUCACAUGUUAUGUGUUUUGCUUGGAGCGUCUUGUAUCGUAGGAGUCUUUUAUUUUUGCUGUGUCACAAUCAUCCUAGCUGCACACCUAGAGAGAGAGACAUGCUUAUAUCCUUUGGUAGAGAAUUCAGCUCACAUGUGCUUCACUUAUAUCUUUUGAGCUAGUUGAUUUUGCUCUAUGUGCUUCACUUAUAUCUUUUAGAGCAAAGCGGUGCGUGGCUUGGUAGUUGAUCUAUGCUUUGAAAGUAGUCUCAAAAGGGGUAGUUAUCCAAAGGGAUAUGAAAACUUCCACCUUCAUGUGGAUUGAAUAGUUAGAGAAGUUUGAUUCAUCUCAAUUAGUUUUGAGUUGUGGUUAUGGUAAUAUUGAAGUUAUGCUAGUAAGGUGUUGUGGAUCUAGAAAUACUUGUGUUGAAGUUAGUGAUUCCCGUAGCAUGCACGUAUGGUGAACCGCUGUGUGAUGAAGUCUGAGCAUGAUUAGUCUAUUGAUUGUCAUCCUUUGUGUGGCGGUCGGGAUCGCACGAUGGUUUAUACCUACCAACCCUUCCCCUAGGAGUAUGCGUUGAAUGCUUUGUUUCGAUUACUACUAAAACUUUUGCAACAAGUAUAUGAGUUCUUCAUGACUAAUGUUGAGUCCAUGGUNNNNNNNNNNACGCUAUGUGAUGAAAUCCGAGCAUGAUUAGUCGAUUGAUUGUCAUCCUUUGCGUGGCGGUCGGGAUCACGCGAUGGUUUAUACCUACCAACCCUUCCCCUAGGAGUAUCCGUUGAAUGCUUUGUUUCGAUUACUAAUAAAAUUUUUGCAACAAGUAUAUGAGUUCUUCAUGACUAAUUUUGAGUCCAUGGUUUAGAUGCAAUUUCACCUUCCACCAUCACUAUCUUCUUAGUGCCGUGCAACUUUCGCCGGUGCACAAAACCCACCAUUAGCCUCCCUCAAANNNNNNNNNNNNNNNNNNNNNNNNNNNNNNNNNNNNNNNNNNNNNNNNNNNNNNNNNNNNNNNNNNNNNNNNNNNNNNNNNNNNNNNNNNNNNNNNNNNNAUGACAAGAUAACAGCAUGAAACCAUCAAAAAUUAUAGAUACGUUUGAUACGUAUCAAGCAUCCCCAAGCUUAACUCCUGCUCGUCCUCGAGUAGGGAAGUGAUAAAGAAUGAAUUUUUGAUCCUUUCAUGCNNNNNNNNNNAAAAAAUUAUAGAUACGUUUGAGACGUAUCAAGCAUCCCCAAGCUUAACUCCUGCUCAUCCUCGAGUAGGGAAGUGAUAAAGAAUGAAUUUUGAUGCUUUCAUGCUUACCUAGCAUAGAUGUCCUUUGUAACUCCUCUUAUGUGACGUGAAUGUUCAGAUCCAUUAGAUUCAAAACAAUAGUUUGCUACUGAUGUGGAAACAAUAAUACUUCAAGAAAACUAGCAAGGUAAUCAUGAACUUUCAAAAUAACAAGGCCAAAAUAAAGUUAUCCCUACAAAAGCAUAUAGUCUGGCUAUGCUCUAUCAUCAUNNNNNNNNNNUUGACAUGGAAACAAUAAUUAUUAAAGCAAACUAGCAAGGUAAUCAUGAACUUUCGAAAUAACAAGGCCAAAACAAAGUUAUCCCUACAAAAGCAUAUAGUCUGGCUAUGCUCUAUCAUCAUUGCAGAACGAAUUUAAAUCAUGCACAACCCCGGUAUUGGCCAAGUAAUUGUUUUCACACCUUUACUUUCUCAAACCUUUUCAAGUCUCACACAAUACAUGAGCGUGAGCCAUGGUUUUAGCACUAUAAGUGGUGUGGAGUGUGGUGGAGGUUGCAAGACAAACAAGGAGAAGAUGAUCACAUUAACUAGGCAUAUCAAUGAGCUGUGGAGAUGCUCAUUGCUACUGCAACAAAAGACCUUCCAACAGCGCCAGAAACACGUGCUGACGGGAGACUGUUCUUGUCCUUAUUCUCCUUAGCAACGGCACGAGGAAUCCUUCUGCUAUGGCUACGCCUUUAGGGACUUCCUAGGAAAAUAUGCAAAGGAUUUCCCCGUGGCCUUGGAGCCUUGCGUUGGUGUUCCCUCGAAGCGGAAAGGGUGAUGUAGCACAACGGUGGAAAGUAUUUCCCUCAGUUUUGAGAACCAAGGUAUCGAUCCAGUGAAGGAGUAUCACAAGUGCCUGCACAAACACAAAUAACCUGCUCCCAACGAUAUGAAGGGGUUGUCAAUCCCUUAUUGAUUGUUUGCAAAGUGAGAACUGAAAGCAGCAAAGUAACAAAGCAAAGUAAAAGCAAAGGUGUAAACGAUAGAUGUGAAUAGACCCGGGGGCCGUAGUGUUUACUAGUGGCUUCUCUCAUGAAAGCAAGUAGACGGUGGGUGAACAAAUUACUGUCGAUCAAUUGAUAGAGUCGCGGAAAGUCGUGACGAUAUCUAUGGCAAUGAUUAUAUUUAUAGGCAUCACGUCCAAAACAAGUAGACCGAUACUUUCUGCAUCUAGUACUAUUACUCCACACGUCGACCGCUAUCCAACAUGCAUCUAGUGUAUUAAGUCCAAAAGAACGGACUAACGCCUUAAGCAAGAUGACAUGAUGUAGAUGGACAAUCUCAUAUCAAUGACAGAGCCUACCUUGUUACCCUUGAUGGCAACUACUCAAUGUGUGCCUUGCUGCCCCUACUGUCAGUGGGAAAGGUCACCACAUGGUAAGAACCCAAAACCAAGCACUUCUCCCAUUGCAAGAAUCAUAGAUCUAGUUGGCCAAACAAAACCCAAGACUCGGAGAGGCUUACAAGGAUAUCAAAUCAUGCAUAUAAGAAAUCAACAAAUACUCAAAUAUAUAUCAUAGAUAAUCUCAUCACAAAUCCACAAUUCAUCAGAUCUCGACAAACACACCGCCAAACAAGAUUACAUCGGAUAGAUCUCCAUGAAGAUCAUGGAGAACUUUGUAUUGAAGAUCCAAGAGAGAGAAGAAGCCAUCUAGCUACUAACUACGGACCCGUAGGUCUGAAGUGAACUACUCACGAGUCAUUCGAGGGGCGAUGAUGAUGAUGAAGCCCUCCAACUCCAAAGUCUCCUCCGGCAAGGCACCGGGAACGGCCAUAUGAGAUCUCGCGGAAACGGAAUUUUGCGGCGGCGCAAAAGUAUUUUCGUGGAUCCCUUGAUUUUUUUUUCUGCUUUUUAUGGAAUAUAUAGGCGCAAGAUCUAGGCAGGGGGCGCUAGGGAGGCCACAAGCCUGCCCACCGCCGCCUCCCCUGGUGGCGGAGUGGGGGCUUGUGGGCUCCCUGUAGCCCUCCUGGCUUGGCCCACACGCCCCCUGAUCUUCUUCCGUUCAGGAAAAAAUCAUUUCGGGGAUUUUAUUCCGUUUGGACUCCGUUCCAAAAUCAGAUCUGGAAAGAGCCAAAAACACAGAAAAAACAGGAACUGGCACUUGGCACUUGAUUAAUAAGUUAGUCCCAAAAAAGAUAUAAAAGGUACAUAAAACAUCCAAAGAUGACAAGAUAACAGCAUGAAACCAUCAAAAAUUAUAGAUACGUUUGAGACGUAUCACACAUCAAUAGAUAUCAAUGUGAAUGAGUAGGGAUUGCCAUACAAAUGAUGCACUAGAGCUAAGACUAUGUGAAAGCUCUUAAAGAAAACUUGUGGGUGUGCAUCCAACUUGCUUGCUCACGAAGACCUAAGGAGAAUUUGAGGAAGCCUAUCAUUCAAAUAUACAAGCCAAGUUAUGUAAUGAAAAUUUCCCACUAGCUAUAUGGUGGUGACAAACCGAGGGACUCUCAAUCAUGAAGAUCAUGAUGCUUAAUAUGCACAAGUGUGGAAGGAUAGUAGCAUUGUCCCUUCUAUCUUUUUCUCUCAUCAUUUUUUUGGUGGGCUCUUUGGGCUCUUUUUUUUUNNNNNNNNNNUAUCUGAUUUUAGAACGGAGUCCAAACGGAAUAAAAUCCCCGGAAUAAUUUUUUUCCCGAACGGAAGAAGAUUAGGGGGCAUGAGGGCCAAGGCAGGAGAUCUACAGGGGGCCCACAAGCCCUGUAGCCGCCACUAGGGGGGCGGCGGCUACCAGGCUUGUGGCCUCCCUGGCGCCCCCCUGACCUAGCUCCUUCGCCUAUAUAUUCCCUAAAAUACAGAAAAAAUAGGGGAAUCCACGAAAACACUUUUCCGCCGCCGCAAGCUUCCGUUUCCGCAAGAUCUCAUCUGGAGACCCUACCCGCCGCCCUGCCGGAGGGGACUUUGGAGUUGGAGGGCUUCUACAUCAACACCAUCACCCCUCAAAUGACUCGUGAGUAGUUCACUUCAGACCUACGGGUCCGUAGUUAGUAGCUAGAUGGCUUCUUCUCUCUCUUGGAUCUUCAAUACAAAGUUCUCCAUGAUCUUCAUGGAGAUCUAUCCGAUGUAAUCCUCUUUGUCUGUGUGUUUGUCGAGAUCCAUUGAAUUGUGGAUUUGUGAUUAGAUUAUCUAUGAUAUAUAUUUGAGUCUUUGUUGAUUUCUUAUAUGCAUGAUUUGAUAUCCUUGUAAGUCUCUCUGAGUCUUGGGUUUUGUUUGGCCAACUAGAUCUAUGAUUCUUGCAAUGGGAGAAGUGCUUGGUUUUGGGUUCAUACCGUGUGGUGACCUUUCCCAGUGACAGAAGGGGCAGCAAGGCACGCAUUGUGUUGUUGCCAUCAAGGGUAACAAGAUGGGCUUUUAUCGUAGAUAUGAUAUUGUCCAUCUACAUCAUGUCAUCUUGCUUAAGGCGUUACUCUGUUCUUUUGGACUUAAUACACUAGAUGCAUGCUGGAUAGCGGUCGACGUGUGGAGUAAUAGUAGUAGAUGCAGAAAGUAUCGGUCUACUUGUUUUGGACGUGAUGCCUAUAGAUAUAAUCAUUGCCAUANNNNNNNNNNCUUUGCGCGGUUCUAUCAAUUGCUCAACAGUAAUUUGUUCACCCACCGUCUACUUGCUUUCAUGAGAGAAGGCACUAGUGAACACUAUGGCCCCCGGGUCUAUUCACACCUAUCGUUUCCACUUUCUCUUUUACUUUGCUUUGUUACUUUGUUGCUUUCAGUUCUCACUUGGCAAACAAUAUAUAAGGGAUUGACAACCCCUUCAUAGCAUUGGGAGCAAGCUCUUUGUGUUUGUUCAGGUACUUGUGAUAUUCCUUCAUUGGAUCGAUACCUUGGUUCUCAAAACUGAGGGAAAUACUUACCGCCGCUGUGCUACAUCACCCUUUCUGCUUCGAGGGAACACCAAUGCAAGGCUCCAAGGCCAGGGGGGAAAUCCUUUGCAUAUUUUCCUAGGAAGUCCCUAAAGGCGUAGCCGUAGCAGAAGGAUUCCUGGUGGCGUUGCUGAGGAGUAUCAAGACAAGAACAGUCUCCCGUCAGCACAUGUUUCUGGCGCCGUUGGAAGGUCUUUUGUUGCAGUAGCAGGUACCACCCUCCAAAAGGUAAUAGAUGUGGUAGAACAAUGAACUCCUUGCUCUUGUGCUUCUAAAGAUAGUCUCCUCAACACUCAAUCACUUUUUCUCAGAUUUGAAUGGGGUAGGAGAGAUUGAUCUUGUGGAAAACAACUUGGGGAGGCUAGAAAUCAAGGUUCAAAUGGUUGGAAUGGAAUCUCUUGAUCUCAACACAUGAGUAGGUGGCUCUCUCUUAGAAAAAUGGAUCUGGCAAGUGUAAGUGUGUUUUGAGUGCUUCCUUUACGAAUGAGAGGAGGUGGAGCGGUAUAUAUGGGCAUACCCCAAAAUCCAACCGUUACAACAUUAUUUCCCAACUCUGUGACACCGACAUGAAUCUCGAUGGUACCGAGUUGCACUAAAUGUGGAAACUUUUGAAUUCUCGGUGAGACCAAUAUAGGGAUCUCGGUGGUACCGAUACGAUGACCUACCUGGUUUCCAAAUCUCGGUGAGACAGAUUUCAAACUCAGAAAUUCCGAUUUGUGAAAUCUCCUCAACAGAAAGUUGAUCACGGAAUCUCGGUGGCACCGAUAGGAAUGUUGGUUGCACCGAAAUGGUAAGGUUUGGCAUAGGUUUUGUCAAGUGUAAAAUCGGUAGGGCCGAAUGGAAACUGUUGGCGGCAUCGAUUUUGCUGGUUUGUGUUUGGACAGAGAUAUUUUGUGGGAGAAUGGACGAGUAUUUUUCGUGGCUAUCUCUAAGCACUUGAGCAACCAAUUCAUCAUAAUACCUCAUUCCCUUUUAAUAGUAUUUGCUUUCCUAUGGACUCAGAGUGAUUUCUCACAAAGUAAAAUGAAGAGUCUUCUUCCNNNNNNNNNNNNNNNNNNNNNNNNNNNNNNNNNNNNNNNNNNNNNNNNNNNNNNNNNNNNNNNNNNNNNNNNNNNNNNNNNNNNNNNNNNNNNNNNNNNNCCCCCACGUCUCUCUAUGUGUUUCUGCUCGAGCAGGAGGUCGUCCUCCAGGCCAUCGCCGCACCUCCAGGAACANNNNNNNNNNGCCCCGCGUCUCUCUGUGUGUUUCUACUCGAGCAGGAGGUCGUCCUCCAGGCCAUCGCCGCACCUCCAGGAACAGCACCAGGACGUCGGAGCCGCGGCCUCCUCUGCUGGUGCCCGUGCCAUAGCGGCAGCACGGCCCGAGCGCAACGCACAGAAGAACCAUGGUCGCCUUGACCAAUAGCUCUGCCCCGAGCGGCGCUCCUCUGCGUCCGAGGUGCAGCUCCAUCGCCAAUCCAGGUCGCCCCAUUCCCUGCUCCUUCUUCCUCCCUCCUCAUCAUCUUGCUCCCCCUGCUUUCCCUCUGACUCUCUCUCCCCUCGUUCACCUCUCUCCCCUCUCUUCCCUGCAGGUCCGCAGCACCAUGGAGGCGAGCUCCUCCGGAACGCGCCAGAUCCGCUGGGAAUGGAGUCCCUUGCCCUAGAUCCGGCCANNNNNNNNNNUACUCUCUCUCCCCUCGUUCACCUCUCUCCCCUCUCUAUCCUGCAGGUCCGCAGCACCAUGGAGGCAAGCUCCUCCGGUACGCGCCAGAUCCGCUGGGAAUGGAGUCCCUUGCCCUAGAUCCGGCCAUCCCAGCAUGCGUAGACCUCAUGCUCGGCGUCGGGCUGGCAAGUGGUCGCUGCUCCCGUGCCAUGGCAGCACGUCUCUGUUUCCUUGCAAGCUGUGUAACUGAAUCCUUAUCAUGUUUCCUAGAUCCGUUCUGGUUCAAACAGCAUAAUGAAGGUCACCACNNNNNNNNNNNNNNNNNNNNNNNNNNNNNNNNNNNNNNNNNNNNNNNNNNNNNNNNNNNNNNNNNNNNNNNNNNNNNNNNNNNNNNNNNNNNNNNNNNNNUUAAUUUAAUGCACCUAUGUGAUAACAUGGGUUCCUUGUUAUAUCACCCUAUUAAUGCUAUUUAAUUUAAUGCACCUAUAUUGUUGGUAAAAGGUGGAAGGCUCGGCCUUUCUAGCUUGGUAUUUUGUUCCACCUUUGCCCCCUUAGUUUCGGCUACCGGUGUUAUGUUCCAUAAUUGAGCGCUCCUAACACGAUCGGGGUUGUGAUGGGGACCCCCUUGAAAAUUUGUUUUAGAUUAAAGCUGGUCUGGCAAGGCCCAACAUUGGUACUACAUUUGCCUAAUCACCUAAUAAAAUUGCAUAGGGACUUUCCGGACCCCGAGGAUAAUUUAAUCAACCCCCGGGCCAGUGCUUCUCAUGAGUGUUGGUCCAAAACAUAGCAGCUUAUUAACGCUACCCGGGGCAACUCGGCAUUUGGCGUGGUAACCAUCGCUCAUCCGUCGUGUCCUGAGAACGAGAUACGCGGCUCCUAUCGAGAUCGUCGACACGUCGGGCGGCCUUGCUCGAUUAGUUUUAGCGUUGACGAGAUAUCUUGUGCAUCGGGAUUCUAGUGAUGCUUUGGGUAAUCUCAGAGUUGAGGUUUUCCACUAGGGAAUCCGACGANNNNNNNNNNNNNNNNNNNNNNNNNNNNNNNNNNNNNNNNNNNNNNNNNNNNNNNNNNNNNNNNNNNNNNNNNNNNNNNNNNNNNNNNNNNNNNNNNNNNCCUUCAUGAAAGGUCGAAGUGCAGAUUCUCCCUUUUUUCCUCCAUGUGUCCUAUCUAGAAUAGCUUCGGUUGCAUCAGCUUGUUUCUUGAUCUCUUUGCGCUAUGACACAAGAAAAUUACAUGUAAGGCAAGUGCAUAUUGUUGGAAAUAUGCCCUAGAGGCAACAAUAAAAUGAUUAUUAACAUAUUUCCUUGUUCAUGAUAAUCGUCUAUUGUUCAUGCUAUAAUUGUAUUAACAGGAAACAGUAAUACAUGUGUGAAUAAAUAGAUCACAAUGUGUCCCUAGCAAGCCUCUAGUUGGCUAGCUCGUUAGUCAAUAGAUAAUCAUGGUUUCCUGAUCAUGGGCAUUAGAUGACAUUGAUAACGGGAUCACAUCAUUGGGAGAAUGAUGUGAUGGACAAGACCCAAUCCUAAGCCUAGCACUAGAUCGUAUUGUUCGUAUGCUAAUGCUUUUCUAAUGUCAAGUAUAUUUUCCUUCGACCGUGAGAUUGUACAACUCCCGGAUACCGUAGGAGUGCUUUGGGUGUAUCAAACGUCACAACGUAAGUGGGUGACUAUAAAGGUGCACUACGGGUACCUCCGAAAGUGUCUGUUGGGUUGGUACGAAUCGAGAUCGGGAUUUGUCACUCCGUGUGACGGAGAGGUAUCACUGGGCCCACUCAGUAGAACAUCAUCAUGAGCUCAAUGUGACUAAGGAGUUAGUCACACGAUGACGUGCUACGGAACGAGUAAAGAGACUUACCGGUAACGAGAUUGAACAAGGUAUAGGUAUACCGACGAUCGAAUCUCAGGCAAGUUCUAUACCGACAGACAAAGGGAAUCGUAUACGGGAUUGAUUGAAUCCUUGACAUCGUGGUUCAUCCGAUGAGAUCAUCGUGGAGCAAGUGGGAUCCACCAUGGGUAUCCAGACCCCGCUGAUGGUUAUUGGCCAGAGAGGUGUCUCGGUCAUGUCUUCCUAUCUCCCGAACCCGUAGGGUCUACACACUUAAGGUUCGAUGACGCUAGGGUUAUAGGGAAUUGUUAUACGAGGUUACCGAAAGUUGUUCGGAGUCCCGGAUGAGAUCCCGGACGUCACGAGAAGCUCUGGAAUGAUCGGGAGAUAAGGUGGGCCAAGUGGGGGUGGGAACCAGCCCCUAGAUGGGCUGGUGCGCCUCCUCACUCAGCCCAUAGUGCAAGGGAGAGAAAAGGGGGGGCAAACCCUAGGCCAGGUGGGCCUAAGGCCCACCAGAUGGUGCGCCACCCCCUCCUCCCCCUUCUGGCCGCCACACCUCCCAUCUGGGGGGCUGCCGCACCCCCUAGGGUGGGAACCCUAGGGGUGGCACCCCNNNNNNNNNNCCACUCAGCCCAUAGCGCAAGGCAGAGAAAAAGGGGGGGCAAACCCUAGGCCAGGUGGGCCUAAGGCCUACCAGAUGGUGCGCCACCCCCUCCUCCCCCUUCUGGCCGCCGCACCUCCCAUCUGGGGGGGCUGCCGCACCCCCUAGGGUGGGAACCCUAGGGGUGGCACCCCCUCUCCCCUCCCCCUAUAUAUAUCGGGCACUUUUGGCCAUUGGGACACACGGUUUUCCCUCUCUCUCGGCGCAGCCCCUCUCUUCUUCCUCCUCCUCUCUGCCGGUGCUUAGCGAAGCCCUGCCGGGAGACCUCGUCUCUCCAUCGACACCACGCCGUCGUGCUGCUGGAGUUCUUCCCCAACCUCUCCCUCCUCCUUGCUGGAUCAAGGUGCGGGAGACGUCAACGGGCUGCACGUGUGUUGAACGUGGAGGUGUCGUAGUUCGGCACUAGAUCGGAAUCGCUGCGAGUACGACUCCAUCAACCGCGUUCUAGCAACGCUUUCGCUUAGCGAUCUUCAAAGGUACGAAGAUGGUCUUACCCCUCUCUCAUUGCUGGUCUCUCCAUAGGAAGAUCUGAAUAUGCGUAGGAAAAUUUUGAAUUUAUGCUACGUUACCCAACACAUAUGUGUACUAGCGUUCAUACUUAACAUAGGGGAGCACAUUUACCACAAAGUUCAGGAUAGGGGCGAAAGAAGUUUGGUACCCUUCGCGAAUUAGCCUGUUGUAUUCGUUAUGGGCAAGUGCAUCAUACUCGGUGGGUUCUUCCAAUAUGUCCUCCUCGUAAGCCGACGGACAAAUCUCGACGCGAGUACUCUCCUGAAACCAUCUUACGUAGUUGUUGAACGCAAGGGGAGAAUGGUCGCGGGGCUGGGUUCCUUGCGUACUCAUAGCUGCCUCCACACUUUGCUCGAACAUGAUGACAUAGUUCUUAUGAUGCUUGUGCUAAUCCUUGAUCUUUCGCUGCCUCCUCCUAUCCAACCUGCUUUUUACAAAACUCAUUAUUAGCUUGCUCAACACUAAACUCAAACAUACUUCUUUAUUGUCCAUGCUUUGUUACCUAUGAAGUUGUGGGUCGGUGUCCACCCACUUCGGCGGGUGUGGCUGAAACAACCCAAAUUGAUGCAUCACACGAUGUGGGAGAUGAAACUCAACCGCCCAAUUGCAUAUAAGUGGACAACGCAUUAGCUAAAGAUGUUUUCCUGCAGGCAUAUUGUAUUGAGCUGAAACGUGUGUGCAUCACCAAAGCUUGGCCCGGCACCAUAUGGCUGCCAUUCCACCUACAACACAACAUAAAAGGCACAAUUUAUUUUCCUCACAACAAAAGCUGGGAGUCAACUCUGAGGUGUUUACCUGCUCGGUGGUAAGCGAAUCCAUCUCAUUCGUGUAUUGCUUGUACAAUAGAUUCACAUCGCUCGCCACCUCCGAUACCACGACCCACUUGUAAGCCCAGGUAGGAAGCCGUACAGGGUUGCCGUGGUCAUCCCAUGCCUUCCACGUUGCGGCUUUAGGGCAUCCAACAGGAAGGCGUUCCCAGCUCCAUACUGAAAAUAGGAGCAUACAACCACCAAUUCCACUGUCCUUUGUGGACCUGCGACAAACAUCGUCCAACUACAAGUAACAACAAACAUGGAUCAGUUAAGCAGAAAAGUAUAAAACUGAACUUACUAUUAACAAUUUAUUACCUGCCGGUACAAGUAGGCCAGUGCGGCCGACCCCCAACUGAACUUGUUGUCAAAAACAAUCAAUGCCUUCAGCCACAUCCAUGGAGCAUUCUUGCCAGUACCGUCAACGAAUAUAGUCCUAGAGAUCACAUACCACAUGUACACGCGAGCAUAAGUCUGGAUCACCUCGUCAUUUGCGUCCUCAGGACAAUGAGCAAAGUUGGCAGCAAUCCAAGUAAAAGAAGCGCCAACCGGGACUUUGUCUUUCUUCCCUCCAUCUUCUACCUCCGGCUCUGGAGGUGACAUACCAAUAAGGGCCUCCAUUUGGUGCCGCCAUCCCUUAGAAUCAGUGCUCAUACAAAGAGGCUUCGCCUCGAUCGGAAGUGCGGUGAUCAUGGAAACAUCUUGAAGAGUCACUGCCAUCUCUUCGGUCCUGAGGUGAAAACUAUGGGUCUCCGGCCUCCACCGAUGAGUAAGCGCACUGAUUGCCGCAACGUUCAGGUUGGGCGUUGACCGACUCACAAGCUGAAUGAAUGGAAGGAGUCCUGUCAUCUCGAUAUAUGGUGUGUACCUCUCAUCGUACGGCAUGACAGUCGAUGCCCCGUGAGACCGAAUCUUCAAGGGCAUAAGCUUCUGCAAACAUAGAGGAGUGAUAUGAUUAUAGUUUCAUCUUAUUAAAUAAAUACAUGAUUUUUGAACAUAUGGUCUACUUACCAUUUCCUUCUCCGACAUCAAAUAGGCCCGUUGUUCAACGUCAUACACAUCAUUCAAAAGCCACACCAUCCAACAUAUCACAAAAAAUACACUUAUGAAUCCUACAUAUCAUUCAACUUAUGAAUCCUACAUAUCACAAAAGGCACACCACACCAUCCAAAAGGCAUCAUUCAUCUUAUGAAUCUUAUAUAUAAAUCCUACAUAUCACAAAAGCCACACUACACCAUCCAAAAGGCAUCAUUCAUCUUAUGAAUCCUACAUAACACAAAAAUACACUUAAAAAAUACUACAUACAACUAACUCCUCAUCUACAUAGGACUAACUCCACAUCUACUUAUGAAUCUACAUAGGACUAACUCCUCAUUAAAAUCUACAUAGAACUAACUCCUCAAAUCCAAUUAAAUUAUGGAUCUCAACCUAACUAACCCAAAUCUGAAAAAUACCCAAUGCUAUUUGGAUAGAUAGAUGGGAAACGGAAGAGAUUACCUCGUACACAAGUUUGGGAGAUCAAUCCACGGAAGAAAUCACCAGAUCUGAAGCAUUUAGAAGAGGGGAUUCGGAUGAGGAGAAGAGGCAGCCGCCGGUUUGAAAACAGAAAGGGAGGGAAAUGGGGAGGGGGCUGCCCGUGGCUGGAUACGUCGGCGCCACACUGUAGAGGGUGCAACACCUGAGGCUUAGGCGUCGCACUGCCUGGGGGUGGGGCCAGCUGCGCCAACGUGGCCAGGUGUGUGGCGCCGACGUCUUAGGCGUCACACAGUGUAGUGUGGCGCCUAGAUGUCGGGCGCCACACGAAAGUGUCAGCUGGGUGAAUUUUUUCCUCUUCAGUUCACUUUGUGAGUUCUUUCGCCCGAGAGGUCAAUAUUGUCAAUUUUGCCUCCAGGGAUGUCUGUUUCCUGUUAGCUAGUUUGCACGGUAGCAUGCUCCAGGCUGUAACAUAUAAGGCUGCUAGUAAGUGUUUUCAGUUCCAGGGAUGUUGAUUCCUGCCUUUUCCUUUUUAGCUUUGCUCCUCACAUGUUAAGGUCCUGUUUGGAAGCACUCGGAUUAUAUAAUUCAGUUUUUGUAAUCUAUUAUGUCUCCAAACAGCAUAGAUUAUGAAGUAAAUUAUAAAAACUAGUUGGACGGAUUAUUAAAAACUUAAAAUCUACUAUACCCUAGCUAAAAUUAGAUUACGGAUUGUUAAUGGUCCAUUAUCCUUGUAAAGUUGAAGAUAAUUACAUUCCUACCAUCAUCAUUCUCUUUAAAAAAAAGAAAUGGCAGACAGGUCAUUAUGUCAUGUAAAAUCUGAAUUACAAUUUAUAUAAUCUCACUUCCAAACAUGUUCACCUAGAUUAUUUUUAUAAACCAGAUUAUAUAAUCAAUUGUGGUUUCAAACAGGGCCUAAGUGAAGGCUUGUUUCGGUAUAUUCACGUUAGUAUGUGGCACGUAUGGGCUGUAGGUAGACGUAUACGACCGUUACAUCCCUCCGUCUUGGACCUGGCCCAUUUUUUUUCAAACAUAGGAUUUGAACCCCCAACCUCUUGGCUUUAUUUUCCCCCGGGGUAACCAAUUAGGCCAGCAAACUUAUUGUGCUUAAUUACCUUUUUUAUUCUGGAAAACUGCUAGCGACGAGACUAUUGAUGUGUGCUUUCUAUCAGACCACUCCAGAAAGGUGCGGUGGGUUUCUCUGGAUCGUUGACGGGAUAUUAAACCGGGGGGUGAUCUGCGCCGGCGCGCCGGCCUAGAUUUUCGGCCGGCCGCGCGCGGGUCACAGGAUCCAUCAACCCCGCGUCGUCCGCACCGUAGGAUCCGCAUGCAACAUUUUCCUUCUUAUGCAGCAAAAUUUCGAUGCUAUGCAACAAUUUUUUCAACGGUUGCAACAAAAAACAAAAUUUGUAGCAAAAAAAUAUCUAUGUGAUCGUAGCAAAAAAACGAACCUAAUGGUACGUGGUAGCAAAAGUCAAACGCCGGUUGUAAUAAAAAUUUAUGUGACGUGUAUGCAAUUUUUUAGUGAACGGUUGCAGCAAAACAUGAUGCCGGUUGUAGCAAAAAUUAACACGGUUGUAGCAAAAAGUAAAAAACAUCGAUUGUAACAAAAAAUCCGACGAACUAGAGUUGCAACCAAACGUAUAUGCAGCUUUUUGACUGAGACAAAAUAUAUUAAAAAAACGCUUGCAGCAAAAAUGACGCAGGUUGCAACAUAUUUAGACGAAAAAUGUUGCAUCCAUUGACCAGAGAAGCGCGCGGAUGGGAAAAAUGUUGCAAGGGCCCGCGCGCGCCAGGGGGCGACCGACGCGUCGGUUCCGCCAGCGCGCGGAUGGGAAACGAUUCCCUAGUAAACCAGAGCGAAGAGCGGUGUAGCUUUUAUGGUUAUAGAAUGUACGAAAGAACCAUAAAAGCUUCCAAAAAUUUAGGAAACUAAUUCCUGGUUUCUAGGAUAUAAAUCCCAUAAAUCAUGUUUUGUUUUCUAGUUAAUAAAUCACUAUACCUAGUACUCCCUCCGUGAGGCUGCCCAUAGGAAGUAUCAUAGGUAGUAUCAUGCAUGCCAACUAAGCAAUUUCGAUGAGGUGUCAUGGAUUAAAUGAAGAAAGAGAGGGUUGAGUAUCAUAUCAUGAUAGCGUAUCAUAUUAAAUGAUGUGCUACUAUGUGUCUUGCAUGGCAAUAAAUGAACUAUCAUAUGAUACUAACAUAUGAUACUAUGCAUUACGGAUGUGGUAUCGUGGACUAGUAUCAUAUGCAUGAUACUACUAUAUGAUACUACCCAUUACAACCAGCCUCACGGUUUAGAAGCCGUGUUUGGAAAUUCUCUGAAACCUAGGUGGUCAUUGAUUGGCUGUGAGAUGAGAUUAAAAAUAGCAUUCACACUACGCAUGCAUAUAGAAGUAGUACAAUGGAGUAUUAAUUAGCUGCUAGGAGUAAAUGCAAUGCGUCUUAAACCUUGUCUAUUAUGGAAAUGCACGUAAGUUUAACCGUGUCUUCUAAACCGUGACGGAGGCAGUAGUUGGUUUGACGGAAGCAUAUUUUCCAUGCGAACGAAAUAAACCAGGAAACAUAAUGCAGACGUGUUAGUUUGGUGGAAGCAUAUUUUCCAUGUGAACGAAAUAAAGCAGAAAAUGUACAUAAGUUUAACUGUACCUUCUAAACCGUGUCUAUUUUCCAUGCAACAUUUCUCACAUGGAAGCAUCAUAUGGGUUCUCUAAUAAUUAAGCUUUUUCUUGAUCGAUGGUUUUUUAUUGUUGUGAUAGAAACAUAAUGCAGACGUGUUGCAAACAAUUUGCAGUCAUAGAUAUUACCAUGGUUGUUAGCAAAUUCUAUGUGGCAUUUAGUUGCUUCAUGCAUAAUAUAUAAUGCUUCCUUACAUUUUCGUGGAUGCUUCCGUAUCAAAGUCGUCAUAUAACCUAACAUGAAUGGGUUUUUGGGCGGGUGAGUAUAAUUAGGGAGGGUUUAUGGGUGAGUAUAAUUAAAGUGGAGUUCUGAGUCCUCAUAAAAAAAUGAAGGAGUUAUAGGUGGAUGUGGCGAGAUAGAGGAUAUGCGGGCAUCCAUGGAUUUUCGAAGCAAUCCAUGUCCUGUGGAUUGGCGGCAUGCAAACGGUCUGAUUAAUUGAUCCCGUCACAUGUCUGGAAAGUGAUUUCCUUUAUUAUUUUUGUUGUGCAUCUUCUGAGUUUAUUUUACAAUUUUUGGUUUUGUUUGGCCUUUUUUUUUCUUUAUUUCUUUGGUUUUCUGGAGUUUUCCCAACGUGUCAUAAUUUGCAUAUGACGUUGAAAAUCGUUCAAACCUAACAUGGAUGCCUACAAUGGGCAUGUCCAUUUCCUUACAAAAGUUAAGAGUCAUUUUAAGGAUGCUCAUAAAUAAACCAUGUUGAACAGAAGAUGUUUGAGUAGGCUAGAAGGUUCCAUGUGGGAGCACAUUGUUUCUCGAUAUGCUUGAACUGGCUCCAACAAAAAUUCAUGGCCUUGAUUGACCAAUUCAAGGCAUCAUGCCAAGUUAUUUGGGUUUUCAACAACUUUUUGCAUUUUUUUGGAGUUUUCUCAAUGAAAAAGGGCCGGUAAAUGACUGAAUGUGUCGCAACUUACAUACGGUGUUGAAAAUCGUUCAAACUUGACAUGGGUGCCUAAAAUGGGCAUACACACGUGCUUGCAAAAGUUAGGGUCAUUUGAAAGACGACCAAAUAAACCAUGUGUGAAUGGAGGGUGUUCGUGUAGGCGAAAAGGCUUCGUCUGAAAGCACUUUGUUUCUCUACAUUUUAGAAAUGACCUCAGUUUUUCCAAUUAAAGACAACAUGUAAACUUGUUUGGGUUUUAAACAAGUUACGUAUUUUCUUCUGUUUUUUCAAUAAAAAAACUGAUAAAUGACGGACGUGUCUCAACUGCAUACGGUGUUAGAAAUUCUUCAAACCUAGCAUGGAUUCAUACCAUGGUCAUGUCAAUAAUGUUCCAGUUUUAAAUUAUGUAUGGAAAAUUUAUAAACACGAACAAUCAUUUUUAAAUUUAUUAAUAAAUUCCCAACAAUUUAUGUUGAAUACAAAUUACAAGCCACACACUUAUUUUUAAAAUUUAUCUACUUUUUUAAAAGCAGACAUUUUAAAAUAUGUGAACAAAAGUUAGAAAAUGAAAACAAUUACAUACAUUAUACAAUGGUUAUUUUGGAGACACAUACACAUACACCAGGCUACACGCAUGAAUUAUCAUGAACAAAUCAGAAGAAAUAACGGGUAGACGGAGUUCAAGUUCUGUGCCAGUUUUUUGCUGCAACCAGGUGUUUUUUAGCUGGAACCAACUUCAAAUUUUGCUACCAAUUAUUUGGAUUUUUAUUGGAACAAGCCAUUUUUUUGCUACCAUGCUUUGUUCCUCUGCUCGAUCCAGUGUAUUUUUUUGCUAUAACUGUCUUUGAUAUUUUCAGGAACUAAUCAAUUUUUUUGCUUUCACGCCAUUUUUUUGUUGAAACCAUUAUAUCAUUUUUAUAAUAACCAUUUUGACUUUUUGCUACUGCCUUGUUGAUUUGUCGCAUCCAUUUUUCAUGAGGUUACCAAGACUCACAACUAUGUGUUUUUUUGCUGCCAUCACUGUCGAUUAUUGCUACCACCAACAUCGACAUUUGCUGCUUUCACGCCCGUGCGAAUAAUAGCUGCAACCAAAAAUGGCAACGAGCAGCCACCUUGUAGGAUCGAAAGUAUGUUUAUAUGGGGGAGGGGGUGAUUAUACUAUUUGAUCAUAUAAAACUUAACCUUUUCCAAUUUCAUAGGUUGGCAAGUUUUAGCAAUUUUACCAAGUCUAGCACAUCCUACACAUGCAUGUCUAUGAGUAUAACAGCGAAAAGUAAAGACAUGCAAGUGUAAGUAAAGGGUACGGAUAGGAAGUUUAAACGCAAUAAAGACACGGAGAUAGGAAUUCCAAAAUUUAACAAAUAGAUACGAGAAGGUUGGUCACUGAUUUUCGGCUGUACCGAAGCAAAAUUGGGUUGUAGUGAUUUGCUAGGGUUUGGAUUGGGUUCUGUCUAAGGAAAACUCGGUGUGGCCGAUAUGUAGAAAGUUCGUCGCAUCAAAUUUGUCUUUAGAGUUUCGGACAAACUAUUUUGUGGGAGAAAUGUUGAGGUUUUUGUGGCAAAUCUCUAAGCACUUUGAACAACUAGAUCACCUUAGAUACCUCGUCCCCUUUUAAUAGUAUGACUUUUCUAUGGACUCAAGUGUGAUUUCUCACAUAAAGUAAAAUGUAGAGUCUUGAAGCUUUUGCCAAUUGAUGUCCCUUGCAUCUAGGAAAUCUCCUCACAAUCCUAGCCAAUCCAUUAAUUGAACUUUUCACGAAAUAUACUUGAUAGAUUCAUUAGUCCAAUGAAAUAUAUGUUGUUAUUAAUUACCAAAACCACCUAGGGAGAAGUUAUGCUUUGAGACCUACGAUGACGAUGAUGGUGUUUUGAUGCAACCUCCGUCAGUUUUUCCUACAACUUGCCAAGCUUUUUGUUGCAUUCAUUUUGGAUGACAGUGUAGGAUCGAAAGUAUGUCUAGAGAGGGGUUAUUGGACUACUUGACAAGAUAAAAACUUAGUUGUUUCCCAAUUUUAAGUGUGGGCCAAUUUUAGCAACUACGACUAGUCAAGUACACCCUACACAUGCACAUCUAAGAGUAUAGUAGCGGAAAGUAAAACAUGCAUGAGUAAAGUAGAGGGUAAGGUAGGGAGAUCAAACGCAAAGGUUGACACGGUGAUUUUUGGCAUGGUUCCAAUAGGUGGCGCUAUCGUACGUCCAUGUUAGUGGAGGCUUCAACCCACGGAGGGUAACAACUGCGAGAGUCCACGGAGGGCUCCACCCAUAAGGGGUCUACGAAGAAGCGGUCUUGUCUAUUCCACCACGACUUCCGUUCAUACAGAACUAGCCUCACUCACGGUAGAUCUUCACGAAAUAGGCGAUCUCCUUGCCCUUGCAAUCAUCUUGGUUCAACUCCACAACACGAAGUAGGAGGCUCCCAAGCGACACCUAAUCAAUCUAGGAGGCACUGAUAUGUCUCAAACGUAUCUAUAAUUUUUGAUGGUUUCAUGCUGUUAUCUUGUNNNNNNNNNNCUUUAUAUCUUUUUUGGGACUAACUUAUUAAUUCAGUGCCAAGUGCCACUUCCUGUUUUUUCUCUGUAGUUGGCUCUUCUCAGAUCUGAUUUUGGAACGGAGUCCAAACGGAAUAAAAUCCCCGGAAUAGAUUUUUCCCGAACAGAAGAAGAUCAGGGGGCUUGAGGGCCAAGACAGGAGAGCUACACGGGGCCCACAAGCCGUGUAGCCGCCAACAGGGGGGCGGCGGCUACCAGGCUUGUGGCCUCCCUGGCGCCCCCUCACCUAGCUCCUUCGCCUAUAUAUUCCCUAAAAUACAGAAAAAUAGGGGAAUCCACGAAAACACUUUUCUGCCGCCGCAAGCUUCCGUUUCCGCAAGAUCUCAUUUGGAGACCCUUCCCGGCGCCCUGCCGGAGGGGACUUUGGAGUUGGAGGGCUUCUACAUCAACAUCAUCGCCCCUCCAAUGACUCGUGAGUAGUUCACUUCAGACCUAUGGGUCCGUAGGUAGUAGCUAGAUGACUUCUUCUCUCUCUUCGAUCUUCAAUACAAAGUUCUCCAUGAUCUUCAUGUAGAUCUAUCCGAUGUAAUCCUCUUUGGCGGUGUGUUUGUCGAGAUCCGAUGAAUUGUGGAUUUGUUAUCAGAUUAUCUAUGAUACAUAUUUGAGUCUUUGCUGAUUUCUUAUAUGCAUGAUUUGAUAUCCUUGUAAGUUUCUCUGAGUCUUGGGUUUUGUUUGGCCAACUAGAUCUAUGAUUCUUGCAAUGGGAGAAGUGCUUGGUUUUGGGUUCUUACUGUGUGGUGACCUUUCCCAGUGACAGUAGGGGCAGCAAGGCACGCAUCGCGUUGUUGCCAUCAAUUGUAACAAGUUGGGCUUUUAUCAUAGAUAUGAGAUUGUCCAUCUACAUCAUGUCAUCUUGCUUAAGGCGGUACUCUGUUCUUUUGGACUUAAUACACUAGAUGCAUGCUGCAUAGCGGUCGAUGUGUGGAGUAAUAGUAGUAAAUGCAGAAAGUAUUGGUCUACUUGUUUUGGACGUGAUGCCUAUAGAUAUAAUCAUUGCCAUAGAUGACGUCACGAAUUUGCACGGUUCUAUCAAUUGCUCGACAGUAAUUUGUUCACCCACCGUCUACUUGUUGUCAUGAGAGAAGCCACUAGUGAACACUACGGCCCCCGGGUCUAUUCACACCUAUCGUUUCCACUUUCGCUUUUACUUUGCUUUGUUACCUUGUUGCUUUCAGUUCUCACUUGGCAAACAAUCUAUAAGGGAUUGACAACCCCUUCAUAGCGUUGGGAGCAAGCUCUUUGUGUUUGUUCAGGUACUUGUGAUAUUCCUUCACUGGAUCGAUACCUUGGUUCUCAAAACCGAGGGAAAUACUUACCGCCGCUAUGCUACAUCACCCUUUCCGCUUUGAGGGAACACCAACGCAAGGCUCCAAGGCCACGGGGGAAAUCCUUUUCAUAUUUGCCUAGGAAGUCCCUAAAGGCUUAGCCGUAGCAGAAGGAUUCCUGGUGCCGUUGCUGAGGAGUAUCAAGACAAGAAUAGUCUCCCGUCAGCACGUGUUUCUAGCACCGUUGGAAGGUCUUUUGUUGUAGUAGCAGAAGUAUUUCUGGCUCCGUUGCCGGGGAAGGAGAGAUCUAUCCAAGUAGGUCUCACAAACUCANNNNNNNNNNUUGUAUUUACUUUUUUUGCCAGUUGCCUCUCAUUUUCCUCUCCCCCACUUCACAUUUGCCGUUUCAUUUGCCUUUCACCUUUGCUGUUUUCUUUUGCCUUUUGCCUUUUUGCCUUUCUCCUUUGCCGUUUUCUUUUUCCCGUUUCACUCUCUCUUCCUGCUCGUUUGUGUGUGAGAUUGUCCAUCAAUGGCUAGACCCAUCACUCCAAACGAUACCCCUGAGAAUGAAGUUCUCAAUUUUAGGCAGAAUGAGGAAGAAAAUUUAAAGGAUGCUUGGUACAGGAUUUGCAAUGCUCAAAGUAGAUCUACUCGCAAGCAAUCCAUUACCUUUCUUCUUCGCAGUUUUUAUGUUGUAAUUUCUCCUUGGAAUAGGUAUAUCCUUAUACCAUUGUAGGCGGGAAUUUUUUGGGGAGCCAUACCGUUGACUCCUAUGGAGCUAUCAUGAAUUUGGUAGGCUCACCCCUCCUCAUGGUUAAUGGAACUACCUUAAGCUUGGAACACGUGAUGCAAAGGCUUGACGAUAUUGUAAACAAAAUUGCCACAAUUGAACUUAUUGAGGGUUUGGAUAGAAAGAUCCACAAUCAAAUUACUCAGUACAGAUCCAAAGUGGGAGAUGUUCUGAAAUUUUUUAGGGAGAAGGAACUUAUAGUUAAUGAUUUUUCUAGAAUUGGCAAACUAGAAGAUGUCAUAACCAACUUGGGUUCCGCUUUUGCCGCUGUGCAAAAUAUUCCAAAUCUCACUCUAAAAAAGACCGUCAAGUCUGUUUUUGUUCCUAAAGCUAGUGGUGAGUCAUUCUAUAAAGAUAAAGAUCUUAAGAUGAUAAAUGAUCACACUACUUAUGGUUUGAGCACCAAAGAUGACUAUACGUGAUUCCAUCACCUUUUGCCUAGCUAAGGGCGUUAAACAAAAGCACUUGUUGGGAGGCAACCCAACGAAUCUAUCCUUUUUCUUUGUGUUUUGUGUUUUCCACACUUUCAUAAUUCUGUUAUGACUGUGUUUUUGUGUUUCUUUUUGCGUUUGUGCCAAGCAAAACCGUUAUGAUUAGUCUUGGGGAUGAUCGUUUGGUCAUGCUGGAAAAGACAGAAACUUUCUGCUCACGAAAAUAAUUUUCAUUUUUUUCUGUAAGAGCUUUUGAGUCGAUUCUUUUUGCUGCUGAUUGCUACGCAAAUUCUUCAGACUGUCAUAAUUGUUCAGAAUUUUUGAAGUACCAGAAGUAUACGAAGUAUACAAAUUGCUAUAGACUGGUCUGCUGUUAACAUAUUCUAUUUUUGUUGUGUUGGUUGCUUAUUUUGAUGAAACUAUGGAUAGUAUCGGGGGGUAUUAGCCAUGCAAGAUUGAAAAUACAGUAACCCAACAUCAACAUAAGUAGAAUUUAAGUUUUCUACAGUACCUAAGGAAGUGGUGGUUUGCUUUCUUAUACUAAUGUUAUCACGAGUUUCUGUUUAAGUUUCGUGUUGUGAAGUUUUCAAGUAUUGGGUGAAGUUCUUAUGGACAAAGAGNNNNNNNNNNAUGUUUAAGUUUCGUGUUGUGAAGUUUUCAAGUUUUGGCUGAAGUUCUUAUGGACGGAAAGAUAAAGAGUGGCAAGAGCUCAAGCUUGGGGAUGCCCCGGGAAGGUAUCCCCUCUUUCGUCUUCAAUCCAUCGGUAACGUUACUUGGGGCUAUAUUUUUAUUCAUCACAUGUUAUGUGUUUUGCUUGGAGCGUCUUGUAUCGUAGGAGUCUUUUAUUUUUGCUGUGUCACAAUCAUCCUAGCUGCACACCUAGAGAGAGAGACAUGCUUAUAUCCUUUGGUAGAGAAUUCAGCUCACAUGUGCUUCACUUAUAUCUUUUGAGCUAGUUGAUUUUGCUCUGUGUGUUUCACUUAUAUCUUUUAGAGCACGGAAGCGCGUGGCUUGGUAGUUGAUCUAUGCUAUGAAAGUAGUCUCAAAAGGGGUAGUUAUCCAAAGGGAUAUGAAAACUUNNNNNNNNNNAUGUGCUUCACUUAUAUCUUUUAGAGCAAAGCGGUGCGUGGCUUGGUAGUUGAUCUAUGCUUUGAAAGUAGUCUCAAAAGGGGUAGUUAUCCAAAGGGAUAUGAAAACUUCCACCUUCAUGUGGAUUGAAUAGUUAGAGAAGUUUGAUUCAUCUCAAUUAGUUUUGAGUUGUGGUUGUGGUAAUAUUGAAGUUAUGCUAGUAAGGUGUUGUGGAUCUAGAAAUACUUGUGUUGAAGUUAGUGAUUCCCGUAGCAUGCACGUAUGGUGAACCGCUGUGUGAUGAAGUCUGAGCAUGAUUAGUCUAUUGAUUGUCAUCCUUUGUGUGGCGGUCGGGAUCGCACGAUGGUUUAUACCUACCAACCCUUCCCCUAGGAGUAUGCGUUGAAUGCUUUGUUUCGAUUACUACUAAAACUUUUGCAACAAGUAUAUGAGUUCUUCAUGACUAAUGUUGAGUCCAUGGUUUAGAUGCACUUUUACCUUCCACCAUCACUAUCUUCUUAGUGUCGUGCAACUUUCGCCGGUGCACAAAACCCACCAUUAGCCUCCCUCAAAACAGCCACCAUACCUACCUACUAUGGCUUUUUCAAAGUCAUUCCGAGAUAUAUUGCCAUGCAACUAUCGGCAUGACUUGUGCCACCACGUCUACAUUUCCAUUGCAUGAUCAUAAGAUAGCUAGCAUGAUGUUUCCAUUAAUGUCUAUGCCAUGCUAGAUCAUUGUCACGGUACACUACCGAAGGCAUUCCAUAUAGAGUCAUCGUUGCUCUAAGUUUUGAGUUGAAAGUGUGAUGAUCAUCAUUGAUGGAGCAUUGUCCCAUGUGAUGGAAUAAAAGAGGCCAAAGAUGCCCACAAAAAAAAANNNNNNNNNNUAAAGUGUGAUGAUCAUCAUUAAUGGAGCAUUGUUCCAUGUGAGGAAAUAAAAGAGGCCAAAGAAGCCCACCAAAAAAAUAGGCCAAAGAGCCCACCAUAAAAAUGAGAGAAAAAGAGAGAAGGGACAAUGCUACCACUUUUCCACACUUGUGCAUAUUAAGCACCAUGAUCUUCAUGAUUGAGAGUUUCUCGUUUUGUCACCACCAUAUAGCUAGUGGGAAAUUUUCAUUAUAUAACUUGGCUUGUAUAUUCCAAUGAUAGGCUUCCUCAAAAUUGCCUUAGGUCUGCGUGAGCAAGCAAGUCGGAUGCACACCCACUAGUUUUCUUUAAGAGCUUUCACUUACUCUUAGCUCUAGUGCAUCAUUUGUAUGGCAAUCCCUACUCAUUCACAUCGAUAUCUAUUGAUGAGCAUCUCCAGAGCUCAUUGAUAUGCCUAGUUAAUGUGACUAUAUUCUCCUUUUUUGUCUUGCAACCUCCACCACACUCCACACCAUCUAUAGUGCUAUAACCAUGGCUCACGCUCAUGUAUUGCGUGAGAGUUGCAAAUGUUUGAGAAAGUAAAGGUGUGAAAAAAUUACUUAGCCAAUACCGGGGUUGUGCAUGAUUUAAAUUCGUUGUGCAAUGAUGAUAGAGCAUAGCCAGACUAUAUGCUUUUGUAGGGAUAACUUUGUUUUGGCCUUGUUAUUUCGAAAGUUCAUGAUUACCUUGCUAGUUUGCUUNNNNNNNNNNNNNNNNNNNNNNNNNNNNNNNNNNNNNNNNNNNNNNNNNNNNNNNNNNNNNNNNNNNNNNNNNNNNNNNNNNNNNNNNNNNNNNNNNNNNCGCUCCGGAGGUUGGUGAUGAUCUUGUCUCAGCAGGGCUCCGCCCGAGCUCCGCAGAAACGCGAUCUAGAGGAAAAACCGUGGAGGUAUGUGGUCGGGCUGCCGUGGAAAAGUCGUCUCAAAUCAGCCCUAAAACCUCCGUAUAUAUAGGUGGGAGAGGGGGAACCUUGCCUUGGGGCUCAAGGAGCCCCAAGGGGGUCGGCCGAGCCAAGGGGGAAGGUCUCCCCCCCCCAAACCGAGUCCUACUUGGUUUGGUGGGUGGAGUCCUUCUUUCCUUUCCCACCUCCUCCUUUUUUUUCUCUUUGAUUUUCUUCCUAUGGCGCAUAGGGCCUUCUUGGGCUGUCCCACCAGCCCACUAAGGGCUGGUGUGCCACCCCCAAGGCCUAUGGGCUUCCCCGGGGUGGGUUGCCCCCCCGGUGAACUCCCGGAGCCCAUUCGUCAUUCCCGGUACAUUCCGGUAACUCCGAAAACCUUCCGGUAAUCAAAUGAGGUCAUCCUAUAUAUCAAUCUUCGUUUCCGGACCAUUCCGGAAACCCUCGUGACGUCCGUGAUCUCAUCCGUGACUCCGAACAACAUUCCGUAACCAACCAUAUAACUCAAAUACGCAUAAAACAACGUCGAACCUUAAGUGUGCAGACCCUGCGGGUUCGAGAACUAUGUAGACAUGACCCGAGAGACUCCUCGGUCAAUAUCCAAUAGCGGGACCUGGAUGCCCAUAUUGGAUCCUACAUAUUCUACGAAGAUCUUAUCGUUUGAACCUUAGUGCCAAGGAUUCAUAUAAUCCCGUAUGUCAUUCCCUUUGUCCUUCGGUAUGUUACUUGCCCGAGAUUUGAUCGUCAGUAUCCGCAUACCUAUUUCAAUCUCGUUUACCGGCAAGUCUCUUUACUCGUUUCCAUAAUACAAGAUCCCGUGGCUUAACUAAGUCACAUUGCUUGCAAGGCUUGUGUGUGAUGUUGUAUUACCGAGUGGGCCCCGAGAUACCUCUCCAUCACACGGAGUGACAAAUCCCAGUCUUGAUCCAUACUAACUCAACGAACACCUUCGGAGAUACCUGUAGAGCAUCUUUAUAGUCACCCAGUUACGUUGCGACGUUUGAUACACACAAAGCAUUCCUCCGGUGUCAGUGAGUUAUAUGAUAUCAUGGUCAUAGGAACAAAUACUUGACACGUAGAAAACAGUAGCAACAAAAUGACACGAUCAACAUGCUACGUCUAUUAGUUUGGGUCUAGUCCAUCACAUGAUUCUCCUAAUGAUGUGAUCCCGUUAUCAAGUGACAACACUUACCUAUGGCCAGGAAACCUUGACCAUCUUUGAUCAACGAGCUAGUCAACUAGAGGCUUACUAGGGACAGUGUUUUGUCUAUGUAUCCACACAAGUAUUGUGUUUCCAAUCAAUACAAUUAUAGCAUGGAUAAUAAACGAUUAUCAUGAACAAAGAAAUAUAAUAAUAACUAAUUUAUUAUUGCCUCUAGGGCAUAUUUCCAACAAUAAAAAGAUAAAUUCAUUGGGUUGCCUCCCAACAAGCGCUAUUGUUUAACGCCCUUAGCUAGGCAUAAAGUGAUAGAAUCACGUAUCGUCGUAUUUGGUGCUCAAACCAUAAGUAGCCCUCAUCGUGGAUUCAUAAGGCAAACUUAUUUUCUUUCUAGGAAAAUUCUCUAUGCCCUUCUUUAAAGGAAAUUGAAAUCUAAUAUUCCCUUCCUUCAUAUCGAUGAUAGCACCGAUAGUCCUUAGGAAAGGUCUACCAAGAAUGAUAGGGCAUGUAGGAUUGCAAUCAAUGUCAAGCACAAUGAAAUCCAUGGGUACAUAGUUCCUAUUUGCAAUAAUAAGAACAUCAUUGAUCCUUACCAUGGGUUUCUUGACAGUAGAAUCCGCAAGAUGCAAAUUAAGAGAACACUCCUCAAUCUCAUUAAAACCCAGAACAUCACAUAAAGACUUUGGAAUCGAGGAAACACUAGCACCAAAAUCACACAAAGCAUUGCAUUCAUAGUUUUUGAUUUUGAUUUUGAUAGUAGGUUCCCACUCAUCAUGAAGCUUUCUAGGGAUAGAAACUUCCAAUUCAAGUUUCUCUUCGAGAGAUUUUACCAUAGCUUCGACGAUAUGAUCGGUAAAGACCUUAUUUUGGCUAUAAGCGUGUGGAGAGUUUAGCAUGGAUUGCAUCAAGGAAAUGCAUUCAAUCAAGGAGCAACUAUCAUAAUUGAAUUCCUAGAAAUAUAAAGUAGCAAUUUCAUUACUACUCAAAGUUUUAAUAUCUUCUACUCCACUUUCAAUGCUUUUAGCAUCAAGAUAGAUGGACUCCGAAUCAUUGGGGUGUUUUUCAACCAAAGUAGAUUCAUAUCCAGCCCCAUCAUCAUUAGGUUUGACAAAAUAAAACAAAGAUUCAAUGGGAGUCACACCAAGCACUUUAAGAUCUUCGUGAUUCUUAUCACGAGAACACACUCUUUUAAGCCAUUCAUGUCUAGCACGAAUUUGGGCGAUUCUUUCCUUGCUCUCACUCAUGGAAACACGCAUAGCUUUCAAAGUUUCAUCCAUAUUGAUCUUGGGAGGAGUACAUCUAACUUUAAAAGCAUCAAUAUCACUAGACAUUCUAUCAACGCUCCUAGCCAAAUCGUCAAUUUUGAGUAGUUUUUCCUCUAUGGACGCAUUGAAAAUCUUUUGUGAGUUGAUAAACUCUUUGAUAUUAAUCUCUAGAUCAGAGGGUAAUCUAUUGUAUUUCCAUGAGUAUUGUUAUAGGAGUUGCCAAAGUUAUUAGAGGGGUUACUAAGAAAAGGCAUAGGAACAUAGUUUCCUCUAAAAGCAUUGUUGUUGCCAAAAUUAUUCCUACCAACAAAAUUAACGUCCAAGCUAGCGUUGCUACUCUCAAUCAAGGAAGACAAGGCAUGUCAUUAGGAUCUAAAGGAGCACUUCUACUAGCAACCAAAUUCAUUAACUCAUCCAUCUUAGCAAUCAACGAGUUAAUUUCUUCUAUAACGUGUACCUUCUUACUAGUAGGUGACCUUUCAGUGUGCCACUGAGAGUAGUUCGUCGUGAUAUUGUCUAGGAGUUUUGUGGCUUCUCCUAACGUGAUUUCCAUGAACGUUCCACCUGAGGCGGAGUCCAAUAUAUUUCUACAAGUGAAAUUCAAGCCAGCAUAGAAGAUUUGUAUAAUCAUCCAAAGACUCAAGUCAUGAGCUGGACAAUUUCUAAUCAUCAAUUUCAUUCUCUCCCAAGAUUGUGCAACAUGUUCAUGAUCAAGUUUCUUAAAAUUCAUGAUAUCAUUACGGAGAGAGAUAAUCUUAGUCGGCGGAAAAUACUUGGAUAUAUAAGCAUCUUUGCAUUUGUUCCAAGAAUCAAUACUAUUUUUGGGCAAAGACGAAAACCAAGUUUUUGCUCGAUCUCGGAACGAGAACGGAAAAAGCUUCAAUUUAGUCACAUCAUUAUCCACAUCUUUCUUCUUUUACAUAUCGCAAAGCUCAAUGGAGGUAUUAAGAUGGAAUGCGGCAUCUUCACUAGGAAGGCCGGCGAAUUGCUCUUUCAUAACAAGAUUCAGCAAAGCAGCAUUGAUUUCGUAUGAUUCCGCACUAGUGGCGGGAGCAAUCAGAGUACUAAUAAAAUCAUUAUCUAUUAUAUACUUAAAACAAUAGAAAAGGAACGGUCAAGAUUAAUUAGUCUAAAGUUAUGUUAUUUCAACGGUUGAGAUCUAUCUGAUCCAUCCGCAAAAAAAAUAAGAGAUCUAUCUGGUCAAAAAUCUACAUGUAUGAUUUAAAACGUACAUACAAUAAAAUAUGUGCAGGUUUUAACUUGGCGGAAGAAGUUUCCGAGGAAAUUUUUUGGCAAAAAAGGUGUGCACGCAUAUGUGUUUUCUAGAAAAAAAAUAUUAGUAUCUAACUCCAAUUAGGCUCCGGCCGGUUGCGACUUAUACAAGUAGAAAAGAUUUGUCUCUAAAGGAGUUUUAUUAGAAAAACGAGAAGACACCACGUGCGUCUAUAACAAACAGUCGACCCUGACAACGAAUUACAUGAUGGCGAGCUUCACGAAAAAAAUAGAAUCAGGAAAGGGCAAAAAGUUGUACGUUCUUACAAACUGAAUUUGACCCAGAACCAGCCAAUACUAAUACUAAAUCCAGAAAAGUUGAACCGGUCAGCAGAUAAUUUCACAUACACUAUAUUUUGUUAAAAUCAUAUAUACUAGCCAGCCAGACAACCAAUUUAGUGUCCGAUUCAAAAAUAAAACAAGGAAGAGUCUGAUUCAGAAAAUAAAAUAAGGAAGCAUCCGAAUAGAAUACUUUCUUUGACUUCUUAGAUUUCUUCUUUAAUCCGCUUGCCUCCAUAAAAAAUACCGUAUAUAAGAUGUGUACAGAUGCAGCGCAAAAAUGUUAACAAAAUAUUUAUGCUUAAUAAUAAAAGUACGCUUACAAUGGAUUGUUUGUUGUAAUAAAUUUUUAAUGGACCACCGAGACACAUCUAAGUGACAACAAUUUAUAUUCCAUGCUUAAUAAUAUAAUUUUUACAGAAAUUUUUCUAUAUUUGACAUAUGUAGAACUGAAUAUAAAUGUAUAAGAAAUAGUAUGGAAGGACAGAUUAGCUAUGGAAAACACCAUGACAAUUUUUAAUAAAUUUGUGGGCACGAAUGAAUGAACCACCAGAAUGCUAAAUAUCACAUGAUGUAGGAACAAAUAAGAUAUAGAUAUGUAGAUUUGUCUUUCUUGGUCAAAAUUUGUUUCUAAAUUUUAAAAAUAGCACAAAUUACUAUGCUCCUUGGGUGCCAUUGCCAACUGAUGAUUUAUAGUAAAAAUAAGACCAAGACAAAUUUGCCAAAUGCUUUACUUGGCGAAAUAGAAGGAACAUGUAUCACACGUGCAAAAUUUGGGAGCGUGCCACACGAAUAUUCUACAAUAGCAGGUAUUGAAGAAUCCGUACAAGAAAUUUUACUAAAUUUGAAAGAAAUUGUAUUGAGAAGUAAUCUCUAUGGAGUUAGAGACGUAUAAUUGGGAGUGUACAAACUAAUAAUAUUCAUAUUGUCCACUUGAAUCGGUACGAGUACAUAUGGAUGACUUACUUUUGGAACUAACAUCUAUAAAGCAUAUUGGUAUGAAAUAGUGAUCAAGCUAUUGAUCAUGAGACACUACUAAAAUCGAAUUUGCAUGCAUAGAUAUAUGCCCAAAGUCUAACCGCGCAAAUGCGCGUGUGACCCAGCUAGUUAUUAGUAUUCGAGAAGUCAUAAAGUUUGGUGUUUUCAGUCAUGGUGACUUCAGCAAGCAAACAAGCAAACAAGCGAACAAAAAGCAAGCGAGAGAAAAGGACGAACAGAAAAGGCAAACGAAAAAGGCAAACGAAGAAAAGGGCAAAUAUUUUUCUAAAUUUUUGUUUUUUAGAAGUGGGGGAGACGAAAACGAGAGGCAAAAAAGUAAAUGCAAGAGAUGAGUUUGUGACACUUACUUGGAUGAGUUCUUGACUUGAUCCUCCCCGGCAACGGCGCCGGAAAUUCUUCUGCUAUGGCAACAGACAAUAGCGCCAGAAAUUGGCACGUUGACGGAGACUUGGCUUGCGCUCGUUUUCCCUUGAAGAGGAAAGAGUGAUGCAGCACAGGAGCAAUAAGUAUUUCCCUCAGUUUGAUAACCAAGGUAUCAAUCCAGUAGGAGAAUCGCGUCAAGUCCAGAGUACGUGCGCAAACACAAAAGAGCUUGCACCCAACGCUAUAAAGGGGUUGUCAAUCCCUUCAAGAUUGAUUGCCAAGUGAGAUCUGAAGGCAGAAAGUGCAACGAAGAAAAAGUGUAAGGCUGAAAAUAAGAUGUGAAGUAGACCCGGGGCCCAUAGUGUUCACUAGAGGCUUCUCUCAAAAUAGCAAAUAUUACGGUGGGUGAACAAAUUAAUGUCGAGCAAUUGAUAGAACCGCGCAAAGUCAUGAUGAUAUCUAAGGCAAUGAUCAUACAUAUAGGCAUCACGUCCGAGACAAGUAGACCGAUAUUUUCUGCAUCUACUACUAUUACUCCACACAUCGACCGCUAUCUAGCAUGCAUCUAGUGUAUUGAGUUCAUGACGAACAGAGUAACACCUUAAGCAAGAUGACAUGAUGUAGAGGGAUAAACUCAAACCAAUGAUGAAAACCCCAUCUUUUUACCCUUGAUGGCAACAACACCAUGCGUGCCUCGCUACCCCUUCUGUCACUGGGUGAGGUCACCGCAUGGUACGAACCCAAAACCAAGCACUUCUCCCAUUGCAAAAAUCAUAGAUCUAGUUGGCCAAACAAAACCCACGACUCAAAGAGAAUUACAAGGAUAUGAAAUCAUGCAUAUAAGAGAUCAGAAGAAACUCAAAUAAGAUUCAUAGAUAAUCUGAUCAUAAAUCCAAAAUUCAUCGGAUCUCGACAAACACACCGCAAAAUAAGAUUACAUCGGAUAGAUCUGCAUGAAGAUCAUGGAGAACUUUGUAUUGAAGACCCAAGAGAGAGAAGAAGCCAUCUAGCUACUACCUAUGGACCCGUAGGUCUAUGGUAAACUACUCAUGCAUCAUCGGAGAGGUCAUGGUGUUGAUGAAGAAGCCCCCCGUAUCUGAAUCCCCCCUCAGGCAGGGCACCAGAAUGUGCCCCACAUGGGAUCUUGCGGAGACAGAAGCUUGCGGAUGCGAAAAAGUAUUUUCGUGGAUCUCCUCAUAUUUUCUGGGAUUUUAGGGAAUAUAUAGGCGAAAGACCUAGGGCAAAGGAGGCCUAGGGAUCCCACAAGCCUGGGAGGCGCGGCCCCCCUGGCCGCGCCUAGGGGUCUUGUGGGGUCCGUGGUGACCCCCUGCCUUGGUUCUCAAGUCUCCCGAUCGUUUUCUGUUUUGGAAAAAAUAUUUUCGGAAGUUUUAUUCCGUUUGGACUCCGUUUAAAAUCCUCCUCUGAAAAGGGUCAAAAACACGGAAAAAACAGGAACUGGCACUUGGCACUGAGUUAAUAAGUUAGCCCAAAAAAAUAUAUAAAAGGCAUAGAAAACAUCCAAAGUUUGACAAGAUAAUAGCAUGAAACCAUAAAAAAUUAUAGAUACGUUGGAGACGUAUCACUAAGUUUUUCUUCAAAUCAGCUAAGGAUGAGUCGGCCGGGUCAAGGAUUCCUACCAACAAAUUUUGGGGAGGCAAGUUUCAGAACUGUUGCAAGCAACAUCCCUGACACUUGGGGCUAAUGUAUGAUUCUUUUCAAGUCAUACUAAAUUCAAGACCCGACUCAUCUUUCAAAAGAUGACCCGGCCCUUGGGGGCUACAGGUUGAAGUUUUUNNNNNNNNNNNNNNNNNNNNNNNNNNNNNNNNNNNNNNNNNNNNNNNNNNNNNNNNNNNNNNNNNNNNNNNNNNNNNNNNNNNNNNNNNNNNNNNNNNNNUACUCUCAAAAAGACCGUCAAACCUGUUUUUGUUCCUAAAGCUAGUGGUGAGUCAUCCAAUAAAGAUGAAGAUCUUGAGAUGAUAAAUGAUCACAAUACUUAUGGUUUGAGCACCAAAGAUGACUAUACGUGAUUCCAUCACCUUUCGCCUAGCUAAGGGCGUUAAACAAAAGCGCUUGUUGGGAGGCAACCCAACGAAUCUAUCCUUUUUAUUUCUGUUUUGUGUUUUCCACACUUUCAUAAUUCUGUUAUGAUUGUGUUUUUUGUGUUUCUUUUGUGUUUGUACCAAGCAGAACCGUUAUGAUUAGUCUUGGGGAUGAUCGUUUGGUCAUGCUGGAAAAGACAGAAACUUUCUGCUCACGAAACGAAUUUGCAUUUUUUUCUGUAAGAGCUUUUGAGUUCAUUCUUUUUGAUGAUGAUUGCUACGGAAAUUCUUCAGACUUUCGUAAUGUUUCAGAAUUUUUGAAGUACCAUAGGUAUAAGAAAUAUACAUAUUGCUACAGAUUGGUCUGCUGUUAACAGAUUCUGUUUUUGUUGUGUUGGUUGCUUAUUUUGAUGAAACUAUGGAUAGUAUCGNNNNNNNNNNGAAGAUUUAAAAUACAGUAACCCAACAUCAGCAUAAGUAGAAUUUAAGUUUGCUACAGUACCUAAGGAAGUGGUGGUUUGCUUUCUCAUACUAAUGUUAUCACGAAUUUCUGUUUAAGUUUUGUGUUGUGAAGUUUUCAAGUAUUGGGUGAAGUUCUUAUGGACAAAGAGAUAAAGAGUGGAAAGAGCUCAAGCUUGGGGAUGCCCAAGGCACCCCAAAAGAUUCAAGGAUGCCGUAAAAGCCUAAUCUUGGGGAUGCCCCGGGAAGGCAUCCCCUAUCUCGUCUUCAAUCCAUCGGUAACGUUACUUGGGACUAUAUUUUUAUUCACCACAUGUUAUGUGUUUUUGCUUGGAGUGUCUUGUAUCGUAGGAGUAUUUUAUUUUUGUUGUAUCACAAUCAUCCUUGCUGCACACGUAGAGAGAGAGACAUGCACACACCGUGAUUUUGUCGAGCUUCACUUAUAUCUUUUGGUAGACAAUUCAGCUCACAUGUGCUUCACUUAUAUCUUUUGAGCUAGAUACUUUUGCUCUGUGUGUUUCACUUAUAUCUUUUAGAGCACAACGGUGCGUGGCUUGGUAGUUGAUCUAUGCUUUGAAAGUAGUCUCAAAAGGGGUAGUUGUCCAAAGGGAUACGAAAACUUCCACCUUCAUGUGCAUUGAAUAGUUAGAGAAGUUUGAUUUAUCUCAAUUAGUUAUGAGUUGUGGUUAUGGUAAUAUUGAAGUUAUGUUAGUAAGGUGUUGUGGAUCUAGAAAUACUUGUGUUGAAGUUAGUGAUUCCCGUAGCAUGCACGUAUCGUGAACCUCUAUUGGAUGAAAUCUGAGCAUGAUUAGUCUAUUGAUUGUCAUCGUUUGCGUGGCGGUCGGGAUCGCGCGAUGGUUUAUACCUACCAACCCUUCCCCUAGGAGUAUGUGUUGAAUGCUUUGUUUCAAUUACUAAUAAAACCUUUGCAACAAGUAUAUGAGUUCUUCAUGACUAAUGUUGAGUCCAUGGUUUAGAUGCACUUUCACCUUUCACCAUCACUACCUUCUUAGUGCCGUGCAACUUUCACCGGUGCACAAAACCCACCAUUAGCCUCCCCCAAAACAGCCACCAUACCUACCUACUAUGGCUUUUUCAAAGUCAUUCUGAGAUAUAUUGCCAUGCAACUACCACCAUGACAUGUGCCACCACAUCUACAUUGCCGUUGCAUGAUCAUAAGAUAGCUAGCAUGAUGUUUCCAUUAAUGUCUAUGNNNNNNNNNNNNNNNNNNNNNNNNNNNNNNNNNNNNNNNNNNNNNNNNNNNNNNNNNNNNNNNNNNNNNNNNNNNNNNNNNNNNNNNNNNNNNNNNNNNNGGGAGAGGAUCACCGGACACCAUUGUUCGGGGAUCUUAGCCUUGCGGAUGAAGCCGUGGUUGACGGAGGCGAAGGCAUAUUGUUUGGAGUUAGGCCACCUUCUCAUUGGGACACACAUGGGACGAAUAUUAUUUUGCCUGGGUCAAAGUUCGAAACAUUCUUUGAACUGAAGAUGUGGUUGGAUAAAUAUUCUGUUACGCAUUAUAGGCCACACAAAGUUGUUCAUUCAAACAUGAAGCUGCGUUACACGGUUGCAUGUGAGGAUAGAGGUUGUCCUUGGAUUGUCCGUGCAAGACCAUGGAAAGGAGGGCCAGGAUGGAACAUUGUCAGUUGUAUGCCUCACAUGUGUCAAGGCAAGAGGGUUGAUGGUGCCCUAUCGUCGCAAAGCCAUAGACAACUAACCUCCGAGUUCAUCGCUUAUAGGCUUUCCAACUCCAUCUCCUCUCUUCCUACAAUGUACGAGGUGAAAUAUGGUAAGGCAUGGAAAGCAAAGCAAGCCGCAUUCAAGAUGUUGUAUGGUGAUUGGGAGGAAGCAUACAACCGCAUACCUAGGUUGUUGGGAGCUAUUGCCCACACUAACCCGGGCAUGGUUCAUGUGGUCGAGCCGUAUGGGGAGAAAACAAGGAUUAAGAAUGGAAAUAGGGUUCGCGUAUUUGGUCGUGCAUUUUUGGCAUUUGAGCAAUGUGUGAGGGCCUUCCAGCACUGUCGUCCUGUCAUCUCCAUCGAUGGCACGUUUUUGACCGGACAAUUCAAGGGCACUUUGUUGGUUGCAAUAGCAAGUGAUGCCAAUAACCGGUUGAUGCCUUUGGCUUUUGCUUUGGUUGAGGCAGAGAACAAUGUUAACUGGGAAUGGUUCUUGCAUAUUUUGAGAACCAAAGUAUUACCGUUUGAGAGGGAAAUAUGUGUCAUAUCGGAUCGUCAUCAAGGCAUACUUAACGCGGUUGACAUUGUCAUUCCCGGCCAUGCUCCUUUGCAUCAUCGAUGGUGCAUGAGGCAUUUCUGUGCAAACUUCUACCGGGCAUGUGGUAGCAAGGAGUUGGCGGAUGAUCUUCAAGAUUGUUGUCAAGCAUUUUUUGACAAACGAUUUGCAAGAUUGUACAAUGUUUUGCUUGUAAACAAAAAACUUGAUGCAGGUGGGCUUGAGUUUCUUAACAGGCACAUUGAACUUCGGGCCAAGUGGGCACGAGCUUAUGACGAAGAUGGCCGAAGAUAUGGUCAAAUGACCAGUAACAUGGCAGAAUGCUUCAACCGGAUGUUGAAGGGUGUCCGUGCGUUGCCGGUGACGGCAAUAGUUCAAUACACAUUCGACAAGUUGAGAGCAUACUUUCUAAAGUACUCACAAGAAAUAGAUGAUCAGAUUGCGGGAGAGAACAAGAAAAAGUAUAAGUACCAGUUUCCACCAAAGGUUGACAAAUGGAUGGUAUUUCAAUCACGGAAGGCUGACUCCCAAACGGCUACCCUGUACAACAACGAGGAUUGGACAUACGAAGUGAAUGAGCCCGGAGGAACGACAAACGAUGGCUAGCAACACGGAAACAGGGCGUUCAAGGUUUCUUUAUCCUUAUGUGAUUGCUCUUGUGGGAGGCCAAGGUUGCUUCAUCUCGCAUGCUCGCAUUUGUACACGGCAGCUCGCAGUAGGAAUGUGGACGUCAACCAUCCGCUAACCGUGAGGGAGUCCGAGUUCUCGAUCAUGACCACGAAGCAUACAUGGGCUCCUAGAUUUGAACCAUACUUUGACCAACCGCAAUGGCCGGAGUAUCAUGGAGUACAACUAUGGCCCGACCCAGAGUGGAAGGUUGUGAAACUGGGAAGACGAAAGACAAAGCGUUUUAGAGGAGACAUGGAUGGAUGGGGCCAUGGUGGUGGCAGAGAAAUGGGGAACAACCAAUUCCAAGAGCCUACUGAGAGAUCACAAUGUGGAGAUUGCGGUGUAACAGGGCACAACAGAAGAAGGUGUACGACGCGAAUGAAGAAGUCCAAAAACAAUGAUUCCAGGUCAAGCCAACUAAGUCCUAGCCAACCAAGUCCUAGCCAACCAAGUUCAAGCCAACAAGGGACGGGUCAAGGAAGCACGAGCCAACAAGGGACGGGUCAAGCAAGCACGACCCAACAAGUUCCUACUCAACAUGUUCCUAGCCGACUUGGGCUUACUAGAUGACGUGGUACUAGAGGAAGUGGUGGUGGUAGAGGCAGGGGUGCUGCUAGAGGCAGGGGUGGGAUAGGUCGUGGUGGUGCUAGAGGCAGUGGUGGGAUAGGUGGUGGACUUACUAGAAUUGGUAUGCGUGGAUACCUACAAGGACCAUUUCCGUAUGUCACAUAUUUCACUUAUCUUUAUCAUGUUGUUUUUGAUGCUCCUUUGUGUGUUAUUUUACUAACUAUGAGCUUUGAUGCCUGUUUUGUAGGUAUGGCCGCUUCUCAGCCGAACAAGGCAAAAGCGGAGUGGGGGGAGGAGAAGGAUGCAGCCAGUGAGGAGCAGCUGUUGAUGGAGAGGGCUGCAAAGAAGUUGAGAGAGGAGGAUGCAGCGGAAGCGCGAAAGAAGAAGGACGAGGAGGAUAAGGCAAAGAGGGAUGAGGAGUGGCAAAUGUUCCUUGAGCAUAGGCGAUAUGAGGCUAGGAUAAAGGAGAAUGACAGGAAGACGCUAGAGAAACGUAAAAAAGAAUAUGAAGCUAACUUUAAGAAGAUGUUGGCAGAGGCCGCAACAAAGAGAGAGCGGGAGCAUCAGCGCUUCACGGAGAGGGUUAAGGAAGAGGCUUCAAAACUGCGCAAAAGGGAAAAGGAAGAGGAAGAAGAGAGGAAGAAGAAGAAGGGUAAGGGGCCUUGCUCGACCCAAUAGAGCCGGAUGCUUGUAAUCUAUGUGUUGUUGAACCUUGUUUGGUUCCGCGCUUUAUUACUAUGAAACUCCACUAUGUAUGCACUUUUGGACGUAAGUUACUUCAAGAACCGUAUGUAUGUUUGAACUCCACCACCACUACUAUGCGCUUUGUGUUGUAUGUUUUAACGUAUGUAUCUGAACUCCUCCACCACUACUAUGUGUUGUAUAUUUGAACUCCUCCUCCAUUAAUAUGCAGUUCUUGGCAUGACAGAGUGUGUGGCGCCUAAGCCUUAGGCGCCACACAUGUGUGGUGUGGCGCCUAAGCCUUAGGCGCCUUAGGCGCCACACAUGGACUUAUACAGCCACGGCCCAGCCCCCUCCCCACCCUCCUCCUCCAGUCUAUUUCAAAUGUGUGGCGCCUAAGGCUUAGGCGCCACACAUGUGAAAACCUGCUGGAACUGAAUUUAGACAUCAAAACAGCAUUUUUGACAGCAAUAAAGAUCUUUUGACAACAAUAAAGCAAUUUGAACAGCAAUAAAGCAAUUUUGACAGCAAUCAUAUAUGUGAUAGCCAAGGAAUCAUGAAGUGCAACAAUCAUAUAUGUGAAAGCCAAGGAAUCAUCAAGUGCAACAAUCAUAGGUAACAACUAAAUGGUUCACAACAACUUCAACAACAACUAAAUGGUUCACAACUCGAAAUAGUUCACAACUAAAGUAAAUAGUUCAGCUCGACAAGUGCAACACCAACUCCAAAUCACUUGGGGCCUCGUCCCCUCUUGGAUACUAGAUUCUUCCUUCUCGCAACCACAAAUUGCUCCGGGUCAUCCGACUCAUCGUCAUCGUCAUCCUCAACCUCAUCGUCCAUGCUUCUCAUCCUUGACAAACGAGAGCCCCCGGCCACCGGAUUCUUUCCUUUCGCAUAAUCAUCCGGUGAGUAGCGCUUAAAUUCCUUCCUGGGCUUCAAUAUGUAAGCAGAGCAUUGGAAAGCCUUCAACGUCAUGUCGUCCGCAGCCUAGUACAUAUGAAGGUUGAAAGUUCAAACUUGAAGGUUCAAGGCUGAAGGUUGAAAGUGCAAAUUGUAUGGCUAUGUCAUACCUGAGGAGUGCCAACAUCAUCCUCCUGAGUAUUUAUUUGGGUAUUAGCCGCCGAGGUAAUGUCACCAUCAUCCAUACGAGCGCUCGAAGAAGCUGAAUCGUCAAGAGUAUUUCUUUCGGAUGAACCGGAUCUCGAAGGUGAAACAUAUUCAGGGUCACGGCAACCUAAAAUGUUGGAUAGGCGUCGUAACUUCUUGCCCUGUUCCUGUUAGAUUCAAAUAUAAAUGACAUAUAUUAGGUAACCUAUAAUGUUGCAUUCGUGGGCAAAAUAAUAAUAAUGACACAACACCUUUAUGAAUAGACGAAGUGCAGAUUCUCCCUUUUUUCCUCCAGGUGUGUUAUCUAGAAUAUCUUCGGACUCGUCAGCUUGUUUCUUGACCUCUUUGCGCUAUGAUCACAAGACAAUGACAAAAAAUAAGUGCAAGUGAAUAGGUCCACUAGAAUUCAUAAUUUACAUAGGGGAGCACACUUACCACAAAGUUCAGGACAGGGGCGAAGGAAGUUUGGUACCCUUCGCGAAUCAACUUGCUGUAACCGCCUUGGGCAAGUUCAUCAUACUCAGUGGCUUCUUCCAAUAUGUCCUCGUCGUAAGCCGGCAGACAAAUCUCGACACGAGUACUCUCCUGAAACCAUCUUAGGUAGUUGCUGAACGCAAGAGCACAAUGCAGACGGUACUGGGUUCGUUGUAUGCUCGAAGUUGCCUGCACACUUUGCUCGAACAUAAGGACAUAGCUCUUAUGAUGCUUCUUCCAGUCCUUGAUUUUUCGCUGCCUCCUCCUAUCCAACCUGCUUUGAACAAAACACAUCAGUAGCUCGCUCAACACUAAGAACAAAACUAAUCACUAAUUAUUUUUUGUUACCUGUGAAGCUGUGUGUCCGUGUCCACCCACUCCGGCGGGUGUGGCUGAAAGUAACCAAAUUGACGCAGCACACGAUGCGGGAGAUGCCACUCAACCGCCCAAUUGCAUAUUAGGGGACAACGCAUUACCAAAGAUGUCUUUCCUGCACGCAUAGUGGAUUCAGCUUGAACGUGUGUGCAUCACCAAAGUUUGUCCCGACACCAUAUGGCUCCCAUUCAACCUACAACACAAGAUGAAUACCACAAUUCAUUUCACUCACAACAUAGAAGCUGGAAGUCAACUCUGAAACCAUCUUACCUGCUCGGGGGUAAGCGAAUCCAUCUCGUUGGUGUAUUGCUUAUACAAUAGGUUCACUUCGCUUGCCACCUCCGAUACCAAGUCCCACUUGUAAGCCCAUGCAGGUUGCCGUACAGGGUUGCCGUGGUCAUUCCAGGUAUUCCACUGUGAGCUUUUAGGGCGUCCAACAGGUAGGCGUUCCCAGCUCCAUACUGAAAGUAGGAGCAUACAACCACCAACUCCACCAUCCUUUGUCGUCCUGCGACAAGCAUCGUCCAACUACAAGUAACAACAAACAUGCAUCAGUUUAGCAGAAAAAGAUAACAGAGAGUACUUAAUACUAACAAUUUAUUACCUGCCGAUACAAGUAAGCCAGUGCGGCCGAGCCCCAGCUGAACUUGUUGUCCAAAACAGUCAACGCCUUCAGCCACAUCCAUGGAGCAUUCUUGCCUGUGCCGUCCGCAAAGAUAGUCCUAGAGAUGACGUACCACAUGUAGACGCGAGCAUACCUCUGGAUCACCUCGUCAUCUGCGUCCUCAGGACAAUGAGCAAAGUUGGCGGCAAUCCAAGUGAAAGUGGCGCCGGCAGGGACUCUAUCUUUCUUCCCUCCAUCUUCCACCUCCGGCUCGUGCGGCGACAUACCAAUAAGAGCCUCCAUUUGAUGCCGCCAUCCCUCAGAAUCAGUGCUCAUACAUAGUGGCUUCCCCUCGAUGGGAAGAGCGGUGAUCAUGGAAACAUCUUGAAGAGUAACCGUCAUCUCUCCAGUCCGGAGGUGAAAACUAUGUGUCUCCGGCCUCCAACGAUCAAUGAGUGAUGUGACUGCCGCAACGUUCAGAUUGGGAGUUGACCGACUCACAAGAUGCAUGAAUGGAAGGAGUCCCGUCAUGUCGAUGUACGGGGUGUACCGCUCAUCGUAAUGCAUUACAGAGGAUGCCCCAUGAGACCGGAUCUUCAAGGGCGUAAGCUCCUGCAAACAUAUAGGAGAAGAAGAUAUCAAGUGCUUAUUACAUUUUCAAAAAAUUACUAAUCUACUAAUCAUUUUCUACUUACCAUCUUCUUCUCCGACAUGAAAUAGGCCCGGUGUUCAACGUCAUAAACAUCAUUCAGAAGCCACACCAUCCUACAAAUCACAAAAAAUUACUCAUAUACUCAUAUUCAAAUAAGACUCAUAUACUCAUAUGAACUACUACUAAUACUAACUACUACUACUAACUACAAACCAAAACCUAAUGCAAUUCCUAUACCUACUACUACUACUAACUACUAACUAGUCAUAUACUCAACCAAAUCCUAACUCAUAUACUAACUAGUCAAAUCCUAACUCAUAUCCUAACUAGUCAAAACCUAAUACAAUUCCUAUACCUACCACUACUACUAACUACUACUAAUACUAAGUACUACUACUAACUACUACUACUACUAACUACUACUACUACUCACUAUUCAUAUACUCAACCAAAAUCAAAACCUAAUGCAAUUCCUAUACCUACUACUACUACUAACUACUAACUACUCAUAUACUCAACCAAAUCCUAACUAGUCAAAUCCUAAGAACCUACACAAAUCAAUCUACUAAAAUCAAUCUACUCAACCAAAACAUAAUAAAAUUGGAUAGAAGGCUGGGAAAGGGAAGGGAUGGGGGAGGACAUUACCUUGGGGGAUCAAUCCAAGGAAGAAAUCCUCAGAUCUGAAGGAGAUGGGGGAGGGGAUUAGGGAGGGGAUGAGAGCCAGCCGCCGCCGCAGUGGCAGUUUCUAUUUGAAUGAGGAGGGGGUGGGGAGGGGGUGGGGAGGCGGCUAGCCCGUGGCUGUAUAAGUCAAUGUGUGGCGCCUAAGGGUCAGGCGCCACACAUUACAAUGUGUGACGCCUGAGGCUUAGGCGUCACACUGCCUGGGGGGUGGGCCCCUACAUGCCACGUGGUCGGGGGUGUGGCGCCGAACCUCUAGGCGUCACACAGUACAGUGUGGCGCCUAGUUGUCGGGCGCCACACAAAAGGGUCAGGCCGGUGAAUUAUUUCCCCCGAGGGGUCAAUCCGUGAGUUCUUUCGUCCCAGGGGUCAUUUUUGUCAAUUUUGCCCCAGAAAUACAUCUAAGCUGUCGUCUCAAGUACUAUCCGACACCAGUGUCCUAUUCAUCCGAUGAAAAAAUUCAGAUGAUAUUCAUCAUAUCUAUUUUUUUCAUAUACUCCCUCUGUUCCAAAAUAUAAGACGUAUGUCUAUGUACAUCCGUAUGUAGUUCAUAGUAUAAUCUCUAAAAGGUCUUAUAUUUAGGAACGGAUGGAGUAUAUAGUAACUCUUUCGUGAUUAAUUACUCUAGUAUGAAGUGUUUUUAUACAGGACAAUUCUUCAUUACAAAAAUGGCGUUAGAGCAACUCCAGCGGAGCGACCCAUUUCGUCCGUCGCCGUUCGUUUGGGUUGGUGCGGACAAAAAAGAUGGCCCAACGCGCCGACCCAUUGCCAAAACGCGUCCAUGCCGACCCUUUUCCAGCCCAAAUUUGGGACUGAAAUGCGACGGCGCGGACGCGAAGCGGACACGCACGCCCCCUCGGUGUCCGCCCCCAACCACCGCGGUCAACAUAAUUUAUGAAGGCCGCCAUUCUCGGACCCACGCGUCGGUGAUCGCGGCCGGCCUUUUUUAUUCUGAGCGUGCGGUGGAUUUCGCCACCCGCUUCUAGAACCCGCCCUCGUCUCCACCUCGCCACCUCCUCGGUGACCCAAGUGACCGAAACCCUAGCCCACCAUGGCCGGCGGCUUCCCAAACAAAGGCAAGGCCCCGCUCUUCCCCCGCGCCACCUACCCGUCGUGGUCUUCCCGGCCUCGCCAGCGCUUGAGCGUCCCGGUGCACCAAGCGCGGUGGCAGUGGGAGCACCGCGUCGCACUCCCUUACCCCGACGUCACGCUGCCACACGGUGGCACUUGGAUCCGGAGAGGAUUCCGGUGCCGGCCGUGCCGCGGUCGACGCGGGUGCAUCUGGAGAAGGUGACUAAGCGACGGAGUCUGCUGACGGCAGAGCAGCGGCGAGACCCCACAUACGGGGCCGAUUCCCCUAACUGGGAGGUGUGGUUUGCGGUGGAGCAUGAGGCGCAGUGCCGCCGUGGUGUGCGCCAAGUGCAUCCAGGAGGCCCUCCGCCGCCCCCGCCUGUCAUCAGCGACGAGGACCAGGAGGCUGAGGCCACCUACCAGGCGGCGCUCGCUGGUGUCCUCUACGACAGCGAGGAAGAAUCUUAGCGCGUGGUAGAAGAGGAGGAGGCGUACGAGCGGCAGCUCGCGGAGUCCAUGGCACUCUCGGCCGCCGGCGACUGCGUCGUGUCACCUCCGCCGGAGCCCGAGCCUGAGCCCGCGCCACGGGAGGUCUACCAGUGGACCGGCGUCGUCCAUGAGUUCGCGAGCGCGGCCGCCCAUCUGGCUGGGCGCGACCCUGCUGCAGGAGCAGGCCUACCUCGAGCACUGGAGGUCGGUGCACCUGCAGGCGGAGCGCGUUGAAGGCCUGCGGCUCUUGGAGCUGGAGAAGGAGGAGGAGGAGGAGCGACAGGAGGCAGCGGAGGAGGAGCGUGCUCGUGCUGCUGCGCUGCCGACGCGGGCUGUGCUAGUGGCGGCGGCGGAGGAGGAGGAGCGACGGGAGGCGGCGGAGGAGGAGCGUGCUCGUGCUGCUGCGCUGCCACCGCCACCAGCACAGCCCGCGUCGGCGGGGCGGACGAUGGAGGCACAGGCAGCUGCGCUCUGGAACUCGGCGUUCCUGUGGGCCGGCCCUGCGCCAACGCUGGUCGACCUCGCUGGCCCCGACGACGACGACGACGCCUAGGGCUGCAUGGACGCAGUUUUAGGUUUUUUACUUUAAUUUAACGCAAUGCGGGCGCGACGCGUGGACUAUCGCCGGCCUUCGUGGACGGCUUUUAAUUUUUAAUUAUGCUUUAUGUUUUUCCUCGCCGGCAAAAAAAUGGGUCCGGCCAGCGUUGGGCGCACGAGCCGACCCAUUUGCGGAAGCGGACGUUCGUGUCCGCUUGGCCGACCCAAACGGACAGAAAGCGGACGAAAUCGUUGUCCGUUUGGGUCUGCCCAUUGGAGUUGCCCUUAUAUCUCGGAGAUGGAGAGGCGCCAACAUUAGUGUAGACUCAUGUUUGUCUGUAUUGCACCAAGACGGCUUGCAAAUGAUGCGGCCAACUCUCACGUCCACACGACCAAGACAGCUUACAAAUGACAUGGCCGAUGCGUCGUUCGCGCGACCAAGACGGCUUAUAAUGACGCGGCCAACUCUCACGUCCGCGCAACCAAGACGGCUUACAACGUCGCGACCGAUUCUCGCACAUGUGCUACCAAGCUGGUUUGAAACGACAUGGAUGACUCCCAUAUCUACAUCAACACGCCGGUGCAGUGCUAGCCUAUACGAGCCACCCAACAGACGCGCGCAAGCCGCCACCCCUGCAGUUCGGACGAUCUCAACCCGUCGGUGCAGUGCUCGCCCAUACGAGCCGCCCAACAGAAGCGCGCAAGCCACCACCCCUGCGGUCCGGACGAUCUCAACCCGCCGGUGCAGUGCUCGUCUAUACGAGCUGCCCAACAGACACGCGCAAGACGUCGCCCUCGUGGUCCGAACGACAUCAACACGUCGGUGUAGUGCUCGCUUAUACGAGCCGCCCAACAGACGCGUGCAAGCCGCCGUCCCCCGGUCCGUUCUCCAUCAACAUAUUGGUGCAGUGUUCGCCUAUACGAGCCGCCGAACGGACACAAGCAAACCACCCCCGCGGCAAGUCUCCUCCAACAGCAUUGGAGCAAAGGGAAAAUGGCAUUCAUGUCUUACACAACAUCAUCAAACCAUGCGCCAGCUCCCACUCGCGUUGAGUUGUUCAAUGGAUAGACACAUUGGCCAUACUAUCUACUUCGGCAUAUCAAAAGUAACAGAAGAGUUUGUCAAGGAAACAUCCCUGGUGAAGCUACAAAUUGAGUCGACCAUUAUUGAGCCGGUAAUUCAAAGCAAGUGACAAGGAAAAAAGAAAAAUGGCCCUGGACGAGCCAGGAGAGCCGGACUACCUGAGAAUAAAAGCAUGGUCCAAAGAAGCCUAUGCACUCAAUUUGGCCACGAUGUUUUCCAAAAGACCUAUGAUGAGCGUCACAAAGAUCAUUAGACCAUCAUCUCACUACAUCAUCUCCGGUCUGGAUAAGAUCCAUCAUUCAACUAUGAACCUUAUGCCGGUUUAUGUCACAAUCAAGUAUGGAGACUCUCAAGACGCCUCCUUGAGUCGACUUAAGACUCGGGGGCUACACAGACAUGGCUCGACAGAUUCAACCGGGCUGCAUAAAUUCAAGAACCCCUGGUCAUUACAGGAUAGUUAAGCCGGUCCCGGGGGCUGCUGCCUCAUUGGCAAAAAGAUUUAAUGUCGCCCAAGAGGACGAGUCGUCAUGAUGCGACCGUUCAAACAUGGGUGCCCUGCCUCAUUGGCGGGUGAUUUUAAAGCCGCCCAAGAGGAUGAGCGACCGCCAAGGAUGUCAUUCAAACAUGGACGCUAUUAGUAUCAAAGAGAAUGAGCCGUCAUGUUGCGAUCAUUCAAACAUUGAUGCUGAUAAGCCAAAGAGCACCAGUUGCCAUGGUGCAUGGUUCAAACAUAGGCAAGAAUUUAUGUUCCGGAGAAUCAAGUCGGCUUUCCUGGGGGCUAUUAGUCCCGAGGUUGUUUAGCAGUGAUAGCAUUAUCUUCUUCAAUCCUAUGCUUGGCUUUUCCCUGGUCAUAGGUCACUUGGGGCUUCCAAUUCAUUGAGUUCGGCUUUAUUACCCUCUUGGCUUGCGAAAAAAUACCGCAUUAUAAUGGUUAUACUGGACUGUAUGCCUUUGUGACUCCCCCUAUUGGCCCUGUAUACUCUUGGCGAGUCAAUCCAUUGUGGACCCUGACUUGUCAAUGUUAAAACAUUGAGGUGUCGUGUGAGAGACGACAUAAGGAAAAUAGACAAACCAUCGGUUCAUGGAACCUGCUUCACUGAAGCCUGACUUGAGCCUGAUCCACGAGUCUAAAUUAAAAGGGUUAUUGCAAAAACCCAUCUUAGGGCAUGACUAGAGCCUUGCAAGCUCGUCUCCCUACUGAGUCUCACUAAGUCGGCUUAUAAAGAAUAACUUGAUACCAUAUUAUGGUGUUACCUUUUCUCAGAAAACCGGAACUAUUCUAUCAUACACAUGCAUCAUCUUGCACUGCAUCAUGCAUCAUACAUACAUAUCAUGCCGGUCUUCAAACCGGGUCAAAACAUAAACUUCUGCAGGAGCAAAUAAAUUUUUGAUAGCCAAUAUGAUUGGAUUUUCAUCAUGGUUUAUCAUAACCUUUGUUCAAUGAUUGGGGUUUUUUAAGUCAGCUCAGAAGAAUUGAUUAUUUUUGAAGACCCAUCAUAUCACAUAUAAUGUCGGGUCAUCUAAUUGAUCGGCUCUUGAAUUUCUUCAACCUGUGCUCUGUAGUAAACUACGACACUUAUGGAUUCCACAAACAUAUAUUUGCCGGGUUACAUUGCAACCACGGUCAAGGAUUUCUUUCAUCAAAAGGCAUCAUCAGUUCACAGAGUGGAUAUGAUUUUAUUCUGCAAUGGAAGGAAUAGCCCCGAGUCGCUGCAGGCACACGACCCGGCACUUGGGGGCUACGUUAUUCAACUCAAGAUUACAUCAAAGUGUGAAAGUCCAAUGUUGCUGCAAGCAUGUACCAUGACACUUGGGGGCUAAUGCAAACUGCUCUUUCUAAUCAUCACAUCAUCAACAGACCCGGCUAUCUCAAGGAGAUAAGUCGGCCCUUGGGUGCUACAUGUCGCUCUUUAUUCAAGUAUGGAUUCAAGGAUGAGCCAGCUCAGCAUUUUUAUAAUGACCCGGCCCUUGUGGGCUACACAUUGAUGCUCAAGUUUACAUAAUGAGAUCUACAAAGUCCCUGCUCAUUAUUGCAUAAUGACCCAACCCUUGGGGGCUACAUCGUAUGAUGUUUUAUUUUCAAAUGAGAAGAAUGUGGAAGACCCGAGUCGCUGCAAGCAAUCGACCCGACCCUUGGGGGCUACACUAUUCACAUCAAAAUUUCUAAAGUCCCAGGUUGCUACACGCAAGACAACCCAGCACUUGGGGGCUACAACACUCAGUUGUUUCACAGAUCAUGAGGUUCAAAUUGAAGACCCGACCCAUCACACAAUGAUGAGCCGACCCUUGGAGGCUGCACCAAUUAAAGCUUUAUAAAGAAUAAGACAACUACAAGUUCAACGUUGUUGUAGGCAAGACAACCCGACACUUGGGGAUACAUGGUCAAAUAUAUUAUUACAAAUCUCCAAGUCAUCACGAACUGAUAAACUUGGAGCUUGGGUGCUACAGGUAGUAUGGAUAUAUCAAAAAAAUUGAAGAGCACUUUCAAGAUGUCGAUUGUGAGGAGUAUCGGCUCAACAUACUUUUAUCUAGUUGAAGCAUUGAAAGACCGGCUCAACAUUACACACAUUUCUUUAUUCCCAAUAAUUUGAUCAAGUCAAUUGGAGUUCACUUGUUGGAUCGGGCAUUACCAACAAACAUGACCGGGCAUUACCAACAAACAUGACCCGACAACUUCGACGGUCGCAACUUGACAAGCUCUAAACACCCUCAAGCCAGAAGUAUUCAAAGUUGGCUCAGCACCAAAAGGAUAAUUUAAGUCUAAUAUUUUCAUCAAGACAAAGCAUUGGAGGCCGACUCGAUGGAAUAUGUAUUUUAUUGCAAAAGAUAUGUACCUCCAAGAUGAUUGAAGACGGCUCGAAGAAAAUAGGAUUUUCGAGGAGCCACUUUAUAUUGAAAUAAGACGGCCAAGGAGCAAGCCGGCCCCUUAACAUAUUUAUUAUUCUUAUUUCAGGAGCUUACCAUGAAUAAAUUCAAGCUAACCAGGGGGCUAAUGUCGGGCAUAUACCCCGCGGUGUAACCCGGCUUCAACUAUGACCCGGCUGGGACUUGGCAACUCACUGCCGACUCAUUAGUGACCUGGCAGGCGGCUCAUAUAUGACCCGGUAGGCAACUCAGACAAACGAUAAAAACCGAACAGCCCAGAAGGCGGCUUAUGGGAGGGCCUGUUCACAGACAAGGCCCAAGGAAAGGAAGGACUCCCUCGCAAAGGAAACAAGACCCGGAUUAGGAUUCAAGAGAGACUAGUCCUGGUCCUACUCCUAGUAGGAUUCUACAUGUAAACGUACCCCUUCCACCUAUAUAAGGAGGGGUAAGGCGCCCCAAGAGGGACAAGUUCAAGUCAUUAGAGAUAGGAAGAUUAGACACCCUCAAGAUUAGAGGUAGCGAUUCCGCACCCCUGUAAUCGAGAUCAUCAUCUUCAUAAAUGAAAAACAAGCAGGACGUAAACUUUUACCUCCAUCGGAGGGGCCGAACCUGGGUAAACUCGCGUCUCUCGAUUCUGACCAACCCCUCUCAAGCCGCCGCAUAGCUGUGAUGUCUCCACACCUAAGUCCUUACACGGGGACAUAUGCCGUGACAAAACCACGACAAUAGGCAUGGGUAGGAGAGAUUGAUUUGGUAGAAAGCAGUUUGGGGAGGCUAGAGAUCAAGUUUCAAAUAGUUGGAUUGGAAUAUCUUCGUCUCAACACAUGAGUAGGUGGUUCUCUCUCAGAAAAUGGAUUUGGCAAUGAAGUGUGUGUGCCGAGUGCUUCUCCCACGAAUGAGAGGUGGGUGAAGGGGUAUAUAUAGGCAGCAACCAAAAUCCAACUGUUACACCUAAAGUGGCAAACUCGGUGACACCAAAGUCAUAAACUCGGUGGUACUGAUUCACAUAAAAGGCAGCAACUUCUGAAUCUCAGUGGGACCGAUAUACACAACUUGGUGGCACCGAAAAGGUGGAUAACGGUCAGAUGGCCAAACUCGGUGGCACCGAUACUCAAAAUCCAAAAUUCCAAUUUUGUGUACCGAGGCAACAGAAAGUUGGUCACCCUGAACUCGGUAGCACCAAUAUGUAUUCGGUUGCACCGAUUUGGUGGGAGUGGUUAGGGUUUUUGUCUGAGGUCAAACUCGGUGGGUCGGAAAUAUGAAAUUUGGAGACACCAAAUUUGAGUAUGUGGGAUUGGACAAAAUGGUUAUGUGGGAACAAUGACUCGGUAUUUUGGUGGCUAACUUUGAGCACUUGAGCAACCAGUUCAUUUUACUACCUCACCCCCUUUUAAUAGUAUUGACUUUCCUAUGGACUCAAAAGUGAUUUCUCACAAAUAUAAAAUGAAGAGUCUUCUAGCUUGAAGCUUGAGCCAAUCUUAUUCCUUUCUUGCAUCAAGGGGCAUCUCCAGAUAAGCUUUAGUCAAAGCUCUCCGUGGACUAUUCCUGAAAUAUCUACAUAAAAGUGUUAGUCCAAGAGACAACGUAUGUUGUCAUGAAUUAUCAGAACCACCAAGGGAGCAUAUUGUGCUUUCACCGGGCCUUCGUGUACCUUCACGGGAGCCACCGCGCCAAAUGGGCUCCCUCCCUUUCUCUCUAGCCACCCUUAGCAUUGUUUUCGUUGUGUUCUAGAUCCGGCCGCCGUGUGCCACCGUCGCUGUCCGAGCUCUUGCGCACGGACGCGCUCGCCCCCGCCCGCUGCUGCGAUACCUGUUGUGCUGCCAGCUCGCUGCCGGUCGCACCCUUCCUUCCCGAGUGCACGCCCAUGCGGUGCAGUUGCUCCGCCGCCGUUGGACGUGUCGACCGCACAUCGCUGCCUCCGCUGCUCUGCAGCUGUUGCCGCUAUCAAACAUGCUCACGCGUGCCCUACACCCACGCGCCGCCGCACGUGACCGCACUGACCCCGCGCUCACUCGCCAGCUGUCACAGAGCACCGCCGCCACCAUUGAUGAUGUUGCUCGACUCCGGCCAUCUCUAGGGCCGCUACCACCACCCACCUAUACGACUCUUCCCGAGGGUCACGUCGGGUCAAACUUCACCUCAAGUGACAGCUCGAGUUGGCCGGACGGGUAACUCCAUUGCCCUUGUUUAGCACUGGCGGCUCGCCGCUGUUAAGCUGCUCACAUGGCUUCAUUAGCCAUUAACCUUUCCUGCUAACCCUCACUGACAGAUGGGUCCAAAGCCAUUAAGUUAGUCUAAACAAAACCAGUAUUAAUUAAAAUACCCAUGUGUGCCUAUGAUAUGUGGGUCCCACUAGACCAGCUGACCAGUUAAUAGUUGAGUCAACAGUUGACUGGGCCCACUAGUCAGCCUGUGUGGCUAGGUCUGUUCCGGUAUAAAAAGUUAUGACACUGUUCGAAAUUUGAUUUAAUAAAUUAAUAAAAAAAUCAGAAUAUUAUGAAAAGUUUGAAAAAUCAUAUAACAUAAUUUAUAGCUCGGAUUGAAAAGUUUACUACAUAAAAGUUGAUCACAAAAACGAUAUGAACCCGAAUACUCUGCCCGUUCGUGUGUCACGCGUCCAUAGCAUAUCGAACGUGGAAAUUUCCCGUCGUUAUCGCCGGUCCGGUAGUAACCACACACCCGGGAAAUGUCGUCAGAUAUUUUCCCGAUCCGACCAUGACAUGUAGUACUGCAUUAGCUCAUGCCUAGCGCUGCAUAUAGUUAUGUCAUGCUUUGUGAUGCAUUUGAUUGUUGUGUUAUUUAUUGUGUUUCCCCUAUGUUGCUUCCUUUCCAGUAGAUCCCGAGACCAAUGAUGUGUUGGGGAACGUCGCAUGGGAAACAAAAAUUUUCCUACGCGCACGAAGACCUAUCAUGGUGAUGUCCAUCUACGAGAGGGGAUUUCCGAUCUACGUACCCUUGUAGAUCGCACAGCAGAAGCGUUAAGAAACGCGGUUGAUGUAGUGGAACAUCCUCACGUCCCUCGAUCCGCCCCGCGAACCGUCCCACGAACCGUCCCGCGAUCCAUCCCACGAUCCGCUCCGAUCUAGUGUCGAACGGACGGCACCUCCGCGUUCAGCACACGUACAGCUCGACGAUGAUCUCGGCCUUCUUGAUCCAGCAAGAGAGACAGAGAGGUAGAUGAGUUCUCCGGCAGCGUGACUGCGCUCUGGAGGUUGGUGGUGAUCUAAUCUCAGCAGGGCUCCGCCCGAGCUCCGCAGAAACGCGAUCUAGAGGUAAAACCGUGGAGGUAUGUGGUCGGGCUGCCGUCGCAAAAGUUGUCUCAAAUCAGCCCUAAAACCCCACUAUAUAUAGGAGGGAGGGAGGGGAGGAGGCAGCCUCAAAACCUAAAGAUUUGGCAGAAAUUGGAGGUGGAGGAGUCCUACUCCAAUCCUACCUGGAGUAGGAUUCCACCUUCCCACUUGGAAACUCUUUCCACCUUGUGUUUUUUCCUUCUCAAACCUUAUGGGCCUUAGUGGGAACUUAUUCCAGCCCACUAGGGGCUGGUUUAUCUCUUCCCAUAGCCCAUGAGACCCCUUGGGGCGUGACACCCCUCCUGAUGGUCCCCGGCACCCCUCCCGGCACUCCCAGUACACUACCGAUGAGCCCGAAACUUUUCCGGUAAUGCACGAAAACCUUCCGGUAACCAAAUGAGGUCAUCCUAUAUAUCAAUCUUCAUUUCCGAACCAUUCCGGAAACCCUCGUGACAUCCGUGAUCUCAUCCGGGACUCCGAACAACAUUCGGUAACCAACCAUAUAACUCAAAUACGCAUAAAACAACGUCGAACCUUAAGUGUGCACACCCUGCGGGUUCGAGAACUAUGUAGACAUGACCCGAGAGACUCCUCGGUCAAUAUCCAACAGCGGGACCUGGAUGCCCAUAUUGGAUCCUACAUAUUCUACGAAGAUCUUAUCGUUUGAACCUCAGUGCCAAGGAUUCAUAUAAUCCCGUAUGUCAUUCCCUUUGUCCUUCGGUAUGUUACUUGCCCGAGAUUCGAUCGUCAGUAUCCGCAUACCUAUUUCAAUCUCGUUUACCGACAAGUCUCUUUACUCGUUCCGUAAUACAAGAUCCCGCAACUUACACUAAGUCACAUUGCUUGCAAGGCUUGUGUGUGAUGUUGUAUUACCGAGUGGGCCCCGAGAUACCUCUCCGUCAUACGGAGUGACAAAUCCGAGUCUUGAUCCAUACUAACUCAAUGAACACCUUCGGAGAUAUCUGUAGAGCAUCUUUAUAGUCACCCAGUUACGUUGUGACGUUUGAUACACACAAAGCAUUCCUCCGGUGUCAGUGAGUUAUAUGAUCUCAUGGUCAUAGGAACAAAUACUUGACACGCAGAAAACAGUGGCAACAAAAUGACACGAUCAACAUGCUACGUCUAUUAGUUUGGGUCUAGUCCAUCACAUGAUUCUCCUAAUGAUGUGAUCCCGUUAUCAAGUAACAACACUUGCCUAUGGCCAGGAAACCUUGACCAUCUUUGAUCAACGAGCUAGUCAACUAGAGGCUUACUAGGGACAAUGUUUUGUCUAUGUAUCCACACAAGUAUUGUGUUUCCAAUCAAUACAAUUAUAGCAUGGAUAAUAAACGAUUAUCAUGAACAAAGAAAUAUAAUAAUAACUAAUUAUUAUUGCCUCUAGGGCAUAUUUCCAACAGUCUCCCACUUGCACUAGAGUCAAUAAUCUAGUUCACAUCACCAUGUGAUUUCAACGAAUCCAACACCCAUAUAGUUCUGGGGUCUGAUCACGUCUUGCUAUUGAGAGAGGUUUUAGUCAACGGUUCUGAAACUUUUAGAUCCGUGCGUUCUUUACAAAUCUUUAUGUCAUCUUAUAGAUGCUGCUACUACGUGCUAUUCGAAAAUGCUCCAAAUAUCUACUCUACUAUACGAAUCCGUUUUACUACUCAUAGUUAUUCGGAUUAGGGUCAAAGCUUGCAUCGACGUAACCCUUUACGACGAACUCUUUAACCACCUCCAUAAUCGAGAAAUAUACCUUAGUCCAUUAGUUACUAAGGAUAAAUUUUGACCGCUGCUAGUGAUUCAUUCAUGGAUCACUCUCUGUACCUCUCAACAGACUUGUUGCAAGGCACACAUCAGGUGCGGUACUCAGCAUGGCAUACUUUAGAGUCUACGGCUAAGGCAUAGAAGACGACCUUCGUCUAUUCUCUUUAUUCUGCCGUGGUCAGGGUUUUGAGUCUUACUCAAAUUCACACCUUACAACGCAACCAAGAACUCCUUCUUUGCUGAUCUAUUUUGAACUCCUUUAAAACUUGUCAAGGCAUGCAUCUUGUUGAAACUUCCAUUAAGCGCUUUCGAUCUAUCUCCAUAGAUCUUUGAUGCUCAACGUUCAAGUAACUCUAUCCAGGUAUUCCUUUGAAAACUCCUUUCAAACAACCUUGUAUGCUUUACAGAAAUUCUACAUUACUUCUGAUCCACAAUAUGUCAACCACAUAUACUUAUCAGAAAUUCUAUAGUGCUCCCACUCACUUCUUUGGAAAUACAAGUUUCUCAUAAACCUUGUACAAACCCAAAAUCCUUGAUCAUCUCAUCAAAGUGUAUAUUCCAACUCCGAGAUGCUUGCACCAGUCCAUUUAAGGAUCGCUGGAGCUUGCAUACUUGCUAGUAUCUUUAGGAUCGACAAAACCUCAUGGUUGUAUCUCAUACAAUGUUUCCUCAAGGAAACCGUCGAGGAAACAAUGUUUUGACAUCCUACAUGCAAUAUUUCAUAAAUAAUGCAGCAACUACUAACAUAAUUCUAACAGACUUUUAGCAUCGCUACGAGUGAUAAAGUCUCAUCAUAGUCAACUGUUUGAUCUUGUCGGAAACAUCUUUGCGACAAGUCGAGCUUUUCUUAAUAAUGACUUAUCACUAUCAUCGUCUGUCUUCCUUUUAAAGAUCCAUCUUUACUCAAUAGUCCUAUGACCAUCAAGUAGUUCUUCCAAAGUCUACACUUUGUUUUCAUACAUGGAUCCUCUCUCGGAUUUCAUGGCUUCCAGCCAUUUGUCGGAAUCUGGGCCCACCAUUGCUUUCUCCAUAACUCGUAGGUUCACUGUUUCUCAACAACAUGACCUCCAAGACAGGGUUACCGUACCACUCUGUAGUAGUACACGACCUUGUCAACCUACGAGGCUUGUAGUAACUUGAUCCGAUGCUUGAUGAUCACCAUCAUCAGCUUUCACUUCAAUUGGUGUAGGCGCCACAGGAACAACUUCCUGCGCCCUGCUACACACUGGUCGAAGUGAUGGUUCAAUAACCUCAUCAAGUUCUACCACCUUCCCACUCAAUUCUUUCGAGAGAAACCUUUCCUCGAGAAAGGAUCCGUUUCUAGAAAAAAACACUUUGCUUUCAGAUCUGAGAUAGGAGAUGUACCCAACAGUUUUGGAUAUCCUAUGAAGAUGCAUUUAUCCGCUUUGGGUUCAAGCUUAUCAGACUGAAACUUUUUCACAUAAGUGUCGAAACCCCAAACCUUCAAGAAACGACAGUUUAGAUUUCUCUAAACCUCAGUCUAUACUGUGUCAUCUCAACGGAAAUACGUGGUGCCUUAUUUAAAGUGAAUGUGGUUGUCUCUAAUGCUUAACCCAUAAAUGAUAGUGGUAAUUCGAUAAGAGACAUCAUCGCAUGCACCAUACCAAAUAGUGUGUGGCUAUGACGUUCAGACACAUCAUCACACUAUGAUGUCCUAGGUGGCAUGAACCGCGGAACAAUUUCCACAUUGUCUUGACUGUGUACCAAAACUCGUUACUCAGAUAUUCAUUUCUAUGAUCAUAUCGUAGACAGUUUAUCCUCUUGUUACGACGAACUUCACUCCAAAACAAAAUUGAACUUUUCAAUAUUUCAGACUUGUGAUUCAUUAAGCAAAUACUCUUAGUAUCUACUCAAAUCGUCAUUGAAGUAAGAACAUAAUGAUAUCCACUGCGUGCCUCAGCACCCAUUGGACUGCAUACAUCAAAAUGUAUCACUUCCAACAAGUUACUAUCUUAUUUCAUCUUAAUGAAAACAAGGCCUUGCUCAUGUGGUAUGAUUUGCAUGUCACUAGUGAUUCAAAAUCAAGUGAGUAUAAAGAUCCAUCAGCAUGGAGCCUCUUCAUGCAAUUUAUACCAACAUGACUCAAGCGGCAGUGCCACAAGUAAGUGGUACUAUCAUCAUUACCUCGUAUCUUUUGGCACCAAUAUCAUGAACAUGUGUAACACUACGAUCGAGAUUCAAUAAACCAUUGAAGGUGAUUAUUCAAGAAAGUAGAGUAACCAUUAUUCUCUUUAAAUGAAUAAUCGUAUUGCAAUAAACACGAUCCAAUCAUGUUCAUGCUUAACGCAAGCACCAAAUAACAAUUAUUUAGGUUUAACACCAAUCCCGAUGGUAGAGGGAGCGUGCGACGUUUGAUCAUAUCAACCUUGGAAACACUUCCAACACGUAUCGUCACCUCGCCUUUAGCUAGUCUCCGUUUAUGCCGUAGCUUUCAUUUCGUGUUACUAAUCACUUAGCAACCGAACCGGUAUCCAAUACCCUCAUGCUACUAGGAGUACUAGUAAAGUACACAUCAACAUCAUGUAUAUCAAAUAUACUUCUUUCGACUUUUGCCAGCCUUCCUAUCUACCAAGUAUCUAGAGUUGCUCCGCCUCGGUGACUGUUCCCCUCAUUACAGAAGCACUUAGUCUCGGGUUUGGGUUUAAUCUUGGGUCUCUUCAAUAGUGCAGCAACUAUUUUUCCGUUUCACGAAGUAUCCCUUCUAGCCCUUGCCUUUCUUGAAACUUAGUGGCUUUACAAACCAUCAACUAUUGAUGCUCCUUCUUGAUUUCUACUUUCGCAGUGUCAAACAUCGCGAAUCGCUCAAGGAUCAUUGUAUCUAUCCUUGAUAUGUUAUAGUUCAUCACGAAGCUUUCACAGCUUGGUGGCAGUGACUUUGGAGAACCAUCACUAUCUCAUCUGGAAGAUUAACUCCCACUUGAUUCAAGUGAUUGUCGUACUGAGACAAUCUGAGCACACGCUCAACGAUUGAGAUUUUCUCCUUUACUUUGUGGACAAAGAAUCUUGUCGGAGGUCUCGUACCUCUCAACAAGGGCACGAGCAUGAAAUCACAAUUUCAUCUCUUUAGAACAUCACUUAUGUUCCGUGACGUUUCAAAACGUCUUCGAUGCCUUGCUUCUAAGCCAUUAAGUAUUUUGCACUGAACUAUCGUGUAGUCAUCAGAAACGUGUAUGUCGGAUGUUCAAAGCAUCCAUAGGCGAUGCUCGAGGUGCAGCACACCGAGUGGUGCAUUAAGGACAUAAGCCUUCUGCGCAGCAACGAGGACAAUCCCCUUCAAAGUUUGCUACUAUCAACUUUCAACUAAAUUUUCUCUAGGAACAUAUAAAAACAGUAGAGCUAUAGCGCAAGCUACAUCGUAAUUUGCAAAGACCAUUAGACUAUGUUCAUGACAAUUAGUUCAAUUAAUCAUAUUACUUAAGAACUCCCACUCAAAAAGUACAUCUCUCUAGUCAUUUGAGUGGUACAUGAUCCAAAUCCACUAUCUCAAGUCCGAUCAUCACGUGAGUCGAGAAUAGUUUCAGUGGUAAGCAUCUCUAUGCUAAUCAUAUCAACUAUACGAUUCAUGCUCGACCUUUCGGUCUCAUGUGUUCCGAGGCCAUGUCUGCACAUGCUAGGCUCGUCAAGCUUAACCCGAGUGUUCUACGUGUGCAACUGUUUUGCACCCGUUGUAUGUGAACGUUGAGUCUAUCACACCCGAUCAUCACGUGGUGUCUCGAAACGAAGAACUGUCGGAACGGUGCACAGUCGGGGAGAACACAAUUUCGUCUUGAAAUUUUAGUGAGAGAUUACCUCAUAAUGCUACCGUCGUUCUAAGCAAGGUAAGGUGCAAAAAGGAUUAAUAUCACAUGCAAUUCAUAAGUGACAUGAUAUGGCCAUCAUCAUGCGCUUCUUGAUCUCCAUCACCAAAGCACCGGCACGAUCUUCUUGUCACCGGCGUCACACCAUGAUCUCCAUCAUCAUGAUCUCCAUCAACGUGUCGCCAUCGGGGUUGUUGUGCUACUCAUGCUAUUACUACUAAAGCUACGUCCUAGCAAUAUAGUAAACGCAUCUGCAAGCACAAACGUUAGUUUAAAGACAACCCUAUGGCUUCUGCCGGUUGCCGUACCAUCGACGUGCAAGUCGAUAUUAACUAUUACAACAUGAUCAUCUCAUACAUCCAAUAUAUCACAUCACAUCGUUGGCCAUAUCACAUCACAAGCAUACCCUGCAAAAACAAGUUAGACGUCCUCUAAUUUUGUUGUUGCAUGUUUUACGUGGUGACCAUGGGUAUCUAGUAGGAUCGCAUCUUACUUACGUAAACACCACAACGGAGAUAUAUGAAUUGCUAUUUAACCUAAUCCAAGGACCUCCUCGGUCAAAUCCGAUUCAACUAAAGUUGGAGAAACUAACACUUGCCAGUCAUAUUUGAGCAACGGGGUUACUCGUAGCGAUGAAACCAGUCUCUCGUAAGCGUACGAGUAAUGUCGGUCCAACCCGCUUCAAUCCAACAAUACCGCGGAAUAAAGAAAAGACUAAGGAGGGCAGCAAAACACACAUCACCGCCACAAAAACUUUUGUGUUCUACUCAAGAAGACAUCUACGCAUGAACCUAGCUCUGAUACCACUGUUGGGGAACGUCGCAUGGGAAACAAAAAAUUUCCUACGCGCACGAAGACCUAUUAUGGUGAUGUCCAUCUAUGAGAGGGGAUUUCUGAUCUACGUACCUUUGUAGAUCGCACAGCAGAAGCGUUAAGAAACGUGGUUGAUGUAGUGGAACAUCCUCACGUCCCUCGAUCCGCCCCGCGAACCGUCCCACGAACCGUCCCGCGAUCCGUCCCACGAUUCGCUCCGAUCUAGUGCCGAACGGACGGCACCUCCGCGUUCAGCACACGUACAGAUCGACGAUGAUCUCGGCCUUCUUGAUCCAGCAAGAGAGACGGAGAGGUAGAUGAGUUCUCCGGCAGCGUGACGGCGCUCCGGAGGUUGGUGGUGAUCUAAUCUCAGCAGGGCUCCGCCCGAGCUCCGCAGAAACGCGAUCUAGAGGUAAAACCGUGGAGGUAUGUGGUCGGGCUGCCGUGGCAAAAGUUGUCUCAAAUCAGCCCUAAAUCCCCACUAUAUAUAGGAGGGAGGGAGGGGAGGAGGCAGCCUCAGAACCUAAAGGUUUGGCCGAAAUUGGAGGUGGAGGAGUCUUACUCCAAUCCUACUUGGAGUAGGAUUCCACCUUCCCACUUGGAAACUCUUUCCACCUUGUGUUUUUUCCUUCUCAAACCUUAUGGGCCUUAGUGGGAACUUAUUCUAGCCCACUAGGGGCUGGUUUAUCUCUUCCCAUAGCCCAUGAGACCCCUUGGGGCGUGACACCCCUCCUGAUGGUCCCCGGCACCCCUCCCGGCACUCCCAGUAAACUACCGAUGAGCCCGAAACUUUUUCGGUAAUGCACGAAAACCUUCCGGUAACCAAAUGAGGUCAUCCUAUAUAUCAAUCUUCGUUUCCGGACCAUUCCGGAAACCCUGUGACAUCCGUGAUCUCAUCCGGGACUCCGAACAACAUUCGGUAACCAACCAUAUAACUCAAAUACACAUAAAACAACGUCGAACCUUAAGUGUGCAGACCCUGCGGGUUCGAGAACUAUGUAGACAUGACCCGAGAGACUCCUCGGACAAUAUCCAAUAGCGGGACCUGGAUGCCCAUAUUGGAUCCUACAUAUUCUACGAAGAUCUUAUUGUUUGAACCUCAGUGCCAAGGAUUCAUAUAAUCCCGUAUGUCAUUCCCUUUGUCCUUCGGUAUGUUACUUGCCCGAGAUUCGAUCGUCAGUAUCCGCAUACCUAUUUCAAUCUCGUUUACCAACAAGUCUCUUUACUCGUUCCGUAAUACAAGAUCCCGCAACUUACACUAAGUCACAUUGCUUGCAAGGCUUGUGUGUGAUGUUGUAUUACCGAGUGGGCCCCGAGAUACCUCUCCGUCAUACGGAGUGACAAAUCCCAGUCUUGAUCCAUACUAACUCAAUGAACACCUUCGGAGAUACCUGUAGAGCAUCUUUAUAGUCACCCAGUUACGUUGCGACGUUUGAUACACACAAAGCAUUCCUCCGGUGUCAGUGAGUUAUAUUAUCACAUGGUCAUAGGAACAAAUACUUGACACGUAGAAAACAGUAGCAACAAAAUGACACGAUCAACAUGCUAGUCUAUUAGUUUGGGUCUAGUCCAUCACAGGAUUCUCCUAAUGAUGUGAUCCCAUUAUCAAGUAACAACACUUGCCUAUGGCCAGGAAACCUUGACCAUGUUUGAUCAAUGAGCUAGUCAACUAGAGGCUUACUAGGGACAGUGUUUUGUCUAUGUAUCCACACAAGUAUUGUGUUUCCAAUCAAUACAAUUAUAGCAUGGAUAAUAAACGAUUAUCAUGAACAAAGAAAUAUAAUAAUAACUAAUUAUUAUUGCCUCUAGGGCAUAUUUCCAACAGUCUCCCACUUGCACUAGAGUCAAUAAUCUAGUUUACAUCACCAUGUGAUUUCAACGAAUCCAACACCCAUAUAGUCUGGGUUCUGAUCACGUCUUGCUCGUGAGAGAGGUUUUAGUCAACGGUUCUUUGGUUUUAGUCAAUGUACUCACCGUUGCUUUGCUCCCCCUUUUCCCCUUGAUACGAUUGCUGCGACCAGAUGAUGGAGCCUAGGAGAUGGUGUAUCCCGCCGACGACGUCUACUACCCCAAAGGUGCCUACUACGUGGAGGCCGCUGACGACCAGGAGUAGUUUAGGAGGUUCCCAGGCAGGAGGCCUUGCCUCGUUCGAUCGAUGUAUCUUUUGUGCUAGCCUUCUCUAAGGCAUUUCCAUGUUGUAUGCUUGCACUCAAAUAUUUGUUGCUUUCGCUGAUGCGUGUGUUUCUUGAGCUUAUCUAUUCUAGCCCUCGAGGCCCCUGGCUUGUAAUAUGAAGCUUGUAUGUUUUUAAUUGUGUCUAGAGUUGUGUUGUGAUAUCUUCUCGUGAGUCCUUGAGCCUGGUCGUACGCAUUUGCGUGUAUGAUUAGUGUAUGAUCAAAUCGAGGGCGUCACAGUUGUGAAACUCGAUGGCAUCGGAAAACUCAACUCGGUCUCACCAACAGUGAAGGGAUAUACAUAUCAGCGGACCCGACGCUUGGAAAUUUCUUCAAACGUCGACUUGUCGUACCCCUUUGUUGUCGCGCCCUAGUCUCCGGACAUCAACUCGUUUCUCACAUGCGCCUUCGCCAGGAGUCCUCGCCACUGAUGGGAUCUUCACUGUUGUCGCCGUUGUAGCGGAUCCACGCCGAUUUAGGGUAUGGAUUUGAAUUCCCUUUGCGCUCCAAUCUGAUUCUUGCGCAUAGGGCUAUGCCAUUAUCUGUCCACAAUUGCUACAAGUUCAAUCGAGAAGAAAAACUCCUUAGAUUAGCGAGCAAAGAAAAAUUAAGGUUUAAGUGUCCGCCACAUUGAAUCUCGGUGUCACCGAGUUGCAAAAGUCGGUAGUAUCGAUUUUGGUUUUAGGGUUACUGAGAAUGUUCUCGGUGAAACCGAGUUCUCCCUUUCGGUGAAGCCGAAACGGGUGCCAAGUUUCUAUUAACGAGAACAUGUGUCUCAGUGGCUCCGAAAUUUCUGACUCGGUGGAACCGAAAUCCUAUUUUGAUGGAAGUUAAAAUAAUGUUUUGACAUUUCAAAUUUGGCAAAACUUCUGUAAUUUUGUGAUACUUAUGUUUUCAAGAUCUUCUAUAUCUUUUCAUAGGGUCUGCUUGUCUGCUGGUCUGCUGGUCUGCUAGUCUGCCAGUUUGCUUGGUCUUGCAAAAUGUCAGGUUUCGAUGAUAGUCAGAACAACUUUAGUGAGCCCCAUGUUGAAUCUGAUUCACGCACUAGUCCCGAGAGGACCCCUUCUGACCCAGGUACUCCCAGCUCUCAUAGCUUACCUAGGGAAUCCACGAGGUCCAAAAAGAAGCUCAGUUCUAAUGAAGAAGAAGUUGAUUUCAUCCCUGGUGAAUCUGCUCCCCAAAGACCAUAGUGAGGAAGACUGUGAGGAAAGAGUAUGCCAAACCUUCUGAGGCUAGGCUUACCAAGAAGCCAGGUGUGAAGAGAGACAGGAAGAGGAUUGUCCAUGUUAUUGGUACGCAAACUUUCAUGUAUGAAGAUCCAGCAGAAACUGUUGAAGCUACUGAUGAAGAGGAAGAAAUUCCAGAUGAAGUCCUGAUACGUCUCAAACGUAUCUAUAAUUUUUGAUGGUUUCACGAUGUUAUCUUGUCUUCUUUGUAUGUUUUAUGUACCUUUUUUAUAUAUUUUUGGGGACUAACUUAUUGAUUCAAAGCCAAGUGCCAGUUCCUGUUUUUCCGUGUUUUUUACUCUUUUCAGAUCUGAUUUUGGAACGGAGUCCAAACGGAAUAAAAUCCCUGAAAUGAUUUUUUCCCGAACGAAAGAAGACCAGGGAACCUUUAGGCCAGGCCAGGUGGGCCCCAGGGAGCCCACAAGGGCCCACUCCGCCACCAGGGGGAGGCGGCGGUGGGCAAGCUUGUGGCUUCCCUGGCCGCCUCCUGACCUAGGUAUUGCGCCUAUAUAUUCCCAAAUAUUCCGCAAAAAAUCAGGGGAGCCUCGAAAAUACUUUUCCGCCGCCACAAGCUUCCGUUUCCGCGAGAUCUCAUCUGGAGACCCUUCCCGGCGCCCUGCCGGAGGGGGCUUUGGAGGUGGAGGGCUUCUUCAUCAUCAUCAUCGCCCCUCCAAUGACUCGUGAGUAGUUCACUUCAGACCUACGGGUCCGUAGUUAGUAGCUAGAUGGCUUCUUCUCUCUCUUGGAUCUUCAAUAUAAAGUUCUCCAUGAUCUUCAUGGAGAUCUAUCCGAUGUAAUCUUCUUUGGCGGUGUGUUUGUCGAGAUCCGAUGAAUUGUGGACUUGUGAUCAGAUUAUCUAUGAUAUAUAUUUGAGACUUUGCUGAUUUCUUAUAUGCAUGAUUUGAUAUCCUUGUAAGUCUCUCCGAGUCUUGGGUUUUGUUUGGCCAACUAGAUCUAUGAUUCUUGCAAUGGGAGAAGUGCUUGGUUUUGGGUUCUGCCAUGUGGUGACCUUUCCUAGUGACAGUAGGGGCAGCAAGGCACACAUCAAGCAGUUGCCAUCAAGGGUAAAAAGAUGGGGUUUUUAUCAUUGGUUUGAGAUUAUCCCUCUACAUCAUGUCAUCUUGCUUAAGGCGUUACUCUGUCCUUAUGGACUUAAUACACUAAAUGCAUGUUGGAUAGCGGUCGACGUGUGGAGUAAUAGUAGUAGAUGCAGAAAGUAUCGGUCUACUUGUUUCGGACGUGAUGCCUAUAGAAAUAAUCAUUGCAUAGGUAUCGUCACAACUCGGCACAGUUCUAUCAAUUGCUCGGCAGUAAUUUGUUCACCCACCGCCUACUUGCUUUCACGAGAGAAGCCACUAGUAAACACUACGGCCCCCGGGUCUAUUCACAUCCAUCGUUUACAACUCUGCUUUUACUUUGCUUUGUUACUUUGUUACUUUCAGUUCUCACUUGGCAAACGAUCUAUAAGGGAUUGACAACCCCUUCAUAGCGUUGGGUGCAAGCUUUUGUGUUUGUGCAGGUUAGUGAGAUACUCUUCCUCUGAAUUAAUACCUUGGUUCUCAAAGUGAGGAAAAUACUUACCGUCGCUGUGCUACAUCACCCUUUCUGCUUCGAGGGAAUACCAACGUGCCGUAGUAGGAGUAUUUAUGGCACAAUUGCCAGGGGUACACAGCAAACAUCAAGUCCCUCCUCCCAAGAAGAAAAAGCUUAUGGCUGAUGCCAUGCCCAAGAAAUCUGCACCAAAGCCUUCAGCACCUAAGGCUAAUAAGCUUGUAGCUCCCAAGAGGACUACAAAGGAGAUUCCUACAGCUGAGAAAAAAAAAAGUCUCUACAUCGAGAGUUUUUGCUACUUAGGGAGAUGAGGAUGCCCCUGUGCUUAUGAAGCAGAGACCUCAUCUGCCAACCCAUGAUACAUCUCACCUUGUUGCUGCGGACAAGAAGAAGAGGAAAGAUGUAGGUUUGAGGAAGUGGAGAUAUGUUGACCCAUAUGCUGUGAGAAGGAGAAGUGUUGUUGAUCCCCGCUUUUACACAAGGGAACAACAAUAUUUCUAUGAGAGAGUAUUGCCCGACAAGAAUCCCGCACUCAGCGACAUGAGAUAUGUCGAUUGGGAAUACAUGAAGGCCAAUGAAGACUAUUUUCCUCAUGUGAGAGAAAAUUCCAGGAUGGUUAACAUUGAAGAUUUUGUUGGCAAAGAGAUGACUGCAUGGAAUGAUGAGAUGAUCUUGCAAUUCUAUUCCAUCGCUCAUUUCUAUUAGGAUGGAAUAAUUGUUUGGAUGACUGAGGGUCACCGAUAUGAGUCGACGGUUGAUGAAUGGGCCACUAUCAUUGGUGCUCCAAAAGCACGUGAAGAGGACUUGGAUGUGUAUUCACAGCUCAAAAUGAAUCGCAACUCCAUGGCCAAUAUGUACAAGGCUGUGCCGAGUGAUUAUUUGUCGUCUCCCAAACUUGGCUUUGUCUAUUUCUUGCAAGCUGGAAUACCCACUACAAACACUAUCAUGAGACACACACUGAUGCCCAAAUCAGGUGAUGACAAGAUGAUUAGAGGUUAUUCCAUCAACAUGCUGCACCAUCUAGACACCCACAUCCAUUCCGAGUGUAGAGGAUUGCAGCUGAUCAGAAGAGAUCUUGUGGAUAUGCUCCAUACAUUCAGAUGCUCAUCAAUGCCAAGAUUGGCAAGCAUGCAUAUCAACUUGACCGCCCCACCUUCCUCUUCAACCUGAUUUUGAAGAUAAUGAAGUUGUGAUGGAUGAUACCCAUCCCAGCUCAACUACUGCUAGAGAAGCAGCAAAGGCAGUAGCUACACAGACCGCAAGGAAUGCUCCAUCUCAACCCCCACAGCCCAGAACCAGAGAUGAGUAGAUGUCAUUCUUCGUCAGCAACAUCCAAGGGAUGGAGAAGAAAGUUUUUGAAAUCUUGCUGAACCAAAAGAGCCUAGAGAGGAUCGUGGAGACAAAAUUACAUGACCUGGAUGUCAAGGUGACAGAGUUGACCACCACUAUUGACCAACUUCAGCAUGAAGUUGAUUCAUUGAAGAUUUCACACUCCAGUGAUGAUGAUGAUGAUGAUUCAACUCUUCGUACUACCACUCAGUUCAUGACCCAGACUAGGUCAGCAGAUAGGCGAGUAUCGGAAAUUUGAAAGCAAGACCAUCAUUGUUAGCUCAAGCUUCAACUCCUGCUACAACACCUCUAGUGUCUACCCUCCAGCUCAAGCAACAUUUGUAGAAGCCUUCGUCGAUGCUCUCUUGUUCACUCCAUUUUCAGCUACGAGAGGAGAUCGUGCCCACAGAGACGCUUAGUUCUAGACCUUUGAACUUUUUGGUAACUUGUUGCCAAAGGGGGAGAAGUGUAUAGAUCAAAUAGGGCUUCGAGAGGGAGAGUUUUGCAUUUUAUUUGCUCUCGUUCGGUUUUUCAAAAGUUUUGGUCUUUUGUAUGACUUUAUCCGUUUGGAGGUGUGCUUGAUCAUCAACUAUGGUUGUUUGAUGCUACCAAGUUAUUACUUUUGAGCUAUUGAUACGUCUCAAACGUAUCUAUAAUUUUUGAUGGUUUCACGAUGUUAUCUUGUCUUCUUUGUAUGUUUUAUGUACCUUUUUAUAUCUUUUUGGGGACUAACUUAUUGAUUCAGUGCCAAGUGCCAGUUCCUGUUUUUACGUGUUUUUGACUCUUUUCAGAUCUGAUUUUGGAACGGAUUCCAAACGGAACAAAAACCCCGAAAUGAUAUUUUCCCGAACGGAAGAAGUCCAGGGAGCCUUUGGGCCAGGCCAGGUGGGCUCCAGGGAGCCCACAAGCCCCCACUCCGCCACCAGGGGGAGGUGGCGGUGGGCAGGCUUGUGGCCUCCCUAGCCGCCUCCUGACCUAGGUCUUGCGCCUAUAUAUUCCCAAAUAUUCCGCAAAAAACCAGGGGAGCCUCGAAAAUACUUUUCCGCCGCCGCAAGCUUCCGUUUCCGCGAGAUCUCAUCUAGAGACCCUUCCCGGCGCCCUGCCGGAGGGGACUUUGGAGGUGGAGGGCUUCUUCAUCAUCAUCAUCGCCCCUCCAAUGACUCGUGAGUAGUUCACUUCAGACCUACGGGUCCGUAGUUAGUAGCUAGAUGGCUUCUUCUCUCUCUUGGAUCUUCAAUACAAUGUUCUCCAUAAUCUUCAUGGAGAUCUAUCCGAUGUAAUCUUCUUUGGCGGUGUGUUUGUCGAGAUUCGAUGAAUUGUGGACUUGUGAUAAGAUUAUAUAUGAUAUAUAUUUGAGACUUUGCUGAUUUCUUAUAUGCAUGAUUUGAUAUCCUUGUAAGUCUCUCCGAGUCUUGGGUUUUGUUUGGCCAACUAGAUCUAUGAUUCUUGCAAUGGGAGAAGUGCUUGGUUUUGGGUUCUGCCAUGUGGUGACCUUUCCCAGUGACAGUAGGGGCAGCAAGGCACACAUCAAGCAGUUGCCAUCAAGGGUAAAAAGAUGGGGUUUUUAUCAUUGGUUUGAUAUUAUCCCUCUACAUCAUGUCAUCUUGCUUAAGGCGUUACUCUGUUCUUAUGGACUUAAUACAUUAGAUGCAUGCUGGAUAGCGGUCGACGUGUGGAGUAAUACUAGUAGAUGCAGACAGUAUCGGUCUACUUGUUUCGGACAUGAUGCCUAUAGAAAUAAUCAUUGCAUAGAUAUCGUCACGACCCUGCACAGUUCUAUCAAUUGCUCGACAGUAAUUUGUUCACCCACCGUCUGCUUGCUUUCACGAGAGAAGCCACUAGUAAACACUACGGCCCCCGGGUCUAUUCACAUCCAUCGUUUACAACUCCACUUUUACUUUGCUUUGUUACUUUGUUGCUUUCAGUUCUCACUUGGCAAACAAUCUAUAAGGGAUUGACAACCCCUUCAUAGCGUUGGGUGCAAGCUUUUGUGUUUGUGCAGGAUCUUGAGAUACUCUUCCGCCGGAUUGAUACCUUGGUUCUCAAACCGAGGGAAAUACUUACCGUCGCUGUGCUACAUCACCCUUUCCGCUUCGAGGGAACACCGGCGCAAAGCUCCAUGGCCACGGGGGAAAUCAUUUGCAUACUUGCCUAGGAAGUCCCUUAAGGCGUAGCCGCAACAGAAAGAUCAAGCCAAGUAUUCUCCCGUCGACGCGUCUAUCUCUGGCGCCGUUGGAAGGUCUUUUGUGCAGUAGCAGAAGUAUUUCUGGCACUAUUGCCAGGGAUACACAUCAAACAUUAGAAGUAUUUCUGGCGUCGUUUCCGAGGAGGAGAAAUCAAGAUCUAUCCAAGUAGGUCUCACAAACUCUUUUCUUGCAUUUACUUUUGUUGCGAGUUGCCUCUGGUUUUCCUCUCCCCCACUUCACAUUUGUCGUUUUCAUUCGCCGUUUUCUCUUGUCGUUUUCCUUUGCCGGUUUCUUGCUUGCUUGUGUGCUUGUUUGUUUGUUGAAGACAUCAUGUCUGAAAACACCAAACUUUGCCACUUCUCGAGCACUAACAAUAAUGAUUUUAUUAGUAUUCCGAUUGCUCCCGCCACCAGUGCGGAAUCGUAUGAAAUCAACGUAGCUUUGCUGAAUCUUGUUAUGAAAGAGCAAUUCUCUGGCCUUCCUAGUGAAGAUGUCGCAUCCCAUCUCAAUACCUUCAUUGAGCUUUGUGAUAUGCAAAAGAAAAGAGAUGUGGAUAAUGACGUGAUUAAGUUGAAACCUUUUCCUUUCUCGUUGUGAGAUUGCGCAAAAACUUGGUUUUCUUCUUUGCCUAAAAAUAGUAUCGAUUCUUGGGAUAGGUGCAAAGAUGCUUACAUAUCCAAGUAUUUUCCGCCGGCUAAGAUCAUCUUCUUACGUAAAGAUAUCAUGAAUUUCAAGCAACUUGAUCAUGAACACGUUGCACAAUCUUGGGAGAGGAUGAAGCUUAUGAUUAGAAAUUGUCCCGCUCAUGGCUUGAGUUUGUGGAUGAUUAUACAAAUCUUUUACGCUGGCUUGAAUUUCGCUUCUCGCAAUAUCUUGGACUCCGCCUCAGGUGGAACGUUCAUGGAAAUCACGUUAGGAGACGCUACAAAACUCCUAGACAAUAUCAUGACCAACUACUCUCAGUGGCACACUAAACGGCCGCCUGCUAGCAAAAAGGCGCACGCUAUAGAAGAGAUUAACUCGCUUAGUGCUAAGAUGGACGAGUUGAUGAAUUUGGUUGCUAGUAGAAACGCUAACAUAGACCCUAAUGACAUGCCAUUAUCUUCUUUGAUUGAGAGUAGCAACGCUAGUUUGGACGUCAAUUUUGUUGGUAGGAACAAUUUUGGCAACAACAAUGCUUUUAGAGGAAACUAUGGUCCUAGGCCUUUUCCUAGUAACUCCUCUAACAAUUAUGGCAAUUCCUACGGCAACACUUAUGGAAAUCAUAACAAAUUACCCUCUGAUGUAGAGAGUAAUGUCAAAGAGUUCAUCAACUCUCAAAAGAUUUUCAAUGCGUCCAUAGAGGAAAAACUACUCAAAAUAGACGAUUUGGCUAAGAGCGUUGAUAGGAUGUCUUGUGGUAUUGAUGCUUUGAAAGUUAGAUGCGCUCCUUCCAAGAUCAACUUGGAUUAAACUUUGAAAUCUAUGUGUAUCUCCAUGAAUGAGAGCAAAGAAAGAACCUCCCAAAAUCGCGCUAGACAUGAAUGGUUUAAACCUACUUAUGGAGGGGCUGGAUAUGGAUCCACUUUUGUUGAAAAACGCCCCAAUGAUUCGGAGUCCACCCAUCUUGAUGAUAAAGGUGUGGAGAGUGGAGUAGAAGAAGUCAAAAUUUUGGGUAGUAAUGAAACUCCCACUUUGGAUUUCAAGGAAUUAAAUUAUGAUAAUUGCUUCUUGUUUCAAUGCGUUUCUUUGAUGCAAUCCAUUGCAAACUCUCCACAUGCUUAUAGCCAAAGCAAAGCCUUUACCGCGCAUAUCGUAGAUGCUAUGAUGAAAUCUCUUGAAGAGAAGCUUGAACUAGAAGUCUCGAUACCUAGAAAACUUCAUGAUGAGUGGGAGCCUACUAUCAAAAUCAAGAUCAGAAACUAUGAGUGCAAUGCUUUGUGUGAUUUGGGGGCUAGUGUUUCCGCGAUUCCAAAGACUUUAUGUGAUAUUCUUGGUUUUCAUGAGAUUGAAGAGUGUUCUCUUAAUUUGCAUCUUGUGGAUUCUACCGUCAAGAAGCCCAUGGGGAGGAUCGAUGAUGUUCUUAUUGUUGCAAAUAAGAACUAUGUACCCGUGGAUUUCAUUGUACUUGACAUAGAUUGCAAUCCUUCAUGUCCCAUUAUUCUUGGUAGACCUUUCCUAAGGACUAUUGGUGCUAUCAUCGAUAUGAAGGAAGGGAAUAUUAGAUUUCAAUUUCCCUUAAAGAAGGGCAUGGAGCACUUUCCUAGAAAGAAAAUAAGAUUUCCUUAUGAAUCUAUGAUGAGGGCUACCUAUGGUUUGAGCACCAAAGAUGACUAUACGUGAUUCCAUCACUUUCGCCUAGCUAAGGGCGUUAAACAAAAGCGCUUGUUGGGAGGCAACCCAACGUAUCUAUCCUUUUUGUUUCUGUUUUGUGUUUUCCACACUUUCAUACUUCUGUUAUGAUUGUGUUUUUUGUGUUUCUUUUUGCGUUUGUGCCAAGCAAAACCGUUAUGAUUAGUCUUGAGGAUGAUCGUUUGGUCAUGCUGGGAAAGACAGAAACUUUCUGCUCACGAAAAGAAUUUUCAUUUGUUUUCUGUAAGAGAUUUUGAGUUGAUUCUUUCUGCUGCUGAUUUUAUGCAAAUUAUUCAGAUUGUCGGAAGUUUUCACAAUUUUUGAAGUACCAGAGGUAUACGAAACAUACAGAUUGCUACAGACUGGUCUGGUGUUAACAGAUUCUAUUUUUGUUGUGUUGGUUGCUUAUUUUGAUGAAACUAUGGAUAGUAUCGGGGGGUAUUAGCCAUGGAAGAUUGAAAGUGCAGUAAACCAACAUCAGCACAAGUAGAAUUUAAGUUUGCUACAGUACCUAAGGAAGUGGUGGUUUGCUUUCUUGUACUAAUGUUAUCACGAGUUUCUGGUUAAGUUUCGUGUUGUGAAGUUUUCAAGUUUUGGGUGAAGUUCUUAUGGACAAAAAGAUAAAGAGUGGCAAGAGCUCAAGCUUGGGGAUUCCCAAGGCACCCCAAGAGAUUCAAGGAUGCCCUAAAAGCCUAAGCUUGGGGAUGCCCCGGGAAGGCAUCCCCUCUCUCGUCUUCAAUCCAUCGGUAACGUUACUUGGGGCUAUAUAUUUAUUCACCACAUGUUAUGUGUUUUUGCUUGGAGCGUCUUGUAUUGUAGGAGUCUUUUAAUUUUGUUGUGUCACAAUCAUCCUUGCUGCACACCUAGAGAGAGAGACAUGCACACACCGUGAUUUUGUCGAGCUUCACUUAUAUCUUUUGGUAGACAAUUCAGCUCACAUGUGCUUCACUUAUAUCUUUUGAGCUAGAUACUUUUGCUCUAUGUGCUUCACUUAUAUCUUUUAGAGCGCAGGGUGCGUGGCUUGGUAGUUGAUCUAUGCUUUGAAAGUAGUCUCAAAAAGGGGUAGUUAUCCAAAGGGAUACGAAAACUUCCUCCUUCAUGUGCAUUGAAUAGUUAGAGAAGUUUGAUUCAUCUCAAUUAGUUUUGAGUUGUGGUUAUGGUAAUAUUGAAGUUAUGCUAGUAAGGUGUUGUGGAUCUAGAAAUACUUGUGUUGAAGUUAGUGAUUCCCGUAGCAUGCACGUAUGGUGAAACGCUAUGUGAUGAAAUCCGAGCAUGAUUAGUCGAUUGAUUGUCAUCCUUUGCGUGGCGGUCGGGAUCACGCGAUGGUUUAUACCUACCAACCCUUCCCCUAGGAGUAUCCGUUGAAUGCUUUGUUUCGAUUACUAAUAAAAUUUUUGCAACAAGUAUAUGAGUUCUUCAUGACUAAUUUUGAGUCCAUGGUUUAGAUGCAAUUUCACCUUCCACCAUCACUAUCUUCUUAGUGCCGUGCAACUUUCGCCGGUGCACAAAACCCACCAUUAGCCUCCCUCAAAACAGCCACCAUACCUACCUACUAUGGCUUUUUCAAAGUCAUUCCGAGAUAUAUUGCCGUGCAACUACCACCAUGAUAUGUGCCACCACAUCUACAUUGCCUUUGCAUGAUCGUAAGAUAGCUAGCAUGAUGUUUCCAUUGAUGUCUAUGCCAUGCUAGAUCAUUGCCACGGUACACUACCGAAGGCAUUCCAUAUAGAGUCAUAAUUGCUCUAAGUUUUGAGUUGAAAGUGUGAUGAUCAUCAUUAUUGGAGCAUUGUCCCAUGUGAGGAAAUAAAAUAGGCCAAAGAAGCCCAUAAAAAAGAGGCCAAAGAGCCCACCAAAAUAAUAAAAAAUGAGAGAAAAAGAGAGAAGGGACAAUGCUACCACUUUUUCCACACUUGUGCAUUUUGAGCACCAUGAUCUUCAUGAUUGAGAGUCUCUCGUUUUGUCACCACCAUAUAGCUAGUGGGAAAUUCUCAUUAUAUAACUUGGCUUGUAUAUUCCAAUGAUAGGCUUCCUCAAAAUUGCCUUAGGUCUUCGUGAGCAAGCAAGUUGGAUGCACACCCACUAGUUUCCUUCAAGAGCUUUCACAUACUUGUAGCUCUAGUGCAUCAUUUGUAUGGCAAUCCCUACUCAUUCACAUUGAUAUCUAUUGAUGAGCAUAUCCAUAGCUCAUUAAUAUGCCUAGUUAAUGUGACUAUCUUCUCCUUUUUGUCUUGCAAACCCCACCACAUUCCACACCAUCUAUAGUGUUAUAACCAUGUCUCACGCUCAUGUAUUGCGUGAGAGUUGAAAAUGUUUGAGAAAGUAAAGGUCUAAAACAAUUACUUGGCCAAUACCGGGGUUGUGCAUGAUUUAAAUUCGUUGUGCAAUGAUGAUAGAGCAUAGCUAGACUAUAUGGUUUUGUAGGUAUAACUUUCUUUUGGCCUUGUUAUUUUCAAAGUUCAUGAUUACUUUGCUAGUUUCCUUGAAUUAUUAUUGUUUCCACGUCAAUAGAAAACUAUUGUUCUGAAUCUAAUGGAUCUAAACAUUCACGUCACAUAAGAGGAAUUACAAAGGAGACCUAUGCUAGGUAGCAUGAAAGCAUCAAAAAUUCAUUCUUAUCACUUCCCUACUCGAGGACGAGCAUGAGUUAAGCUUGGGAAUGCUUGAUACGUCUCAAACGUAUCUGUAAUUUUUGAUGGUUUCACGUUGUUAUCUUGUCUUCUUUGUAUGUUUUAUGUACCUUUUUAUAUCUUUUUGGGGACUAACUUAUUGAUUCAGUGCCAAGUGCGAGUUCCUGUUUUUCCGUGUUUUUGACUCUUUUCAGAUCUGAUUUUGGAACGGAGUCCAAACGGAAGAAAAAACCCGAACGGAAGAAGUCCAGGGAGCCUUUGGGCCAGGCCAGGUGGGCUCCAGGGAGCUCACAAGCCCCCACUCUGCCACAAGGGGGAGGCGGCGGUGGGCAGGCUUGUGGUCUCCCUGGCCACCUCCUGACCUAGGUCUUGCGCCUAUAUAUUCCCAAAUAUUCCGCAAAAAACCAGGGGAGCCUCGAAAAUACUUUUCCGCCGCCGCAAGCUUCCGUUUCCGCGAGAUCUCAUCUGGAGACCCUUCCCGGCGCCCUGCCGGAGGGGACUUUGGAGGUGGAGGACUUCUUCAUCAUCAUCAUGACCCCUCGAAUGACUCUUGAGUAGUUCACUUCAGACCUACGGGUCCGUAGUUAGUAGCUAGAUGGCUUCUUCUCUCUCUUGGAUCUUCAAUACAAAGUUCUCCAUGAUCUUCAUGGAGAUCUAUCCGAUGUAAUCUUCUUUGGCGGUGUGUUUGUCGAGAUCCAAUGAAUUGUGGACUUGUGAUAAGAUUAUCUAUGAUAUAUGUUUGAGUCUUUGCUGAUUUCUUAUAUGCAUGAUUUGAUAUCCUUGUAAGUCUCUUCGAGUCUUGGGUUUUGUUUGGCCAACUAGGUCUAUGAUUCUUGCAAUGGGAGAAGUGCUUGGUUGUGGGUUCUGCCAUGUGGUGACCUUUCCCAGUGACAGUAAGGGAAGCAAGGCACACAUCAAGAAGUUGCCAUCAAGGGUAAAAAUAUGGGGGUUUUAUCAUUGGUUUGAGAUUAUCCCUCUACAUCAUGUCAUCUUGCUUAAGGUGUUACUCUGUUCUUAUGGACUUAAUACACUAGAUGCAUGUUGGAUAGCGGUUGACGUGUGGAGUAAUAGUAGUAGAUGCAGACAGUAUCGGUCUACUUGUUUCGGACGUGAUGCCUAUAGAAAUAAUCAUUGCAUAGAUAUUGUCAUGACUCUGCAAAGUUCUAUCAAUUGCUCGACAGUAGUUUGUUCACCCACCGUUUACUUGCUUUCACGAGAGAAACCACUAGUAAACACUACGGCCCCGGGGUCUAUUCACAUCCAUCGUUUACAACUCCGCUUUUACUUUGCUUUGUUACUUUGUUGCUUUCAGUUCUCACUUGGCAAACAAUCUAUAAGGGAUUGACAACCCCUUCAUAGCGUUGGGUGCAAGCUUUUGUGUUUGUGCAGGAUCUUGAGAUACUCUUCUGCCGGAUUGAUACCUUGGUUCUCAAACUGAGGGAAAUACUUACCGUCGCUGUGCUACAUCACCCUUUCCGCUUUGAGGGAACACCAACGCAAAGCUCCAAGGCCACGGGGGAAAUCCUUUGCAUACUUUCCUAGGAAGUCCCUUAAGGCGUAGCCGCAACAGAAAGAUCAAGCCAAGUAUUCUCCCGUCGACGGGCCUAUCUCUCGCGUCGUUGGAAGGUCUUUUGUGCAGUAGCAGAAGUAUUUCUGGCACUAUUGCCAGGGAUACACAGCAAACAUCACCUAUCUACAUGUUGAUCAUCCACAUCACGUUUGGUGCUAUGUGCAUUACUAUUCAUUCAUAUCAUUUAUGCACACCACCAAGUUGUAUGUGACAUGGAAGAGUAACUGAUGACCCACAAGUUUAGGGGAUCUAUCGUAGCCUUUUCGAUGAGUAGAGUGUCGAACCCACGAGGAGCAUAAGGUACUGACAAGUGAUCUUGAGCAAGGAAUAACUUCAAGUACUGAAAGGUACUUUUUAUGGGUUUUCUAGUAAUAGCAACAAGGAAAUAAAUGCAAGGAAAGUAAAUGGUUCCGAGGUGCAGCAAGUGGCCCAAUCAUUUUGAACACAAAGGAUAAGCCCAGGGACUAAACUUAUAAAGACUAAGGCGUUCCUGAGGACACAUGGGAGAUAUAGUCAAGUGCUUUCAAGAUAUUCCGUCUAGUACUAUGUUUUGUAUUGGUAAGUGUUAUGUGGGAGGAUCUUUACUAGUGCACCGUCUAGGCUAAGACAAGUACACUCUUAUGAUUAAUCCCUCUUGCAAGCAUCCGCAAAUACAAGAGAGAAAUUAAGGCAAAGCCUAACCAUAGCAAUAAGAUUUAGGAUCCAAUACUCCCUCAUGCAAAAGUAUGUGAACUGGGGUUCAGGUUUCUGUCACUCCGGCAACCCACCAUAAGCCUUCUUUAUACACAAUGCAUUCCCCUAGGUCCUUAAAAAGGCGAAGUGUUAUGUAGUCGACGUUCACAUAACACCACUAGAAGAAUAACUCCAUAAAUUAAAUAUAAUUCAACUCAUAUUACUUCAACAUCAUAUGACUACUAGCAUCUAGACUUCUCCCAUGUCCUCAAGAACUAACGGAACUACUCACAAUACAUAAAAGAGAUCAUGAUCAGAGGUGAUGAAAAUAUGAUUAACAAUAAUCCUCCAACAAAACUCAAUAGCAUUCACCACAAAGGAGUAAUCAACACCGAUAGAGUAGAUGGGAUGGAUAGUGCAAGGUACAACUCCGAUUGCAAUGGUGAAGUGAGACGGGAUGAAGAUGGAGAUGGUGCUGGUGAUGGUGAUGAUGGUGAUGAUGAUCUCGAUGAUGCCCGUGAUGAUGAUGACGAUGGUGAGGACGAUCUCCCCUUUCGGGAGGAGUUCUCCCCGAUGGAAUCUUCCCGCCGUAAAGGUCUUUUCUUCUCUAUAGGUUUUCGCCGCGGAGCGGCGGCGAAACUGCAAAAACUCUUCUAUACCCGUAACUUUUAGGUCAAGAGGAUCAUAUAGACCAAAGGAGAGUGCUGGAGGCGGGACCCACCACCCAGGCGGCCUCUGGGCGCGACCUAGGAGUGGCCCGCGCCAGCAGGUCGCCUCGGUGACCUGUGGCCCCCCUCCGGACCUUCUUCGGCCAGUCUUCGGGAUCUGUUCGGGAACUCCUUCCCUCAAAUUUUCAGCGCAGUUGGAGAUGUUCUAAUAUGGUAACUUUUCUUGCUAUUUUCUCCGCUGAAUCCUGCGUCUGUUGUUUCGGCAUCGGAAAGUUGUAAACUGUGUAAAAUAAGCCAAAACACUGUAAGUACAUCAUCAUAAUGUGAAAUAUAUCAAUGUAUAGAGACAAAUUAUGAUACAAAAUAGUGAUGCAUUUUGGACGUAUCAACUCCCCCAAGCUUAGACCUCGUUCGUACCCAAGCGAAUACUGAGCUCGGUAAACAUGUCCACAAGUUUAGAGAGUGAAGUGUCGAGAAAUAAGAAUACGGACAAGAAGCAUCAUAAUUUCUCUACUAAACUCGACCGUCCUCAACAGCAAUCUCAACUCAUAAGGCUCAUAUGAAAGAGUAACAUCAAUCACAAUCAAAAGUAGAGCUAAGAAAACUCAUCAAACCAUGGAAAACAUGUCCUUGGUCAAAGAACAACUAAUAACAUUUAACUUUUGUUCUUCCUCUUAUAUUUUGAUGAGAUCAAUUGAAGCUUUUUUGAAAGAACAUGUUAUUAGUCAAGAAGUGAAAAUGCUAACACAAAGGAAGAUUCUUGCUUAGCAAACGACUUACUCAUCUUAAUGGUGAUGUCAACAAAGUUGUGAUAUGGCAAUUCUCAAUGAAACAAUAUAAAUGCAUGCAUCUAUGUCAACAUAAAGUGUGUGCUCUCUUUUUAGGAUCGAAAGAAGUAGGUUUACUGACUCAACAUAAAAGUAAAAGAUUAGCCCUUCACAGAGGGAAGUAGGGAAAACUCAUGUGUUAGAGCUUUUAGGGAUUUUAAAAAUUAACAAGAUUGUAAAACAAGCUUUUGAGAGGUGCAUAAUUUGUUAACAAAUGCUAGCAGAUAGCCCAAUACUUCUCAUGCUGGACAAGUUUUGAGGAACGACUCCCAAAGUGGGGACAUCACAUCCCCUUAGUCUCCUUUGUUUACCACUACCAAAGUUUUCUGAUUUCUCAUCAACGAAGCGUGAAGAAGGUUUUUGUUUGUUUUUAUUAUCUUUUACAAGCUGGGUGCGCUCAUGCGAGUCCCUUCUGGUAUUAGGGGUUCGCAGAUUAAACAUGCAAACCCAGGAAAAAAGUUGUCCAGUAUGAGAAGAUCAUGAAUUAUCUACUACUUCCUCAUGAGCUAAAACAGAGGCACAAAACAGGAAGUAACAUUUGAAGGUUUAAAGAUAGCAGAUGAGUAAUAUACUUUAGGAGUUGCGGUGAAAUACCACAUAUAGGGAAGGUAUGGUGGACUCUUGGGAAGUUUGAGGUUUCAGGGUAUGGAUGCACAAGCAGUAUUCGCGCUUAGUGCAAGGGUUGGCUAGCAAAGGCUUUUGAGAGCAGACAAAUAAUGUUGACUUGGAUGCAAAACAAUAUAAAGUUUAACAUAAAGAAUUGGCAUAAAACAUCAAGUUGUCUUCCUUGUCAGCAUAACACUUCAAGCAUAAGAACAUACAAGUUUUGGCUAUGUCGCUACUAGAAGAAAACUCAUGCUUGUUGUUAUGACCAAUGCUAUGUUUGCCAAGAUUAAAUUAAGUUUUCAAAGCCAUACCUGAUAUGAAAGGUCAAUACUCCCAUAAGAAUCAACUUAUAAGGUUGAUUGCAUGAAGAGAAUACCAGGUGCAGCAAAGAAAUUAAUAAACUUCUCAUUAAUAUUCCAUCAUUGACAACUGCACACUCACGGAUACAAGACUCUCCACAAAGGAGUGAUAGACCUCAAUGCAAACACCUAUUUCAUAAGAUAACUUCCCUAGACAUGAUACGACACUAAACUUGACCAUAAAAGGUAAAGGAUAAAAAAUAACAAUGUCGGGCACUCCCCCAAGCUUGGAACAAGCUACGAGAAUGCCAUUACCCAUGAAGAUUUCACUCUUCAUCCUUGUUCUUGUUCUUCAGGUAAUCCUUAGCGAAAAGCAUCCAUGGCAAAGGUCCUUGCUGCCUCUUGAGCUUGCGUUGGUUUUUCCCUUGAAGAGGAAAGGGUGAUGCAGCACAGGAGCAGUAAGUAUUUCCCUCAGUUUGAGAACCAAGGUAUCAAUCCAGUAGGAGAAUCGAGCCAAGUUCCAGAGUACUUGCGCAAACACAAAUGAGCUUGCACCCAACGCUAUAAAGGGGUUGCCAAUCCCUUCAAGAUUGAUUGCAAAGUGAGAUCUGAAGGCGGAAAGUGCAAUGAAGGAAAAGUGUAUGGCUGAACAUAUGAUGUGAAGUAGACCCGGGGGCCAUAGUGUUCACUAGAGGCUUCUCUCAAAAUAGCAAAUAAUACGGUGGGUGACCAAAUUACUGUCAAGCAAUUGAUAGAACCACGCAAACUCAUGACGAUAUCUAAGGCAAUGAUCAUACAUAUAGGCAUCAAGUCCGAGACAAGUAGACCGAUACUUUCUGCAUCUACUACUAUUACUCCACACAUCGACCGCUAUCCAGCAUGCAUCUAGUGUAUUGAGUUCAUGACGAACAGAGUAACGCCUUAAGCAAGAUGACAUGAUGUAGAGGGAUAAACUCAAACCAAUGAUGAAAACCCCAUAUUUUUACCCUUGAUGGCAACAACACGAUGCGUGCCUCACUACCCCUUCUAUCACUGGGUGAGGUCACCGCACGGUAUGAUCCCAAAACCAAGCACAUCUCCCAUUGCAAGAAUUAUAGAUCAAGUUGGCCAAACAAAACCCACAACUCGAAGAGAAUUACAAGGAUAUGAAAUCAUGCAUAUAAGAGAUCAGAAGAAACUCAAAUAAGAUUCAUAGAUAAUCUGACCAUAAAUCCACAAUUCAUCGGAUCUCGACAAACACACCGCAAAAGAAGAUUACAUCGGAUAGAUCUCCAUGAAGAUCAUGGAGAACUUUGUAUUGAAGAUCCAAGAGAGAGAAGAAGCCAUCUAGCUACUAGCUAUGGACCCGAAGGUCUAUGGUGAACUACUCACGCAUCAUCGGAGAGGUCAUGGUGUUGCUGAAGAAGCCCUCCGUAUCCGAAUCCCCCCUCCGUCAGGGCACCAGAACGUGCCCCGGAUGGGAUCUUGCAGAGACAGAAGCUUGCGGUGGUGAAAAAGUAUUUUCGUGGAUCUCUCUCGUAGUUUUGGAAUUUUCAGGAAUUUAUAGGCGGAAGAGGUAGGGCAGACGAGCCACAGGGGCCCACAAGCCUGCUAGGCGCAGCACCCCCCCUGGUCGCGCCUAGGGGGCUUGUGGGGUCCCCUGGUGGCCCCUGCCUUGGUUCUCAAGUCUCAUGCGUAUCUUCUGUUCCGAAAUAAAAAAUAUUUUCGGAAGUUUUAUUCCGUUUGGACACCGCUUAAAAUCCUCCUGUGAAAAGGGUCAAAAACACGAAAAAACAGGAACUGGCACUUGGCACUGAGUUAAUAAGUUAGUCCCAAAAAAGAUAUAAAAGGCAUACAAAACAUCCAAAGUUUGACAAGAUAAUAGCAUGGAACCAUCAAAAAUUAUAGAUACGUUGGAGACGUGUCAAUCCUCCCUCCACACAGGAUUCUUCAGUCUCCAGGAUCCUGCUUUCGGCAGAUAAGCCCAUGCGCAAAAACUUAAGUUCAUACUCACAAUUCUGGUUUUGGAAGUCAUAGAUGUGCCCUUGAAGCUCGAACACUUUGGUUUCUAGUGCGGAUAUGAUUGAACACACUUCCUUCAUCUCCUCCUCAUGUUCCCUGUUCAACUCGGCGAUGAUUUCGCUGUUGGCCUCGACACCACUCUCGAUCAUCAACUUGUACUUGAAGACUUCUUGCUCCACUUCUUCCAUCCUAGCCCUGGUGCUCCCCUCCUUGAUAGAUCCCUUCAAAUCUUCUUUGUGGAGGACACUAUCCUCCACCCAAAGUGCUUGAGGGUGUAUCUUUACCUCUGCGAGGUAAGGGUUGAUGACAUUGACGAAGAACUUGUCCUUGGGGGAUUUUGGGGAAGACAUUGCACCUAGGUUUGCUGAAAGUUCUCCUGACACAGACAGGUCGAAAAGAAAACGCACGGAAUCGCAAGAUACAAAGCCGGGACAAUCCGGGAGAAUAUAUAGCAAAUAUUUCUGCAUCAAAAGAAGGUAACAAGCCAAAGUGGGGUUGGAGACGGACUCCGGGUGGUCCAGGCGGCCUCCUGGCUCGGCCAGGAGGUAGCCCGCGCCCACAAGUCACAUGAAGCACCUGGAGUUCCUCUCCGGCUCCACUUUGGCUCUGAAUUUUCCUAAUUUUGCAAAAAACACAUAAUUCAGAACUUUUAUUGAUGUUCGCAAAGUUUCCUUACCGUAUUUCAUACAUAUUCUUAUUAUUGUUCUGUCGGUGUCUGAUACAGUGUUGCAAUAUGUUCUUCAUGAGUGGCUACCUGUAGCACAUCCACCUCUACAUUGAUAGGGUCUCCAGCCAUGAAAUGCUUGAGUCUUUGCCCAUUCACAACAUAUGGUUUUGUGCCUUCAAAAUUAUUACUCUCGAUUGCACCGGAGCGGUAGACGUCUUCGAUAUGGUACGGUCCUUCCCACUUGGAUAGUAAUUUACCUGGAGAAAACCUAAAACAAGAUCUAUACAAUAAAACUUUAUCACCAACAUUAAAUUCACGUUUCAAAAUUCUCUUGUCAUGCCACUUCUUUACCUUUUAUUUGAAUAUUUUUGCGCUCUCGUAAGCUUCACUUAUCCACUCGUCUAGAGAAGUCAAGUUCAUGAGACGCUUUUCACCAGCAAGCUUUGGGUCAGCAUUAAGCUCUCUAACAGCCCAGAAAGCUUUGUGCUCUAACUCUAAAGGUAGAUAGCAUGCCUUGCCAUGGACAUCUUAUACGGAGACAUCCCCAUGGGAUUUUUGUAAGCAAUUCUAUACGCCCACAAGGCAUCUCCUAGCUUAUUAGACCAGUCCUUUCUAGAACUGUUCACUGUCUUUUGCAAGAUCAACUUGAUCUCUCUAUUUGUGAGCUCAACUUGCCCACUUGUUUGAGGGUGGUAAGGUGAAGCAAUUCUAUGAUUAACAUCAUAUUUGGCUAGAGCUUUUCUAAAAGCACCAUGUGUAAAAAUGUGAUCCUCCGUUGGCCAUGAGGUACCUAGGUACACCAAACAUAAGGAAGAUUACAUCCUUGAGCAUUUUCAAAGAUGUCUUGUGAUCAGCACUUUCAGUGGGGAUUGCUUCAACCCACUUGGUCACAUAAUCAACAUCCACUAAGAUGUGAGUGUAUUUGUGUGAAGGAAGGAAAGGACACAUAAAAUCAAAGCCCCAGCAAUGAAAAGGCUCAAUGACUAGAGAAUAAUUCAUAGGCAUCUCAUUCCUCCUACUAAUAUUACCAUCUCUUUGGCACUUAUCACAAGAUAAAACAUAAUUUCUAGCAUCUUUAAAGAGAGUAGGCCAAUAAAAACCUGAUUGGGGAACCUUGUGUGCGGUCCUCUCACCGGCAUGAUGUCUACCAUAAGGACUGCUAUGACAUUGUCUCAAGAUAUCCUUCUGCUCAUGCUCCGGUAUACAUCUCCUCACAAUUCCAUCCGCACCUUCUCUAAAAAUAUGUGGGUCAUCCCAAAAGUAAUACCUCAAGUCGUGGAAGAACUUCUUCCUCUGCUGGAAUGUUAAACCUGGAGGCAAAAACUUUGCAACAAUAAAGUUAGCAUAAUCUGCAUACCAUGGAUCGGAAUUAGAUUGUACUUUCAAAAUAGCUAACUGUUCAUCAGGAAAACUAUCAUUGACUGGAAUAGGAUCAUGUGGUAUGUCCUCCAUCCUGGAAAGGUUGUCUGGUAAAGGGUUGUGUGCUCCCUUCCUUUCAAUAAUCUGUAAAUCAAAUUCUUGAAGAAGAAGGACCCAUGUGAUAAGCCUUGGUUUGGCAUCCUUUUUUCCAUAAGAUACUUAAUAGCGGCAUGAUCAGUAUGAAUGAUGACUUUGGAAUCAACAAUGUAAGUCCUAAACUUAUCACAAGCAAACACUACCGCUAAAAACACUUUCUCAGUAGUAGCGAAAUUCUUUUGAGCACUAUCAAGGGUUUUCCUAGCAUAAUGUAUAACAUUCAAUUUCUUAUCAACCCUUUGUCCUAACACAGCUCCAACAUCAAAAUUACUAGCAUCACACAUGAUUUCAAAAGGCAAAUCCAAUAAGGUGGUUGGACUAUAGGGGCAGUUAUCAAGGCUUUCUUAAGAACUUCGAAGGCUUCCUUACAAUCUUCAUCAAACACAAAAGGAAUAUCCUUCUGGAGAAGAUUAGUGAGGGCUUUCGAAGUCUUAUAAAAGUCUUUAAUAAAUCUUCUAUAGAAACCAGCAUCACUAGGGAAACUACGAAUACCUCUGAUGUCCUUUGGAUAAGGCAUCCUCUCGAUUGCUUCGACUUUUGCCCUGUCCACCUCGUUUCUCUUUUUAGAAAUCUUGUGGGCAAGAACAAUUCCCUCAUUGACCAUGAAAUGGAACUUCUCCCAGUUGAGUACCAAGUUCGUCUCCUCUCAUCUCUACAAAACUUUAUUAAGGUUGUGGAGACAAUGGUCAAAAGAGGUUCCAUCGAUGGAGAAAUCGUCCGUCAAGACCUCCACAAUUUCCUCACAAAAAACCAUGAAAGAUAGCGGACAUACACCUUUGAAAAGUAGCAGGAGCAUUGCAUAAACCAAAAGGCAUACAUCUAUAAGCAUAAGUACCAAAGGGACAAGUAAAAGUGGUCUUCUCUUGAUCGGCAGUGUUAACAUGAAUUUGAGAGAAGCCAGAGUACCCAUCAAGAUAGCAAAAGUGAGUGUUUUUGGAUAACCUUUCAAGCAUUUGGUCGAUGAACGGCAGCGGGUAGUGGUCCUUCCUGGUUGCCUUGUUCAGCUUCCUAUAAUCAAUACAUAUUCUAUAUCCAAUAAUAAUUCUUUCAGGUAUUAGUUCUUUAUUAUCAUUAGGAACCACAGUCGUACCUCCUUUCUUGGGAAGACAAUGUACCGAACUUACCCACUUACUAUCAGCUAUAGGGUAGAUAAUACCUGUGGCUAGAAGCUUGAGGAUUUCGGUCCUCACAACAUCCUUCAUCUUCGGGUUCAACCGUCGUUGAUGAUCAACAAUCGGCUUAGCAUCAGGCUCAAGAUUGAUAGCAUGCUGACAAAUAGAUGGAUUGAUCCCCUUAAGAUCAUCAAGGGUAUAGCCAAUAGCACCUCGGUGUUUACGAAGGACUUCCAAUAAUGCUCUUCUUCAUAUCUUGAAAGGUUAGAAUUGAUAAUAACAGGAUAUACUUUCUUUUCAUCUAAAUAAGCAUACUUGAGCGUAUCGGGAAGAGGUUUAAUAUCAAACACCGGGUCUUCUUUUGGUUUCGAUAAAAUUCCCAAAGGCUCAACCGGAAGGUUGUGCUUCAGGAUAGCAGGUUGUCUCAAGAAUGUGUCAUCUAGCUCAUUCAUUUCCUGCAUAUGCAUAUCAUUCUCGUGAUCCUCCAUAAUUUGCUGCAAAGGAUCGUUAGGAGGAAUAACAAUAGAAGCAAUCUCUUCAAUAAUUUUAUCAUUACUAGGCGGAUCAGUACCACGAGUUUGCUUCGAGAAUUUAGAAAAGUUAAAUUCAUAUGGCUCACCAUUAAAUUCAACAAAUACUUUUCCUUUCCUGCAAUCUAUAAUAGCUCCACAAGUAUUGAGGAAAGGCCUACCAAAGAUAAUAGGGCAAGAACUAUCUUGCACCGAACCAAGUACUAGAAAGUCGGUAGGAUAUUUUACCUUUCCACAUAGAACUUCAACAUCUCACACAAUUCCAAUAGGAGAUAUAGUUUCUUUGUUUGCAAGAUGAAUAGUAACAUCAACUUCUUCAAUUUCACAUGGUAGAAUCUCAUUCAUGAUCCCUUGAUAAAUUGAAAAAGGAAUAGCACUAGUACUGGAUCCCAAAUCACAUAACCCAUAAUAAUUAUGAUCUCCUAUUUUAACAGAUACAACUGGAGUACCUAAAAUUGGGCCUUUAUUCUUGGUUGUAACAAGGUUAGUAGAAACAACACAAAAAUUUAUAUUGGAAUCCUCAAUAUUACUAGUAACAAGAUCCUUGACUAAUGCAACUUGAGGAUCGACCUUAAUCAGGUCCUCAUGCUCGUCAGUCAUUCUUUCACUUUUAUUCAAUAUGCAUGUGACAAAAGAGUGCUCCCUCAUACUUGUGGGAAAAGGGGGCUUUUCAUAUAAAACUGCACGCAAGACAGGGUCAACAACAUUGAUAUCAACAGUUAAAUCCUUAAAAGGUUUAUGUUGAUCCUCCUUCUUCUUAGAAGAGUCAAUAUGAGAGGCAAAGUCUUUGCAAAAAUCAAUUAAGAGCUGGGAAUCAAGACCAAUCUUAGCGCUAAAGGUAUUGAAGUGGUCAGUUUUCACAUAGCUCUCAAUGUAAUCAUGCCCACAAUUUAUAACGGGUACAAUACCUUUAUCAAUCUCCCAGUCUUCAGUGUUCUUCUGGAUCCUUUCAAUAAGAUCCCACCUAGUUUCAAUGCUUUUGUUGGAGAAUGCCCCACUAGAGGAGGCAUCAAGCAUCUCUUUAUCUUGACGAGAAAGCCUUGCAUAAAAAAUUGUAAGAAUAAUUUCAUUGGAGAGCUCAUGAUUGGGACAUUUGAGCAUUAAGGACUUCAAUCUCCCCCAAACUUGAGCGAUGCUUUCUCCGUCACGAGACCAAAAGUUAUAAAUAUAGUUACUGUCUCGAUGUAUUUCAUGAAGAGUAUAAAACUUUGCAUAAAAGAGAGGCAUAAUAUCUUGCCAAUUUAGUAAAUGAGAGUCAUUAAGAAGCCUAUACCAAUCCAAAGUGUUAUCUUUUAAUCAUAGAGAGAAUGGAUUUCUCAUAAAAAACUCCAUCCAUAUACCUGCAAGCUUGAAUAAGGAGCAUAGUUGUGAAAGAUAUAGCAAGUGUUCACCUGGAUGUCUAUCUCCUACAUAUCGAUUAGCCAAGACACAAUAAAUAAUACCAGUUGGUAUUUUAAAGGGCACAAUUUCAGUAGGUGGGGGAGGUUUCUCCACCACAAUAGUGUUGGGGCGGUUCCCCACAAGCAACAAACCAAGAGCUGAGUUGUCCAUAGGGACAAAAGGCGGAAACAGUAAAACAAAAACAGCAUGUACAGCGUAAAGGUUUCCUUGCCAAUUUCACUUACCAAUAGCGCCACACUCCCCGGCAACGGCGCCAGAAAAUGGUCUUGAUGACCCACAAGUGUAGGGGAUCUAUCGUAGCCUUUUUGAUAAGUAGAGUGUGGAACCCAACGAGGAGCAGAAGGUACCGACCAGUGAUCUUGAGCAAGGAAUAACUUCAAGUACUGAAAGGUAACUUUUUAUGCAUUUUCUAGUAAUAGCAACAAGGAAAUAAAUGCAAGGAAAUUAAAUGGUGCCGAGGUGCAGCAAGUGGCCCAAUCCUUUUGAACAGAAAGAAUAAGCCGAGGUACUAAACUUAUAAAGACUAAGGCGUUCGUGAGGACACACGGGAGGUAUAGUCAAGUGCUUUCGCCAUAUUCCGUCUAGUACUAUGUUUAGUAUUGAUAAGUGUUAUGUGGGUAGAUCUUAACUAGUGCACCGUCUAGGCUAAGACAAGUACACUCUUAUGAUUAAUCCCUCUUGCAAGCAUCCGCAAAUACAAGAGAGAAAUUAAGGCGAAGCCUAACCAUAGCAAUAAGCUUUAGGAUCCAAUACUCCCUCAUGCAAAAGUAUGUGAACUGGGGUUCAGGUUUCUGUCACUCCGGCAACCCACCAUAAGCAUUAUUUAUACACGAUGCAUUCCCCUAGGUCCUUAAAAAGUUGAAGUGUUAUGUAAUCAACGUUCACAUAACACCACUAGAAUAAUAACAUCAUAACUUAAAUAUCAAUCAACACAUAUUACUUCAACAUCAUAUGACUACUAUCAUCUAGACUUUUUCCAUGUUCUCAAGAACUAAUGGAACUACUCACAAGACACAAAAGAGAUCAUGAUCAGAGGUGAUGAAAAUAUGAUUAACAAUCUGGUCAUAACAAUAAUCCUCCAACAAAACUCAAUAGCAUUCACCACAAAGGAGUAAUCAACACCGGUAGAGUAGAGGGGAAGAAUAGUGUAAGGUACAACUCCGAUUGCAAUGGUGAAGUGAGAUGGGAUGAAGAUGGAGAUGGAGAUGGUGAUGGUGAUGAUGGUGAUGAUGAUCUCGAUGAUGCCCGUGACGAUGGUGAUGACGAUGAGGACGAUCUCCCCUUCCGAGAGGAGUUCUCAUCGGCGGAAUCUGCCCGCUGAAAAGGUCUUUUCUUCUUUGUAGAUUUCCGCCGCAGAGCGGCGGCGGAACUGCGAAAACUAUUCUAUCCCUGUAACUUUUAGGUAAAGAGGAUCAUAUAGGACAAAGGAGAGAGCUGGAGGCGGGACCCACCACCCAGGCGACCUCUGGGCGCGGCCUAGGGGUGGCCCCCCUCCGGCCCUUUUUCGGCAUGUCUUCGGGGUUUGUUAGGAAACUCCUUCCCUCAAAUUUUCAGCGCAGUUGGAGAUGUUCUGAUAUGGUAACUCUUCGUGCUAUUUUCUCCACGGAAUCCUACGUCUGCUGUUUCGGCACCGGAAAGUUGUAAACUGUGUAAAAUAAGCCAAAACACUAUAAGUACAUCAUCAUAAUGUGAAAUAUAUCAAUGUAUAGAGACAAAUUAUGAUACAAAAUAGUGAUGCAUUUUGGACGUAUCGGUAACACAUGAUCUGAAUCGAUUGUUCAUUUGCAUUCAAAUGCAAAUUCAAAAUAAUGCACAAAUUUAGGGGGAGCUCCUGCUUUUCACAAACUUCUCAAAGCGUCGAUGCUAUUCAUUGAUUAUACCUUUUGUCGAAGCUUUGAUCUAUAUGUUGUCAUCAAUUACCAAAAAGGGGGAGACUGAAAGCACAAUUGCCCCCUAAGGUGGUUUUGGUAAUUAAUCACAACAUAUGCAUCAUUGGAAUAAUGAGUUUAUUCAAGUAUAUUUCAGAAAAUUUCAAAGAUGCUUUGGAUAUAGGAUUCUGAGGAGAUGCCCCUUGAUGCAAGGAAGGAAUAGGAUUGGCUCAAGCUUUAAGGAAGAAGACUCUUCAUUUUACUUUGUGAGAAAUCACUCUGAGUCCAUAGGAAAGCAAAUACUAUUAAAAGGGAAUGAGGUAUUAUGAUGAAUUGGUUGCUCAAGUGCUUAGAGAUAGCCACGAAAAAUACUCGUCCAUUCUCCCACAAAAUAUCUCUGUCCAAACACAAACCAGCAAAAUCGAUGCCGCCAACAGUUUCCAUUCGGCCCUACCGAUUUUACACUUGACAAAACCUAUGCCAAACCUUACCAUUUCGGUGCAACCAACAUUCCUAUCGGUGCCACCGAGAUUCCGUGAUCAACUUUCUGUUGAGGAGAUUUCACAAAUCGGAAUUUCUGAGUUUGAAAUCUGUCUCACCGAGAUUUGGAAACCAGGUAGGUCAUCGUAUCGGUACCACCGAGAUCCCUAUAUUGGUCUCACCGAGAAUUCAAAAGUUUCCACAUUUAGUGCAACUCGGUACCAUCGAGAUUCAUGUCGGUGUCACAGAGUUGGGAAAUAAUGUUGUAACGGUUGGAUUUUGGGGUAUGCCCAUAUAUACCGCUCCACCUCCUCUCAUUCGUAAAGGAAGCACUCAAAACACACUUACACUUGCCAGAUCCAUUUUUCUAAGAGAGAGCCACCUACUCAUGUGUUGAGAUCAAGAGAUUCCAUUCCAACCAUUUGAACCUUGAUUUCUAGCCUCCCCAAGUUGUUUUCCACAAGAUCAAUCUCUCCUACCCCAUUCAAAUCUGAGAAAAAGUGAUUGAGUGUUGAGGAGACUAUCUUUAGAAGCACAAGAGCAAGGAGUUCAUUGUUCUACCACAUCUAUUACCUUUUGGAGGGUGGUACCUGCUACUGCAACAAAAGACCUUCCAACGGCGCCAGAAACAUGUGCUGACGGGAGACUGUUCUUGUCUUGAUACUCCUCAGCAACGCCACCAGGAAUCCUUCUGCUACGGCUACGCCUUUAGGGACUUCCUAGGAAAAUAUGCAAAGGAUUUCCCCCCUGGCCUUGGAGCCUUGCAUUGGUGUUCCCUCGAAGCAGAAAGGGUGAUGUAGCACAGCGGCGGUAAGUAUUUCCCUCAGUUUUGAGAACCAAGGUAUCGAUCCAAUGAAGGAAUAUCACAAGUACCUGAACAAACACAAAGAGCUUGCUCCCAAUGCUAUGAAGGGGUUGUCAAUCCCUUAUAUAUUGUUUGCCAAGUGAGAACUGAAAGCAACAAAGUAACAAAGCAAAGUAAAAGAGAAAGUGGAAACGAUAGGUGUGAAUAGACCCGGGGGCCAUAGUGUUCACUAGUGCCUUCUCUCAUGAAAGCAAGUAGACGGUGGGUGAACAAAUUACUGUUGAGCAAUUGAUAGAACCGCGCAAAGUCGUGACGUCAUCUAUGGCAAUGAUUAUAUCUAUAGGCAUCACGUCCAAAACAAGUAGACCAAUACUUUCUGCAUUUACUACUAUUACUCCACACAUCGACCGCUAUGCAGCAUGCAUCUAGUGUAUUAAGUCCAAAAGAACAGAGUACCGCCUUAAGCAAGAUGACAUGAUGUAGAUGGACAAUCUCAUAUCUAUGAUAAAAGCCCAACUUGUUACAAUUGAUGGCAACAACGCGACUGCGUGCCUUGCUGCCCCUACUGUCACUGGGAAAGGUCACCACACAGUAAGAACCCAAAACCAAGCACUUCUCCCAUUGCAAGAAUCAUAGAUCUAGUUGGCCAAACAAAACCCAAGACUCAGAGAAACUUACAAGGAUAUCAAAUCAUGCAUAUAAGAAAUCAGCAAAGACUCAAAUAUGUAUCAUAGAUAAUCUGAUAACAAAUCCACAAUUCAUCGGAUCUCGACAAACACACCGCCAAAGAGGAUUACAUCGGAUAGAUCUACAUGAAGAUCAUGGAGAACUUUGUAUUGAAGAUCGAAGAGAGAGAAGAAGUCAUCUAGCUACUACCUACGGACCCAUAGGUCUGAAGUGAACUACUCACGAGUCAUUGGAGGGGCGAUGAUGUUGAUGUAGAAGCCCUCCAACUCCAAAGUCCCCUCCGGCAGGGCGCCGGGAAGGGUCUCCAAAUGAGAUCUUGCGGAAACGGAAGCUUGCGGCGGCAGAAAAGUGUUUUCGUGGAUUCCCCUAUUUUUCUGUAUUUUAGGGAAUAUAUAGGCGAAGGAGCUAGGUGAGGGGGCGCCAGGGAGGCCACAAGCCUGGUAGCCGCCGCCCCCCUGUUGGCGGCUACACGGCUUGUGGGCCCCGUGUAGCUCUCCUGUCUUGGCCCUCAAGCCCCCUGAUCUUCUUCUGUUCGGGAAAAAUCUAUUCCGGGGAUUUUAUUCCGUUUGGACUCCGUUCCAAAAUCAGAUCUGAGAAGAGCCAACUACAGAGAAAAAACAGGAAGUGGCACUUGGCACUGAAUUAAUAAGUUAGUCCCAAAAAAGAUAUAAAGGGUACAUAAAACAUCCAAAGAUGACAAGAUAACAGCAUGAAACCAUCAAAAAUUAUAGAUACGUUUGAGACAUAUCAGUGCCUCCUAGAUUGAUUAGGUGUCGCUUGGGAGCCUCCUACUUCGUGUUGUGGAGUUGAACCAAGAUGAUUGCAAGGGCAAGGAGAUCGCCUAUUUCGUGAAGAUCUACCGUGAGUGAGGCUAGUUCUGUAUGAACGGAAGUCGUGGUGGAAUAGACAAGACCGCUUCUUCGUAGACCCCUUAUGGGUGGAGCCCUCCGUGGACUCUCGCAGUUGUUACCCUCCGUGGGUUGAAGCCUCCACUAACAUGGACGUACGAUAGCGCCACCUAUUGGAACCAUGCCAAAAAUCACCGUGUCAACCUUUGCGUUUGAUCUCCCUACCUUACCCUCUACUUUACUCAUGCAUGUUUUACUUUCCGCUACUAUACUCUUAGAUGUGCAUGUGUAGGGUGUACUUGACUAGUCGUAGUUGCUAAAAUUGGCCCACACUUAAAAUUGGGAAACAACUAAGUUUUUAUCUUGUCAAGUAGUCCAAUAACCCCUCUCUAGACAUACUUUCGAUCCUACACUGUCAUCCAAAAUGAAUGCAACAAAAAGCUUGGCAAGUUGUAGGAAAAACUGACGGAGGUUGCAUCAAAACACCAUCAUCGUCAUCGUAGGUCUCAAAGCAUAACUUCUCCCUAGGUGGUUUUGGUAAUUAAUAACAACAUAUAUUUCAUUGGACUAAUGAAUCUAUCAAGUAUAUUUCGUGAAAAGUUCAAUUAAUGGAUUGGCUAGGAUUGUGAGGAGAUUUCCUAGAUGCAAGGGACAUCAAUUGGCAAAAGCUUCAAGACUCUACAUUUUACUUUAUGUGAGAAAUCACACUUGAGUCCAUAGAAAAGUCAUACUAUUAAAAGGGGACGAGGUAUCUAAGGUGAUCUAGUUGUUCAAAGUGCUUAGAGAUUUGCCACAAAAACCUCAACAUUUCUCCCACAAAAUAGUUUGUCCGAAACUCUAAAGACAAAUUUGAUGCGACGAACUUUCUACAUAUCGGCCACACCGAGUUUUCCUUAGACAGAACCCAAUCCAAACCCUAGCAAAUCACUACAACCCAAUUUUGCUUCGGUACAGCCGAAAAUCAGUGACCAACCUUCUCGUAUCUAUUUGUUAAAUUUUGGAAUUCCUAUCUCCGUGUCUUUAUUGCGUUUAAACUUCCUAUCCGUACCCUUUACUUACACUUGCAUGUCUUUACUUUUCGCUGUUAUACUCAUAGACAUGCAUGUGUAGGAUGUGCUAGACUUGGUAAAAUUGCUAAAACUUGCCAACCUAUGAAAUUGGAAAAGGUUAAGUUUUAUAUGAUCAAAUAGUAUAAUCACCCCCUCCCCCAUAUAAACAUACUUUCGAUCCUACAAGGUGGCUGCUCGUUGCCAUUUUUGGUUGCAGCUAUUAUUCGCACGGGCGUGAAAGCAGCAAAUGUCGAUGUUGGUGGUAGCAAUAAUCGACAGUGAUGGCAGCAAAAAAACACAUAGUUGUGAGUCUUGGUAACCUCAUGAAAAAUGGAUGCGACAAAUCAACAAGGCAGUAGCAAAAAGUCAAAAUGGUUAUUAUAAAAAUGAUAUAAUGGUUUCAACAAAAAAAUGGCGUGAAAGCAAAAAAAUUGAUUAGUUCCUGAAAAUAUCAAAGACAGUUAUAGCAAAAAAAUACACUGGAUCGAGCAGAGGAACAAAGCAUGGUAGCAAAAAAAAUGGCUUGUUCCAAUAAAAAUCCAAAUAAUUGGUAGCAAAAUUUGAAGUUGGUUCCAGCUAAAAAACACCUGGUUGCAGCAAAAAACUGGCACAGAACUUGAACUCCGUCUACCCGUUAUUUCUUCUGAUUUGUUCAUGAUAAUUCAUGCGUGUAGCCUGGUGUAUGUGUAUGUGUCUCCAAAAUAACCAUUGUAUAAUGUAUGUAAUUGUUUUCAUUUUCUAACUUUUGUUCACAUAUUUUAAAAUGUCUGCUUUUAAAAAAGUAGAUAAAUUUUAAAAAUAAGUGUGUGGCUUGUAAUUUGUAUUCAACAUAAAUUGUUGGGAAUUUAUUAAUAAAUUUAAAAAUGAUUGUUCGUGUUUAUAAAUUUUCCAUACAUAAUUUAAAACUGGAACAUUAUUGACAUGACCAUGGUAUGAAUCCAUGCUAGGUUUGAAGAAUUUCUAACACCGUAUGCAGUUGAGACACGUCCGUCAUUUAUCAGUUUUUUUAUUGAAAAAACAGAAGAAAAUACGUAACUUGUUUAAAACCCAAACAAGUUUACAUGUUGUCUUUAAUUGGAAAAACUGAGGUCAUUUCUAAAAUGUAGAGAAACAAAGUGCUUUCAGACGAAGCCUUUUCGCCUACACGAACACCCUCCAUUCACACAUGGUUUAUUUGGUCGUCUUUCAAAUGACCCUAACUUUUGCAAGCACGUGUGUAUGCCCAUUUUAGGCACCCAUGUCAAGUUUGAACGAUUUUCAACACCGUAUGUAAGUUGCGACACAUUCAGUCAUUUACCGGCCCUUUUUCAUUGAGAAAACUCCAAAAAAAUGCAAAAAGUUGUUGAAAACCCAAAUAACUUGGCAUGAUGCCUUGAAUUGGUCAAUCAAGGCCAUGAAUUUUUGUUGGAGCCAGUUCAAGCAUAUCGAGAAACAAUGUGCUCCCACAUGGAACCUUCUAGCCUACUCAAACAUCUUCUGUUCAACAUGGUUUAUUUAUGAGCAUCCUUAAAAUGACUCUUAACUUUUGUAAGGAAAUGGACAUGCCCAUUGUAGGCAUCCAUGUUAGGUUUGAACGAUUUUCAACGUCAUAUGCAAAUUAUGACACGUUGGGAAAACUCCAGAAAACCAAAGAAAUAAAGAAAAAAAAAGGCCAAACAAAACCAAAAAUUGUAAAAUAAACUCAGAAGAUGCACAACAAAAAUAAUAAAGGAAAUCACUUUCCAGACAUGUGACGGGAUCAAUUAAUCAGACCGUUUGCAUGCCGCCAAUCCACAGGACAUGGAUUGCUUCGAAAAUCCAUGGAUGCCCGCAUAUCCUCUAUCUCGCCACAUCCACCUAUAACUCCUUCAUUUUUUUAUGAGGACUCAGAACUCCACUUUAAUUAUACUCACCCAUAAACCCUCCCUAAUUAUACUCACCCGCCCAAAAACCCAUUCAUGUUAGGUUAUAUGACGACUUUGAUACGGAAGCAUCCACGAAAAUGUAAGGAAGCAUUAUAUAUUAUGCAUGAAGCAACUAAAUGCCACAUAGAAUUUGCUAACAACCAUGGUAAUAUCUAUGACUGCAAAUUGUUUGCAACACGUCUGCAUUAUGUUUCUAUCACAACAAUAAAAAACCAUCGAUCAAGAAAAAGCUUAAUUAUUAGAGAACCCAUAUGAUGCUUCCAUGUGAGAAAUGUUGCAUGGAAAAUAGACACGGUUUAGAAGGUACAGUUAAACUUAUGUACAUUUUCUGCUUUAUUUCGUUCACAUGGAAAAUAUGCUUCCACCAAACUAACACGUCUGCAUUAUGUUUCCUGGUUUAUUUCGUUCGCAUGGAAAAUAUGCUUCCGUCAAACCAACUACUGCCUCCGUCACGGUUUAGAAGACACGGUUAAACUUACGUGCAUUUCCAUAAUAGACAAGGUUUAAGACGCAUUGCAUUUACUCCUAGCAGCUAAUUAAUACUCCAUUGUACUACUUCUAUAUGCAUGCGUAGUGUGAAUGCUAUUUUUAAUCUCAUCUCACAGCCAAUCAAUGACCACCUAGGUUUCAGAGAAUUUCCAAACACGGCUUCUAAACCGUGAGGCUGGUUGUAAUGGGUAGUAUCAUAUAGUAGUAUCAUGCAUAUGAUACUAGUCCACGAUACCACAUCCGUAAUGCAUAGUAUCAUAUGUUAGUAUCAUAUGAUAGUUCAUUUAUUGCCAUGCAAGACACAUAGUAGCACAUCAUUUAAUAUGAUACGCUAUCAUGAUAUGAUACUCAACCCUCUCUUUCUUCAUUUAAUCCAUGACACCUCAUCGAAAUUGCUUAGUUGGCAUGCAUGAUACUACCUAUGAUACUUCCUAUGGGCAGCCUCACGGAGGGAGUACUAGGUAUAGUGAUUUAUUAACUAGAAAACAAAACAUGAUUUAUGGGAUUUAUAUCCUAGAAACCAGGAAUUAGUUUCCUAAAUUUUUGGAAGCUUUUAUGGUUCUUUCGUACAUUCUAUAACCAUAAAAGCUACACCGCUCUUCGCUCUGGUUUACUAGGGAAUCGUUUCCCAUCCGCGCGCUGGCGGAACCGACGCGUCGGUCGCCCCCUGGCGCGCGCGGGCCCUUGCAACAUUUUUCCCAUCCGCGCGCUUCUCUGGUCAAUGGAUGCAACAUUUUUCGUCUAAAUAUGUUGCAACCUGCGUCAUUUUUGCUGCAAGCGUUUUUUUAAUAUAUUUUGUCUCAGUCAAAAAGCUGCAUAUACGUUUGGUUGCAACUCUAGUUCGUCGGAUUUUUUGUUACAAUCGAUGUUUUUUACUUUUUGCUACAACCGUGUUAAUUUUUGCUACAACCGGCAUCAUGUUUUGCUGCAACCGUUCACUAAAAAAUUGCAUACACGUCACAUAAAUUUUUAUUACAACCGGCGUUUGACUUUUGCUACCACGUACCAUUAGGUUCGUUUUUUUGCUACGAUCACAUAGAUAUUUUUUUGCUACAAAUUUUGUUUUUUGUUGCAACCGUUGAAAAAAUUGUUGCAUAGCAUCGAAAUUUUGCUGCAUAAGAAGGAAAAUGUUGCAUGCGGAUCCUACGGUGCGGACGACGCGGGGUUGAUGGAUCCUGUGACCCGCGCGCGGCCGGCCGAAAAUCUAGGCCGGCGCGCCGGCGCAGAUCACCCCCCGGUUUAAUAUCCCGUCAACGAUCCAGAGAAACCCACCGCACCUUUCUGGAGUGGUCUGAUAGAAAGCACACAUCAAUAGUCUCGUCGCUAGCAGUUUUCCAGAAUAAAAAAGGUAAUUAAGCACAAUAAGUUUGCUGGCCUAAUUGGUUACCCCGGGGGAAAAUAAAGCCAAGAGGUUGGGGGUUCAAAUCCUAUGUUUGAAAAAAAAUGGGCCAGGUCCAAGACGGAGGGAUGUAACGGUCGUAUACGUCUACCUACAGCCCAUACGUGCCACAUACUAACGUGAAUAUACCGAAACAAGCCUUCACUUAGGCCCUGUUUGAAACCACAAUUGAUUAUAUAAUCUGGUUUAUAAAAAUAAUCUAGGUGAACAUGUUUGGAAGUGAGAUUAUAUAAAUUGUAAUUCAGAUUUUACAUGACAUAAUGACCUGUCUGCCAUUUCUUUUUUUUAAAGAGAAUGAUGAUGGUAGGAAUGUAAUUAUCUUCAACUUUACAAGGAUAAUGGACCAUUAACAAUCCGUAAUCUAAUUUUAGCUAGGGUAUAGUAGAUUUUAAGUUUUUAAUAAUCCGUCCAACUAGUUUUUAUAAUUUACUUCAUAAUCUAUGCUGUUUGGAGACAUAAUAGAUUACAAAAACUGAAUUAUAUAAUCCGAGUGCUUCCAAACAGGACCUUAACAUGUGAGGAGCAAAGCUAAAAAGGAAAAGGCAGGAAUCAACAUCCCUGGAACUGAAAACACUUACUAGCAGCCUUAUAUGUUACAGCCUGGAGCAUGCUACCGUGCAAACUAGCUAACAGGAAACAGACAUCCCUGGAGGCAAAAUUGACAAUAUUGACCUCUCGGGCGAAAGAACUCACAAAGUGAACUGAAGAGGAAAAAAUUCACCCAGCUGACACUUUCGUGUGGCGCCCGACAUCUAGGCGCCACACUACACUGUGUGACGCCUAAGACGUCGGCGCCACACACCUGGCCACGUUGGCGCAGCUGGCCCCACCCCCAGGCAGUGCGACGCCUAAGCCUCAGGUGUUGCACCCUCUACAGUGUGGCGCCGACGUAUCCAGCCACGGGCAGCCCCCUCCCCAUUUCCCUCCCUUUCUGUUUUCAAACCGGCGGCUGCCUCUUCUCCUCAUCCGAAUCCCCUCUUCUAAAUGCUUCAGAUCUGGUGAUUUCUUCCGUGGAUUGAUCUCCCAAACUUGUGUACGAGGUAAUCUCUUCCGUUUCCCAUCUAUCUAUCCAAAUAGCAUUGGGUAUUUUUCAGAUUUGGGUUAGUUAGGUUGAGAUCCAUAAUUUAAUUGGAUUUGAGGAGUUAGUUCUAUGUAGAUUUUAAUGAGGAGUUAGUCCUAUGUAGAUUCAUAAGUAGAUGUGGAGUUAGUCCUAUGUAGAUGAGGAGUUAGUUGUAUGUAGUAUUUUUUAAGUGUAUUUUUGUGUUAUGUAGGAUUCAUAAGAUGAAUGAUGCCUUUUGGAUGGUGUAGUGUGGCUUUUGUGAUAUGUAGGAUUUAUAUAUAAGAUUCAUAAGAUGAAUGAUGCCUUUUGGAUGGUGUGGUGUGCCUUUUGUGAUAUGUAGGAUUCAUAAGUUGAAUGAUAUGUAGGAUUCAUAAGUGUAUUUUUUGUGAUAUGUUGGAUGGUGUGGCUUUUGAAUGAUGUGUAUGACGUUGAACAACGGGCCUAUUUGAUGUCGGAGAAGGAAAUGGUAAGUAGACCAUAUGUUCAAAAAUCAUGUAUUUAUUUAAUAAGAUGAAACUAUAAUCAUAUCACUCCUCUAUGUUUGCAGAAGCUUAUGCCCUUGAAGAUUCGGUCUCACGGGGCAUCGACUGUCAUGCCGUACGAUGAGAGGUACACACCAUAUAUCGAGAUGACAGGACUCCUUCCAUUCAUUCAGCUUGUGAGUCGGUCAACGCCCAACCUGAACGUUGCGGCAAUCAGUGCGCUUACUCAUCGGUGGAGGCCGGAGACCCAUAGUUUUCACCUCAGGACCGAAGAGAUGGCAGUGACUCUUCAAGAUGUUUCCAUGAUCACCGCACUUCCGAUCGAGGCGAAGCCUCUUUGUAUGAGCACUGAUUCUAAGGGAUGGCGGCACCAAAUGGAGGCCCUUAUUGGUAUGUCACCUCCAGAGCCGGAGGUAGAAGAUGGAGGGAAGAAAGACAAAGUCCCGGUUGGCGCUUCUUUUACUUGGAUUGCUGCCAACUUUGCUCAUUGUCCUGAGGACGCAAAUGACGAGGUGAUCCAGACUUAUGCUCGCGUGUACAUGUGGUAUGUGAUCUCUAGGACUAUAUUCGUUGACGGUACUGGCAAGAAUGCUCCAUGGAUGUGGCUGAAGGCAUUGAUUGUUUUUGACAACAAGUUCAGUUGGGGGUCGGCCGCACUGGCCUACUUGUACCGGCAGGUAAUAAAUUGUUAAUAGUAAGUUCAGUUUUAUACUUUUCUGCUUAACUGAUCCAUGUUUGUUGUUACUUGUAGUUGGACGAUGUUUGUCGCAGGUCCACAAAGGACAGUGGAAUUGGUGGUUGUAUGCUCCUAUUUUCAGUAUGGAGCUGGGAACGCCUUCCUGUUGGAUGCCCUAAAGCCGCAACGUGGAAGGCAUGGGAUGACCACGGCAACCCUGUACGGCUUCCUACCUGGGCUUACAAGUGGGUCGUGGUAUCGGAGGUGGCGAGCGAUGUGAAUCUAUUGUACAAGCAAUACACGAAUGAGAUGGAUUCGCUUACCACCGAGCAGGUAAACACCUCAGAGUUGACUCCCAGCUUUUGUUGUGAGGAAAAUAAAUUGUGCCUUUUAUGUUGUGUUGUAGGUGGAAUGGCAGCCAUAUGGUGCCGGGCCAAGCUUUGGUGAUGCACACACGUUUCAGCUCAAUACAAUAUGCCUGCAGGAAAACAUCUUUAGCUAAUGCGUUGUCCACUUAUAUGCAAUUGGGCGGUUGAGUUUCAUCUCCCACAUCGUGUGAUGCAUCAAUUUGGGUUGUUUCAGCCACACCCGCCGAAGUGGGUGGACACCGACCCACAACUUCAUAGGUAACAAAGCAUGGACAAUAAAGAAGUAUGUUUGAGUUUAGUGUUGAGCAAGCUAAUAAUGAGUUUUGUAAAAAGCAGGUUGGAUAGGAGGAGGCAGCGAAAGAUCAAGGAUUAGCACAAGCAUCAUAAGAACUAUGUCAUCAUGUUCGAGCAAAGUGUGGAGGCAGCUAUGAGUACGCAAGGAACCCAGCCCCGCGACCAUUCUCCCCUUGCGUUCAACAACUACGUAAGAUGGUUUCAGGAGAGUACUCGCGUCGAGAUUUGUCCGUCGGCUUACGAGGAGGACAUAUUGGAAGAACCCACCGAGUAUGAUGCACUUGCCCAUAACGAAUACAACAGGCUAAUUCGCGAAGGGUACCAAACUUCUUUCGCCCCUAUCCUGAACUUUGUGGUAAAUGUGCUCCCCUAUGUUAAGUAUGAACGCUAGUACACAUAUGUGUUGGGUAACGUAGCAUAAAUUCAAAAUUUUCCUACGCAUAUUCAGAUCUUCCUAUGGAGAGACCAGCAAUGAGAGAGGGGUAAGACCAUCUUCGUACCUUUGAAGAUCGCUAAGCGAAAGCGUUGCUAGAACGCGGUUGAUGGAGUCGUACUCGCAGCGAUUCCGAUCUAGUGCCGAACUACGACACCUCCACGUUCAACACACGUGCAGCCCGUUGACGUCUCCCGCACCUUGAUCCAGCAAGGAGGAGGGAGAGGUUGGGGAAGAACUCCAGCAGCACGACGGCGUGGUGUCGAUGGAGAGACGAGGUCUCCCGGCAGGGCUUCGCCAAGCACCGGCAGAGAGGAGGAGGAAGAAGAGCGGGGCUGCGUCGAGAGAGAGGGAAAACCGUGUGUCCCAAUGGCCAAAAGUGCCCGAUAUAUAGUAGGGGGAGGGGAGACGGGGGUGCCACCCCUAGGGUUCCCACCCUAGGGGGUGCGGCAGCCCCCCCAGAUGGGAGGUGCGGCGGCCAGAAGGGGGAGGAGGGGGUGGCGCACCAUCUGGUAGGCCUUAGGCCCACCUGGCCUAGGGUUUGCCCCCCCUUUUUCUCUGCCUUGCGCUAUGGGCUGAGUGGGGAGGCGCACCAGCCCAUCUAGGGGCUGGUUCCCACCCCCACUUGGCCCACCUUAUCUCCCGAUCAUUCCGGAGCUCCUCGUGACGUCCGGGAUCUCAUCCGGGACUCCGAACAACUUUCGGUAACCUCGUAUAACAAUUCCCUAUAACCCUAGCGUCAUCGAACCUUAAGUGUGUAGACCCUACGGGUUCGGGAGAUAGGAAGACAUGACCGAGACACCUCUCUGGCCAAUAACCAUCAGCGGGGUCUGGAUACCCAUGGUGGAUCCCACUUGCUCCACGAUGAUCUCAUCGGAUGAACCACGAUGUCAAGGAUUCAAUCAAUCCCGUAUACGAUUCCCUUUGUCUGUCGGUAUAGAACUUGCCUGAGAUUCGAUCGUCGGUAUACCUAUACCUUGUUCAAUCUCGUUACCGGUAAGUCUCUUUACUCGUUCCGUAGCACGUCAUCGUGUGACUAACUCCUUAGUCACAUUGAGCUCAUGAUGAUGUCCUACUGAGUGGGCCCAGAGAUACCUCUCCGUCACACGGAGUGACAAAUCCCGAUCUCGAUUCGUACCAACCCAACAGACACUUUCGGAGGUACCCGUAGUGCACCUUUAUAGUCAUCCAGUUACGUUGUGACGUUUGAUACACCCAAAGCACUCCUACGGUAUCCGGGAGUUGUACAAUCUCACGGUCGAAGGAAAAUAUACUUGACAUUAGAAAAGCAUUAGCAUACGAACAAUACGAUCUAGUGCUAGGCUUAGGAUUGGGUCUUGUCCAUCACAUCAUUCUCCCAAUGAUGUGAUCCCGUUAUCAAUGUCAUCUAAUGCCCAUGAUCAGGAAACCAUGAUUAUCUAUUGACUAACGAGCUAGCCAACUAGAGGCUUGCUAGGGACACAUUGUGAUCUAUUUAUUCACACAUGUAUUACUGUUUCCUGUUAAUACAAUUAUAGCAUGAACAAUAGACGAUUAUUAUGAACAAGGAACUAUGAUAGUAAUCAUUUUAUUAUUGCCUCUAGGGCAUAUUUCCAACAGUCUUCCACUUGCACUAGAGUCAAUAAUCUAGUUACAUUGUGAUGUAUCGAACACCCAUAGCAUUAUGGUGUUGAUCAUGUUUUGCUCGUGGAAGAGGUUUAGUCAUCGGGUCUCCAAUAUUCAGAUCCGUGUGUACUUUACAAAUAUCUAUCACUCCACUCUGGACAUGGUCCUGGAUGGAUUUGUAGCGGCGCUUGAUGUGCUUCAUCUUCCGGUGAAACCUGGGCUCCUUGGCUAUGGCAAUGGCUCCAGUGUUAUCACAGAAGAGUGUCAUAGGACCCGACGCGCUUGGAACCACUCCAAGGUCGGUGAUGAGCUCCUUCAUCCAAAUUCCUUCAUGAGCCGCUUCUGAAGCAGGUAUGUACUCCGCUUCACAUGUAGAUGCUGCCAUGACUUCUUGCUUGCUGCUGCACCAGCUCACUGCCCCACCAUUCAACACAUAUACGUAUCCGGUUUGUGACUUAGAGUCAUCCGCAUCUGUGUCGAAGCUAGCGUCGACGUAACCCUUUACGACGAGCUCUUCGUCACCUCCAUAGACGAGAAACAUUUCCUUAGUCCUCUUCGGGUACUUAAGGACAUUCUUGACCGCUGUCCAGUGUUCCAUGCCUGGAUCACUUUGGUACCUCCCUACCAAACUUAUGGCAAGGUUUAUAUCAGGUCUGGUACACAGCAUGGCAUACAUUAGAGAGCCCACGGCUGAAGCGUAGGGGACAGAACUCAUCUUCUCUCUAUCUGCUGCCGUGGUCGGCGACUGAGUCUUACUCAAUCUCAUACCUUGCAAAACUGGCAAGAACCCUUUCUUUGAGUUUUCCAUAUUGAACUUCUUCAAUAUCUUGUCAAGGUAUGUACUUUGCGAAAGACCUAUGAGGCGUCUCGAUCUAUCUCUAUAGAUCUUGAUGCCUAAUAUGUAUGCAGCUUCUCCAAGGUCCUUCAUUGAAAAACUCUUGUUCAAAUAGGCCUUUAUGCUCUCCAACAUCUCCAUAUUAUUCCCCAUCAAUAAUAUGUCAUCCACAUAUAGUAUGAGGAAAGCUACAGAGCUCCCACUCACUUUCUUGUACAGACAGGCUUCUCCGUAAACCUGUAUGAACCCAAACGCUUUAAUCACCUCAUUAAAGCGAAUGUUCCAACUCCGAGAUGCUUGCACCAGCCCAUAGAUGGAGCGCUGGAGCUUGCACACUUUGUUAGCACCCUUAGGGUGGACUAAACCUUCUGGUUGCAUCAUAUACAACUCUUCCUUAAGGUUCCCGUUAAGGAACGCUAUUUUGACGUCCAUUUGCCAAAUUUCAUAAUCAUAAAAGGCGGCAAUUGCUAACAUGAUUCAGAAUGAUUUCAGCUUCGCUACGGGAGAGAAAGUCUCUUCGUAGUCAACUCCUUGAAUUUGUCGAAAACCCUUUGCGACAAGUCGAGCUUUGUAAACGGUUACAUUACCGUUUGCAUCAGUCUUCUUCUUGAAGAUCCAUUUAUUUUCUAUGGCUCGCCGGUCAUCGGGCAAGUCCACCAAAGUCCAUACUUUGUUCUCAUACAUGGAUCCUAUCUCGUAUUUCAUAGCCUCAAGCCAUUUGUUGGAAUCCGGGCCCGCCAUUGCUUCUUCAUAGUUCGAAGGUUCACCGUUGUCUAACAACAUGAUUUCCAUCACAGGGUUGCCGUACCACUCUGGUGCUGAGCGUGCCCUUGUGGACCUUCGCGGUUCAGUAGUAACUUGAUCCGAAGCUUCAUGAUCAUCAUGAUUAACUUCCUCUUCAGUCGGUGUAGGCGCCACAGGAACAGCUUCCCGCGCUGCGCUACUAUCCUGUUCGAGAGGGGGUGUAAUUACCUCAUCAAGUUCUACCUUCCUCCCACUUACUUCUUUCGAGAGAAACUCUUUCUCUAGAAAGGAUCCGUUCUUGGCAACAAAGGUUUUGCCUUCGGAUCUAAGAUAGAAGGUAUACCCAAUAGUUUCCUUAGGGUAUCCUAUGAAUACGCAUUUCUCCGCUUUGGGUUCGAGAUUUUCUGGUUGAAGUUUCUUCACAUAAGCAUCGCAGCCCCAAACUUUAAGAAACGACAACUUAGGUUUCUUGCCAAACCAUAGUUCAUACGGUGUCGUCUCAACGGAUUUAGACGAUGCCCUAUUUAAAGUGAAUGCAACAGUUUCUAAUGCGUAUCCCAAAAAUGAUAGCGGUAAGUCGGUGAGAGACAUCAUAGAUCGUACCAUAUCUAAUAAAGUGCGAUUACGACGUUCAGACACCCCGUUGCGCUGCGGUGUGCCAGGCGGUGUCAGUUGUGAAACGAUUCCACACUUCCUUAGGUGUGUGCCAAACUCGCGACUCAAAUAUUCUCCUCCACGAUCAGAUCGUAGACAUUUAAUUUUUCUGUCACGUUGAUUCUCAACCUCACUCUGAAAUUCCUUGAACUUUUCAAACGUCUCAGAUUUGUGCUUCAUCAAGUAGAUAUACCCAUACCUACUCAAAUCAUCGAUGAGAGUGAGAAUAUAACGAUAACCACCGCGAGCUUCAACGUUCAUUGGACCGCACACAUCAGUAUAUGUAUUAUUUCCAAUAAGUCGGUUGAUCUCUCCAUUAUUCCUGAGAAUGGAGUCUUAGUCAUCUUGCCCAUGAGGCACGGUUCGCAUGUGUCAAAUGAUUCAAAGUCAAGAGACUCUAAUAGUCCAUCAGUAUGGAGCUUCUUCAUGCGCUUAACGCCAAUAUGACCAAGGCGGCAGUGCCAUAAGUAUGUGGGACUAUCAUUAUCAACUUUGCAUCUUUUGGUACUCACACUAUGAAUAUCUGUAACAUCACGAUCGAGAUUCAUCAAGAAUAAACCAUUCACCAGCGGAGCAUGACCAUAAAACAUAUCACUCAUAUAAAUAGAACAACCAUUAUUCUCUGACUUAAAUGAGUAGCCGUCUCGCAUUAAGCAAGACCCUGAUACAAUGUUCAUGCUUAAAGCUGGUACUAAAUAACAAUUAUUAAGGUUUAAAACUAAUCCCGACGGUAGAUGCAGAGGUAGCGUGCCGACGGCGAUCACAUCGACUUUUGAACCAUUCCCGACGCGCAUCGUCACCUCGUCCUUGGCCAGUCUCCGCUUAUUCCGCAGUUCCUGCUUUGAGUUGCAAAUGUGAGCAACAACACCGUAUCAAAUACCCAGGAGAUACUACGAGCGCUGGUAAGGUACACAUCAAUAACAUGUAUAUCACAUAUACCUUUAACGUUGCCGGCCUUCUUGUCCGCUAAGUAUUUGGGGCAGUUCCGCUUCCAGUGACCUUUUCCCUUGCAAUAGAAGCACUCGGUCUCAGGCUUGGGUCCAUUCUUUUUCUUCUUCCCGGCAUCUGGCUUACAGGGCGCGGCAACAGCUUUGCCGUCUUUCUUGAAGUUCUUCUUACCCUUGCCUUUCUUGAAACUAGUGGUCUUGUUGACCAUCAACACUUGAUGCUCUUUCUUGAUUUCUACUUCUGCAGAUUUGAGCAUCGAGUACAACUCGGGAAUGGUCUUCUCCAUCCCUUGCAUGUUGUAUUUAAGCACAAAGCCUUUGUAGCUUGGUGGGAGAGACUGGAGGAUUCUGUCAAUUAUAGCAUCAUCCGGAAGUUCGACUCCAAGUGAAGUCAGACGACCGUGUAACCCAGACAUUUUGAGUAUGUGCUCACUGACAGAACUGUUCUCCUCCAUCUUACAGCUAAAGAACUUGUCGGAGACUUCAUAUCUCUCGACACGGGCAUGAGCUUGAAAAACAAGCUUCAGCUCCUGGAACAUCUCAUAUGCCCCGUGUUGCUCAAAACGCCUUUGGAGCCCCGUUUCUAAACUGUAUAACAUGCCACACCUAACCAGAGAGUAGUCAUCACUCCGCGUUUGCCAGACGUUCAGAAUGUCCUGGGCUGCUGCGGGAGCGGGAGGGUCACCUAGCGGCGCAUUAAGGACAUAAGCCUUUUUAGCUGCUUCAAGGAUGAGCUUCAAGUUGCGAACCCAGUCCGCAUAGUUGCUACCAUCAUCUUUCAGCUUGUUUUUCUCUAGGAAUGCGUUGAAGUUGAGGUUGACGUUGGACAUCUACAAUAUUUAUAAAGACAACUUUUAGACUAAGUUCAUGACAAUUAAGUUCAUUUAAUCAAAUUAAGUAUGAACUCCCACUUAAAUCGACAUCCCUCUAGUCAUCUAAGUGAUACAUGAUCCAUGUUGACUAACCCGUGUCCGAUCAUCACGUGAGACGGACUAGUCACCAUGGUGAGCAACUUCAUGCUGAUCGUAUUCAACCAUACGACUCAUAUUCGACCUUUCGGUCUCUUGUAUUCGAGGUCAUGUAUGUACAUGCUAAGCUCGUCGAGUCAACCUAGGUGUUUCGCGUGUGUAAAUCUGGCUUACACCCGUUGUAUGCGAACGUUAAAAUCUAUCACACCCGAUCAUCACGUGGUGCUUCGAGACAACGAACCUUCGCAACGGUGCACACUUAGGGGAAUACGUUCUCGAAAUUUUAAGAGGGAUCAUCUUAUUAUGCUACCGUCAUUCUAAGCAAUAAGAUGUAAAACAUGAUAAACAUCACAAUGCAAUCAUAUAGUGACAUGAUAUGGCCAUUAUCAUCUUUGCUCUUUCGAUCUCCAUCUUCAGGCAUCGCAUGAUCAUCAUCGUCACCGGCGUGACACCAUGAUCUCCAUCAUCAUGAUCUCCAUCAUCGUGUCUCCGUGAAGUCGUCACGCCAACUACUACUAUCACUACUACUAUAGCUAACCGUUAGCAAUGAAGUAAAAGUAGUAAGCACAUGGCGUUGCAUCUCAUACAAUAAAUUAAGACAACUCCUAUGGCUCCUGCCGAUUGUCAUACUCAUCGACAUGCAAGUCGUGAAACCUAUUACAAUAACAUGAUCAUCUCAUACAUCAUACAUGCAACAUCACAACUUUGGCCAUAUCACAUCACAUGUCAAACCCUGCAAAAACAAGUUAGCCGUCCUCUAAUUGUUGUUGCAAGUUUUACGUGGCUGAUUUGGGUUUCUAGCAAGAACGCCUUCUUACCUACGUGACAGCCACAAUGAUAUAUGCCAAAGCUAUUUACCCUUCAUAAGGACCCUUUUCAUCAAAUCCAAUCCAACUAGAGUAGGAGAGACAGACACCCGCUAGCCACCUUUAUGCACGAUGUGCAUGUCUGUCGGUGGAACCAGUCUCACGUAAGUGUACGUGUAAAGUCGGUCCGGGCCGCUUCAUCCCACAAUACCGCCGGAAAAGAAUAAGACUAGUAGCGGCAAGCAAAUUGACAAAUCAUCACCCACAACUUUUGUGUUCUACUCGUGCAUAGAAUCUACGCAUAGAAAACCUGGCUCUGAUGCCACUGUUGGGUAACGUAGCAUAAAUUCAAAAUUUUCCUACGCAUAUUCAGAUCUUCCUAUGGAGAGACCAGCAACGAGAGAGGGGUAAGAGCAUCUUCGUACCUUUGAAGAUCGCUAAGCGGAAGCGUUGCUAGAACGCGGUUGAUGGAGUCAUACUCGCAGCGAUUCCGAUCUAGUGCCGAACUACGGCACCUCCGCGUUCAACACACGUGCAGCCCGGUGACGUCUCCCGCACCUUGAUCCAGCAAGGAGGAGGGAGAGGUUGGGGAAGAACUCCAGCAGCACGACGGCGUGGUGUCGAUGGAGAGACGAGGUCUCCCGGCAGGGCUUCGCUAAGCACCGGCAGAGAGGAGGAGGAAGAAGAGAGGGGCUGCGCCGAGAGAGAGGGAAAACCGUGUGUCCCAAUGGCCAAAAGUGCCCGAUAUAUAGUAGGGGGAGGGGAGAGGGGGUGCCACCCCUAGGGUUCCCACCCUAGGGGGUGCGGCAGCCCCCCAGAUGGGAGGUGUGGCGGCCAGAAGGGGGAGGAGGGGGUGGCGCACCAUCUGGUGGGCCUUAGGCCCACCUGGCCUAGGGUUUGCCCCCCCUUUUCUCUCCCUUGCACUAUGGGCUGAGUGAGGAGGCGCACCAGCCCAUCUAGGGGCUGGUUCCCACCCCCACUUGGCCCACCUUAUCUCCCGAUCAUUCCAGAGCUUCUCGUGACGUCCGGGAUCUCAUCCGGGACUCCGAACAACUUUCGGUAACCUCGUAUAACAAUUCCCUAUAACCCUAGCGUCAUCGAACCUUAAGUGUGUAGACCCUACGGGUUCGGGAGACAGGCAGACAUGACCGAGACACCUCUCUGGCCAAUAACCAUCAGCGGGGUCUGGAUACCCAUGGUGGAUCCCACUUGCUCCACGAUGAUCUCAUCGGAUGAACCACGAUGUCAAGGAUUCAAUCAAUCCCGUAUACGAUUCCCUUUGUCUGUCGGUAUAGAACUUGCCCGAGAUUCGAUCGUCGGUAUACCUAUACCUUGUUCAAUCUCGUUACCGGUAAGUCUCUUUACUCGUUCCGUAGCACGUCAUCGUGUGACUAACUCCUUAGUCACAUUGAGCUCAUGAUGAUGUUCUACUGAGUGGGCCCAGUGAUACCUCUCCGUCACACGGAGUGACAAAUCCCGAUCUCGAUUCGUACCAACCCAACAGACACUUUCGGAGGUACCCGUAGUGCACCUUUAUAGUCACCCACUUACGUUGUGACGUUUGAUACACCCAAAGCACUCCUACGGUAUCCGGGAGUUGUACAAUCUCACGGUCGAAGGAAAAGAUACUUGACAUUAGAAAAGCAUUAGCAUACGAACAAUACGAUCUAGUGCUAGGCUUAGGAUUGGGUCUUGUCCAUCACAUCAUUCUCCCAAUGAUGUGAUCCCGUUAUCAAUGACAUCUAAUGCCCAUGAUCAGGAAACCAUGAUCAUCUAUUGACUAACGAGCUAGCCAACUAGAGGCUUGCUAGGGACACAUUGUGAUCUAUUUAUUCACACAUGUAUUACUGUUUCCUGUUAAUACAAUUAUAGCAUGAACAAUAGACGAUUAUCAUGAACAAGGAAAUAUGUUAAUAAUCAUUUUAUUGUUGCCUCUAGGGCAUAUUUCCAACAAUAUGCACUUGCCUUACAUGUAAUUUUCUUGUGUCAUAGCGCAAAGAGAUCAAGAAACAAGCUGAUGCAACCGAAGCUAUUCUAGACAAGACACCUGGAGGAAAAAAGGGAGAAUCUGCACUUCGACUUUUCAUGAAGGUGUUGUGUCAUUAUUCAGAUUUUGUCGACGAAUGCAACAUACGGUACCUUAUAUAUCUCAUUUAUCAUUCAAUCUAACAGAAACAGGGCAAGAAGUUGCGGCGCCUAUCCAACAUUUUAGGUUGCCGUGACCCUGAAUAUUCCGAACCUUCGAGAUCCGGUUCAUCCGAAAGAAAUACUCUGGACGAUUCAACUUCUUCGGGAGCUCGUAUGGACGAUGGUGACAUUACCUCGGGAGCUCAUUUAGAGGAUGAUGUUGACACUCCAGAGGUAUGCAUAGCCAUCAUACAUUGUGCACUUUCAACCUUCAUAUGUAUGACGAUAUCGUUUUCGCAUAAUAGGUUGAGGACGAAAUGAUGUUGAAGGCUUUCCAACGCUCCGCUUACAUGUUGAAGCCUAGGAAGGAAUUUAAGUGGUACUCAUCGGAUGAUUAUGCGAACAAAGGAAAGAACCCGGUCGCCGGGGGCUCGCGUCUGUCAAGGAUGAGAAGUAUGGGCGAUGAGGAUGACGAUGACGAUGACGAUGAGUUGGAUGAACCGGAGCCUGUUGUGAGAAGAAGCUAGCUUCUAAGAGGGGACGAGGCCUCAAGUAGUUGGGUGAACCAUUUGUACUUUGUGGCCAUUUGCACUAUUUGUGGUUGCUGUGAACCAUUUGCACUAUUUGUGGGUGUUGUGAACCAUCUGCACUAUUUGUGGGUGUUGUGAACCAUUUACACUAUUUGUGUUUUAAUGCUAUGAAUUGUGUCUAUAUGAGUAUUUUAAGUUGUGUGAAUUGAUGUGCAUCAAUGUGCAGAAGUGUUGUGAAUAUCUAUAUGGAAUGAUGUGAAUCAAUGUGCACAAGUGUUGUGGAAAACAAGAGAUGGCAGUAGGUUUAACAUGUGUGGCGCCUAAGCCUUGGGCGUUGCACAUGUUCAACCUACUGGCAUUUUUACUGCCAGCAAUUUCACAUGUGGGGCGCCCAAGGCUUAGGCGCCACACAUGUUCAACCUACUCGCAUCUGAAGUGUCAAUGUUCUGUUACUCUGGUGACAUGUGCAACGCCUAGGGCUCAGGCGCCACACCUUCUGGCAUGCUGAAAACUGUAGCACAUAUACAUACUAGUGGAGUUCAAUAUAACACAAUAUAUAAGAUUCAAAGGCAUCAACCGGUUAUUGGCAUCACUUGCUAUUGCAACCAACAAAGUGUCCUUGAAUUGUCCGGUCAAGAACGUGCCAUCGAUUGAGAUGACCGGCCGACAGUGCUGAAAAGCCCUCACACAUUGCUCAAAUGCCCAAAAUGCACGGCCAAAUACGCGGACCCUCUUUCCAUUGUGAAUCCUUGUUUUCUCCCCAUACGGCUCGACCACAUGAACCAUGCCUGGUUUAGUGGUGGCAAUAGCUCCCAACAACCUAGGUAGUCGGUUGUAUGCUUGCUCCCAAUGACCAUACAACAUCUUGAAUACGGCUUGCUUCGCUUUCCAUGCCUUCCCAUAUUUCACCUUGUAGUGAAAGAGGGCUUUCACAAGGUCUUGUACGUUUUCUAUGCAUUGUAGGAAGAGAGGAGAUGGAGUUGGAAAGCCUAUAAGCGAUGAACUCAGAGGUGACUUGUCUAUGGUUUUGCGACAAAAGCUUGCCAUCAACCCUCUUGCCUCAACACGUGUGAGGCAUACAACUGACAAUGUUCCAUCCUGGCCCUCCUUUCCAUGGUCUUGCACAGACAAUCCAAGGACACCCUGAAUCCUCACAUGCAACCGUGUAACGCAGCUUCAUGUUUGAAUGAACAACUUUGUGUGGCCUAUAAUGCGUAGCAGAAUAUUCAUCCAACCACAUCUUCAGUUCAAGGAAUGUUUGAAACUUUGACCCCAGCAAAAUAAUAUUCUUCUCAUGUUUGUCCCGAUGAGAAGGUGGCCUAACUCCAAACAAUAUGCCUCCGCCUCCGUCAACCACGGCUUCAUCCGCAAGGCUAAUAUCCUCGAACAAUGGUGUCCGGUAAUCCCGCCCUAAUACCUUCGUGAAAGCUUCAGCCUCCUUUGACGUGAACUCUUCCUCAUCAACUUCUUCAUCGGGACCCUCAUCGUCCGACUCGGAUGCAUAGCCACGUGAGUACGGAAUAGAAUGGUCCAUUGUCUCUUGCAAAUUAUAUUUGUCCAAAUCACCAAGGCUGUUGUCAUGGAGAACAGUACCAUCAUUCUCAUCAUCAUCGUGCUCAUCAUUAUCCUCUAGCAAUGGUUCAUGUUGGAUACUCGAUUGUUGUGCUGAAAGAGGUUCAAUGUUGGCCUCUUCGUUGAUGCGUGAAGGACUUGCUUCACCAAUCGGAGAGGCAACCCGGUUCAAAUCCAAGUGCAAGUUGGGAACAUUUGUUUUGAUGGCAAAUAACUCUAGAGCCUUGUCUAGUGAUUCGGCCACCGUAUCCUUGUAUGCAAGCCAACGUUGCUCGGAGUUGACACGCAUGGUGUUCCAACGAAUGUGCAUUCUGAAUCCCACAUUAUGCCUACCAUCAAAUUCAACUACAUCACUAGGGUCCAUCCAAUUCAAAUCCUUUCGGACUUGUUCCAAUAAUUCAACAUAGCUAGGACAGAAAUCGAACACCAUGUCAAGCUCAUCCGGGUCCGGAUCAAUAUUGCAUUUUUAAAAGGCAUCCUUGUCUAUAUGAUGUUCUUCCCAUCCCUAAAUAACACAACAUACAAUAUUUACUAUAAGCAAUCAUCCAAAUACUACAAUAUCUACUUAAUAAAAAUAAACUAUAUUCCUACCUUUCAAACAUCCAUAACCCUAACCCUAACCCUAGCCUAACUCUAAUACAACCAUAAUGCAAACAUCCAAACAACCCUAAUCCUAACCCCAUCAUACCCCUUAUCCUAACAUACAAACAAAUACAACAAUAUCAUGUACAUCCCACAUUUCAUGAAAAACUAGGGUUUCCUUAAAUUUGCAACAAAGUGACCAAAAGAGAUUUUUGUUUGAAUGAGAAGGAGGGGAUCGAAGGGAUUACCUUAGGGAGGGAUUGGACAACAAAUGUCCGGUCCAAACCUUCAGAUGUGCUGACUUGAAGAGGGAUUUGAGGAAGGGAAAGACUUGAACACGAGUUGUGAAGUGAAGGGGAAUGAGGAGGGGGUGAGGGAGGGGACUGGCCCGUGGCUGGAUAAGUCAUAGUGUGGCGCCUAAGCGCUCGCGCCACACUAUAGAGGGUGCAACGCCUGAGACUUAGGCGUCGCACUGCCUGGGGAUGGGGCCAGCUACGCCAGCGUGGACACGCGUAUGGCGCCGACGUCUUAGGCGUCACACAGUGUAGUGUGGCGUCUAGGUGUCGGACGCCACACGAAAGGGUCAGCUGGGUGAAUUUUUUUCUCUUCAGGUUCACUUUGUGAGUUCUUUCGCCCCCAGAGGUCAAUUUUGCCAUCCCUGAAGCAUCUAUUUUUUUUAUGUUUCAAAAAAAAAUGGGCCAGGUCCAAGACGGAGGGAUGUGACGGCUGUGUACGUCUACCUACAGCCCAUACAUGCCACAUACGGACGUGAAUAUACCGAAACAAGCCUCCGCUUAACAUGUGAGGAGCAAAGCUAAAAAAGAAGGGAAAAUCUAACUAACUGCGUCGUAUAUUGUUAUUAGCGUGCGACGGCUUGCACACUUUUCGUCAUGCAUGCAUGCAGAUUCGUUUUAAAUGAUCGAAAUUCAAAAAGUUUUAUCUUUAAAACCGUUAAUUCGAUCGAUGAUCCGUUUUCGUCGUUGACUUUGUUUCGACGAAAUCUUUAAAACUAGAUCCCAUGUCGACAUGUUUCGACAACGUUUUUUUUUCUUCAUACUUACCACAUUUGUUGUACGUACUUGUCAUAUUAGUAAGUACUUACUUGUCUGAUAAAAAAUAACUUAAUCGUCAUAUUAUUUGACAAUUGCGUAUAAAUAUGACAUCUCGACAUAAUCGAACGAGCAAGCACAAACAACAUUNGUAAAUAUGACAAGUUGACAUAUUUAAAUUGGCAAACCAAACCUAUGACAUGCGUUUAUAUCAUGUAUAAUGAAAAUUGCUACAAGACAACAAUCAUUGGUCAAACACGAUCGUCGGGUUUAAGCAAGCGUAGUUGACAAAAAUCUAUACACACAAUUGCCAAGUUAACAACUAAGUUAAUUAAAUGUGGCUACUAAGUGUCUCAUAAUCUAACAACUAAAUAAUAAUAAUCUGGCAACUAUCGAUGAAAAAAGAAGUUAUCAAAACAUGUCGACAUGGGAUCUAGUUUUGAGGAUCUCGUUGCGAGAAAGCUAACGGUGAAAACUGAUCAUCAAUUGGAUUUAUAGUUCAAGAGGUAAAACUUUUUAAAAAUUCAACAUUAAAAGAAUCUAUGCUAAUAUCACAUUGAUGGAUUAGCUUACAUGCAUCUAUACUACUAUUAAACAAUCCAACAUUUUCUUUUCUAAACACACACUGUCUAAUGUACACAGAAAAGAAUCAAACCAUUAGAGCCUUACGAUCAAACCAACUCAUCUAUACUAACCGUUAAGAUUAACAACUAACCCACCAAAAGUACGUUUAGCAUUUUACAGAGGCGGACGAAAACUCUGCCAAACCGCGUCGUACUUGUUCGGCCAGAAAAAAAAUCAUGCCAGUAAAAAAACAAACCCUCGCUCCACCUCUGACCCCCUCGCCUCGCUCCGUCGCCCGCAGUGUCUCACGGGCUCAUCGUCGCAUGGUGGCGGCGGCCUCCAACGGUGGCGCUGCAUCCAACGCGCCAUGGAACCUCGCAUCCAUCUACAACGAGGUGAAGCCAAGCCGCAUCGCGCACACGCUAUUGCUCCCCUCCUUCCUCCGUCCUGCGCUCCAACUUCAUGGUCGUCGACGAUCUAGCCAGCACCGCUGCUGGAAGCCCCGGUGAGUAAUGAACGAAGUUUUUCCUUAUUUAUGUCCCUCCCGGAUCUUGGCCUUCCGAAUCGCGGGUUUGAAUUUGGGAUUUUAUGGUUGAGAUUCGAUCUCGCAGAUGUGGUAGCCAAGCUGAUCUCCAGCCUCUACGGCCAGCCAUCGGCCGAGCCGAUCGCGAUGAACCGUACAAGAUCAGCGUUGUGCUUCCUGGUGGCCAGGCUCCAAGGGGACAAUUGAGCUGCAACAUCAUUGGUAAGUGCGAGUGAUGUCCGCGACCGGAUCGAGAGCCUCCGCCGAGGCAUUCCGUCAAUGCCGCGUCCGGGUCAAGAGCCGCCACCAGGCAUGCCAUCAUAGCCGCGUCCAGAUCGAGAGUUGCUUGCAUAUUUGUUGCUUGGGCAUUUACAGAGGUACACCCAUUCUCCUAGCACGGGCCUCCCAGUGGUAACGUGAUUCCCAGAACUACGUACUCUGCUUUCCUGGUAUUGUAUUUUUCUGGUGUUUGAAUAAAUCAUGUAUUCUUGGAAUACGUCAAAGAACAUUCAGGUAGUGUGUAAGUCGACGGAAUUACACCAUCACAGUACCUGAAGUUCAAAGAGACCUUAUAUGAUGAGAAACGUUAUGUCUUAUCAAAUAUAAUGCGAGCUUUUGAAUCAGAGAGGUGCUAGAUGAGUACAAUUGUGAAUCUGAAAAUGCGGUUUGUUUAUGUCAAUUUCAGGGACAAGGAUGACAAUCGAGUGGAAUGGGAUGCACUUUAUCUACAAUUUAUAUCUUUAAGUAUGACUAGCUGAGUGACAGGCAUGAAAGCAUGAAGCCACUGCUAACUAUUUGCUCAUCUGGAACUACUGUGGCAAGGUAAAGAGUUCAACCAUUCAUAUCACAGGGAUUAUCAGAUGAUCGGAAGUAGAGACUGAUUGAACUUAUAUAUCCUUAUGAAUAUGCAGAAACUGAUGGUUAACGAUAUUUGUUUUUGCACACCAAGUGUUUGAUAUUUUAUCUACGUGACUAUUACAGAAUUUUUGUGUUGUACAGAGGAUACAGGGCGUUGUUUCACAUCUGAUUUAGCAUCUUCUUCAAGGUUACACCUUGUCAUGUACUCAUUUAUUAGAUUUUUAGUUUGUAUUUAUUAGUGGCCAAAUAUCCUUUAGUUGUUGUUCCUAGGUUUAGUUGAUUAUCAAAAGGGUAUUUAGAUCUGGUAAGAAUUGGUUGUUCAAGCUAGGACGUGCAAUAUCUCUAUCUUGUUCUACACCAUUAUUACCUUAUCAAGAAAGUCUCUUAAUGUUUUUUGUUCAUAGCAAGUUUCGGUGCGACCAGUCUAUUUCAGUAUUUGUUUAUUCUAUCUAAACUUUGAUUUAUCUUUUUGGGAACUGAUUUUAGUUGACGUGCAGAUGGAUUUAUUUAAGAUUACAUCCGGGCCUCACUUUACGUAGGACGCCAUCGAUCCCUACAUUCAACCACCCAAUAGCGGUGCUCCUUGCAUCCAGAUGUGUGAAACGGACGACCUAACAUGGAAGUAAGUCGCUAUCACUGAUAGGCUGCCCGAUCGAUGGCACCGGCCCCUGGGCUUGCUGUCUAACCAUGCCCCAUGGUUGCAUGAUGACUUAUCCAAGUUGGCCACAUCCCGCAUCCGACAUGUCGCCACUGUCUCUCCUUCGUUUUUUCUUUAUAAUAUGUAGAUGGUGAAUCAUCAUUUGUGCCGCCAUUAUUUUUUUACAGUUGUUUUGUUCGUACCUUUGAAACCGACGAAGUCCAGAAUGGAACAAAUACAACAAGGAAGAUAUUUUGCUAGAGACGAAACAUGUGCACUUCAGUUCUGUUGAGAGAGAUGUAAGACGGCUACACAUUUGUUUGGGGUAACUUUCUUUUGUUAACAUGAAUUUAGUUAAUUGUUAGUAGAUAUGUUCAUAGGCUUUGAGGCCACAACUAACAGACUGAAGUCCUUGCUGAAUUAUGGAUCUUAUGGGAAGUAGCGAGAGUGUGAGACUAUGAUUUCGCCGUGGAGGCGUCACCUAACAAAUCUGCAUCCCAGGUAUAGUUUCUGAUCCUGAUGUCUUAAAAUACAUUUCUAUAGUUCUUAAUACAGUAAUACUUAACGACAUUUGUAUGGAAUGAAUGUUGUUGUGACUAAAUUCCGUGUGCAAGACCUAUCAGUUAGCAUGCUAGAAUAAAAGCUCUGAAUGAUCUAACUUCUGCAACUACCAAAUGUUGUUUCUGCACAUAGGUCAUGGAUUUCCCCUAUUGAUAUUGUACAUGCAAUUGGCUUCAAAUAUUUCAGUAAAAUCUCAUGAUGACAUCAAUAUAUAGACUUGUGCGAUAUGUGUGCAUCAAUUAUUUUGACCCAAGACAUUAUUCCAGAAAGCACAAGAUAUUACUUUAUCCAGUCUAUCCAGUCUAUUCCAGAAAGCACAAGGGCUUGUUGAUCUUUCUUUUCUAGAGUGUUUUUGUUAUGAACUCUUUCGUGAAUUUGGAGUAUCUUUUUUAUUUCUAGAACUUCUUACUGACUCUUUUCCAUUGUAUAGUAGGUUGUGAAGAAUGGGAGAUGCUGAUUUGGAAGAAGAAACAAUCAUCAAACAUGUAUAUAUAUACUGCUACUAUAGUAUUUAUACCUUGCAAGAAAAGAAAGCUGAUAAUUUCGAUGUAAACUAUGACAUUGUGGUUUACAAAUAAAUAAAAUGUUUCAUGUGUAUAUUUUCUGCACUAUGCUAAAUUCAUAUCAGAGACUUUCUAAAUUAAAUCAUUUUAAAUUUAAAUAUAUUGAGAAGUUGUAUAUAUGUAUGUCAACCAUAGUGCCGGUUCAAAAGCGUGUGUAGUUCAUAAUUAUUAUUUUUUAUUCAAUAUUUAUAAGAAAAAUCAGGGUUUUGUCAUCUCUAAUAACCGUAUCUACUUGGCCAUUGAGACAGGGAAUGGGCUACAUGUAUACAAGGCAAUACAACUGUCAAUACGCAUUUUUUAGUGAAAACAUGAAGUAAAGAUCGUGAAAAAAUGCAUUCUUCGGUCCUAUGGUUACACGUUCGCAUGCACGUGCAUGGUUACUAGUAAGGUAAACCGCCGCAUCGGAAGACGCCCAUGCGGCGCCGCUAUGUAGCGGCUUCCAAAAAAGAAAAGGCAGGAAUCAACAUCCCUGGAACUGAAAACACUAGCAGCCUUAUAUGUUACAACCUGGAGCAUGCGAACACAGAGGAAGGAAAAGUUGGCAAAAAUAAAUAAAUGGGUCAAAUCAUGAUAUGAUACAGCGGGCAUCAAAACUGCAACCCUACCGUGCAAGCUAGCUAACAGGAAAUACACACAGGAUCAUUCUUUGUUUGUUUAACUUUAAGCCCCAGUGUAAGCAUAUCCUAGCAGAAAAGCUGCAGCUAUCCAUCGUUUCAAAUGGCAGACGAAAACAAUCUACUGAAUCACACACUCACAUUUCCUGAAACCCUCAUUUUCCAGUUCAUCAUCUGACAAACUUCCAUCGCUG
rnacentral:lncRNA from 1 species